AAGUUGGACCAAAUGUUCAUGGGGAUAGUUGCAACAGGUGAUAAAGCAUGGGCACCUUCUUCUGGUACACUCCGUAGUGAUUUUUUUGAGGAUGUUAACAACGAAAUACCUGAAGAGAGUGAAGAAGAAAAUAUGAAAAAUGAUGUUCACAUUUCAAAUGAUGUUCAAAUUGAUGGAAACGGUCAAAAAAGAAAAAAAACCUUGAGAUGUUAAGUUCACAUUUUAAAACUGGAAGAAAGAAAUCCUUAAAGCAAAUUGGAGGGACUGCAAGAUUGUCCAGUCAAAUAGAAAAAUUAUGCAAUGCAGCUGACAAUAUGAGUCAAGCCAUAUCUAGUUUGACUGUUAUGGAUCCAUAUGGUAUUCCACAAGCAGUCAAAAUGCUUGACAGCAUGUCGGAAGAAGUUCCAGAAGCUAGUCCGCUAUACUUUUUCGCACUUAGAUUAUUGCUCAAUAAGGACAAGCGAAUUAUGUUUUUAUCAAUUAAUCCCAAGAUUAGAGCUUUGUGGCUUAAGACGGAAAUGGAGGAUAGUCGAAAGUUUUCUGAUCUUCUAGGGUUCAAAGAUAUCUAUUUAUGUGUAAUCUUCUAGUUAUAAUGGCUUAAGCGAAGUAUGUUUUUAUCAAUAGUUAUUUAUGCUUGGUUUUUGGAUAUUGAAUUUAUGUUUUACAUAUUUAUGUGUAAUCUAGUUUUAUUAAUAGUUGUUUGUGUUUGGUCUUUAGAUAUUGAAUUUAUGUUCUACUUAUUUUUUACUAAAUUAGUUUUAUCAAUAGUUGUUUAUAUGUGAUUUUGGAUAUAAAAUUUAUUCACAGGUGAUGAGUAUAGUUGAGGAUUAUAACGGUGAUGAAAGUGAUGAUGAAAGGGAAAAGAAAAAGAUUUUACAACGCAUGGAAUGUUUGAACCGAUUAUUUGUUGUUGCAUCUUCUUCCGUGCAAUUAUGUUAUGAGAAGUAUAUAUUGAGGCAACCAUGCAUGGAUUCAAAACAGUCAGGUGAGACAUGGGUCCGAGAGAUCCUUGACGGUCACGAAUCACGUUGUAUGAUUAAUUUUAGGAUGUCUAAAUUGGUAUUCACAAGUUUGCUGAGAGUUUUGGAGACAAGAUACAACUUGCAAACUUCAAGAAACAUAUCUUCUAGUGAAAUGUUGGGAAUUUUUUUAUACAUUUUGGGCACCGGUGCAAAAGUUUCCCAAUGUCGAGAAAGAUUUCAAAGGUCUAGAUCAACAAUAAGUCGACACUUUGCAGCUGUGCUUGAGAAAGUUUCAAGGAUGGCCACUGAUCUAAUUGCACCCGAAGAUCCUUUUUUUAGCUCAAUACCCGAACAAAUACGUAAUGAUUCUAGAUAUAUGCCGGAUUUUAAGGUUAAAAUUUAAUUUUAUAUUAUUAUAUUUUAAUAUAUUUGGUCGACUAAAAAUAUGCACGAGAGUAAUAUGAUUAUUUGUUCAGGAUUGAAUAGGUGCAAUUGAUGGUACUCACAUUGCGGCUAUUCUUCCACCAAAUGAACAAAUUCCCUAUAUUGGAAGAAAAGGUAUCCCGACUCAAAAUGUUAUGAUAGUAUGUGAUUUUAAUAUGUGUUUCACAUUUGUCAUGGCUGGAUGGGAAGGAUCGGCACAUGACACUAGAAUCUUUCUUGAUGCAAUUCGAGAUCCAAAAUAUAAAUUUCCGUACCCUCCAAAUGGUUAGAUAUUUUAUUUAUAUGUGAUUUUUUAAAUAAUAAAGUAUAAGUUCUUUAAUUGAUUAUUUUUAUUAAAAAAAUUCUUGAAUUAAUUGUUUGUUAUAUUAUGGCUUGUAGGAAAAUAUUAUCUUGUUGAUUCUGGAUAUCCUCAAAUGAAAGGUUAUCUUGGACCAUAUAGAGGUCAGCGAUAUAAUUUACCUGACUUCCAUAGAGGUAGACCGAUAUCUGGUAAAGAAGAGAUAUUCAAUCAUUGACAUUCAUCAUUACGUAGUGUGAUUGAACGAACUUUUGGUGUUUUGAAAAAAAUGGGUCAUUUUAAGGGAUAUGCCAAGUUAUAGUUUUGAAAAUCAAACGAUGAUCGUUGUUGCUACAAUGACGAUACACAAUUUUAUCUGAAAACAUGUCGGUCGAAAUGAUGCAGAUUUUAUGGAAUACGAAGAUAUUAACUCGGCAUAUGAGAAUAAUAUUGAUUCAGAAAAUGGGCAUGGUCUAGAAAGUGAUGAUGACGACGACGACGACGAUGAUAGUGAUGAUGACGGGAAAUCAAACAAUUUAAGUGGUUUUGAAAUGGAAUUAACAAGAGAUGCUAUAGCUUCUAGUUUAAUAAAUUCACUUUAAAUUGUAAAUGCUAUUGUAAAAUUUUUAGUAUUUAUAUUUUAUAUAUAAUUAUUAUCUCUUUUUAAAACUUCAAUCCAAAUAUAUGUAAUAUUUUAAUUUGUUAGGUUUAUGUUUUCUAUGCUAUGUUUACAUAUAAUAUGAGUUAUAUAUUCAAAUACAUUUUAAAAUAAAAUAAUACAAAUGUGUUAAAAGCAUUAAUUAAAAAUAAAAAAUAAUUUUUAUAAUAAUACAAUUGUGUCAAUAUCUAAUUACAAAUAUUUAAUUAUUAUAUUUAAUUAUAGUUUAUAUAUUCUAAUUAAAUUUAAUAAAUAAUUAAUAUUAAUUACUUAGAAAUAUUUAAAAUUAAUAUUAUAUAUUAAAAUAUUAACAAUAAGUUAUAAUAAAUUAUUUUUUUAUAUUUUUGCUAAAAUAUCAUAAUAUUAACUAAUUUGAACAUUAUUUAAAUACAUAUUUGUUACUUUAUAAUAUCAUGUAUAAAAUGAACAUUUUAUUCUUCAAAAGCACUUUUUGACAGCAAUGUCAAACACUCAAAAUUUUCAAAAGCACUUCUCAAAACCACUUUUCCACAGCACUUUUCAAAAAUAAGGAAGAAUUGGCCUUUAACCUUCAAUAAAUCUAAAAGCAGCUGGAAUUAUUAAAAUACUUUGUUUUUAUUGAAAUUCAACUUUAGUAGCUAAUUAAUACAUCUUAAAAAAAGGGUCAAAAUUUUAAAGAAGUCACAUCACAGUGAGUAAUGUAAUGUAAGAAAAUUUUGAGAGAGACUUGAAAUAUUAGAUCUGACCCCAUACCAUUUACUGUACCCUUUUGCUUUCUUAAUUGUGAGGACCCAAAAAUCCUUCGAAAUCUCCAUUUUGGCCAUACAUAAAUGGGACAAUUUUUGGAUGCCCUAUGAAUCAAGUAAAGCAAAGCUACGUAGUGAAGUAAUGUUAACUAAAGUUGGGUUUUAAAUUCUUCAGUGCAAAUGUUACUUUAGCAUAUACUCUGACCAUCCCAUUUAUUUGGCAUACCUUUCUUCUCUGCCCAUCUCUUCAUUUACAAACACAAGCUUCCUCCUCUCUCACUCUUACACAAGUUUAUCACAUCUUGUGUAAGUAAGAGUGCUGUUAAAACAGAACCCAACUUAAAUUUCUUCUUUCUUUUCUCAUUUAAUUUCACUAUAUUGUACCAAUGGGGAGAUCACCUUGCUGUGACAAAGUGGGGUUGAAGAAAGGACCAUGGACACCAGAAGAAGAUCAGAAACUCUUAGCUUACAUUGAAGAACAUGGUCAUGGAAGCUGGCGUGCCUUGCCGGUCAAAGCCGGUGACUAAACCCUAGCCUUACUUUUCUUGCUUACUUUAUUCUCAUUCCUCUCUCAUUCUCAAAUUUUCUUCUUUUACUUUCUGUUUAGGUCUUCAAAGAUGUGGGAAGAGCUGCAGGCUUAGAUGGACUAAUUAUCUCAGACCUGAUAUCAAGAGAGGAAAGUUUAGCAUGCAAGAAGAGCAAACUAUCAUUCAACUUCACGCCCUUUUAGGGAACAGGUCAAGAAAAUUUCAUCACAAUGUUGCUUGGUCAGAAAUGAUAGUUUUUUCUUUUCUUUUUUCCAUCAAGACCCUUGAAUAUAUAUUUCAGAGUUUUUGUCCGUAUCACUUUAAAACACUAGCUUGUUUUCUGAACUUGGGUGUUCUCAAUUUCUCAACCUAUUUUUCCAUAUUUGGUUUUCAAAACCUCAUUGGAUUCAGCUGUAUAUAUAUUUGUAUAUAAUGACCGGACACAGUUACUUAGACGUUGAACUGCUGCCAGUCUACCCUCUCACCUAUAAAACCCUUUUUUAUUUAUAGUAUGGUAUCUUUAAAAGAGUAAUGGGUUUUAUUUAACUCGCAAAUCAGUUUUUUGUUUUCAUUUUUCUUCCGUCAUUUUCUUGUCUAUCUGAUCAAUGGUUUUGUUUUCUUUAUCUUUUAGAUGAUUGAAACAUCGAAAGAAACUGUUUUGUGGGCAGUUGACGGUUUCUUUUAUCUAGGUUUUGGAUAAAGGUUGUGUUUUUUUGUGUCUUCAGGUGGUCGGCUAUAGCCACUCACUUGCCAAAGCGAACAGAUAAUGAGAUAAAAAACUACUGGAAUACUCAUCUUAAGAAAAGGUUAGCCAAAUUGGGGAUUGAUCCGAUCACUCACAAGCCAAAAUCUGAUGCUUUACUCUCCACUGAUGCUCAAUCCAAGAGUGCAGCAAACCUUAGCCAUAUGGCUCAGUGGGAAAGUGCUAGGCUUGAAGCUGAAGCGAGAUUGGUUCGAGAAUCAAAGCUACGUUCACAUUCACAUUCAUUUCAACACCGCCUCACUCGUCCACCAACAGCAGCUUUUGCUUCUUCAGCGGGUCGGCUUGUGAAUAAGACAGCUUGGAACAGUACUGCUGGGUGGAGUAAAUCCAGUGAAGUUAAUAAUGGUGUUGUAAACAAUGGAUUUGGUGACCUCGAAUCUCCCAAAUCAACACUUACUUCCUCAGAAAAUGGGGUUGGAUUGAGUUCAAUGGGUAUGCCAGAUUUUGUUGGCACUGCAUCAGCUUCAUCUGAGAUCAAACAAGAAGGUGAACAAGAAUGGAAAGGCUUUGGAAGUUCAACUAAUUUGGCCAUGGAGAAUGGGUUCAAUGAUAUUGGAAACGCAAUGGAGGAUGGCUUCAUUAACCUUCUUCUCAAUGAUUCCACCGACCCCAGUUUAUCAGAUAGUGGCAAAGAAUCUGAUGGAAACAGCGGUGAUGGUACUGCCAGUGAUGAUCACUAUGAAGAUAACAAGAAUUAUUGGAACAGCAUUCUUGAUUUGGUGAAUUCUUCCCCAUCGGGCUCACCAAUGUUCUAAACAAUUAAUUAAUGCCUUUUGGCCUAAAUCAAAAGAGCCAUUAAUUACAUUUUCCACUUGUUCUUAAAUAUUGGAAAUGCCGCAUCAGAUGAUUAUACGUUUGCCCCCAAAGUAUAACAGCGUUGAGAAACCUCACUCACUUCUUCAAAACAAUGGAAUGUACACUAGUAGCUUUUCACUUUUAGUAGUGUUAAAGUUGAUAGAGGGUUUAACAUGUUUGAGUUAAAUUCAAUGAUAUUUCAGUUCAACCUUUUUCUUUUUCAUAUUUUUUUAAUUUCCUUUUUCUUUUUAUAUAUAGAAAAGUCCAAAAUAAACAAAGAGAUGUAUUUAUGACUGACUUUAAUGCUGGUAGUUUCGGGUCACAUCAUUUUACAUUCAUCAAAUUGCAAUUCCAGGUUUACUUUAUUUAUUUUUCAUUUACAAUAUUGUUUUUUUAAUUUUACAUCUAAUUUGGUACGUCAAUUUGCUUGCUAUAUGACAAGCAGUUGUAAUAUUUUUCGUACAAACCAGAAAUGGGUAUUUUUUUCUGAUAUUUCCUAUUUAAAACCCGUAGUUGUUUUUUUAAUAAUAUCAACAGAUUUUAAGAGAAAUAUGUUGAAACUAAAUAAUGAAGAAUAUUUAGUAAUGGAUAAUGAUUAAAAGAACAUUGGUGCACGAUUGCACCACUCUAAAAAGGUGGCCAAGUAGAAAGAGUAUGAUAAUCCUAAGGAAAGCAAGUUAUGUAACAUACCAAUUUUUUCCUUUUUUUUGCCAAACACUUCAAAAAUGUUUGCAUUUUAAUGUAUUUUCUUUUUUAAUCAUUUUCAACGUUAUUAUAAAGGUUUUCUUUUAAAAUGUAUAUAUCUUCAUCUAAAUAAUCUUAGAUUUUCACUUUUUUAAUAUAUAUAAUCAUUUGUUGCUGCACAAACAUAUUUAUUUUCCACUUGUAUUAAAUUUUAAAUUUUCAAUUUUAACAUUCAAUGUUAAAUGAUGUAUUAAUUUUAUUUCCACAUUAAUAAGAACAAAUUUUUAUAUAGACCUAAAAUCUCAUUUCUCUUGUUUUCUUAAGCAAUGUGGGAUAUAAGAUAAUGUUUAUAUAUAGACUCAUGAAUAGGCUUGCAACUUGCUCCUAGACAAUGUACGAUUGCUUCCUUAAAUUGUGAUAUAUAGACAAUGUGUAUAUAUAUAGACUCAUGAAUAGGGUUUUUCCACCACUAUGCCUAAAUAAUUAUUUUAUUUAGACAAAAACCCAAAUUAUUUAAUUUAAAUAUUUUUUUCACCAAUUUUUGAGUAUCACAGUUCCAAAUCCUAAAGAAUUUGGAAGAGUAUGGCCCCUACUCUCUUUUUGUAGAGACAAAUCUUAAUUUUUGUUUUCGUCCAUACAUAUUAUUAUUUGUUAAAAUAGAUUGAAGUCUCCAUAUUCUUGAUAAGUUUAGAAUUUAGGCCUUUUAUUUUUAUUUCAAAUAAUUCAGUUUCUCUAUUUUUUGAAUUUAAAAAUACAAGUCUAAUUGUUAAUAUUGUUAAAAUGAUUUUGUUAAAUUUAUUAGUGUGACUAAAUAAAAAAAAAUCACAAAUAUUGUAACAUUUAUAUUGAUGAUUAAACUGACCAACCCAUCAAUUUUUGAUUUAAUCGUUCAACAAUAUUUAAAUAAAAAAUUCAAAUUAGCUCUAGAUUUUGUAACAAGUGUUGAACUCUGAUUUCCAACAUGUAGCUCUAAAUCAUAUCAGAUAAAAGACAAAACUGAAAGUUGUGCAAAAAAAAAAGAAAGAACAUUAUCCUUAAAUCAUAACUCCUUUCAGAGUAAAUUAUAAACCUUCAACCCAACUAUUUUAAAUAUACAUUUAGAAAAAAAAUUAAAAUUUAUUUUUGAGUAUGUGAAAUAUAGAUUUUAACUAGUAUGCAAUGUGGAAAUUAAUAAUUUUAAAUACUCAUUUUAAAAAUAAUAUAUAUUAACUUUAUUUUUUUAUUAUAUUAGAUAUAGACUUUAGAUUCGCUCUUUUCAUAUAAAUCAAUCACUUUAAAUACAAUAUUUAAACAUUAAAAAAAGACAUUGAGUUUAUUAUUAAUCAUAUAAAUACAAUCACUUUAUGAUUUUUAAGGAAUAUAUUUUAAGAAAAAAAUCAAUUCACAUACUAACAACUUAAAUUUCAUAAUCCAUGUCUUAAAAAAAUCACAAUUUAUAUUGAACAAUUAUCUUAAAUUUAAUUUUUAUAAGUAAAUAUAUUCAUGAGUCUAUAUAUACAUAUAUCUCAUAUUUCACAUUGCUUAAGAAAACAAGGGAAAUGAGACUUUGGGUCUAUGUAAAUACCUGUUUUGUAAGUUUUUCCACAUUAAUAGGUGGCACCAAAAAUAAAUAAAUAAAAUUGGUGUUGCCAGUUUUAGUGUUGAUGUGGCAAAAACAAGCGUUUUAUUGGUCAAGGGGAAAAGGACUUUUUGAGUCUCCACUGAAAACGGCACUAGUUAGGCGCGUUUUUAUAAAAUCGGCCCAUUUUUGUUAAUUUUAAUAAAAGUGGCAUAUUUUCAUUAUUUUGAAAAAAAAUGGGCCUUUUCUGGUAAUUCAACCGACUAAAUUACUAAACGUCGCUAUUUUUAAAAAAAAUCACUGGAUUAAGCUAUUUUUUCAAAAAUUAAGGGACUGGUCUCAUUUCCUUUGUUUUCUUAAACGUUUUUGUAAAAUUGACUUAGUCCCAUAAUUUUUCAAAAAUAUGGCCUAAACCGAUAAUUUUUUAAAAAAAGUGACAUUUUUUUAGUAGUUUAGUCGUUUAUAACACUAAAAUCUUUCAUUUAAGAAAAAAAAUUGAUAUAUAUAAUUCAUGGUAGUGUCGAAUUCUAAAAUAUUCACAUCUCAACAUAAUGCAACAAAUGAUUAAAUUUUUAUGUAUUAACUUGGUUAGUAUCAAUAUUGUUGUCAGUACAAAAAGAAGUUUAACGUACUUAUUCUCCUAUUUUAAAGUUGAAGAGAAAUUAUAAAAAAAUGCUACACCCAAUCUAACAUCCAUUUGUAUUGACAACCCGAAAAUAAUGAGCGUGGGAUACAUCUAUAAGACUAAUGUUUUCCGUACCAAAAUGUAUGAGGAGUUUUGCAAUUUUGUUAGAAAGCUACUUGAUUUUCUCAAAAUUCAUGCUCCAAAUUAUAUUCUUGUCAAAACUUUCCGGUUCCAAUAACAUGUCAACCGCUGAAAGGACAUUCAGCAACUAAUACAAAUCAACUAAACAUUAAUUAAUUAUUUAAUUACCCCAAAAAGAAAAAAGGAUUGCCAUCACCUUACCAAGUUCAUUCAAUAUUGUGACCAUCCAGCACCGAAAACAAACCCAGAUUGCACUCAAUAUUCGAGGCUAAAGCAAGUCCAUGUGCAUGUAUGCAAAAGCAAAUACAUCAUUAAUGAUCUCUUUCCAUACUCAAUAUUGUCCCUCCCUUAUUUCCCAUAAUCAUUUUAUCAUUUCUUGAUUACGUCACUAACUUAAUUAGCUUAGAGUUUAAAUUCUUGUCUAGUUAUCAAAUUGGGUAUCAAACGUGUAUCUAAGUGACAAAAUAAAAAUUAUGUCUCCGAGUUUAUGCAAUCAAUGUAAGGAUGACAUUUCUCUUAUCCUCGAUCUUUAUAAAUAUCUAUAUAUAAUCAUGUUCAUAUACAUGUCUUAGUAUACUUGACAUGGUAGUCUCACGUGCUUAGAAACAUGCAGAGUUAGAUUAUGAAAAGUUUUCGUUUUGGUCACUUCGUUAAAAAGAAAGUAAUAAUUUAGUCAAUGAACUAUUCAAAAAUAUUUAUUUAAGUCUCUGGGUUGUUAAAAUAGAUGUCAUCUGCACCAAUCAAAUAAUGGUGAAUUGUCGCUUAGAACUCACUGGUAGAACUUUAAAAAAAAAAAUAACAAUCCAAUGACUUCAAUAAAAACUUUUGAAUAGUUCAAUAACUUAAAUCAAAAUUUUUGAAUAGUUUAAUGACCAAAACAAAAAUUUAUAAUUUAUUGACUAAUGAUAUAGUUUACCUUUCCAUUUUAACUUUUUGAAUAAACAAAUAACUUUUUCAGGUUAAGAAACUGUUGAGAUCCUGUCAUUAGUUUCUAGUAUACUAAUCAUCACUAUCUAUAUGUGUAGGACUAGAGGUGAUCAUGGGUUGGGCGGCUCAGCCCGGCCCGAAAUAUGAGAGGAUUCGGGUAAAAAUAUAGGCCUGAAAUAUGGGAGGGUUUGGGCAAAAAACGAGACCUGUUUAGAAAACAGGCUGGGGCUCGGGCAAAACUUUUUUGGCCCAGGCCCAACCCAAAUAUAUAAUAAAUAUAUAUAUUUUUAUUUUUAAAAUACAUUUCCCAUUUCCCCAUUUCUCAUUACACAUUUAGUAUUUAUAUAAUAAAUAUAUAUAAUAAAUAUAUAUUUUUUAUUUUUUAUUUUAAAGUAUUUUUAAAAUAAUUUUUUUAUUUUUAAAAUAUAUUUCCAAAUAUAAUAAAUUAGUUGCAAAAAGGACGAUGAGGAUGCUGGUUCUUCGGUUGCUUUUUAGGAUACUUCCUUUAUAAUUGUUGAAAAUUUAAUUUAACUUACAAUUUAUAUUUUGUUAUAAAAUUAAAUAUGUUGAUUGGUUAAUGUAUGGAUAUUCUGGUUGGUUGAUUAUAUUUUGCAGGUAUUUUAUACAAUUUUGAUGUUUAUAAAAAAAAAAAGGCUAGGUGCCUGACCCAUGAUCACUUGUAUGUAGGACUCAGAAAAGAUAAUGAAGAAGAGCUUGACCAGAUAAGCCUCCGAAUUGGACUUUGAAAAGUGCAUUUUUGUUUUAUUUUCUUGUCAAAAUAAUCUUUUAGAAUCAACAUAAUCUCAUCUAUGUUUUCCAUUUUGUCUAAAAGAUAUAUGAAAAACUAAAGCUGCAGACAUAAGCAUGUCGAAUAUCAAUUCUCAAAUCUGGAUGAUAAAACAGAGAAUAGAAUAAACACAUGUUGUAUGUUUCAUCAAAUUGGGUGGCUUGAAUAAUGAAGAACAGAAGUGGUUUCAUGAUACAUCAUUUAUUAUAAUUUCAGAGCAUAAAAUUAUUUUGCGUAUCAAAAGCAGCUAAUGAGCUGGUUGCACCAGAAGAACUGAGCUUAUGCGAAGAAGAAAAAUCUUAGAUGGUCCCCCUUAGGCCACAAAUGAAUUAAUUUAAUUAUUUGCUUCAUCAAUGAAUCACACAUCCCCCACAAGUGUAGUCAUUAUUCUUGUUUCAUUUCAUGCCAAUGAUUUAAUCUCAUCAAAAUUCGAGAUUAUUACUUUCCAAUACAUAGUAAGGUAGGCGGUGCACCUAACCAAAAUUUUACAACAUUUUUUUUCUUUUACAACUUUAUUUUUUUUCUUACAAAAAUAUAUUUUAUUCCAUCAAUAAGCGAUACAAAUUCCAAGCAAUAAAUAUUUAAGAUGUUCUAUAAUUUACAAUUUUCAUAAUUAUAUUAAAACUUUCGAAUAUUAGUAAUUAUUUUAUAAUUUUUUAAGUUGAGUGAUUAAAACAUAGACUUAUUAAUAGUUUAAUGAUUUUGGAUGUAAUUUAUCUUUUUGAUAAUUAUAUUUAAUACUAAAAUGUUAUUUAGUAAAUACUUAAAAUAAUACUAUUUAGGAUUAAACCAUUAAUUAUUUUAAUAUUUUAAAUAUUAUAAUAAUUAUUAAAUAUUAUUUCUUUAUAUUUAGUUAUUAUUAUUUUUUACGAGAUCAAAUAACAUUGACCUAAAUAUGAAACUACUACUUUAUUAUCAAGAAAAUGAAAAUAUUAAUUAGUAAAAUAUUAAAAUAAAACUAUUUAUAAUUAAACUAUCAAUUUAUACUAAUAUUUAAUAAUAUUUAAGUUUAAAAUAUUAGAUUAAUAUUAAACUCUUAAAAUAUUAAACAUUAUAUUACAUAUUUAUAUCAUUAAAAAGUAAUAAAAAAAUAAAUACAAUAAUGGAACUUUUUAAAAAAUUAAAAUAUUGAUAAUAUUACAAUUUAUGAUUAAAAUGAUAUUAUUUCUAUAUCAAAUAAUUUGUAUUAAAAGAAUUUAAAGUAUCAAUUAUAUUACCAAACUUACUAUUAGUAUUGUAAUAUAAAUUAUUAAAAUAUUGAUAUGUAUGAUUCAUAAUAUUUAAAUUAUUAAUAUUAAAAUGGUGAGAUACAUUAUACUCUCAAUUGGAGGAUUCAGAUUCAAACAUGAGAAACAAUAUUGUUAGGGGUAAUUAUGAAUCCCAAAAGGAUUAAUUUCUAGAUAUUGGAAAACAGAUAUAGAUGAUACCUUAGUUUUUUUAAAAAACAUUUUAAAUAAAAAAUUGAUUAUUUUUUAUUUGUAUUCCUCAUGCUCAUUUUAUAGGUCAUGUUUGAGAUUCGUGGUUGCUUUUCCAAAUAAUGUUGCAUUCCAAUAUUUUUUAAAUUGGACUGGUGGCCAAACUGAUUAGGCCACGGAUUCACCGAUUUGACCAAACCGAUUAAAAUAUUUUUAAAAAUUUUAAAAAAUAAAAAAAAUCCUGGUUCAAUCAGUUCAACCAAUUUUCAACCAUUUAUUCGUACCGGUUCUCGAUCUAACUGGUUUAAAGCCACUUUCUGGACCAUUUCCUAGUUCGAUCAGCUAUUUCUGGCUCGAUUCAAAUAACAUUGUCAUAUUCAAGGUUUGAACCUGUCACAUCUGGUUUUCUUUAAAUCCAAAAUUUAGGAAAAAUUGAGGGCUAAAUUGAUAGAAAUUGUAAGUUGACAGUUUCUACAGAAAAAUAAGGAAAAUUUAGGGGCUGAUUUGGAUGUAGUUGAGUUCUAAUUCUGGUUCUGUUGGAUUAGAACCAACCAAUUCCUUAGUGGGAGACAAAAUUAUUAUCAAUAGAUGAUUUCUAUACAGUUGAAGAUCGUGCGUGAAGGGUUAUAAAUAGCUGAGAAGGGAAAGCCCGAAGGUGAAUUUCUUCUCAAAUUUGUUUUAUUUUCUUCUCUUCUUCAUCUUUUUCUUGGUUGUUCCAAAGAACAAAUAGUUACGAGAAACUCUGCAUGGAGCGAUGACCUUAAGGUUUGAGUCGAAAAAUAGAGAACCCAGUCAACUGAUAAGGUUCUAAGUCCUUUGAGAAUUGUAAGUUUAGGAAAUAAAGUUAAGAAUUUUUAGAACCUUUGAGGGGUUCUACAUGUUUUUGGAAAAAUGAGUUUAAGCUCUGUUGUUAAGUUUAAUUUAUGAUUUUGGUUAUAAUGCUUAGCUGUUAAGAGAAUAGAAGCUCUAGCAUUUGGAAAAACUAAGCUUGGAAGGCUAAAGGCAUCAGGUGAGUUUCUAUACUCCAUUUCUAGGAUGUUGUAUGACUGGUGUGAAUCUAUGUUAAGUCCAAAAUGAGUUUUAUGAUAAUGUAUGACCUCUGCUGUUUGAGAAUGCUUUGUAUGCAUAAGGUUGAGUAGGAAUAUAAGUAUCCAUCAGGGUGUCGGUAUGUAUGAAAUGGUUGAGACUAUAUGCCUGAAAAGUAGCGUACUCCAUGAUAAUACAAUCAUAAAUUUCAUGUAUUGCAUGUUUGUAAUGAUGGGGUACGAAGGUGAGAUUAUUGAUGGGUUAGAUGAAGUUAGGACUAGGAAAGGGUGUGUUGUAUACUGCCAUACGGUGCUACUAGGUGUAAACUGUGAUGUACGAAGCUCCGGGCCUUGUGAAAGGGACUUCGAUCAUCAAGGUAGUUAUGGCGAACUAGAGGUAUAGGCAGAUGAUUAGGGAAAUGGAAUUCCGUUAAGAUUUUGCCAUACGGUGUUACUAGGUGCAAACUAUGUUGUUCGAAGCUUCACGCGUUGCGGAGGGGACACUGCGGUGUUCGAGCAUCAAGGUUAAAUGUGAAACAUAAUGGUAUCGACUGGUCUUUCGGGGUGGCACCGUGACGACGGUUAUUAGGUUUCAUAUAGCAACACUGCGAUGACGGUCAGCAGGCCCUAUGAGACGAGACCACAACGACGGUAAGAUCCUUCGAAGUGACACCUCAAAGAGAUUUUAAUAACUGUUGGAAAAACCUUGGUUUGAAAACUAUUUUCUAGCACAGUGAAAAAUUAAAAUUUUGAAAAUCGACCCGAUUUGUGAUAUUUAUAACAAUAAACCUUAACUGAAUUUGUACCUGUGUUUUUGGAUAAGCGGAUCCUUGAUAUUUUCUAGCUUUCAACCAAAUGAUCUUCUCCACUAUUCUCGUACCAUGAACUGCUUCGAGUGCGGGCUCGAACCAAUUGAAUCAAAACAUAAAACUAGAAAAAGUUUUCCUUUUGAGGUGAAAACAGAAAUUCUUUCUUUAAUAGAAACUGGUAAAAUUGUUAUUAUGGAAAAAAAUAUAUUUAUAAGUUGAGAAUAAAUUCUCUCUAGUUUUUGGCAAAAUAACAAUCUCUCAAAAUUUCUAUUAAUAGCUCUACCAGUGCCAUCUAUUUAUAGAAAAAGAAGGUAGAACCCUUGUAGAGUUAUAGAGGUCUAUUUUAAAUAGAAAACCAACAUCCUACUUAGAUUAAGAGAGGGGUGAAUGACUCACCCUUGUAUUUCUACUAGGGUUGCCACCCCCUUCAUGUUAUAUGAGGGGUUUUGGGCCUCUCUCACAUUGGGUCCAAUUACAAGUACUUCCUAUGUCUUUUUGACCCAGUACUUUGUAAUAUGAUCUAACCCGAUUCAAUUUUUCUAUUUUUGAAAAUAAAUUUUAAUAUAUACAUAUUAAAUAAUUUUCUCACCCCAGUUUUACCCCAGUAAAAUUUUUAUAAUUUUACCCCUAGUAAAAUUUUGAUGAUUUUACCAUCGAUAAAAUUUAGAGAAAAUUCGUUCAAUAUGUCACAUCUCAACAAGUUCACUAUGCCUGAAUGAUUUAUUUUCAUUUUUGGGCUUCAAAACAAUCCAAAAACUUAAACUCAUUCUUUCAUCAUUUUUUAAGUAAUCCUAUAUAGGAUUGUAAGUUUCCAUUUUCAUGUUCAUUUCAAUUUCCAUUUUUGGAAACCUACAUUCAUUUUCAAAUGAUUUUAUUUUUUCAUUUCGGAGAAAACCACAAUUAUUAUUGAAUGUUUCUCAUUUCUCUUUUUCUAUUCAGUCCGUUCAUUUCUAUUCAAACACACAAGUCAUUUCUGGAUUCAACGAGUUAGCGGAGGAACCGAUUGGGCAUAUGUGGUUGAGGCUCAAAUGAUUUAUAAUCAAGUUUCAAAUUUUCACCUAUUAAUUAUAAAAUCAUUUAGUCACGAAGUCAUUCUAUUAUAGUAUCGUGACUAAGCUCUCCUUAAUGACAUACCAUUACGAAAGCAACUACUCAGUGCUCAUCCAACGACCUUGUCAUAAGUGUGUUACCCUCAUAGGAUAUCAUUGAUCUCUUUGGGAUAAUAUUCACUCUCCCAAUAUGAUUCUAUUUUAUCUCACGGUAACCAUUACAUCUUCCUUAAUGAAAAAGUCAAUCACUAUCAAAUAGUGAUCAAGUCAUCCAUCACAUAGACGGAUGACUCGUGGCCACGUUUAUUUUUUAUCAACCAUGUAAUGCCAAUGAGAGGAUAUCAUUUACUCAUGUUUUAGGCUAUGAAUUAUAUUGUUGUAAAUGAUUUUACAUACUAUAUAAGCCGUACACCCAAUGCACCAACUUUCGGUUCCUUAUCUAUUUGAACUCAGGCUUUUACUUACAUCAAAGUGUAUGAGUCACAUAUACAUAGUUCGCCAUCCACAUAAGAUUUAGGUAUUUCACACUAUGAACAUCACUAGUGAAUAAAUCAAUAAAAAGAUUCAAGAUCAGUCCAGUCGAUCACAUCUAUGUCUCUUUCUUCUGGAAGUCAUUCGCUCCGAUGCCCAAGAUAAGGUAUCUCCCCAAUUGGACUUGAUAAAUGACAUGUUAGUCUUUCAUUCGGUUUGCUCAUUUCUGAUUAGACUAAGGACAUGUUUAGGUUCAUUUGCUAAUACAAGCUAUCUUUCUGUACUACGAUCUGAGCACGUAAUACUGCUUACUAUUAAUUAAACAUUUAGACAACCAAUGAACAACAUUUUCUUUAUUUUCUUUGCGUUCAAAAACCAUGUAAGGACAAUAAUACAAAUUAUAUUAAUUUAAUUCAUGAAUAAUUUUAUUAAUCAAUCUAUUUGAAAAAUUCACAAGUGUAAUUAGACAAAAAUACUACACUGAGGACACUAGAUCCAACAGUAAGGCCAUAGCUCGACUAUGACAACCAAUAGAGUCCACUAGGACACUAAACAUAGGGUAAAAUAUGUAAUACCAUAGCUUGACUAUGGCAAUAUAGAGAGUCAGUUGGGACAUUAAAUGUGGGUUAGUUUGUCAGGGCAUUAGCAUGGGGUGGACCACUAAAACAAUAAAUAUGGAAAAUUAGGUAUAUGGAAAAAGGGUUAAAAGAAAAUGCAAGUGUUGGUAAGCGAUAGCUAGCAAAUGGAUUUUGAAGAAUCCAUUGGGAAAGACAAAAGUAGUAGAAAAUGGAACAGUCCGCCAAAACAAUAAUCAGGGAAGUCGGUAGGGCAUAUGGGUGGUAACCCAACAAGAAUCAAAUUUGGAAAUGACAUGCCAAUGGUGCCUAGUGUAUAGGCAAAAUAGAGAAGACUUAUCUGAGGAUUACUGAUAGGGAUCCACCAUUAAGAACCGCAAGAAGGUUCUCAGUGAAACUUUGUAAGUUAGAGGGUCGACCAUUGGCACUGAGAAGGUUAACCCAAGUGGCAGUUCUAACACCCCAAACCUGGCCCAGACGUUAUGGCCAACUCUGGAAGGUUACAUUAAUACGUUGACAUUUUACAUUCUAGAAAGUGUCUCGUUACGAAAUCAAAAAUAAAAAGUUUAUAAAAAUUCGCCACAAUUCCUUGUUAGGAAAGUUUGUCAUUCUUAAAACAUUUGUGUGAAUGUAUUAAUUCUUAAUUUAAAAAGCCCAAUUUUAUGAGAUCACAACACUUAAGUCACUUUCUUCGUAAAACUCAUAAUUCCAAAUAAACUUUGUAGCAGAAAUUUCGGAGCUGAUAUUUGAAAAUCGUGAUUUCGACCAGUGAAAACGUAUAAUUUUUCCAAUUAUGCAUAUUCUAAAACCUACGUUAUUAACUUUCGUAAAAACCAUUUUAAAUUUGCAGCAGAAAAUUUCUUAGCUUCCUAAAUUUUGAAAUCCAAGCAUUGUGUUUGAUUGACAUAAUUCAUGCAGAAAUCUUUAACUAAGUAACGAAAAUCUAUAGCCAAAACUGAAUCCGAAAAAUUAGUCCAAAAACCAAAAGUCCAAAGGAUUUAAUUAUUAAUAUUUCAAACCGUCUUAUUUGAGAAACCAAUCCGAGUUCCCAAAUGCUACCCAAUCCUAAUUCAGCCGAUUACCUGAAAUGAAGAAUGAAAGUGGUGAGCAAUAAAGCUCAAUGAGUAAAUAAACUCAAACAAAGAACACAAUGUAAUAACCCGUUUUUCAGUGGUGUCGGAAACAGUGGUUUAGGGACCACAAGUCUGACAAGUAAGUUUGUAUAAUUAGUAUUUAAAUUAUACGAGUCACUAAUAAUUUUUAUAAUGAAUUUUGAUUUGAGGAUUUUAACUAAUUGAAUUAAAAGUUAGUAUAAGUGGUUUGGUUCAAAAGGCAAGUGGUUAUUGAAAACGAGGUAUUAGGACCUUGUUUCCAUAAUUUAAAACCAUAAAUAUUUUUAUUAAAUAUUUACAAAUUCAUAUUAUAUGUGAAUUGAAGUUUGGCCCGAUAAUUUUGAUGAUUUAGUGCGUAAUUACGGUAAAAAGGAUUAAUUUGUAAAAGAGGUAAAAGUUAAUUGCUGUAGAUUUAAAAUAGUAAAGGGACCAAAAUGGUAAUUAAACCAUAGUCAAAAAGUCCAUGUGGUGCUGGAUAUGAUUAGUUCACUAACUUUUGGGCUAUUUUCUCUUUAAGUCCUAAUUAGUUUAGGGCUAAAUUGAAAUUAAGUUUGUUUAGUUGUAAUUUAAAAAUAAUUGAAGGACCAAUUAUGCAAUUAAACCUUCUUUAGAUGGUAAUUAUACCAUAUUUAUAUAUUACAGACAUUUAUGGACAUGAUUUAGUAAUUUUAUAAGUUUUAUUAAAAUGUUAAUUUUGUAAAAAGUUAAAAAGUAAGUUAAAAAAAAUAAAGAAAUAAAGAAUAAUAUCAUGAAUUUCCUUUCUUCUUCUUGGUGGAGAAUCAAAUACACUAUGGAAGAGAAGAACAAGCUUUGGCGAAGCUAGGGUUCUUUAAUUUGGUGAAUAAAUCUCGCCCGUUUUUAGUAAUUUUUAUGUUUUUGAGCUUAUAUUAGCUUAAUCUAGUUAACUCGGGGACUAUUUUGUAAUGCGGUUAAACAUUGUGGAUUAUGCCAUUGAUGAAUUUAAGUUGUUCUUGAAGUUUUAUGGUAAAUUAUUAAGCUUAGUUGUUAGAUAUGACUAUUUUGUAAAGUAAUUUUUAGUAAUUUUAAUGUUUAAGGACUAAAUUGUUAAAAUGAUAAAAUUACAAGAACUUGAUGUGAAAUAACAGCAAAUAUGGAUUGUAGUGAAGUGUUACACAAUUCGGCUGAAACUAAAUUUAGUUAAAAUUGGUUAAAUUGCAAGUUUGAACUUAAGGACUGAAUUGUAUAAAAGUGAAAUAUUGGGGGAAAUUUUGUAAAAAUGCCUAAAAUGACUUAAUUACAGAAAAUGAGUUAAUUUUACUGUUUGAAUUAGUUAAUUGAAUAAAAAUGUUAUUUUAGAUUAAGAACGAGUGGAAAACCGAGGAAAAGAGAAAAUUACCGAAUAGUCUUUGUACCUAUGUCAUUGCUGCAAUUUAGUUAGGUAAUUUCGUUCGGUUUAAUUUUAGUACAUUUAUAAAUGAAUUAUAUAAAAAUAAUUGCAUAAUGUUCAAUUAUAUUGAUGUGUGUAACUGAAAUGGAAAUAACAAAUUGAAAUAACGUAGAUCUCUCACUGAGAUACUCUAAGCCGUUACUGCAAAUCAAUCUUGUAAGGUCGUACGUUUAUUUAUACUUCUAAUGAUUUUUAUAUUAUUUGUUAAUAUAAUUUUCUUAAAUGUUAUAUUGUAUAAUGGUAUGAUAUUAAAAAAGAAAAAAAAAGGAAUAUUGAUUCUACUAAAAUUACUCAAACGAGUAAUGUCUACUGAUUCCAUUGAAAGUGCUCAAACGAGAAAUAUCUACUGAUUCUACUGAAAGUGUUCAAUGAGCAAUAUCGACUAAUCCUAUUGAAUGUGCUCAAAUGAGCAAUGUCUACUGAUUCUACUGAAGUGCUCAAACGAGCAAUAUCUACUGCUACUGAAAGUGCUUAACAAGCAGUAUCUACUGAUCCUACUGAAUCUGCUAGCAAUGUCUAUUGAUUCGAAUGCGUGCUCAAACAAGCGGUAUCUAUUGAUUCUAUUGCAUAGUUGCUUAAACGAGCAAUAUCCACUGAUUAUACUGAAUGCUUGCUCAAACGAGCAUUAUCCACUGAUUAUAUUGAAUAAGAUUUUAUGUACCGAUGAUUGGACACGAAUAUUGAAAUAAUGCUCUGAAUAUUAUUCAUUUGAUGGAAGUUCUGAUUGACUGGAACUCUAUUCAUUAGUCUUUAUUUGAAUUAUUAUUUAUGUUUGAUUUUACAAGUGUUACCGUUCAAUCGAUGAACUUACUAAACUUUACGUAACCUUACCUGUAUUUGGUUUAUUUUUGUAGAUUACGUUUUUUUGUGGACUUGGAAGAUCGGAUCGACACGAGAAAUCACACUAUCUAGGAAUCUUCGGUAGAUUUUGGUUUUGUAUGGCUUAUAUGGCAUGAAAUAGGACCCUUUUUUGAGAUGUGGUAUAGUUCUUGAUUUUGUGCAAGUUUACACCUGAGCUUGUGAUGUAUUUGAAUAACUAUGAAAAUAUGCAUGUUUCACCAAAGUUGAGUUGUUGGUCAAGCAUGAAAUACAAUGAAACUAUGUUGAGUUAUGGUAUGAAAUGAAAUGGAGGUAAGAUUUUGAUGUGUAAGUUGUGACUUGUAUAUACAACUAUGGAAGUGAAUUGUUAUGAAAUAUUGUGGUGUCAAUGAUGGUACAUUGGUUAGGCACUUAGAUUGAUUGUGUUUACAGGGGUUGACUGUAUUUGAAUGUGUUUAAUAACCUAUGGGAUUGUAUGUUUAAAUAUGUUUAAGUACUUAGGUAUAUGGGUGAAGAAAGGAAUAUGAUUUAGGUAAAUUUUGGGUAAACAUGGUCUAGGACAUGGGCUGUCACACGGCCGUGUGUCUCACAUUGGUAAUCCAUACAGGAGUGCGCCUUGAGGGUGUUUAGGUGCAGCUUUCACAUGAGCUGACACACGACCUCCGACACAUCCGUGUGACCCAACAUCGAAUGUUACACGUGCUAGCACACGACCAGCGACACGCUCAUGUGGCGUCAUUUUGAAAGGUACAUGAUCAGACACACAGAUAGUGACACGGCCGUGUGAACUCUAUUUUGAAAAUUUAAAAUUUUUUCCUGAAUAUUCUGAUUUGUUUCAAAUUUGUCCCCAUUUGUUCCUAAACUAAUUCUAAGGCCUCAUAAGCCCGAUUUAGGGUUUAUAAGUGUAUCUUUACUCCGAUUUGAAUUAUUUAAAAAUAAAUUUUGUUAAUUAUUCUAGUGAACUGGAUGUUAUUGUUACAGAAUGUUCUGAAAUGUAUAGUAAUAUUCCGUAACCCAAAUCCGGCAAUGAAAGCAGUUAUGGGUGUUACACACAGAUAGCACAAUAAACAUAUCAAAUUAUCACAGAGAAUUUCAUCAGAAUCGAAUGAGAAAAUGGAGCAUGCAUGGUUAUGUCAAUGCAACGUUUUCAGAGAAUGAAAUGCAGAUUUUUUAAAAAACUUCCUACCCAACUCUGUUACACAUUAAAUUAGAGUUCCCAAAAACUCAUCCAUCCAAAAAUACAUCAAUUAAGUCAUCUCGGGUUGCCCGGCAACGAUGGCUUAUCAAUAAGAAGUUAAACUGCGAUAUCAGAUAUAUAUUGUCAAGCCACUACAUUGCAAUCAAGUUACUAGAAUAGAUAUGUGCUUAAGCCACCAGAUAGUGCAGAUCAUUAAACUGCCUGAACUUUCUCCUUACCAUAUUAACCCAACCCCAUACAAUGUGACAUGACAUACAAAUACAUAAUCAAAAUAGCAAGCAUGUUCAACAUGCAUUAGUAUUUUUAGCAGACACCAGUAAGAUUGCAAUUUCAAGCCUUGCAGAACAAAUAUAUCAAAUUUCAUUUACAAAUCAUUUUAAUUAGAAAAGCCACUAUGUCACAUGCUACAAGAAUUGAACAAAAACAUAACUUACCAAUAGUCAUAUAUACUUAACUAACCAGAACAUACCAAUAAUGCUCACUAAUUUACAUAUCAGAACCAUAUUGUAUAAGGCAACAUACCUUCAGAUUUUAUGAAAUCAUAUCAGAACAAUAGUUUCCACCAUACAUAUCACUUACCAAACCUACAGAAUCACUGAUCUUGAAACGCGUUUCAAAACGUGGCCCUAACUAAAAUUUACAGAAAAUGGGCCCACACUCCUAUGUGGCCUAUACGACCCAACUAAUCCAGCCCAUGUGUCCCACAAGGUCUAACACACAGACGUGUGACUUCGACAGUGAAUUUUUGGCAUCACGUCGCUUAUUGUGUUUCAAGGUUAUCGUUACACACCAUACUGUUUUUUGAUGUCGACCCAACAAGAGUAAUUCUAACACCUAAAACAACACCCACGAACAAUCAAUCACACAACCAAACACCCUAAGUCAAUUGAUUAAUAAUGAACACACUCCAUAAUAUUAUCUCAAAUAAACACUAACCAGCCCUCCAAAAACAAACAUUUCGCACACUUACCUCUAAAUAAAAUAUUGUUGAUACUCAACCCAAAAGAGGAACACGCUCUUCUUGAUUCUCAGCUAAACAAAAUCAUACAACAAACUCAUUAUAAGCUCCAAGUUAAAUCAAACUGAAUACCAACAAUCUCAAGAAGUGAACAAAUACAUAAAGGUUAAAGAAAGAAAAGGACGAUUAAUAAGUUAAUUUCCUCUUACAACACACGUUAAAAUGAUGAAACCCGUAAAAAAUAUUGGCACAAAACCAAUAUGACAGCAGAAGAGUAGGGGAGUAUAGAAAUCGAUCAAAAGGAACAAACCAAAAUGUAAUAUGUUGAGGAAUUAAGAACAAGCAGAAUAAAAUCAAAUAGAGUGAAAAAUUGAACAAAAAGAAUAGUAAGAAACAUUACUACAACAACAAAGAAACAAAAAAUGGAAAAAAAAAAAGAAAAGAACAGGGAAAACAAUACUAACGUGAGAGAGAGGAAUAAUGAGACGACAAAAAGAUGGAGUAAAAUUAAGAGAUAAUUUCAAAAAUAAAAAUAUAUUUUAACAAUAACCACCCAUAUCCCCACUAAAUCCCUUAACUAACCAUUAUCAUAUUUCUUAGAAUUCAAAUUUAACCCAACUACAUCCACAUAGGCAGUGCAGGCAAGAAAUUGCAAAAAUAUUCCUAUUUGUAUGUGCAGGGAUUCAAGCACAGGACCAAAAGGUAAGUUGAAGCCUUACCACUUAACCAACAUGCUUAUUCUCGUCAUAAUUGAGCAGAAUCAAAAGAUAAGCUUAACAUUUAAGGUCAAGGGUUAGAACUUCACACACACAAGCAAAACACUUAUCCAUUGAACCAGAUUAAAUCCCUUUACAUAAUUCCACAACAUUUAACUAAAAAAACAAGGUGUAACAACUCUCUCGGUUCAUUAUCCCAAUUUCUACUAACUUGGUUUUUGGGAUGUGACAACUUCCCUCCUUAAAAGAAUUUCAUUCUCAAAAUUCAUAUUGUCACACCAUUUACUUAACCAUAAAAUCCGUAACUCCUUAACCCAAAUUGACCAUCACGCUACCGCUACACAACUCUAUUUCAAAACAGUCUAGACAAUUCUUCUAACAGACUUCCUAUUUGCUGACACGAAUUGUCUAAAAGAACUAUCCACAGAAAUACAACUAAUGAUUCCUUUACCCUUAAAUUCUCAGAAACACUACUAAUAGCAAACACUUGAGUACAACCAAUUCAGAAUCAAAGCAAGGUACAAUUAGAAUGGAUCAUAAAAAUACCUACAUUAAUGCCAGAUGUAUCUCGAUGCUCUUGAUGCUUAGCUGCGUAAACUGAUCUAUGGUUCCCUCUCUGAACCAAAGCUAGCACCUGACUAACGUCGUGCUCAACGGAUCCACAUCUAAAACACGCCCAUGUUUUCCUCCAACACUCUCCUGGAUGGCACCUAUCACAGGAAACACAAAUCUGAACCCACUCCACGCUCACCAUUGCAUCAACCCACUAAGGUUUGUCUAUUAUGGCCAGUUUCCAAGGUCGCGGAUUUGAGCCAAUGGAACCAGAACCCCUCUUAUUCCGUACUUUAUUCCUUUCCCUUUCCUCACUCUCCAAAGGAUUACUCUCUUCCACCUUCUUGAUUUCACUCGACCGAAAUCACUCAACCACUUAUCCUCAGCCCACAAUUUCAAAUUGGUCCCCAACGACCUUUCGUGAAUCUCCAAACAUAUAUUAGGACACAACAUCACCUCUAGCUUCAUGAUUACCACCCUCAGAAACAGGCAUAUGCAUAGCCUAGCUAUUUUCUGAAUUGGGCAUGCUGCCUCGAGAAGAGGACUCGGCAUAAGCCAGUUGACAAUGUCCACCACGUCCUCAUGCACCAUGACCAUGUGUACUCAUUUUACUUAUCUACAAUUUAGAAGUGUAAAGUUUAUCUUAUAAUAUUUUUAGAUCCUAAGUCUAAAUUUUAGCAGAAGUAACAAAUCUAAAGUAGAGAAUGUUCAAUUUCUACAGUCUCUAAAGUUUACCAAUUAACUAAAGUAACUAAAAUAUAAUUUAACUAAAGUACACGUACAUACUUUGAUUGGCAUUGGAGUCUCGGAUUCACAUUUCCAGAAUCUUAGUAAAUUUUUGUGCAAAUUUAUCCUAAUCAGAUUUCCAAAAAUUUUCUUAAAAAUAAAAAUUUCAAAAACAAAUUAUGCAUUAAAUUUUUAAACAAAAACUACAGCCUGAGUUUUGCAACCUGGUUCUGAUAUCACUAAAUGUAACAACCCAAACCUCGACCUAAACGUUAUGGCCAAAUCUGGAAUGUUACAUUAAUACAUUGAAAUUUUACUUUCUAGAAUGUGUCUCAUUACGAAAUCGAAAAUCAAAAUAUUAUAAAAACUCGUCACAAUUCCUUGUUAGGAAAAUUUGUCAUUUUUAAAAAGUUUAAGUGAAUUUAUUAAUUAGUAACUUAAAAAUCCCCAUUUUUUUUUAGAUCAUAACACUUAAGUCACUUGCUUUGUAAAACUCAUAAUUUUGAAUAAAACUUUGUAGAAAAAAUUUUGAAGUUCACAUUUGUAAACCGUGAUUUCGACAAGUGAAAACGUAUAAUUUUUCCAAUUGUGCAUAUUCUUAAACUUACGUUAUUAACUUUUGUAAAAGCUCAUUUAAAUUUGCAGUAGAAAAAUUCUUAGCUUGUUAAAAUUUUAAAUAUAAGCAUUGUGUUUAAUUCACAGAAUUAACGCAGAGGUAUUUAAUUAAGUAACGAAAACCCAUAGCCAAAAUAAAAUCUGAAAAAUUAGUCCAAAAACAAAAUUCCAAAGAAUUUAAUUAUUAAUAUUUCAAACCGUCUUAUAUGAGAAACCAAUCUGAGUUCCCAAACGUCGUCUAAUCCUAAUUCAAUUGAUUACCUGAAUGAAGAUUGAAAGGGGUGAGUUAUAAAACUCAGUGUAUAACUAAACUCAAACAGAGAACACAUAUAGCACAAUAAACAGAUCAAAGUAUCAUAGAGAAUUUCAUCAGACUCGAAUGGCAAAAUGGUGCAUGCAUGGUUAUGUCAAUGCAAUAUUUUUAGAAAACAAAAUGCUGAUUUUUCAAAAAACUUCCUAUCUAGCUCUGCUACACACCAAAUUAGAGUUCCUCAAAACUCAUCCAUCAAAAAACACACCAAUUAAGUUAUCCCAGGUUGCCCAACAACAAUGGCUUAUCAAUAUGUAGUUAAAUUGCCAGAUCAGAUAUAUGUGGUCAAGCUACUACGUUGCAGUCAAGCUGCUAGAAUGGAUAUGUGGUUAAGCCACUAGAUAGUACAGAUAAUUAAACUACCAGAACUUCCUCCUUACCAUAUUAACCCAACCCUAUGCAAUGUGACGUGGCAUGCAAAUAGAGAAUCAAAAUAGUAAGCAUGUUGAACAUGCAUUCGUAUUUUUAGCAUAAACCAGUAAGCAUGCAAUUUCAUGCUUUGCAGAACAGAUAUAUCAGAUUUCAUUUACAAGCCAUUUUAAUCAGAAAAGCCACUAUGUCGCAUGCUACAGAAAUUGAACAAAAACAUAACUUAUCAAUAGUCAUAUAUACUUAACUAACCAGAACAUACCAAUAAUGUUCACUAAUUUAUAUAUCACAACCACAUUUUAUAAGGAAACAUACCUUCAGAUUUUAUGCAAUCAUAUCAGAAAAAUAGUUUCCACCAUACAUAUCACUUAUCAAACCUACAGAAUCACUAACCUCGAAACGCAUUUCAAAACACGACCCUAACUAAAAUUUAUAAAAAAUAGGCCCAACACGCUCGUGUGACCCACAUGACCCAAUUGGCCCAACCCGUGUGGCCCACACGGCCUAGCAUACGCCCUUGUGGCCCACACGUCCCAAGUAAUCCAGUUCGUGUGUCCCACACGAUCUGACACAUGGUCGUGUGAUAACAACAGUGAAUUUUAGACAUCGUGUCGUUCAGUAUUUUUCGAGAUUAUCAUUACACACCUUAGAAUUUUUUUAUGUCAACCCAACAGCAACAGUUCCAGCACCUAAAACGAAACCCACGAACAAUCAAUCACACAACUAUACACCCUAACUCAAUCCGUCAAUAACUAACACACUCCAUAACACUAUCUCGAAUAAGCACUAACUAGCCCUCCAAAAACAAACAUUUCGCACACUUACCUCUAAAGAAAAGAUUGUCAAUACUCAACUUGUUAGAGGGAUGCAAAAGUUAAGUUUUUUAAUUAAAUGGGCUAAAUGAAUAAUUUAACCCAUGUGAGUUAAAUUAGUGGAUUUAAAUGAUGAUGUGCAUAUGUGGAUAGUUUAAUGAGGCUUAAUAUUGAUUAAUUAAGAUUUAAUUAAGAAAGUUGAUAUAUUUACAAAAAAACCAAUGUAUAUAUAUUAAAUUAAAGCUAAAAUUAAAAUGAGAUUUUUCUUUUUCUUUUCUAUUCAUCUUCUCCAUGACAACAAAGCCAAAACUAGGGUUUUCAUGCUUGAAAUUUUGAAGCUUAAAUUGGUAAGUGAAACUUAUCCCGUUUUUAGUGAUUUUUAUGUUGUUGAGCUUGUAUUAGCUUAAUCUAGCUAACUCGAGGACUAAUUUGUGAAACGGUUAAAUGUGUUUGAGCAUUCUUGAAAUUUUAUGGAAGGUUAUUGAUUAUAAUUGUUAGAUAAGACUAUUUUGUAAAGUAGUUUUUGAUGAUUCUAAGGUUUAAGGAUUAAAUUGUUAAAGUGAUAAAAUUAUAAGGACUUGUUAAAAUAAAAAUUUCAAAAAUGGGCUACAUUAAGGUCAUUGAAUAUUCGACUGACCUUGAAUUUAAUAAAAUGGGUUAAUUUGCAUGAUUUGAGGCUUAAGUACUAAAUUGAACGAAAGUGAAAAGUUUAGGGAAAUUUUGUAAAAUGUCAAUAAGGGCUUUAAUUUCACAAAAUGAUUUAACUUUUGUUUUUCACUUAGUUAAUUGAAUGGAAAUAUUAUUUUAGAUCAAGAACGUGUUGACAAUUGCAAAAGAAAAAAGGUUUCGGAGUAGUCCUCGUACUUGAGCUUUAACUGGAAAAUGGUCCUAUAAGUUCGUGUAGUUAUUUUUAUAUUGCAUUUAUUUUAAUUCAUCUAAGUUAUGAAUAUAUUCAAUGUCAUACUUGACUUUGGAAUGAUUAAAGAUGGCAUGAUAAAUGAGUAUGAAUAUCAUCUAAGUUAUAAAUAUCAUCAGGCCUUGAACCGAUGAUACAGACUAUAGCGAUGGCUAAGAUUCUGCAUUUGUUACAGAUUCUCUAUAGCUUGUGUGAGAAGCAUUGUGAGCCAGGUGAUUAAUUUUAGCAGGUACUAUGUACCGGUGAUAUAGACAGUAAUGAUGGCUUAAGAUCCUACAUCUGUUGCGGAUUCUCUACACCUUGUGUAAGCAGCAUUGUGAGUAGGUCAAAACUCUAAAAUUAAACUCAAAUGAGUGAUACCUUCUGAUUAUCUGAGAUUAGAUCUUAUUAAUGCAAUGAUUGAGAAUGUAAUGUGAAUUAACGCACUAUGUAAUACUCACAUAUUGUGAGUUGUGUUUGAUAGGAACUUUGUUUUUAAAUCUAUAAUUUGGUUUGUUGUGUUAAUGUGGUAAGAUUUAUUGUUAAUUUAGUGAACUUACUAAGCUUCAAAUAAGCUUAUCCGUGUCUUGUAUUUUAUUUUGUAGAUUACAUUUUGUGAUCGAGAGAUCAGAUUAAGUCGCAGAAUCACACUAUCCCGAAGACUCUUUUGGUAGAUUUUUUAAACAUUUGGCUUAUAUGGCAUGUAAUAGGGCUAAUGGUUAUUAUGAUAUAUUUCAUAGCUAUGUGGUGUUUGGUACUUGAUGAUAGAAUGGUAGGCUUUGUAGUAUGGUUGUUAAACUUUAGGUAUAUUUGAGUAUGAGACUAUGAAAUGGUAGAUGUCAUAUUAUGUAGGUAUGGUGUGUUUGAAAUGGGCUAGUUUGGUGUAUGUGAUGGCUUAUAGAUGAUUGUUUUGAUAAUUAGUAACAUGAGCAUUAAAAUGUGUUUGGUAUAUGAUACUUCGUACGGUGCUAGGUUAUUGAAAAUGACAUGUUUUGGUUGUUAAAAGAUGUGUUUAUAGACUUGUGAACAUGUAUUAUGAAUUGGUUUAGGUGCCUAUGUAUUUAGGUGAGGAAAUAACAUGAACUUGGUCAUUUUUUGGACACACACGGCCUGGGACAUGGGCAGCCCACACGGGCGUGUGAACCAAGUCAGUGAGUCACACGGGCUAGCACACGGGUUGACACAUCGGCGUGUGAACUAAGUCAAUGAGUUACACGGGUGAGCACACGGUUGGACACACGGGUAUGUGGUAUAACUACACGACCAUGUUAGAGCCACACAGUCUAGGCUCUGUCACACGGCCUGGGCUCUGUCUUACGGCCUAAGACAUGGCUGUGUAACCCCUAUAAAUGAAAUUUUUUAAUUUAUCCAGAAAUGCUCUAAUUUGUUCUGAUUUGGUCCUUGUUUGCUUGAAAAAUAUUUUUAAGGCCACGUUGGCUCGAUUUAAGGCCCAUAAAUACAUGAUUAUUCCAUUUUUAGUUUCUUAUGUAUUUAUUAAAUUAAAUUGAAAAAUUAAUUGCUAUUAGUUAUAAAAUGUUUCGUUUUGUACAGUAAUAAUUCGUAACUCUAUUUCAGUAACGGAAACGGGAUAGGAGUGUUACAAUAAAUAUAUUUUAACAAUAACCACCCAUAUCCCCACUAAAUCCACUAAUUAACCACUAUCAGAUUUCUCAAAAUUCAAAUUUAACCCAGCUACAUCCAUAUGGGCGACAUAGGCAAGAAAUUGCAAAAAUUUUCCCAUUUGCACAUGCAAGGAUUCAAACACAGGAUCAAAGGGUAAGCUAAAGUCUUACCACUGAACCAACAAGCUCAUUGUUAUCACAAUUGAGCAAAAUUAAAUAUAAGCUUAACAUUUAAGGUCAAGGGUUAGAACUAAAAUAGCAAAAAUCGAAGAAAGGGAUUCGAACCUACACCCUUUCACACACAAGCACAAAACUUAUCCACUGAACUAGAUUAGUUCCCUUUUACGCAAUUAUACAACAUUUAACUAAAAAAACCAAUGCAUAACCACUCUCUCAGUUCACUAAACCAAUUUCUACUAACUCAAUUUUUAGGAUGUGACAACAGUUAUGUCUGUCAAGACUAUUCCUUUUAAAGAGGAAACUAUUACGAGUAUAACCACCAUAGAGUCAGUUCCGUAGGGAAACAUUAUGUAAAAGAAACCAUAAACUCGAAUGGUCAUUUAGAUAAUAGUCCACUGGAUGCUGCAGACUAAACGGUCCAUCGCAGAUGGACAUGUUAUACUCGAAAAGUAAUGAAUCACAAACAGGGCGUAUUACGAGAAAGUAAUCCAAACUACCUUUCAACCCGAGUGAAGUAUGAAAUGAGAUUUAGCUCGUCACAGAGGCGUGGGCCCUCAUUAGUUAACUUGGCAAAUGUGAUGUCAGCAAGUCUUUCAGGACCAUGGUAAGGAAAGGAAGUCCGCCAAGGACUAGUCAGAUUUGGAUUGUUCUCCAAGGAGGACAUAACCAAAGAGUCCUUAGGAUGGAAGUUUAGGAGGAACCGUACUAGUAAACAAUCACCAAAACUUGUAAUUAAGGAGUAAACAUAAAAGUUAUUAGUAGAUGGAUAUUCUGAACAUGGGAUGGAUGAAAGUAGGAGUGUGUAGAAAGGAUAGAGUCUGCAAUUAUAGUGAGACAUAUGAGAAACUACCAAAACUAGUCGAAUGGUGAUUGGAUUGACCAGGGGAAGACUGUUGAACGAUCAUCUGGCAAUAUAUAAGUUCGGAAAAUGAAUAGAAGUCUACCAUUCCAGAUUCAAAGAAAUUGCCCAAAACGUCCAAUGAGUUAAACAUGCUUUGUUUUUUUCAUUUAUUACCCGUGCAAAAUGGGGUCUGUUUUUAAGUAGUGCAGUAAAGAAACUCACUAAGUUCUUUUGAACUUACAAAAUUUUGGCCUAUGUUUGCAAGAUUUGUUGGUUGAUUAAGGAUCUUGAGGAGGGACCAAGCUAGACCGUGUUAGAUCGAGAAUCAUCGUCAAUAUGGUGUCAUGCACAUAGAGAGGGGUACCUUCAAAGGCUUCGCCUUAGGGUCGAAUAUAUUGUAACUAAAUAGUUUCCUUAGAGUCUGGAAUUUUGAGAUAGUAAACUUUUAUUUUAAUAAGAAUACUUAUUAAUAACUUAUAAAGUCUGUCUUUAAAUAGUUAAGUUUAAAAUUUGUGGUUAGAACCGAUCCAGUUCAUUUGUGACACUUCAUACCCGAAUUCGACGAUCGGGUCGGAUUCGGUAAUAUAUCUUACCAUUACACUCAACACUUGUUAAUAAAAAAAUUUAUUUAUUAAUACAUUAUAAUUGACAGUAUUCAAAUUAAAUUUUUAUCUAAUAAAUCAUAGGGAACUUUUAAACUUUAUUUAUUUUCUAAAAGAUGAAAGUUAUUUUUUUAGUAAAACAUUACUUUCAUUAACCAAUAAAUUAUGUUUCAAAUUUUUUCUCCAAACAAACUUAAUAUAUGUUUUUUUUUUUCCGGAGUUACUUGUUCAUUCAAAUUGGACUGAAUUUGAGAUAGAGGUUAGCAAUGUUCCGACCUUAUCGUAUAUAUGUAUAUAUAUAUAUAUAUAUCAACUGCUAUAUAAAUAAUUAGAAUUUACACAAUAUUUACUUCGAAGUGAAAAAAGUAUUUUUUGUUAAAAUAUAAAUUCUUUUGUUAAAAAUAAUUAUAUUUUAAAAGAAAUAAUGUGUGUUACCAUUGCGCUUAAAAUUUGUUAGUUUAUAAUGAAUGUUUUGAUAUUUUUAUAAAAGAGUUGGUGUUAAAAGGUGGACAAUACAGCAGAGCGGGGUGAUUUUUUUAGGUAUCGUGACCCAACCCGAUUUUUAUACCUCUCACCCCUAGCACUUAAAUUUUUCUUUCCCUACCCCAAAGGAGCUUGCUAGAUCCUGUCCAACUCGCCCCAAAAUUUUAAUAAUAUUUUAUAAUAUAUUAUUUUUUACAAAGGUAACAACAUAUAUAUUAGAAAAUAUUAUAAAUUAAGAAAUUAUAACAAAAUAUAUAAAUUAAGAUUUAUAAAAUUAAAAGGGUUAUUUUUAUAAAUAUAUUAAGAUGGAGUAGAUUUUUCUUAAACACGAACCCAAAAAAAUUAAUGAAAAGAGACUGACUUGCUCUGCCCCAAAACUUGUUCUUUAAAAUAAAAACCCACCUUAUCAAUUUGUUACAAAUUAAAACGUUUCACCCAUAGCACCAAAAGACCUUAAUAAUAAUACGAAUUAAAAAAUAUUUUUAUUUAAAUUCUACUCAAAAAAUCCGUUUACAUAAAUUAAAACUAAUUAACUACAUAGUCGAAUCAAAAUCAAGUAUUAUAAUCAUCCAACUCAAGUCAAACUCACUAACUAAAUUAAUUUCUACUAUAAUUUUCACAGGGAUAGAUUCAAACAUGUGCCCCGAAGAGGGAAGAAGGAAAAAGAAAGACAAUAUGUGAAAAAAAAGAAGAGGAUAAAUCUUCACGCAAAGCUUACUCGCUUCUCUAAAUCCAAAAUUUACUUCAAAUAACAACAUUCCUUGUUGCUGAUGAUUGCAUAACUACUAAUUCAUAAUGUUAAAAACCACCUACUCAUGUUCCUAUUGUUUCAAAAAAGUACCUAUUUAUCCAAUGACAUAGAUAAAAUAAUAACAAGAGGAUAACUGAAUUUUAUUUUUAACCUGUAUUGAUUGUUUUUGGAAAGGGAAUGUGUGCGAGUUGUUUGUUUCAAGAAUAGGCUCGAUUCAUCCCGUUAUACUUUUUUUCAUCAUAACUAGGAAAUAAAAGAGUGCAUGAUCCCGUGAAUUACUUCUAAAUAUUUUUUUUUCAAAAAAAUCAUAUUUAAGAACCAUAACAUUUCAUGAUUCAUUGGUACAUCAACUUCGAUUCUCUAUUAACCAAUAAUUUGGGACCAUUAUCAUGGUGAAGGUCAAACCUUUUGAAGUUCAGAUGUGGCAGGAUACUCUUUCUACUACUGUGUUACUAAAUACAAAAUAAUUUCAAAACAAAAAUAUUUUUGAUAUAAAACACUCAUACCAAUAAAACGAUUUGAGCACCUUUUUCCAAUGCUCAAUUGAUAUCCUAUGUAUAAAGGGAGAAGAAUUAUUUGAAUUUGAAGGGAAAAAAAAAGAAACAAAUUUGUUGACAAAAUACAAUUAUACAUUAUACAAUUCUAAGUACAACUUUUUAGUUUUUGAUAUAUUUUCUAUUUUGGUCAAAAAAAUCCUCUUAAUAUUCUAGUAUUGGAUUAGUAAUCAAUUUUGAUAUUUUGGAAUAUGAGUAUAGACGAGAAGGAGAGGGUAAGCUCAUUACAUUAAAAAGGAUAUGGGAAUUAAUUCCCAAUAAAUAAGAAAUAAUUGAUCAUGAGAGCCAAAAGAAUCAAAAGGUUCAUAUUUGGUUUGGGAAGGGAUCAUGAAAUUUUUUAAAUUAAAAAAAAUGGAUGGAAAGAUAAUCUACUUUCAUUAAGUGAUUUAUUAGAUAAUAAGAAAGAGAAUCUUAAAUACUAUUUGAAAUUCAGAAGAACUAUACAGGGGGAGCUAUUGAAUGGUUGGAAAAGGCCCAAGCCCGUUUACGAAAAGUAGAAAUGGAAGCAAAUCAAUUUCGAGUGAAUGGAUACUCUAAGAUAGAACGAGAAAAAUUGAAUUUAAUUAAUUCAACUUAUACGAUUUUGGAACUAUUAGAAAAUCACAAAAAUAAAGCUAUUUAUUUUGAACAACAAAGAGUGAUUAAUCAAGUUUGACAAUGGGUUUUCCAACAAGCUUUACAAGGAGCUCUAGGAACUCUGAAUAGUUCUUUAAACAACGAGUUACAUUUACACAUCAUUAACGCUAAUAUUGGAUUGUUUGGGUUGAUGAAAAAAAAUUAGUUAGCCCUUUUUUUUACCUUUUACUUUAUUGAAUUAAUCAAAUUCAAUUUUUCUUGUUCUAUCUUAGAGUAUCCAUUCACUCGAAACUGAUCUGCCUCCAUUUCUACUUGCCAUAAGCGGGCCGAGGCCUUUUCCAGCCGUUCAAUAGCCCCCCGGUAGUUCUUUUGAAAUUCGAAUAGUAUUCAAGAUGUUCUCUUUUCGAUUAUUUAAUAAAUCACUUAAUGAAAGUAGAUUAUCUUUCCAUUCAUUUUUUUUAUUUCAAAAAUUUCAUGAUCCCUUCCAGAACCAAACAUGAACCUUUCGAUUCAUUUGGCUCUCACGCUCAAUUAUUUCUUAUUUAAGUAUUUUUUCCAAAAAAUAAUUAGGAAAUACUCAUGGUAACUAUUACAACUGACAAAGUUAGUAAAUUAUCCGUGAACAUAUUGAGCAAUAUAAUAGAGAAGUAAAGAUUGUAAAUAUAAUAGAGAAGUAUCAUACUUCAAGUGGGCGACGACAUUACUCGUAUUCAUGGUCUUGAUGAAGUAAUGGCAUGUGAAUUAGUAGAAUUUGAAGAGAGUAUUAUAGGCAUUGCCCUAAAUUUAGAAUUAAAUAAUGUUGGUGUUGUAUUAAUGGAUGACGGUUUGAUGAUAUUAAGAGGGAAGUUCUGUAAAAGCAACAGAAAAAGUUGCUCAGAUACUAGUGAGUGAGGCUUAUGUGGGUUGUGUUAUAAAUGCUCUAGCCCAUUGGCAUCGGGGUGAAAUUUUAACUUCUGAGUUGUGGUUAAUUGAAUCUCCUGUCCCAAGUAUUAUUUUGAAAAAUUCCGUUUAUAAACCUCUUUAAACAGUACUUAUUAAAUUAAAAUUAUUAAAAUAUAAAAGUAAAAACAUUAAAUUUGUAAUUAAAAAAAAUAUUAGAAAAUAUAAACAAAAGAGAAAACAAAAAUAAAAGUAUAAUUAUUAUUGAGAAAAAAAGUUGAAUUCCAAUAAAGACUUGGUCCAACAACAAAGUUAGGUGAGGAAAACUAUCAUACCAACUUAGUUGAUAUCCUUACCAUAUUAUGUUACCUAAUUUCAAAAUGAUUAUUUAUAUUAUGUUUCAUUGAACUUACAUAAAUUAUAAAUUAUAACUUAGCAAUAUCCGUCCUGCUCUGUUUAAAUUAUCUUAACCUUCCUGAAUCGGUAGAGUUUUCUUUCAUUUCAAUAUGCAUUAAUGUAAUUAAAAAAAUGUAAAAAUAAUUAUCUGUGAUUUGAUGGAUAGCACAUAUGGAACAUACCGGGACAUGUCAUCUCUCAUGAAAAUAACCUAAUAAAUAAUUGAAUUAACCAUUAUUUUCCCAUUAAAUGAAAGGAUGAUGCAUCCAGGCUGUGAUUGAAAGUCUUGGGUAAUAAUAUCUACUGAAAAUCGGGAAACAGCUUUAUUUUUUUUUUAAAAAAUUAAAUUUUAAAAUAAUUUUGAAUACUUUUAUUUUUCCCAACUAUUGAAUAUUUGAAUUUUAUCCCAUGUUAUUUUAAUUUAAAUGUCAAGCCUCAAAAUAUAGGAAAUUAAUUGAAAUAAAUAACUAAAGAAUUAAGUAAUCUUAAUGAUUAAGUAGUUAGUACAAUUUUAAAAGAUCCUAAGUUUAAGUCACUUCUUACCCAUUUCUUUUUCUUUAAUUUUCGACAAACUAUGAUAAAAAUUAUACUAAAAUAAAUAUUGUUUGGAGUAAAAAUUAAAUUAGAAUAAGCUAAGGCUUAAUGGUUAACACGUCACUCCAUCCCCAAAAUCUAUUUUAUUUUUUAAGGCAAUAGUAAAUUACCAUGCACCCCUAAAAGUUUGAAAACUCUAGGUAUUUAGCCAUUUUUCUAAUUACAAUUGAAUUAUAGCUUUUUUUUUUCCAAACCAAACUAUAUUUUUGCUUUCUUUUUCCUCUUCUUUUUUGCAAAAUAUUUUCUCUCCAUUCCUAAAAUUAUUUUUGCUUCCCGCUCACAAAAGGGCUCAAACACAAGACCUUAGGCAAGCUAACACCUUACCACUUAAACCAGCAGACUCAUUCUGAUACGAGUUUACCGAAGAUAAAAUAUAAGCGCAAUCACUAAGGAAUAUGUUAAGAUAAAAAAUAGCAUAAUUUCUAGCAGUGGGACUUAAACCCAAGACCUCAAACAAACACCCAUAUAACUUAACCACUAAAGUGGAUACUUAUUUAUUUAUCAGAAUUCACAAAAACAAAGUUAAAUAAAUUAGGGUGUUACAACUCUACCCCUCUAAAGUUAAAUAAAUUAGGGUGUUACAACUCUACCCCUCUAAAAGAAAUUUCAGCCUCGAAAUUUACCUGGUCCAAAUAGAUGAGGUUACUACUGACGAAUCAAGUCUUUAGGUUCCCAUGUGGCUUCCUCAGUACCAUGAUUCUACCACAUAACCUUAACGAACGAAAAAGUCUUCCUCCUCAAAACCAUUACAUCUUGAUCCAAAAUCUGAACUAGCUCCUCCUCAAAUGUCAAAUUUGGCCUAACCUUGAUCUCCUCAACAGAAAUAUCGUGAGAUGGGUUAGACCGAUACUAUCUCAAUAUAGAGAUGUGAAAUACAUCAUGGAUACGGUCUAACUUUGGAGGUAACUCCAACUGAUAAGCAAUCAGUCACACACGCUUCAAAAUCUGAUACGGCCUAAUGAACCUAGGGCUUAACAUGACCUUACGUCCAAACUGUAGAGCUUUAUUCCACGGAGACACUUUAAGGAAAAUAGAGUCACUUACAGAGUACUCGAUAUCCCUCCUUUUUAGAUCUGCAUAAGACUUUUGUCUAUCAGAAGCUUCCUUAAGACGAUCCUGAAUUAAUCUGACUUUGUCUUCAGUCUUGAAAACUAGUUCAGGACCCAAAACUCGUUGUUCACCCAAUUAAGUCCAAUACAACAGAGUACGACACUUACGACCAUACAAAGCCUUAUAAGGUGCCAUCUAGAUGCUAGACUGAAAACUGUUGUUAUAAGCGAACUCGACUAACUAUAGAAAAUCCUCCUAACUCCUUCGGAAAUCAAUCGCACAACUCCAAAGCAUAUCCUCCAGUAUUUUAAUCACCCUUUCAGAUUAACUAUCGGUCUGAGGAUGGAAUGCAGUACUAAAGCCCAAUCUCGAACCCAAAGUCUCAUGAAGUUUUUUUCCAAAACCGAGAAGUGAAACGAGGAUCUCUAUCAGAAAUUAUCAAAAUUGGAACCCCGUGAAGCUUUACAAUCUCAGAAAUGUAGAGCUUGGCCAACUUUUGCAGUAAAUAAUUUGUCCAAACUGGAAUGAAAUGGGUGGACUUGGUUAACUGAUCCACGAUGACCCAAACAAAAUCCUUCUUAGUAGGUGUUAAAGGCAACCCACUAACGAAGUCCAUAGUUACAUGUUCCCAUUUCCAUAAGGGAAUCUUAACGAGUUAAGAAAAUUCUCCUAACUCCCUCGGAAAUCAAUCGCACAACUCCAAAGCAUAUCCUCCAGUAUCUGAAUCACCCUUUUAGAUUGAUUAUCGGUCUGAGGAUGGAAUGAGUACUAAAGUCCAAUCUCGAACCCAAAGUCUCAUGAAGUUUUUUCCAAAAUCGAGAAGUGAAACGAGGAUCUCUAUCAGAAAUUAUCAAAACCGGAACCCCGUGAAGCCUUACAAUCUCAGAAAUAUAGAGCUUGUCCAACUUUUGCAGUGAAUAAUUUGUUCGAACUGGAAUGAAAUGGGUGGACUUGGUUAACUGAUCCACGAUGACCCAAACAAAAUCCUUCUUAGUAGGUGUUAAAGGCAACCCACUAACGAAGUCUAUAGUUACAUGUUCCCAUUUUCAUAAGGGAAUCUUAACGAGUUGGAGCAAACCCGAAGGCAACUCGCACUCAACCUUAACUUGCUGACACGUUAAAUAACGAGAAACAAAAUCUGUUACCUCUCAUUUCAAACCUGACCACCAGUAUGGUUGACGGAGAUCCUGAUACAUCUUAUUUCCACCAGGAUACAUAACAUAAGGGCUACUAUGUGCUUCUCUCAAAAUCGGCUAUCUCAAGUCAGAGUCGUUCAGUACACAAACCUGUCCUCAAAAAAAAUAGAACCCCAUCACUAUUUAGCCCAAAAUCAGACGUACUACCACUCUGUACCUGACAGAAAUGCGAAACUAGAGAAUCAUCCCUCAAUUGUUUAUCUUGAAUUUGAUCAAUCCAAGUCGACUUAACUUGCAACUCAUCCAAUAAACUCCCAUCCUCAAAUAGACUUAGGCGAGCAAACAUCUCCCUCAGAUCAGACAUUACUCUAUGACUAAGAGCAUCGACCACUACAUUAGCCUUACCAGGAUGAUAUUCUAUCGUGCAUCUUGGAGGGAAUAAGAUGUAUCGAUAUGUAAAGGAACUAUACUGGUGGCCUGGGCAGAAACGAUACGUGAUAGAAUUUGUAGCUAAGUGACUAAAUGUGUCAACAAGUGAAAGCUAAACACCAGUUUACUUCAACUAAUCAAAAUAUCUUAGUGGAAGUGGGAGCGAAUAAUGAUGGACUUUUUUAGUGGGUUACCCUUAACACCCAGUAAGAAAUAUUCAAAUUGGGUGAUAUUAAACCGAUUAAUUAAGUCAGCUCAUUUCUUACCUGCUCACUCAGGCUAUUCUUUACAAAAGUUGGUUAAGUUGUAUAUUUCAAAAAUUGUAAGACUUCAUGAAGUGCCAGUAUCAAUCAUAUCAUAUCGAGAUCCUCGUUUUACAUCUCAAUUUUGGAAAAAGCUUUACGAGGCACUAAGUACUCAUUUAGAUUUUUGUACUAUCUUCCAUCUGCAAACUGACGAACAAUCUGAACUAGUUAUUCAAGUAUUGGAAAAUAUGCUAAGAGGCUGCAUUAUUGGAUUCUGAGGUAGUUGGGAGGACUAUUUUCCUCUACCAUAAUUCGCCCAUAACAAUAGCUUUUAAUCAAGUAUAGAAAUGGCACCCUAUGAAGCCUUGUAUGAUCAAAAGUGUCGAACACUACUAUGUUGGACCAAACUAGAAGAAAGGAAAAUUUUGGGUCUAGAAAUGAUACAGAAAUCUGAGGGGAAAAUUAAAUUGAUUCAGGAUAGACUGAAAGCGGCUUUGGAUAGAUAGAAUUCAUAUGUGGACCUAAAAAGAAAAGACAUUGAAUAUAGUGUCAAAGAUCAAGUUUUUAUAAAAGUGUCCCCUUGGCGGGAGGUGUUAAGAUUCAGGAGAAAGGGCAAGUUAAACCCUAAGUUCAUUGGACCUUAUAGAAUUCCUAAAAGAGUCGAUCCAGUAGCGUAUCAAUUAGAAUGGCCUCUAGAACGAGAUUGUAUUCUUGAUGUAUUCCACAUCUCCAUGUUGAGAUGUUAUCAAUCUGACCAUUACCAUAUCGUUCUUAUAGAAGAGAUCGAGGGGAGACCGAAUUUAUCCUUUAAGAAAGAACCCGAAAAAAUCUUAAAUUGUGAGGUAAAAUUUUUUAGAAGGAAAUAAAUCCCUCUUGUAAAAGUUCUAUGGUGGAACCAUAGCAUGGAAGAGGCCAAUUAAUAACUGGAAGAAGCGUUUCAUCAACAGUAUCCGCAUUUGUUCAAACUAGGUAAAUUUCAGGGGCAAAAUUUCUUGAAGGAGGGGAAAGUUGCCAUGCCCCAAAAUAUAGGGUGUUAAUUGAAAUAAAUAACUAAGGAAUUAAGUAGGCUUGAUGGUUAAGUAGUUAGUGCACUCUUUAGAGAUCCUAAGUUUAAGCUACUCCUCUUCCAUUUCUUUUUCUUUAGUUUUUAGCAAACUAUGAUAAAAACCAUACUAAAAUAAAUAAUAUUUAGAGUAAAAACUAAACAAGAAAUAGGCUUAGGCCUAAUGGUUAACACGCCACACAUCUCCCUUACAUACCUGAGUUCUUGCCUCUCCAUCCCCAAAAUCCAUUUUAUUUUUGGCAGUAAGGGUAAAUUACCAUGAAGCCCCCUAAACGUUUCAAAACCCUAGGCAUGUUUAGCCCUUUUCCUAAUUGCAAUUGAAGUGUAGCUUCCUUUUCCAAACUAACUAAAUAUUUUCUUUCUUUUUCCCUAUUUCUUCUCAUUUUUCUUUUCCAUCUUCUUAUUUGCAAAAUAUUUUCUCUUCAUUGCGGAAAUUAUUUUUGCUUCCCAAAUCAAAGUCAAUUCCCAUUUGAAUUGCUUUUCUACUGGUCGUUGAUUUUACCAUUGGAAGCAUCUAUUUCUUUUCAUCCAAGAUCGGUAAGUAUGCCUUGUUUCAAUGAUCAAAUCUCGUAAUUCCCGUGUUAGUAAUGAAUAGCGUAAAUCUUUGUUCGGUUAGAUAAAUUUUUGCAUAUUCUUGCCUAAAUCUUGAGUAAAAUCUUGAGUAAAUCUUGUCAAUCUUGGAAAAACUCAUUAACUCGUGUAUAAAUGUCGUUUGAAUUACUUGUUUAGGUGGAUCAAAUCAGAUUUGAUCGCGAUGAACGUCAAUCGGGCUCCCGGCGAAAGGUGUGUUUUUUUACAAGCGAAUUAAGGCAAAUCAUGUCUAGGAAUAGGGCCACAAGGUCUCCCACACAUGUGUGUGGACUACACGAGUGGAACACAUGAUCCCUCACACGACCAUGUGCCUUGGAAACCCUAGUCUAGUUUGAAUCUCACACGGCCAUGAACCUUCCACACGACCGUGUCCCUCUUGUUAGUUAACUUUGCAAUUGCCAUACGACCAUAGUUUGUAACACGGCUUAACCAUACGGCCUAUAGCCUCUCACACGGCCAUGUGACCCUCUAUUUAGAAUUUUUCCUAGAAUUUUGUGAAUUGAUCAAAUUUAGUCCUCAAUAGUCCCCAAACCAUUUUUAGUGUUUUGUCUCAUUCAAUUGAGUCCUUGAUAUUAUUAAUAAUGUUGGAAUCCAUGAUCUGAUUGUCUAAAUUGUUACUAUAUAUGCAUGAUAUGUGAUUGGUUCAUGUUUACUGAUAAAUUGUUACUGUUACUUGUACCAUUGUGUUUCCAAUUGCAUGAUCAACAUGACUACUGUUACUAAUAAAUUGAAUACAUGUCAUACAUGGUCACUACUACUAUUAAUUUGAAUACAUGCUAAGCAUGUUUACUAUUUUUGUACUUUACUGUUACUAGCAUGUCACAUUGCAUUGCAUGGGGUGAGACAAUUGAAAAGAGGAAGUACUGGCAGUUUAUUUGCAAACAUUGGUGAUUUAUCCACAAAUUUACUAGCAGCUUUUAUUUGCAAACCCAUUGUGCAUUCACAACCUAUUGGCAACAUAUUAACCUACAAACACAGGUGGUUUAUCCAUAAAUUUACUAGCAGCUUUUAUCUGCAAACCCAUUGUGCAUUCAUAACCUAUUGGCAGCAUAUUAACCUGCAACACUAAUGGUUCAUCCACAAGUUGGAGUGUCCGGGUUAAAAGAGUUCUGGGAAACUCUUACUGUGGAGUGUAGCGGUGGGGUAAGACCUUUCUUUUCUGUUAAACUGAAAUUGCAUUCCAUUGACACUCAUAAGCAUGCAUGAAUGAACUGUCAAAAUCCUACUAUACUGUAUGAUUGUUACUGCACUGAAAAUUGUUAUAAUGUAUGCUUGGUAAUGUUCUGCACUGUUUUACUUUUGAUAGAACUCACACUGAGCUUUCCAGCUCACUACCCUUUAAUUACAUCUUUAUAGAUAACCCACCAGGUUAGGACGCGAGCACGACAUCCGGAGGGACACGGCUCAGAUUUUUUUUUCUUUUUUAUUAUUAUAUUAUUUUAGAGUUAUAGUUCGAUAUUUUAUUAUUUAGAGGAUGUAAUGUUUUAGUUUUGAAUUGUGGCAUGAGACUUAAGAUUUGGGGUUUUUAUUGCAUGCAUGACAUUUUAUUUGAUGUUAGGAUGUUGAAAUAUGCAUUAUAAUUAGCUAUGCACGAAAUAUGAUUUUUACUAGAACUAGUUUAAUUAUCACUUUUCCGCUACUAAAUUAUAACUAAAAUUUUAAGUAAUAAAUAAACUAGAAAUUAGCUAAGUUUUCAAAAAUAAUCACCAUUACAUAGGAAAGUUAAUCUAAACUGGUUUUUGGCUACUCAUGCUAAGUCUUUCAGAUUUUGAACUCUUAAGUUCGGUUCUCACUAUGCUCAAUGUCAUGGGUGGGUUUCCUCUCAAAUAUUAUAUAUUUAAGUCCUAUCAUGUCUAAGUAUUGUUCAGCUUUAUUUUGAUUUAAAUCUGUUACUAAUUUUUAAUCCAUUGUGUUUUGUGUAUCUUUAAAAAAAUUUAUGAAAAUUUCUUACAUAUAAUUCUACUAUAUCAAACUUUUUGUGUAAUAUUCCACAUUAAGGGUGUAUUUUAUGCAAAUUAAAAGUUAACCACUGACUCACAUAAAAAUAGAUGCUCGGGUGUCCUACCCACAAGUUUCUAAUGAGUCGCACUUUAUUAAAAAGAAAAUUGUAUUUGGGAGGUGUUAUUAUAAAGAUUUGAUUAAUUUUUUUUACUAUUAAAUGAAACAUUUUAAUCUUUAUAUUAUUAAGAAUAAUCAAAUAAUACUAAACAGAGAUAGAGUUAAUAUUUCUAAAAUUUUUAUGGUUACGUAAAUGAAAUCUUUUAUUUGAAAUUAAGGGUCUGUUUGAUUGCCAGUAAAAUAUUUUCGUAAAAUGAUUUCUGGAAAAUGUUUUACUUUUCUGUAAAAUGAUUUACUGGAAAAUAUUUUCUGGUGUUAGAUUGGAUCUGUGUAAAAUAUUUUCUGCUGCUUGGCAGAUUUUUUGAAAAUAUUUUUCGGAAAAGUUGUUUUUACAUAUAUUAAUAUAUAUUAAUAAUUUUUUAUAUUUUAAAUUAUUUUUACAUAUAUUGCAAUGAUUUAUUUAUAAUAAUACCCAAUUAUUAAGCUACAAUAUUAAUCGUUAUAAAUUGAAAAAAAUAAUAUCAAAUAAAUUAUUUGUAAUUGUGUUAAAAAAAUAAGUAUUGAAUAAUUAAAAAAAAGUUACUGGAAAAUCGAUAAACAGAAGCAGUUUUCUACCGGAAAUGAAGGAAGGAAUGAAGGAGGAGAUAGAGAGGAGAGCACGGAAAAUGUCUUACGGAAAUUGAAAGGGUAAGACAUUUUCCCUAAAAUAUAACCCAUUUUCCCUUGUUUUGGAGUUCAUUUUUCAAAUGGAAAAUGUUUUCCGCCAAUCAAACGCUGGAAAAGUUAGAAACGAUUUUUCGGAAAAUCAAUUCCGUCAAUCAAACAGACCCUAAAUUGCAAUUGAAAAUAUCAAGUCCGUUAUAAUUUAAGGACUAAAUUGAUUUAUAUAAUAAUAAUCGUACGUCGAAUUCUUAGUUACUUUAACCUUAAGAAAAGUAUAAUUUGUUUCAUAAUGCUCCUCCUUUAUGUUCCUUUCUUUUUCACAAAUUUUCUUUUAGAAACUUUAUUUUCACAAUUUUAUUUAUUUAUCUCUCUAAAUUGCUGCACAUGUACAUUUAUUUCAGUAUACAAUGUCCCUGACAUGGGUCUUAAUUAAAUCUUGAAUAACGAUCGAGCUGUACAAAUUGGAAAUUGGUGGCAUAUAACAUACGUAAAAUUGGAAUGUCAUACUGAUCAGGUAAAAUUAGAUCAAUUCGAUUGUUUAUUAAUUUUAAAAAAAAAGAUUCUUUUUAUUAAAUUUUUAAAAAAUACAAAUAAUUAUAAGAUUUAAACGUUUGACCUCAUUUGUUAAAAAUAUUAUUGGUUAAUAAAGCAAUUGUAUAUUUUAUUAGAAAUUUAUUACGAUAAAGAUUCACAUUUAAUAUUAAAAAAGUUGUCUAAAUAUGUCGAUUGAAUAUUGUUCAAUGGACAUGAGUAUUAUUGUCAAUACAGGAGGACGUUAAAACGCAUUAUCCUCAUAUUUAUGGGUUAAGAUGAGCUAUGGAUAGUUCUAGGUAUUGCAUCAAAAAAAUUAGAUACGAUCAAACCAUGUAAUAAGAUUAUUUAAAAAAUAUUGUCUAAAUUUAUUUAGAGUAAUAAUUAAAAAUUUUAUUUAAUAUUUAAAUGACAAUCUUAUCACAUUUUUCCCUUUUCAAUAUUAUAGUGAUAAAAUAUUAAUAUAAUUGCAAUAUUAAUCUUAAAUUACGUGGACUACACCCAACUGUACUUAUUAAAUGAGGAUUGUUUCUCUUUUUACUCUCCAGUUUACAUCUCAUCGAUAGAAGUAAUAAUGAAAAAUAUAAUAUUAAUAAAAUCCAAUGUAAUUAAUGCUAAAUAAAUAGCACUAAUAAUUUGUUGGACUUCCCAUUUAAAUUACUUUAUUUUAUGUUUGUAUAUACAUUCACCAAAAUAAAUAUUACAAAUUUUAUUUAGAGCAAAUUACACAAUUUUUUCUCUUGGUACUGAAAAAUAAAAAAUAUUUUAGGCACAGUCAUUGAAUAGUCAUUACAGUUAAAAACUGUUUUUAUUUUAAUUAACUGUUGUUAAUUCAAUGUUAUUGUAUACUUAUUUUAGUCAUCCAACUUUAAUAAUUUUUUAUUCUAGUCACUCAUUUCUUUUUUUUUAAAUUUACUCUUUUUUCAGAAAAAGAAAAAAAUGAGUUUUUAUAGGAAAUCGAGUUAUUCAGUUGUGGAGAUAAAACCUAAAUUUCCCUACAACUCAAUUACUUAUAAAAACUCAUGUUUUUCUUGCAAAAACCCAAGUAAUUCACUAGAAAAAAAAACCAAUUUCCUCUUGUUACGAAAAAAAAAGUAAUUUUAAAAGAGGGGGAAAAGAAAAUGAAAAAGAUAAAAUGUUUUUCUUGUAAAAAUCCAAAUUUUUACUAUAAAAAAUUAAGUAAUUCUAUGUAAAACCAAGUUUUUUUUUUCUCUUUUACGGAGAAAAGGUUUAAAAUUAAUUCUAGAAAAUAAAAAAUUAAAGGAAAUUAAAAAGAUAAAAUUAUUAUUCCUAUAAAGAUUCGUUUUUUCUUAUAAAACCCAUCCAAUUUCCUGUAAAACCCCAAUUUUUUUCUUUUAUCGGGAAAAAAACUAAAACUAAUUUAAAUAAGAAAAAAAUAAAGAAAAUUAAAAAGAUGAAUGAUAUUUUCAUGUAAAAACCUAUAAACCCAAAUUUUCCCAAGUAAAAUUAAUUCUAAAGAAAUUAAAAAGAUAAAAUAAGUGACCAAAAUGAAAAUUUACUAAAGUUAGGUGACCGAAAUAAAAAAUUACUAAAGUUGGGUGACUAAAAUGAAAGUACAAUAUUAUUUAAUUAAUGACAAUUGACCAAAAUUAAAACAAUUUUUAACUGUAGUGACUAAAAUGAAAAUGAUUUUCAAUAACCGUGCCAAAAACGAAAUUUUUUUAUUUUUUGAUUCCCAAAGUAAAGAAAAAUUGAAAGUUGGAUGAUCAAUUGUGUAGUUUACCCUUUUAUCUAUAAUCAUCAAUGCAACUUUUCCUUUUUAGUAAGAUAAAAGUUUCGAAUUUUUGAAUACCUAAGUUUAAAUAUCAUUAUGCGCAAUUGCAAUAUAUAUAUAUAUAUUAUGUGUAGGUUUUUUUAAUUUUUUUUUGAGUUGAGUUAAGUUGUUUCCAUAUAAAGUUUGUUUCUAUAUUGAAUAUGGUUGAAUAUGUAACUAUUUAUAAUUAUUUUUAAACAUUUAAAAUAUACUAUGACAAUUUUAUUAUUAAAUUUUAAAUUAUUUUUGUAAGAGCCCAUUUUUUGCCCGGGCCCAAUAAAACCUAAACAAAACCAAAUACAAAAAUUAAAACCCAAACCUAACUAAACCCAAACCCAACAGCCCAAAAUCGAACCAAAACCUAGCCCAACAGGCCCACAGAAUAAACAUUUCAGUAAACCCUAGGGCGCCGCUCCUGCCUCUGCCCAGCCUUAGCGCCGCACGCCUCCUCGCAUGCCCACCGCCGCUGAUCGCAAUCGCUGGCUCUCCACGCGUGUCAGACCACCUGCAAGAAAAAGACAAAAACCAACAAAUAGCAAAUAGACAAAAAAAAAGGAAGAAAUGAACAGUUCUGUAAAUCGGCUAUAAAAAGCCAUGAAAUAUCAAUGUAUUCUCUUCUCCGGCUUUUGACGAACAUUAAUAAAAAAGAAAAGAAAACAGAACACUGAUUUUCAGAGGUGAAAUUUUUAUUUUUAUUUUUUCUUUUUUUGUUUGAUUUUUUUAUUUUCACGUACUAAAUAAAUAUAACAAAAAAGAAAGGAAGGGCUUACCUGGUGGAUCCCGCGACCGUUGCCGGAGGUCCUUCUCUGUUGCCGAUGUUGGGCCGAGGAGGGCGUGGGAGAUCCUCUCCCUUCUGCCCUUUGGGGCUAAGAAGGCUAAGCCUUCGGGUCAUUGAACGAGGGCUAAAAAGCCCAUCUUUUUCGACGCUGGCCGUUGGCCACGGCGGCGGUGCAUCCGUUCGUCGGCGGUGACUAUGGCCGGAUCUCUGGUCGGUUAUGGAGGGGUUGAGAGGAUUGUGAGGGAGUGUUUUUCUUUUUUUCUUUUUAAAUUGAAUAGCAGAAUGGGUUUUAAAACAAAUUUGUUGCUUUUAUAAGGGACGCAAAACGACGCCGUAUAGGGCUACCUGCAUUGACCCGACCCGAUCGCUGGGGAUUCGCGUGUUUAGGCUUGAGGGGAUAUUUUUGCGCAAUAAGCCCCUCCUCCGCCUUUGCGAUGUAUUCAAUGCGGUUCUUUUAUUAUUUUCAAUUUUGGCCACGAAUUUUCGCGUCUGUUUCAAUUUGGUCCUUGAAUCAUAUGCAGUCCCUCGGUUAAAACGCUGCGUUUCAAGCAGGGGGAUAUUUCACAAUCGGUCCCUUAAGUUUUGAGCACAUUUCAUUUCGAUCACUGGCAAUCCCUUUUUAUUUAUUUACAGUUCGGACCCCCGGAUUUUGGUUUGAUGUUAAUUUCAUCCUUUAGUUCAUUUAAUUAAUUUAUUUUUUUUAAAGAAAAAGGGAAGUUCCUUUAUUAUUUAUUUUAAUUUAUAUAUAUAUUAUUUACCUAACAUUUUUCUUAUUAUUUGUAUUAUUUGAUUUAAGUCAUUAUAUAUACAUACAUGCGUUUUUAUAAUAUAUAUAUACACAUAUAUAUUUUUUAUAUAAUUUAUAUACAUAUACAUACUUAUGUACAUUUCUUAUUAUAUCUUAUAAUUUACAUAUAUAUGUAUAUAUUCUUUAUUUAUUAUAAAUAUAUAUUUCUUAUAUUUCAUAUUUUCUACAUACAUAUAUAUACUUAUAUAUUUACAUAUCUUAAUUCAUAUACCUAUACAUGUAUAUACAUACUUACAUAUAUUUUUAUAUUUAAUAAUCUCGUAUAUUUUUACAUUUUUAUAAUUUUUUUAAAUUUUAUUUAUUUAUUUACAUUUUCAUUAUUAUCUUGAAAGAAUGCUUUAAUUUUAUCUGCUGCUUGUAUACUUACACAUUUGUAUGCUUUUUAUUUAUUUUAUUGCUAUUGCUUGUAUUAUUUUUACACCAUCAUAUUUACUAUUGUUUUGUUAUGCAUAACCACAAUGUAAUUUAUUUUCGCAUUUUUAUUACAACGUCGUGUUUCAUUUUACUCAAUAUAUCAAAAUUUAUUUUAAAUGAAUAGUAUUUCGUAAUUUGAGAUUCUGAAAAAUCGUACCCUAACUUACGGGGUUUCGAUUUUCUCAAUAAAUCCAAAUACACAAAUCAUUUCAACCAAAGUUUUAAAUAAUCUCGGGAAUUAAGAAAAGAUCGUGUUCUAACUUACGGAAUAUGAUUAUUUUUCUAAAAUCGAGAUAAUAAAAAAUCUUCUAAAGUAAUAAAACUUUUGGCGUUUAUUCUCGUUUUAGAGAUUUCACUACACCAAAAUAGGUUUUUAGCGGCAUUUUUUUAUGCCUUAGCGCCGCUAAAAGUAUUUGCGGCGUUUUUGAAAGCGCCGCAAAAAACGCCGCUGUUGUAGACGCCGCAAACAUUUGCGGCGUUUUUAGGAAUAAACGCCGCUAUAGAUCAUGACCUUUAGCGGCGCUUUUCCCACAAACGCCGCUAUAGAUCAAGAGCUUUAACGGAGCUUUUUGCACAAACGCCGCUAUAGAUCAAGACCUUUAGCGGCGCUUCUCCCAAAAAUGUCGCUAUAGAUCAAGAGCUUUAGCUACGCUUUUUGCACAAACGCCGCUAUAGAUCAAGACCUUUAGCGGCGCUUUCCCCAAAAACGCCGCUAUAGCUCGAGGCCUUUAGCGACGCUUUUCCCACAAACGUCGCUAUAGCUCGAGACCUUUAGCGACGCUUCUCGUAAAAACGCCACUAAAAACAUAACAUUUAAAAUUUAUUUUAAUCAAAAAAUAUUUAUUUUUAUGACAAAUAUUAUAUUAUGUUUUAUUUUUAAAAUUUGAACUUUAAAUAUACUUUUAAGAAUAAAUAAAAAAUAUUAUUUAAAUUAAAUUUUCUAUGAAAAUUUUAACUUUAAAACUAAAUAUAAAAAUUAAUGAAUUUAGUUUUAGAAUUUAAAAUAAUAAAUUAAUAACACAAUUAAGAGACCAGUUAGCACAUUAGGAAGGGAGAGAAGUAUAUUGUGAGAGAAUAACUUGAGUGCCCACAUGACUCUCGCAAAGUAAAAUAUAUCAAGUGAUUACAAUUAGGAUUUUUAACCUAUUACUGUCCUUAAACCUUUAGAAAGUAUGAUUACAGAACAUACUUUAGCAUUUUCCGCAAUAGAUAAUUUUGCCAGUCUCUCUUUCUCAGCAAGCUGGAAUGCAGGUGGAUCUGAUCCUCUAUCGAUUGGAAAGCCUAGUAGGUACAUGGGUGCUCACCUCUUCAUAACAUUCAUUACAAAGUCCAUAGGCAAAAGGUUUUCUCUCCUUGUGCCUACAUAGCACUUCAUCUAAGCUGGUUUCUUUUGACCCAAUAUUUGGUUGUUUUCUAGUUAGUGAACUAGUUCGAAGCUCCCUCUCCUUUUCCGUAAACUCCUCCAUCUGGUAAUAAGUUUAAAACAAUAGAGGUAUUUUCAAGAAAUGAAAUCAAUAUUAAGAAAAUAAAUGCAACAGAGGAAAAGUUAACUACAUGCUGAACACAAAAAAUUCAACAUAACACUUGUUGUAAUGAUAAAAAAUUGGCAUCAAAUUUUUCAUAAAAUUAUUUAGAUACUCCUUAGAGUGGACAUAAUUAAUAAGAAUAAUAGCAGUAAAGAUUCACUAAUCAAAUUCUACCAUACAAAAAAAAUAAUAGCAAUGACACGUGAUACAAUUACAACAACAACAUAGCUUUUCUCCCAUAAGAUGUUGCAAUCCAUAUAGAACAGAUUAUGCCAGCAUGCUCUACUUAGUACCAAAUGUAGAUAGGAAGUCACAUUAAUAUCAAAAGUGAAAAAAGUCCCAAACUAUUGUAAACAUCAGUUAUGGUUCUUCAUUUCAUGGUUACUAAUUUUCAAUCUUAUUCCAUUAUCAGUUUCCUGGAACAAAGUAGUUCUGCAUUACCAUGCACAAGUAAAGAGAUACAAACCGUUAAGGCUCCAGCGUUAGUAUUCUCAAAUUCAAUCAACCGCUUUGACAAUGUUGCUUCACAAAUGUAAACAUGCUUUAUCUGAUAAACAGAGAGCUUAGUUAACCCAACAACUUGAGAGAGAGAGAGAGAGAGAGAGAGAGAGAGAGAGAGAGAGAGAGAGAGAGGGGAAAAAUAAGAAUCAACGCAAAUAUAAGUAAAGAAGAAAUUGGAACUUGGAAAAAUGAUGAAGAUCUCAUCUAAGAAUAUAGUACCAAAAGCUGUACACGAGGACAAAAGAUAAAUAUAAUAAAAUCAAUUAAACUAAAAGCAAAAAAAAAGCACACAAUGAAUUUAGUUUUAGAAUUUAAAAUAAUAAAUUAAUAACACAAAUAAUAAAUUAAUAACACGUACUUGCAAAAUUGUUUCUACAUUUAUGUAUUAAUAUUAACAAAACUAUAAGCAUAGAACAUAAUAAAUUAACAAAAUGCUUUUAGUCAAAUUAAUAUCGUAAUAAUUUCAAAGUGGAAAAAGAAAUAUAUAAUCUUUCAGUUAAUAUCUACUUGCUUACCUGCCGAAAAAUGGUCAUGUUAAGGUUCCAACUCUUGUCCCCAUUGUCCAAUGCUUAACAAGCAUUUUCUAUCACUUAGAAUUAAUAUUUUAAGUGUACCUAAAACAUUAAAUUCUAUCAGUUAGAAUUAAUAUUUGGUCAAUUUUUUUUCAAAUUCAAUAGUAUACUCUACUGGUUUAUUGUUUCAAUUUCUGUCAUUAAUUCCCACCAUUAUGCUCCUCACUAUUUUGUUCCAACCUCUUUUUCUACAAAAUAACAACCACAGCAACACCAAUUCUUUGGUUCAUUAGUUUAUGCCAUAUAUUUGCCACUUGGCAAUUUCAUGUAAGAGACAUAUUCUAUAGUAAACAUUAUCCUAGCACUGGCAAUCAUUGAAUUUAUACCAAAGGCCUAUCCAUCAUAACAUGUCAGAAUUUAUACCAUAGGCCCAUGCAUCAUAAUUGUCAUACCUAUUGAACUCUCAGUUGCUAUUUUCUUGGCAGGUGGUUGCUGCUGCAUCAAGGCGUUCGUGCUUGCUUUUCGUUUAUCUUGAUUGAUCAGAAAAAAGGAAAAUCGUAAAGGGGAGAAGAGACUUGUGGAUUAAGUGUAAAUAUGAUGGUUCGAAGAAAUCAUACUUGUCGUAACUUUGUUGUUGCUUUUGCAUACGGGACGAGUUGGGGGUGCUAGCAAACUGGGGAACAUUUUAAGCCGACCAUACAUGCACAGUCCAGCUGCACGCUAUUAGUGGAAAGUUUAGGCAGUGUUGUUAGAUCUACAGCAAAUAAAUGAAAUGAUGCUCGUAAACUGGUACCAAAUUUGAUGUUAAACUUACCAGCAGGGCCCUAUAAACACACCAGGCCUCGUGUCUUUUUAUUUCAGGUUCAAGAAGUUGCAAAUACGCUUCAAGAUUUGGUAGUAUAAGUAAACGAACCUACAUAUGGAGAAGAAGCGUUAGCCAAACAUAGGAAAGACAUACUUUACAGAUGCCAUAAUAAAGAUACCUAUAGAGAAACCACAUAUUUACACUUUUGGACUAUGGAUUUCCAAUUUCUUUCUUUCUUCGGAUCUUGCAGAAAAGAGUGACAAAACAGUUUUCUGAAAGAAAUGGGCUUAAAAAGAUAGCUACCAUUGCAAUAUCUUUGACCAAUUGAUCCCACAAACAAGUAUCUUAUUGUCUUGUCUAAUAUGCUCACAAAACCUCAAGUUAUUUGAUAAAUAAAAUAUUUUAUCUUUCUUGCUAAUAAAAUAAACUAAAAUAAAAUAAAAAACAAAAAUCAAAUUAGUUCAACUCCAAGUCCUUAGUCAAAUUUAAUUAAACCUCAAGUUCUUUAUCAAAAGAAAAGAACAUAUAUAUAAAAAAAACCAAGAAAACACAUACCUAGUUUGAUUGGUGCCAACUUUUCGGCAGCCUCCUGUAAAUGUAUAAGGCAAAGGUUGAAACUUGUAAGAAUUUAAAUCCCAAAAGUAACUGGUCAUACAACAAGUUUACAACCUCCUCAAGUAUUGCAAGAGCAGAACAAGCAGCCCCUUGUACCAGCUUGUUAGUAUCCGAUAUUCUUUGCAGGAAAGCCGUAAGAACUAUGUCAAAUUGCUCAUAACCUUUUUUAUUUUGUUUUUUAUAAAUUGGUUUUUUAUAAAAUAAAAAAAAAACAAGUACUCUCAAAAUAAAAAUUAUGUAUUUUAAUAAGAAAACAAAUGAUAAAAUGGUUGUAAUUAAUUAUUAAGUUAGAAUUAUCCAAAUUAAAUAAGUACCUAUAUAUCCAUAUCAUUAUAUAUCUAUUAACAAAUCUCAAGUAAACCUUAACCUUAAACCCUAAAUUAACCAUUCAAUACAUAUAAAGUCUAUCUAUUAUAUAUCUCUUAAAUAAUUUAAACUAUGCUCAUAAUUUCAAUAUAUUUGAUUUAUUAUUAUCUAUUUUACAAUUAUAUAAGAACAUAUUUAAAAUAUAAAUUAAAAAAAUAAUUAAUCUACUCAAAACCUUAACCCGGCCCCUGAAUCCUUAAACCUUAAAUCCCUAACUCUUAACCCCUAACGUCUAACCCCUAAACCCUUAACCACUAAACCUUAAAUCCCAACCCUUAAACCAUAAUCCCUAAUCCAUAAUCCCUAAAUCCAUACUCCCUAAACCUUAAAAUAUGAACUCUUAAACCGGCAUUAAAUAUUAAAUAAAUCAUAUACCCUAAACCAAAAACCCUAAACAAAUUUAUUAUUAUAUCUUUUACAAUUAUAUAAGAACAUAUUUAAAAUAUGAAUUUAAAAAAUUAAUCUAAACGCCCAAAAUCCUAACUCGACCUUUGAAUCCCUAAACCCUAAAUCCCUAACUCUCUUAACCCCUAACAUCUAACCCCUAAACCCUUAACCCUCUAACCCCUAAACCCUUAACCCUCUAACCCCUAAACCUUAAAUCUCAACCCUUAAACCAUAAUCCCUAAUCUAUAAUCCCUAAACCCAUACUCCCUAAACCUUAAAAUAGUAACUCCUAAACUGGCCUUAAAUCUUAAAUAAAUCAUAUACCCUAAACCAAAAACCCUAAAUUUUUAAUAUAUAAAUUAAAAAACAAUCAGUAAUCAUGUACCCAAAAAACUUUAAAAUUAUUUUAAAUAAUAGUAUUUUAAUUUUUUCAUGUGCUUUAUUUCAAAUUAUUUCUACCUGUCAUUAUUUUUUUAUGAAGAUUUAAAAUAUUCAAUUAGAAAUAAAUUGAAUUUUAUUUAAUUAAUAUAAAUAAACCAAUUAAGAUAAAAUGUUUUUAGCGGCGCUUUUCUAAAAACGCCGCUAAAGGCCCCAGCAUUAGCGGCGCUUCUUCAAAAACGCCGCUAAAGGCCCCAGCAUUAGCGGCGCUUUUUCAAAAACGCCGCUAAAGGCCCGAGCAUUAGCGGCGCUUCUUUAAAAACGCCGCUAAAGGCCCCAAAAACUCAGAAAACGGUGUCGUUUGGCUUAGGCUUUUUGCGGCGCUUUUCAAAAAAUGCCGCUAAUGUUUAUUUUUAGCGGCGUUUUCCCAAAAGCUCCGCUAAAGGUCAAGCAUUAGCGGCGUUUUUAUAAAAGCGCCGCUAAUGCUUAUUUUUAGUGGCAUUUUUUGUCCAAACGCCGCUAAAAAUGCCACUAAAAGCCUGUUUUGGUGUAGUGUUUGAGAUAUUGUAUCUUAACUUACGGGAUAUAAUUCUUUUUCUCGAUUAACGCAAAAUAUGCCCAUUUCUAAAUUUUUUAAAUUAAGCGAUUUUUUAACAAAGGAUCGUAUUUUCAAACUCUUCAAGGUUUUCAAUUUUCGACACUAAGACACUAAUUAAUCAACUAGGUACCAAUUUUGGGCGUAUCGAGGGUGCUAAUCCUUCCUCGUACGUAACCGACUCCCAAACCCAUUUUUCAGAAUUUCGUGGACCAAAAUUGUUGUUUUAAUAAGAUUAAAUUUUUUAAAAACAACCACUUUUCGAGGUGACCCGAUCACACCUCAUCAAAAAGGAUUGGUGGCGACUCCCGUAUUCGUUUUAUUUUCAAAAUCAAAGUCAACCCCGUUUUUAUAAAAAAAUGGUGUCAACAAUUUUUAAAUAAAAUUUUAACUUUUUAUAACUAUUUUUUUGAGGUAAACUAAUUUUAAACUUUUAAAACUAUACAAUUACAAUUUUAUUAUUAGAAAUUUGUUAACUAUGUUAGAAAUAAUUUUUUAAAAAUCAUUUACCAAUUAAACAACUUAAUGAACUUUUAAAUUAAUCAAAUUUUUGUAAAAAAAAAAAAAAAAACUUUAAAGAGGAGGAGAUGAUGAUAAGUCAAGUCGGGUAGUGGUUUAGAAAUCCAACACAAAUAACUCAUUUAUUCUAUUUUACAAGUAGUAUAAUAUCAGAAAAAUAUAUGAAUAUAUUAUAAUUAUUAAAAUUAAUAUUUAAAAUUUAAGAAAUAAAAAUCAGCUUAUCUGAAUCAAGCUAAUACUCCAACACAAGUAGGUAGAAGAAGAAGAAUUCAGUAGCCAUGCUGACCUGUUGUUAGAACUACCUUAACUAGAAUUAAUUUAUAAAGAAAAGGACUACCCCAAAGCAGUACCAUCUUCCUUUAAAACUUAAUUACAUUCAAUAACACCAUCUUUCACUCUAAAAGUUCAUGGAUUAUUUCCACUAAUUAUUAAUAUUAUUUGAAUUACUUUAAAUUGUAAUUAUAUUUCAACUUAUCUCUCUCACUUAAUUCUUUUUAAGAAUUUACCUGUAUUUAUUACGAAUUAUUUUUUAUUCUAUGUCUAAUUAUAUAUUACAUAUUAUGAUACUAACAACCAAAAAUCGAUUAGAAUUUAGGACCAAGUUUCAGCUUUAAUCAUUUCUCUAAUGCCAAAUGAGACAAAAUUUCACAGCUUUUAAUGAUAAUAUUAGUUAGAAAAUUAUAAAUCUUGAAAUAAUUAAUUUUUAUAUAUAUCUAACACGAAUUAAAAGAUAAGUAUGAUUUUAAGUCAUACUUGAUAAACCCCAUCACUUUCAUCUAAAAUUUAGAGAUUUGAAGUCUGUUUAUUUCUUCACAAUUUGUUCAAAGGUUUGCUCAACAAAUCAAUUUAUAUCACAGUUUUUUUUUAAACAGUUUCCUGUUAAACAAGCAUCUCUGGGGAGCACUUUUUGUUGAUUAAACCGCUGAAGAAGGAAGGAAAAAUUUAGAAAGCUUGGAUCUGUUUUUCUAUAGAAACCAUGUUAUUUAACCUUUAAGUUUUUUGGAGUAUUUGUAUUUGUUUGUAUACAAAUAUUCAAAUAUAAGUAUAAUGUAAUAUUAUUUAAAUAAAUUAAAAUUUUUUAAAACAAUUGCAUAUACUUAUCGAACUAAUCUUUCAGCAUUAACAUAUACAACCUAAAAGAACUAGGUUGCUUUCUUCAAAACCUAUCCAUUGUCAUUGAUAUAAUUCAGUCAAUGUGCUAGCCUUCACCAAGAAGCAUAGAGCAAAUAUAUAGUCUAUAAGUUAUAUUAGACGUCUCCCAAUUGUAAUCUUUAUCUAGCCACAUCAAAAAAGAAAGAAAAACAAAACCACUUUACAACCUAAGUUUACUGGCACCUUAAUUGAAAGCUUCAACUUAAUGGAAAAAGGGAAAAUGAAUGCAACAAAAAUAUAAUAUUCAAGUUUCAUAUUUACUCAAUUUCUGAUUCUCUUGGAUACAAUACAUAUUUAUAUGGAUAUAAGACUUAAGUCUCUGGGGCAAACUGAUAAUAUUAAAGAAAAAAUCUGCAAGAAGCAUUGGUUCACGUUUCUUGCUUAAAAAUCUAUCUACAAUACACUUUCUUCAUGUUUUUGUCAAAUAAAUUAGCUUAACUUUUCAAAUGUUCCACCCAUUUUGACGACUUCAUGUUUCUAUCUAAAUUAUUUUUGGAAUUACAUUUGUAUUAUUUAUUGAAAGAGCUUUCAAAGGGGAGGCUAUUGAAGCCUUAACUGAUCGGGGUCAAGAAGAUUUAAUUAAUAUGGGCUUGGUAUUGGUAUUGGUAUUGGAUCAGAAUAAAGGGUUAGAAACACAAAUAGUUGAGGGCAAUGAAAUGGGCUUAAAUGAGAAAGAAAUGCAGAUUUCAGUCAAUGAAGGGAGCCCAAAUUCAAAUCAAAAUUCAACAUUUUUAUCAGAAAUAGAGGGACCAAGGGAUCGGGUUGUAGCAUUUGAAAUUGAAGAGGAACUUUUCCAACUAAGACAAAACAAAAUAAAUAAGAAAGUGUUGAAUAAGAGAAUCAGAUCUAUGCAAGAGAUUUAGGAUAGAGUGCUCACAACAAAAGAAAAGCUGAAGAGGGAUAGGGGAACGAGAAAAUUGAAGGGAAAAGGGGAUUCCAGGAACGAAGAAAGCAUAACAAACUUGUCAUUAUCGGACUCAGACAUGAAUAAUAGAAGAAAAGUCAUUCUUAAAGAAGCGAAGAAGACGUGGGAGGUGGGGAAAAAAUUGGGGUUUAGUGUGCAAGGCGAUGAGGAGAUAGUAAUUGAAGAGAUAAUGAGGAUUGAAGGGCAACAAUAAGGAGCUAUCAAAGACAGAGGGAAGAGGAACUCGGGAUAUUGGUGUGUGGUUGGUUUACUGGAUUUUACUUUAUUUAAUUAGUUCGAUUGGAAACAUGAGAAUUGUCUCCUGCAAUAUCAAAGGGUUGGGGUCUAGCUAAAAUAGAAGCUGUUAAUAGAUUAGUAAGAAAGACUAUGGCAAAUGUCUGCUUCCUUCAAGAAACUAAGUUAGAAAUGGUGUCAGUGGAUUUAGUUAGAAGAUUUUGGGGCAAUGACUGUUUUGAAUUUAAAUUUGCAGCUGCAAUAGAAAGGUAAGGAGGAUUGAUAACAAUAUGGGAUAAGGGUAUGUUUACGACCAAUAUGGAGUUUAGUGGGAACAGGUUUAUUGUAAUUGAAGGAAAGUGGGUGUGUGAAGUGAUGGAGGCAGUAUUGAUUAAUGUAUAUGCUCCUAACAAUCUGUCAGAUCAAAAAAUUCUUUAGGAAGUUCUAUAUAGGUUGAGAAGUCAAUUUAGUAGUGCAUGGAUAGUAGGUGGGGAUUUUAACAUGGUGAGAAAUAGAAGUGGAUGAAUCAUCUGUUCGGGCAUAGAGAAGGGGUCAAAGGAGUUUGGUGACUUUAUUGAUAGAUGUAAACUGGUAGAUUUGUCGUUUUGGGGAAAAAGUUCACAUGGAUUGGUCCGGACAAUAAACGUAGUAGACUUGAUAGAUUUUUACUAGAGGAAGAAUGGUAAGUUCAAUUGAAAGACUUACAACAAGAAGGACUAAACAGAACGAUAAUGAAACAAUCGAAUGGGGACCAAGACCGUUCAAGUUCGUUAAUGGAUGGUUUAAAAAGCAAGAUUGUAGGAGACUAAUUGAGAAGGAAUGGUCGGGAAUGAGUAGUUUAAAAGGGCAAAUGGCAGGAAAAUUGCGAAAACUCAAGGGAGCUCUCAAGAAAUGGAAUGUGGAUGCUGGCAAUGUUUUGGAAAAAAGAAUUAUAAAUAACGAAGAUAGGAUAAAGGAGAUUGACGAAGCUAGCGAACAUAGAAUGUUGACCGAGUAGCAAUUAAAUUUAAAAAAUCUAUUUGGCGUAAAAAAUCAAGGAUGACAUAGUUAAAAGAAGGGGAUGCUAAUUGUGCUUCUUUUUUUUUUUUUCCAUAGAGCAGUUAAAAUCAAGGCUAAAAGAAAGAUGGUAUAUAGCUUGAAAAUUGGGGGUCAUUGGUACAAGGAACCUAAGGAGAUAAAAUAGGGACUGUACAUUUUUUUCAAAAAUUAUUUUAAUUGCCCAGCAAGAAAGUGGAAAAUGAAAUUGGAUUUGAAGUUUAGAAUACUUAAUGAAGAGAUGGCUUUGAGAUUAGAGGAACCAUUUUUGAUGGAUGGGAUUAAAGAGGCUGUUUGGAGUUGCGAUGAAUCGAAAGCACCUGGACUGGAUGGUUUUAAUCUGUGUUUUUUAGAAAAAGUUGGGAGAUUGUAAAGGAGGAUCUAUUUAGAUUGAUGUCUGAUUUUCUCAUAUCAGGAAAGCUUGAGAAGAGUAUCAAUUCAUCAUUUAUCACACUCAUUCCGGUGUCUUGAGAGAUAAUGAGGGAGUCAUAAGAGCUUUAUUUUUAGGUUCUAUAGCAGCAAAUGAUACUGAUCUGAUAGAGAUUAGCGCGGUGAUGUUAGCAUUGGAAGUAUUUUUAGCUACGAAAUGGAAGCUAAAUGAUUAUAUAUUUAUAGAACUUGGUUCAAUAGUGGUGUUUAAUUGGUGUGCAAAUAAGUCAAUAAGACCAUGAUCCCUUCAAGCAACUUUUACAGAAAUUGAAAGAGACAUUGAGAAGGUAGGAGAUGUUGUUUUUCCAAUGGCAGAAAAGAAUGGAAACGAAAUGACAUCUUCCUUGGUGAUUCCAAGUAUAAUUCGUUAGGAAAUGUUUAAAGCUUGGUGGUGAGCUAUUGCUUUGAUGUAAACAUAGGUAUAUUAGUGAUUAAAUGUGGUUUCUUUUGGAAUGCUAUAAUGUUAAACUUUUGAAGACUGUUCUAUUUGUUUUUUACAACAGAACAGAUCGAAUGAAGCAAAAAAAAAAAAAAAAGCUUUCAAUUUAUGGAUGUUUCAAUUAUACGUUGGGAUAGAACAAUUAAUAUAAAAAGGUAAAUUAAGAAGCAAAGUAAUGAGAGAAAUAACAUAAUAUUUGUUAAGCAGUUUGGAUCAACAAUUCUACUUUAUGGAAUCUCGAUUAGAGAAUGAUUAUGUUCAACAAUUAAACUAGUAGAAUGACGGAAAUGUGCAAGUGUACAUAAUCAUUAUCAAGUAAUAAAAUAACAAGUAAAUGUCGCAUUAUCGUACCCACAUGAACCAUACAAAGAAAUAUAUAUGAAAUGCAAUUAAAAACACUUUGGUGAAGGAAAAUCUUUUAUUUUGAAAAAGGGUUUAAUAAAACUGGAUUUUAACUAAGUAAAUUAAACUAAGAAGAUUAAAAGAUUAAAGUUCCAAAGCACAAUUUCUGAAAAAUAAGUUUCAUCCAUAUGACAUAAUUGUGUUAGAUUAAUUAUAUUUUUUAACUUAAUAUUACCAAAACAAUGUUCAUGUUGUUAUGAAUAAAUUCAUGGCAACUUGGUAAUUUGCUAACUAUAACACAUACUGACUUACUAAAUUAACUAAUCUCUUGAACAUAUUACUAUGCCAAUUCAAACAAUUAAUCAAUUUAAAUAAGAAAGUAAAAGAUUAAGUGAGGUAACAAUUUAUUCCUACACUGAAACCGUUUAAUCACAAAAACCUUGUAAGUUAUGAAAGGCUAAUGUACCGUUUAAUACCGUCGCUAAUUUAACCUUCAGCUACCUUAAAAGAUUAAACAUACACCGAUUAAGUAUUGUGUCAAUUAAUUACAAUUUCAACAUGAUUAAUAAUUAAUUCAUUAGUUACCGUACAAUUAUAAUGCAAGUAUAACAUAAUCAUGGUUUUACUUGAUUAAACAAUUUACCAAGACCUAUAACAACACAAACAUGAUUUUAAUAAUUUGAGUGGAUGAAAUGCAAUCAACCUAACACAAAUUAAAUAUAAGUCAUGUUAAUUAAAUUUAGAAUAAAAAAUAAAAAUAUUCAUAGACAUGUCCAUAACAACAACAAUAAAAUUUAAAGGAUAGGAAACUAGACUCAAAUUCGAUAUUUCUCCGAAGCCUGACUAGUUUGCUCCGCUCCUCCUUCUCCGCUUGUUCUAUUGAACUAAGACUUCUAUAAGCACUUGAAUGCUACUACCCAAGGUGGUUGAAGGGCUCUUUUCUAAGAGGGAAAUUGACAAGGGAAGUGGAAGGCAAAAAAAUGGGAAAUAAAGAGAGAAAGUGAGUGAAAGGGAGAGAGAUGUGUGGAAAUGAGAGGUGUGUUGAAUGAAUAGGUGAAUGGGGUAUUUAUAGGUGGGAUUGACUGCUAAAAAUAGAAAAAAUCAGCAUCCAUAUACCCCCCUUGGCCGGCCACACAUGUAGCAAAGUUUGAAUGUUUCAAACUUUGCUAAAUUUAGGUUGGGGCAAAUCUUUAAAAGCACAGAAAGUGGAAGGGUUUGAAUGCGAUUUCAAGGAGACUUCAAGGGCUGAUUUACAAGUCAAUAAAUCAAGUAAUUUGAGCUAAUUGGGUCAGCAUGUUGGAUGGUUUUGGGCAGCCCAUUUGCUCGAUUGGAUCAGUCUUUCGUUUUAGCAAAACUGGGCCUCCUUUCCAUAAUAUAAAUAAUAAUUAAUUAACCCAAAAUAAAUUGGAUUAAAAUUAAAAUGAAUUAUAUUAUGUAUUAAUAUUCAUCAUUUGGACCGUCUUAGACUGAGAAAUUAAUUCCCCUCGAUGCUUCAGAAAUCACUUCAUGGUUUUGAGCUUCUAGCAGUGGCUGCUAAGCCAAUUUUCACCUUUUGUGUAAAUCUGUCGAAAAUAAAUCAAAAUUUAUGAAAAUUAAUUAUCAAAAUUAAUUAAAAUUCAAUAUUUUAAUAAUUUAAGUACAAUUUAAUUAUUUUAUAAUUAUAUUAUAUUUUCGACAAGAAUUACUAUGAAACUGCAUGAAUUUGAGUUAAAAAGGGCAUUGAAAAAGUCUAUAUAUUUUUGUGUUUCCAACUAGAUCACUUAUUAGCUUAAACCCAAUCUACACUGGUGAAGCUAAAAUAUUUUUGAAGGAGGCCAAAAUUAUAUUGUAUAUUUUUACAAUAGUAAAAUUACAAUUUCAUCAUUUUAAUAGCCUAUAUUUUUAUAAAUUUUAAAAGAUUAAAUAAAAAAUUUUUAUUUUUUAGGGAGCCAAAGCAUAAUUUUAGCAUAUACUAAUCUAAAAAUUUGUAAUUAUAAAGAAACUAAAUGUGAAAAUUUCUAGUUUUUGGGGGUCGAGGCUCCUGGCAGCCCCUCUUGGCUCUGCCCCUACCAAUCUACCUUUACAAGAAUGAAUCAUUGCAAUCCUAAUAUUGAAUUUGAUUAUUACAAUCACUCUCCCAUAAAUAUUCUUACAUAAAAAUAAUAAAAUUCUCCAAAUAAUAUCUAAAAAUAGUGUCAAAUGAAACAACAACAAAAAAUACAGUAAAUUAUUCAACUAAACACUCCAAAAAUCAUUUUUUUCCUCUCAAGUUGUGACAUUGUCGCCAAUUUAUAAGCUUUUUUAAACAACCAUCUAGUCGACUUAUUUAUAAGCUUUGUCUUCAAUUCAAAUGCUAUUUUUAUCACAUUAAUAAUUUCAAAUAAAACUCUUUAUAAACCAACUUUUCAUCAACUAAUAGGAACAUCGACCAUUAUCAUUUACUAGCCAUAUACAUCUCCCCUCUUUCGGUAAAGAUGUCAAAUGAGCUCCCCUUUACAAAGAGUUCUUCACUAUUAGUCAGAUUUUUCAAUCGAGGCCUGCUAUUUUGUUACAUCCUGCUUCAUUCCAUUUCCUGUUAUAACAAAAUUUGAGAGAUAAGCAUCUUAUUCAUCACCUGACUCAUUAGCAUACUUCCCUUAGCAUGUACUUGCUUUAUAACAUUUCUAUAUGUUUAUAGUUUAUAUUUAUACUACUAAACCUAAUUACAUAUCAUUUCUAAAGUCUAAAAUUUAUAUAUACCAAAAUAAACUUCGUCAUGUAACUUGGAGUAGUGAUGUGAUCUAAAUUGGAGUAGUAAUCAUUGUACUUUUUUUAAUGUAUCUUUUACCUACGCGUUUAAAACAAACAUGUUAAACUCGUAAAACAUAAUUAAAUUAUUUAAAAUAAAAUAAAAGAAUGUUACUUAUACUAAUUAAACACAUUAUCUUACUUAAUUCACGCACUUCCACAUUUCAAAGCAUAAAUCAUUUAAUAUAUAUAAUGUCAAUGACAAUUUCUGUCGUUUGAUAUUGUUUUAUACAUGUUGACAUAUAACAUUGGCUUAUCGUGUCAUAACUUUUCACAUACAUGCAUGUCACAUAUAAUUUAGAUGCAUAUUAUGAACAUAAACAUGAACAUAAUGUUGGAAAAUCCGGUUUAGAAAACGAUUUUCUAUCACACCAGAAAUUUGAAAUUUUGAAAAUCGAGCCGGUUUGUAAUAUUUAUAGUAAUAAUUUUUCUUUCUAAAACUACAUGUGCUUUGUGCGAGACAGGAUUAUAUCGUUCCUAGUUUUCAACCAAAUGACCUUCUUCACUAUCUUUGUACCUCGAAUUACGUCGAGUGUGGACUCGAGCAAUACGAACCAAACAUAGAGCAAGAAAUGAUUUAAUUACUUGCAAUAGGAAAGUAAUUCUCUCAAAUAGAAAUCAAUAGAAAUUGCAAUUCCCAAAAAAUAUAAUUUAUUCUUAGAAAAUAAAUUCCCACUAUUUUCUGACAGAAGAAUAACAUAUGAAACUUAUGUCUAAAAACUGAUGUAAAUAGCUCUACUAGUGCCAUCUAUUUGUAUAAAGAGAUAGAAGAAUCCUAGUUGAAUAAAUAUAACACAAAUAAUAAUUAUUUAAUAGAAAAACAGUCUUCCAAUAUAACUAGAAGAGGGGUGUGGCACACUCUCUCAAUUCCCUUAGGAUUCCCGCCCCUCACACGUUUAUGUGAGGCAGAUUGGUCUCUCAUGUAUAAGGUUAAAUUAUAUGUGUUUCAUGGACUUUUGAUCCAACACUUUAUAAUUUAAUCCAAUCUUAUAUCUGUUUUCUGUUAUCCCAAAAUAAAUAUUAUAUAUUUAGUUGAUUUAAUUAAUCAAAUUAACUAAUUGAUUUCUCAAUUAAAUAUUUUUCUCAAACCAAUUCUAAUUCUAUUUAAGUCAUUACAGUUUUACCAUAAAAGAACAUUAGAAAAUAUAUUUAAUUUCGAUAUUCAAUGGAUUCAUAAUUAAUCUUUAAUUUAAUUCCACUUUUGAGCUGAAAUUAUUUAAUUAUAAUUCAAAAAUCUUAAAUUAAUUCUCAAGUUAUUUGCAUACGAAGUGAGAAAACGCAUGCAUUUGUGACUGCGAACCAUUUUUCUAACUUCAUCAUUUCCAUUCAUUUUUGUUCAUUUGGUUCUACAUACAAUUAAUUUCUGACUUCAACGAGCUAGCAGAGAAACCGAUUUGACAUAUAUAAUUAGGGCUCAAAUAAUUUAUAAUUAAAUUCCAGCUUUUGGCCUGUUAAUUAUAAGCUUAUUUAUUCACGAAGUGUUAAACCAAACUUUGUUUGAUAAUAUAUUUUGAUAUAACAAAUUAAAGUGUUUUUUGAAUAAAAGUUAAAGUUGAGCAUUAUUGGAAAAAUGAUAAAAUCUAUUUAAAAUGGUUUCAAUUAAGUUAAACAUUUUCAAUCAUGUUAAAAUUGUUUUUAAACAAGUCAAUAUUGCUCCAAGCCAAAAAGUAUUGAUUCUUUUUGGCCAAGUAUUGAUAGAUUUCAAGAUAUUGAUACCCUUUUUAAAAUCGAUACCAAAUUGACAUUAAGUUUUCAAUUUACACAAAAAGUAUUGAUACCUUUACAAUACCUUUUACCAUGCACUGAUAAUUGUCUUUGGUAUCGUUGUAAACUAAUUUCAUUGGUCACGGAAUCAGGCAUUAAUUGCUAAUAGUAUCAAUAAUCGUAGAAAAAGUAUCGAUACCUUUUGUUGUAGAUGAAUUUAAUGAUCUAGUAUUUUCAUCCCCAACGACUCUAUUAACUUUCACAACAACCCCAAUAGUUGGAAAUGGAUUAGAGGGUAUAAAUACCAUGUUCUAAAGGUCCUACAACAAGGGAGAGAGAUCAUCAAGCUUAAAGAUAAAUUAAAACAACCUUAGUGCUUAAUUCUUUCAUAUUCUUCUUGUAAACACUUGUGAGUUUUCAUUGUAUUCAUUCAGCUCAAGUGUUAUUCUUUUUGUUUGUAUUCAAUUGACAAGCACAUCAAUCUUGUAAGAAUUACUUCUUAGUUUGCUAUUUGUUAUUCUCUUUGAGAGGGUUGAGUCUUAAGGUUUGAGUAGAAACCUUAAGAGAAUUGCAAUCUUAAGAUUUUGGGUAGAAAUCUUAAGGGAGAUUGUAAGCUUAAACCUUGUCCUCAAAGGUUGUCAAAUUAGUGAAUUUGGGAAAAUUCUUAGUUGUGGAAAGCUAAGGUAGCGGAGUAGGAAAUUGGGAUUGAGCCACUAUAAAUUGUUGUGUUCAUUGUUGCACACUCUUUCGUUGCUUCCACAACUUUUCUUAAGGCUAAUUCACCACCUCUUGGUGAUUUCGAGUUGAUCUAUCGAGCUAACACAAAGUCAUUCAAUUAUAGUAUCGUGAUAGAGCUCUCCCUAAUUAAAUACCAUUACGAAAGCUACUUAAUCAUUACUCUCCCAAUGAUAUUGUCAUAAGUGUGUUACCCUAAUAGGAUAUCCUUUAUCUCUUCGGGAUAAAUAUGUUCUCCCAAAAGGAUCCUAUCUUAUCUCAUGGUAACUAUUACAUCUUCCUUCAUGAAAUGUCAAUUACUAUCAAAUAAUGAUUAAGGUAUUUAUCACAAAGACAAACAACCCUUGACCAUAUUUACUUUUCAUCUAUCAUGUAAUGCCAAUGAGAGGAUAUUAUUUUGUUGGGAAAUAUGACCAUAUUGUAGUAAACAUGUAAUUUUUUCUAUGUAUUUGAAUUAGGGGUGAGCAAAACUCGAUUCGACUCGAAAAAAUUGAAAAAAAUUCGAAUUUCGAGUUAAACGAAUUGAGUUAUUCGAGUUAUUCAAAUCAACUCGAUUUUUUUUUUCGCAUUUCGAGUUUGAAUCGAGUUGAGUUUUCGAAUUCGAAUAACUCGAAUAAUUCGAAUAAUUCGAAUAUCAAACUAUAAUAUUUUACAUUUUUACCCCAAACUCUCAAACCUUUUUACUUUUCCCUCAAAACUUUUACUCCUUCCCGCUUUCCCCCAAAACUUUUAAUNNNNNNNNNNNNNNNNNNNNNNNNNNNNNNNNNNNNNNNNNNNNNNNNNNNNNNNNNNNNNNNNNNNNNNNNNNNNNNNNNNNNNNNNNNNNNNNNNNNNACAAAAAAAUCACUAAACAUAAAUAGUAAUAAUUUUAUUUAUAUCUACUAUUUAUAUUAUUAAAUUAAAUUUCACAUUUUAUAUUAUUUAUAUUAUUGAAUUGUUUAGUCAUAUUGAAUAUUUAUAUUAAAAUUGAAUUAUUAAUUAUGCCAUAAAAUAUUCGCGUUAAAAUUUUAUAUUGGUAUCAAUUUCACAUUUUAUUUUUAAAAUAACUUUUAUUAAAAAAUUAUAUUUUUACAUUUAAUAUAUUUUUUAAUUCUAAAAUACAUAGUGACAAGAAUCUGAAGAUAAUUGAAACAACUAAGCAAGCAAAGAAGCUAACCAAUAUAUAAAAAAUUAAUAAAUAAAUUAUGAAGUGAUGAAAGUUAAUAAAAAUUUUGAUUAAGGUGGACAAAUUUUAUUACGAUGGGUGACAAUGGUUACAAGGACCCAAAAUUAUUUUUUAAAAUUUAACUCGAACAAAUAUAUUCGAUUCGAUUCGAUUCGAAUUCCAUCUCACUCGACUCGAUUCGAGAAAACUUCAAAUAAAGUUAGGAUGAUAAAAUGAGAUUCGAAAACUCGAUUAACUCGAAAAUUUUCGAUUCGAUUUGAUUCGAUUGAAUGCUCACCCCUAAUUUGAAUAAUGAAUAAAUAAAUUUAAUUUCACAUUUCAGUAUUAUGCUGUAACACCCCACACCCGACCUAGACAUUAUGGCUGAAUCUGGAGAAAUUACAUCAACUCGUUUGAAAAACUAAAAUCUUAGGAAUUGUGUGAUCUGAAAUCUUACUGUAGCUAACCUCAUACGAGUUUUAGAAAAUUCUUAAGUUUGAAAACACCUAUUUCACAGCAUCGUCUCUUAAAUAUUUACUUGUAAAACAGUGAAAAGUUUCAAAAAUUUCACUCCGACCUUAGUAAUCAUGUGGUUUGAAUUUUUUUUUGCAAAACUCUUACAUGGUUAUUUAGAAAACUCGUUCGUAGAACUUACUCAUUUUACAGAAAAGCAUUUAGUUUGAUACUUAAUUAUGCAGCAGAUAUUUUCAAAAUUUUUAAGUUUUGAAAACUAAAUUCCAAUUUGUCAAAUUUGUAUGAUUUUGUAGUUUUACGUUUAAGAACACCCAAAAACCAAUGAACAGAUAAAAAAAUCCAAAAACUUAGUCCAAAAGUCAAAAGUCCAGGAAUCUUAAUUAAAAUAAUUCGAACCAUCUUAUGUGGAAAACCAAUCCGAGCUCCCACACGCCGUUCGGUCCUAAAUUUACUGAUUACUUGAGAGAAUAACAAACAAAGAGUGAGUUUUAUGAGCUCAGUGUGUAACACAUCCCAGGAAACAAAUCAUAUAUACAUAAAUAAACAGAUACAUUUUUAGAUACAAAUUCAAACAUAUUCUCAUAUACAAAUUCAGAUGUAUUUUAAUAAUUAGAUACAGAUGCGUACUCAGAUUCAGAUACAAAUGCAGACACAAAUCCUACCUCCAUUCCCCACACACCAACUCUACACAACCAAUCACACCAAUUAGGACUAUAAGAGUCCAUCCAUCCAAUCACAUCGAGUCGUGGUGGUAUACCACUCAUAAAGGUGCAGCUGAGCUACCGGACAGAUAUUUGCAGUUUAACAGCUAGAAUUGCAGUAAUAUUGCUAGAAUACACUUCCUCCAUCACAAAUCAAACCCAUUCGAUGCACAUGCAUAAAUAAACUAGCACAUAUAUUCCAUACACAAAUGGCAUGCAUGCGUUUCAUACAUAAUCAUACUUUUGGAGUUAUCAGAACACAAAUCAUACAUAGAUUUUUCACAUACCUUACCUGUAUCACAUACAAAAAAAUCAAUAGUUGUCACAUUUCAAGUUUUAUUUAAGCCAAAUGGACCUCACGGAAGGUCUGACUACGAAUUUCAAAGUUAAACAGGCCUAAGUGAAAAUUUUUAGAAAAUGGGCCCACACGGCCAGAAUGGCUAGCCCGUGUAGCCCACACGACCUACCUAAUCUACCCGUUUGAUUGCACAUGCCCGUGUGCCCUACACGGCCUCACCCACGCCCAUGUGGCCCACAUGCCAGUAUAUCCCACACGACCUAAUCGACCCAGCUGAUGUGACACACACAAUCUGGCAUACGGUCUGCCACACGGCUGUGUGACAUUGACAGUGUGUUUUUCUACUUUCUUCCAUUCGCUAUUAUUACGAGUUUGAGUCACACACCUGAUUAGUUUUUUAUGCUGAUUCAACAUUCGCAAUUCUAGAACCUAAAAUAGUUGUUCAGAAUAGACUAAUUAGCACGAUUUUACCAAAUUCGACUCACUAAUACAACAUAAUCAUUGUCAAAUGAAUUUAAUUACUGAAAACCAACCCUUACCACAGUGGAUAAUUACUUACCCUUGCACCAACAACAGUUCCAAAUCGCAAUUAAAUCGCUGGAGAAUCGUCGCACACUUCACGUUCUUCUUCUACCGAAAACCAAAACAAUAAUUACUCACAUACCUUUCUUGAAACAUAAAAUAACAACAAUGACACCAUUAACAAAAGAAUACAAAACCACUUACCUAAAUAAGAAUACCCCAACUUCAUACUCAGAUUCGCACAACUACAAUUGUACCCAAAAGAAACGACUAUCUUGGAAAAAACAUCCUAAUGACAACAAUAAAACAGGAAAAACAAAUAGUAAAGAAUUAAAGUUAUCACUUGCGACUGAAGAAGUAACAAAGAAACAAAAUAGAGCGAAAAGAGAGCAUGAAAGAGAAAAAUGGAAGAGAAGAGACGAUAAGAAGAAUUUUUGGUAACUCCAAGAGAUUAACGUAAAAAGGAAUAAAACUCAAUGAUGGAGAAAGAGAGGGAAGAGAGUGGGACGUUUUUGAGAAGUUUUAGGAGAUAAUCUCUCCUUUUCUUUGUUUUUAAAAACUACCCACUAACUCUUAUAAUUAUCCAAAUUAGAUUCUUUUCUUCAGAUUUUAAAACAAAAAUAAACUCUACUUUGCAUAUACAAGAUUCAAACAUAAGACCUCUAAGUAAGCUAAUGCCUUAGCAUUGAACCAACAAGCUCGUUCUUGCUAACAAUUGAGUGAAAUAAAAUUUUAAGCCAGAAAUUCAAAGAUAGGGAUUUAGGAAAAAAUAGAAAAAAUGCAAGGCAACGGAUUCGAACUCAAAACUUUUCACUCACAAGCACAACACUUAACCACUAAACUAGAUCACUUCACUUGUAUUAAUUACCACAACCUUUACUCAAAAAAAUGACGUGACCACUCUUGGUUUCACUAACCCAAUUUCUUCUAACCCGGUUUUUGGGAUGUGACGUGUCUUUUGUAUUUUUGUCUUUCAUGUUUUGCAUACAUAGCAAAAUCGUGACAAACAAAUAUUAGUUCAUUGAUUGUCUAAUUUCAAACUGAUGAUAAGUGACACUAUAAGAACGCUUACUUCAGUAGAUAAUCUAAAUGAGUUCGUAAUCCCGUAAAAGAAUCAAAGUGAGCAUUUGAUUUAAUACUUAAAAGGAUUAUUAUGUCGUCUACAAUUUCAAUUGGGGAGAUGACUAGUCUUAGCUAUCGGAGCAGUUGACUCCACGGGUAGAGAUAUAGAAGUAUUCAUCAGAAGAAUGACACAUUAGGCUGAACCCAAUAUGAAAUAAUUCUGAAUCCAUUUGUGAAUUAAUUCACUUGUGAUGUUCAUGGUGUGUUUUACCUAAAUCCUGAGUUAGUCACUAACUAUGCGUAUGUAACUCAUGUGCUUUGAUAUAAGUGGAGGCUUAUACUCUAAAGAUGAUUGAGCCCAUAGCCGGUAUGUUGGGUACAUGACUUGUCUAUGGCAUGGCUAUACUAGCAACGAUGUAAUUCAUAGCUCAAUUAAAGAGUUAAUGAUAUCCUCUCAUCGGCAUUAUUCGAAUUGAUAAAUAUGAAACAUGGCCAUAAAUUACUUGACACAUCAUACUUGUAUAUUCUUUGCUCUUUUAUAAAACUCACAUAUUCCACAAACAUAUUCAUUUAUCAUACUUGUUCAUUUUGCAUGUUUAAUAGUCAUGUCUUACUCUUUCUUUUUCAACAUGAUUCUUAUAAUAAUUUAACUGUCACACAACUUAUAACUUUUCUCAUCUAGCAUACUUUCCUGUUAACAUCUUACUCAACUAUUUUAUGUUGAAUUUAAAUACUUAAACAUCUAAUUUAAGAUCAGAUAUCCACAUAUACACCUUUAUAUAACAUUCUUUAUCAUGUCAUAUAAUUGCAUUAAUAUCACUUAUCAGAUUUUCAUUUCACUAGUUUCAUCACUUAUCAAAUGACCUUUUUUUUAUUUCAUCUCAUAUAUACAAGUAAAAUUUUAAAAAUUCAGUCUUAAAAAAAAGACAAUCUGGCCAUACACCAACCACUAAAUCGUUUAUAUCUUCGUUUACUGAAGUCAAAAUUAAGAUUGUCUUUUUCUUUUUAAAACUACACUCAAUUACCUUUUUACCAUAAAAAAAAAAUCAGAUCUUAACUUUAUUCAUACCAGUUUCUUUUUAAAGUUGACUCGGGGAUGCUACUUGGAAGAUUGAAUCUACUUCACUAAAUUCUAAUUAACUUAGAAUCUAAUUCCGUUUAUAUUUUUUUUAUAAAGCUAGACUCAUAAGCUUUUCGAGCGUAUAAAGUUCAUAUUCUAAUUAUUUUUGUGCAAUUUUUAAUGAUUUAAGAAUAGAAAAAUUCGAAAUCAUUAUGACCUUCUCUCACUAAAAUUAAUAUAUCUCGUUAAAUACAAUCUCAUUGCUUACAUCAUUUCUUCUAUGCAAAACUAGGCUCGUUAAGCUUCAAUUUUAUGUUUGGUUCAAUAUUUAACUAAAUUUCUAAAAUUUUUUUAAUGAAUUUUCAAAUUUGAAUUACUACUGCUGUUUUUUUUCCAAAACAGCUUACAUAUGGUGUGCAUAUAAAAUUUGUUUAUACUUGUAAUCUCCAUGUCACUUUAACUUCUAAACUUAACUCAUCAUAGUAUAUUAGUAUUUAAACAUUUUACUAAUUUAUUUUACAUUAAACAUAAACAUUUGACAUCAAACAUAAGGAAAACCUACAUGGAAUCAAUAAAAUACUUACCUAUUUCUUCACUUGAAAUCAACAGCUUUUCCUUUUCUUGAAUAACUUUUCUUUCAGCUUUUUCUUCUUUCACCUCAUGCUUAUAUACAUAAAACAUGAUUUCACUCUCAAAUAACAUAAAAAUUUUAAGAAAAUCAUAAAAGCAUACCUUUCCCCUUUACUUUCUCAUCACUUUCUUCUUCAUCUAAUUUAUUUCCAUGAUAGAAAAUGAUUCCAUAACAUUCUAGAAUAUGAAAUUUAGCUAUAGUUCUAUGAAAAAUAAAACUCAAGAAAGUUCCAUGCAAAUUUUUGUUUUCUUUCUUUCUUUCUUUUUGUUUUUCUCUUCUCUUCUCUUAUUUCUUUUCUUUCUUUCCUUUCUUUUUCAGCUGCUUCCCUUGCUGUCAUUUCUUCAUGCUAAAAUUAUGAAGAAAUUCCUCCAUUUUUAUUUUUCUUUUAAUUUCAUCCUUUUAUUUUUAUCAACCAAUCGAAUUUCCACACAUUUCUCUCUUAAUUACCACGUAUUUUCUUUCUCCUCUACACCUAAUAUACUUUGGGAUUUUAACUUCAUCAUUAUGUCUUCAAAAUGAUAAAAUUAUAUUUAAAUCCUUCCUCCAUAAAAUGAGAAAAUUACACUUUAAUUUCUAUACUUUUUACCACCUUUCAAUUUAACCCAUAUCUCGAAUUUUCAUUCCCACAUAUCAAAGGCAUGUCCAUGCCACAUUCAUUAAAAAAUAUUUCUUCUUAAAAUGGUAAAUUUGCACUAUUAAUCUUCCAACUUUCAAAAAUUCUCAAUUUAAUCUUUAUCAAAUUUCAUUAUUCAUACUUCCUCUUCAAAUAUCUAAUUCAUCUCCAAUGUACCUUAUUCAUUUCCGAAAUAGUACCUUUUACUGUAUAAAAAAUUUUGGAGUGUCACAAAAAUUUUGUAACAUGCUACUGAAAGUGAGGUAGUUUGGUGUGACAUGAUGAGCAUAGGUAGCCAAUAAAACCCUCAAAGUCUGUUUCCAUAAGUGAACUCUAGUUCCUGGGUUACUUCAAUAAACUGCUAAGACCCAUGGCCAUAUUGGCCUUUGUACCAGUAAAGACGCGAAGCUAACCAUAUCUAAGCGAAUGUAUAAGCGAAUUUCAAAUCAAAAAGCCAAUUUCCGAAGAGCUCUUACCAAAUUUUCAUUAUUUUUAGUUGAAAAAACAAUUAAAGAAAAUGAAGCUGAAGAUUUAUUAUUAAAAUCCAUUUUAUAUAGAGAAUGAGAUGAAUUCCAGUUAGAAUUCAUAGAUAUAAAGGAGAUAAACAAUCUUCUUGAUAUCAUUCAAUAUUUUAUUCAUAAAGUAAAAAAUACUCCUAUCAUGAAUAAAGUAUAUAGAAUCUGUUUAUAUAACAAAUCUAGACAUAUUUUACCAGUAGAAAUAUCUAACAAAAUCAAUGGAAUUAUCUGUAACCAGCAGACUCAAUUCCAAAAAUCUUUUUCUGAAUAUUUUUUACAAACUUAUGUUUUUACAAAUUUUAUAAGUAAAGAAUAUCCAGCUAUAAAAUUUAGAUUGGAUCAUAAACCGUUUGAUAUAAUAAGUAUCGAAUGGGUUUUGUUAGAGAAAUAGUAGUACAAAAUCUUUCUUUUCAUCUUUUAAAAGAUUUUCCAGCAGUUGUCAAAUCUUUACUACAAACCAUCAUAAAAAAUGAUGACUUUUUCUAUUAUUUUUAUAUUCAAAUAAGUACUCUUAUUGGUAUUUCUGAAAAAGAAAGAUUUUUUCAGCCAUAUCAAAUAUGGGAAAUUCGCAGAAUGCUCGGAAGCCCCCGACUAUCAGCUGUAAAUGAAGAUAAAGAAUACUUGGCAAAAUCAAUUGACAAGUGUCAAGAAAAUUCAAGCUGUUAUCAAAUCCAAGCCGGUGUUGAUUUAAUGGCUAAAGCUAAAUAUCUUCUUCAAGAAAGAAAUUAUCAAUUCAGAACUGAUGGAAGAAGAAUAUUAGCAUAUCAUUCAUAUCUUAUUGAAGAAAAUGAUGAAGGCAUCAAUCUGCUAAAAAAGAUAGCAGACAUGAAUAUAGAAGAUUUUCCAUCUAACAUUCUGCAACAAAUCAGAAGUACAUGGGAAAAUUGUCAUCAAGAUAUAUCUACUAUUCAUCAUCUUGAGGGAUGAAUUAUGAUGGAAGCAAUCAUUAAUGAUAAAUCACAUCAAGAUAGAUUGAUGAUGCAAGCAAGAUGGAAGCGGCCAUUAAUGCUUGAUAAAGACAUCCAGAUGAAGACAAAAAGUCAUACAUCAGGAAAAGCUAUCAUCAAACCAAUGAUGAUGUAUGCAAUGAUGGAAGCUACCAUGACACAAGCAUGUGAUGGAAGCAGUCAUUAAUUGAAGCAUGCAACGUGGAAACAACCAAGUCCAUACAAGUAAAGAUACAAGAAGACAAAUGAGACGUGGAAGCAGCCACAUCCAUUUGAAGACUGAAUCCUUAUCAGAAACACUAUUCGGGAUUCAAAAUACAAUUGUAUAUAAUUUUUAGAAUUCCUCUAUAAAUAGGGAGGAAAGCUCAAUUGUAUAGUAUCUUGUAAAUUCCGCAUUAUCUUUCUUUUAGAAUACGAUCUUGUAAAUUACCAAAUACUUUACUUUUUACUUUUCUCUUUUGUAACCUUUUUCCUUUUGUUAAUAAUUCUUCUUGUCGUAUAAGCGAGACUCAAGGCUUGUCUCCUCGGUAAUAUAAUAUGAGCAUGCACGGGACACAUAUCUAAGAGGCCUUCCCAGCUGUUCUGGAGUGUAAGACAGAGGCCUCCCCAGUUAAGGUUUGUCCAGGUUCCUCUGCACCUUCAGCUAGACUUCUCUUUAAUCAAAAUAAUUAAAGUUUUGUAAUUUGUUGGUUAUGCGUUUCUUUUUAUGCCUUUUGUUUUAUUUUUCAGCAAUAAGAGAAUAAGAAUAUAUGUUACGUAGUUAAUUACUUGUAAUAAGUAAACCUCAAAAUUUUUAUAUGGGUAAUUUACAAGAAUAGUCAUCCAAUUAUUCACUUAUUUCUAUUUUGAUCAUCCAGCUAUUAUUUUUUUAUUUAGUCAUUAGAAUGGAUGUCUAAUGUGAGCUUUUUUCAUUGGCCUGAUAACUAUUUUAGCCCUUCAAUGUUUACACAUUCUAUUAAUUUGAUCCUAAAUCUAAAAAAAUUUAUCAAAUUUAGCCCUCAAUAUUUACCAAAUUUGUCAUUUUAUUUCUAAUUCUAAAAGUUCUAAAAUAUAAAAUAUAAAAUAUUUUUAUAUUUACUUUUUAAAAUCUUUAUAAUUUAUAUUUAAAUUUUUAUAAUUUUCUAUUUACUUUUUUUCAUCAGCCAUGCUCAUUUUUUUCAUCAACCAAACAUGUGAAAAACUCAAAAAUUAAACCUAUUUUUUUAUUCAAUGGCAUUUCAUUUAAUCCUCUUUUUCUUUUGCAACAUUGUUCGUCUCAAAUGCCUAAUUAAAACUAAAAAAGAAGCUUAAAAUUAACAAAUUUAUAAACCAAGAAAAAUGAUUGGGUUGAUGACACCAACUUUGACGGUCUUACUUUUUGCUACAAAGAUGGUACAAGGUUGAGAUUGUAGUGUUCUAGUGUUUUUAUCAUUUCUAACUCAAGCAUUAGAGAGAGAUUGCAGGUUGUUAGAGUUGUAUGACCCGAAUCCCGUUUGAUCCGGCCUAAAAAGUUCGAGGUGCAACUCACUCAUUAAAGAAAUAAAAUAAAGAAGCAAAAUUGGGGAUAUGUGGGGGCGAAGGACCAAGGGCCAAAAACUGUGCAUAGCCGCAAACCUCUUGUAUUGUUGUUUUUCAACAUUAGUGAAUUUCUCCUCCACUUCCUGUGAUUUUUCCCGAUAAGGGGUUUUCACGUAAAAUCUGCGUGUUCUUAUUUUUCUUUCUUAUUGUUUUGUGAUCAUUCCUACUACCAUUUAUCAACGUAUAGUAUAACAAAAGUCAAUGUCAUGACACUUGAUAUUUCUAACUUCGUCAAUUGAAUGCAAGAAUGAACAAAGUGGAAGAUACUGAUGAAAGUCUCAUUUUGGAUACAAAAAUCUUUAAAAUAUUUUUAUAUUUUCUUUUUAGAAAUUUUUUAAAUUUAUAUUUACUUUUUAAAAUUUUUAAAUAUUCUUUUGACUUUUUAUAAUUAGAACUAAAAUGAAAAAUCUUGAAAACACUGAGGGCUAAAUUUGUUGAAUUUUUUUUAGAUUUGGGGUUAAUUGAUAUAAUGUGUAAACUUUGGAGGGCUAGCUUUGUUAUAAGGCCAAUAAAACAAAGCCCACAUUAGACUUCCGUUAGGCCACUUAUGGAAGAGUGACUAAAGUAUUUAAUUUCAAAAGCUUGAGUGACUAAAACAAAAAAAAUUAAUAGUUAGUGACCAAAAUAAAAUAAACUGAAUAGUUGGGUGACUAUUCUUUUACUUUACCCAAUAUAUAUGCUACCACAUAUUAGGAUAAAGCAAAAUCCUCUUUUACACAUUCAGCCCUCCUCUCUCGUAUCAACAAUGAUCAUGAGAAGUUUACACUUGUUGAGAAACUAAUAUCAGAAAAGACUUGACAGACAAUUUGGUCGCAAACAAUGAAUGAACCAUCAUCAUUCAAAUGUAAGGUAAGGAGCCUCGACUGCAAAACUAGGCUUUAAGUUACCAAACAAAAUUGAAUAUAGAGUUAUCAUAUAUGCUGUAUGUAGGGUUUUUUUACAAAAUUAUUACAAAAAAAAAAAAAAUGUUAUCUUUUUUAUUAUCAUAUAAUUUUUAUUUACUAAAUAUACUAAAAAAACAAAAACCUGCAAAAAAAAAAACCUGUGGCGGCACCAAAGGUGCCAAAGUGAUUGGCGGCACCAAAGGUGCCAAAGAGAUUGGCGGCACAGAACUAAAAUGUAACUCUCUACAGUUUCAAGGACCUGACAUGUAAAUUUACCAUUUUGAAUUUUGAAAGUGAAUUGGUGCGCCUGUGGGUGUGUCAGUGCCAAAACUGAAACUUGGCUAAUUGCCUUCUAAGCCCUCCUUAUUUAUUAUUUUCUUUUUAUUCCCCUUCAACUCACUUUUUUAUUUAAUAAACAAGCCCUCAACCUAUUUUUGUAGUUAAAUAAGCUCUUAAUAUAUGAUUUUUACUCAUAAAAGCCUUUUAUUUUAUUAUUAAAGUAAAUAUAUUUUACCUAAAGUAAAACUAUUUAAAAAAGUAUAAACUAAUUCGCAUUUUAUGUAUUAUUUUGAUAAUUUGAUGAGAAUAAUUUAUUAAAUAAUAACUCUAUUUUACUUUAAUAAACUAUUCUCAUCAAAUUACCAAAAUUUAUAAUUAAGUGAUAAUUAAGAUACUUAGAAUUCUAAUUAAGUAAUAACUCUAUUUUACUUUAAUAAGUUUAUUAAAAAGCAAUAACUCUAUUUUACUUUAAUAAACUAUUGCUUUUAGGCUUAGUUUAGUAAUGUUUCAAAAAAUGUUUUUAGGAAAAAAAUGUUUUUAAGGAGAAGUAAAAAUUUUUAGCUUUUUAAAAAAAAAUACUUUUUUAGCUAAUUUUUUAUUUGGGAGAAGUAUUUUUUCUUUUAAAAAGUAACUUGUUUAGAAAUAUUUUUUAUCCUAAAAAUAUUUCUUAAAAAUAAUAUUAAACACGCUACACUAAACUGGAAUAUGAUAAAUUAAAAUAUUCAAACUCCUGAUAAGUAAAUUUUUCAUUUAGAUUGAUUGUUGAAAAAAAAAGCUUUAAGGUCUCGCCUGAGAGUGGCGACAUCAAACCUUAAAUAGGAAUAAUUGCUUCAUAAACCUUCAUUAUUUAUUAUUUAUUAUCCUCUUUCAACACCAAAAAUAGAGAAGUCUUAUACCAAUUAGUCCAACAAGUAUUUUUGUAAAAAAUCGAUUCCAACCGGAAAUAGAUUUUAUUUAUUUUUCGAAAAAUAAUUUUUUUUCAAGUAUGUCUGACAUAAUAGUUAAUGAUAUUCAUAAUAAUUUUCUUUUGUUCACAUUAUAUCUGGAAACUAUAAAUUCAACUAAUAAUUAUAAAUUAUACAUAAUAAGAUUUUUCUAAAGUUUUUAUAAUUAAAAUUUUAUACCGUAUACGUAAAUUAAAUUGAUAAUAAGGAUAAUUAUAAAAGCUUUAGAAAAAUAUUAUCAUGUAUAAAUUAUAAUUAUUAGUUAAAUUUAUAGUUUCUAAAUAUAAUGUGAGCGAAAGAAAACUACUAUGAGUACCGUUAACUGCUAAGUCAGACAUAAUUUAAAUAGAAAAUUAUUUUUCUAAAAAUAAAUAAAAUUUAUUUGUGGUUGGAAUCACCUUUUUUACAAAAAUACUUUUAGGUAAAAAAAAUUUUUGGACUAAUUGAUAUGAGACUUCUCUAUUUUCUAUAAAUUUUUACUUAUUAAAGUAAAAAUAAUACAUAAAAUUACUUUUUAAUAAACUUAUUAAAGUAAAAUAGAGUUAUUACUUUUUAAUAAACGAUUCUCAUCAAAUUACCAAAAUAAUACAUAAAAUGCGAAUUAGCUUAUACUUUUUUAAAUAGCUUUACUUUAGGUAAAAUAUAUUUACUUUAAUAAUAAAAUAAAUGGCUUUUAUGAGUAAAAAUCAUAGAUUAAGAGCUUAUUUAACUACAAAAAUAGGUUGAGGACUUGUUUAUUAAAUAAAAAAGUGAGUUGAAGGGGAAUAAAAAGAAAAUAAUAAAUAAGGAGGGCUUAGAAGGCAAUUAGUCAAGUUUCAGUUUUGGCGCUUACACACCCACAUGCACACCAAUUCACUUUCAAAAUUCAAAAUGAUAAAUUUGCAUGUCAGGUCCUUGAAACUGCAGAGAGUUACAUUUUAGUCCUGUGCCGCCAAUCUCUUUGGCACCUUUGGUGCCGCCACAAGUUUUUUUUUUUUGCAGAUUUUUGUUUUUUUAGUAUAUUUUGAUAAAUAAAAAAAAUUAUAAUAUUUUGGUAAAUAAUAAAAAAAGAUAACAUUUUGAUUAUUUUUAUUUUUUAUAAUAAUUUUGUAAAAAACCCGCUGUAUGUAUCUAGAAAUGCCAACAUAAGAAUGUAAUCAUUCAGAAAAAGGGUCCGUCAUGCAUUAUCUAACUUUUAUGAGACGGGACACCAUAAAUUAAUUGAAAACCUAGCAUAUCACAUUGUGGGUUCAAUAUAUAGGUCUAGGCAUUAUGCUUUCAGUCAGAUACUGACCAUCAUUCUUCAGAUCAGUAACUCAACUGUAAUUUUCCCACUCCAAGUUAAAAUAUUGAAGAAUGUUUGGCAAGCGAGAAAGAGAUAAUGAUGAAAGGGCCUUAUUGAAAUAGUGAAUAUAAUAAUAAAUAUGGCAACACGUUUUAAACACGAUUAAGUGAUAUGUUCAACACACACGACUAACAAGAAAAAAUAUGAGAUACAAAGCUAUAAACGGGUAGAAAAAUUAGGAUGGAAUUCACUCUGAGUUAUCUUGUUGGGUCAAUGAAAAAUAGUAGCAUAUCAAUGGACAAUGACAGUGCCUCAUAACCAAUUAACAUUGGGGCAUGGCAGCGCAAGAGAGACAUGAAACAGACAUGGAUGGAAGCUUUCAAGUACAUGGUACGCACAGAUACAUGUGCUCAUUCACUUCUCUUUUUCGUAGGCAUGUGGAAAGUAAAGGAUGACCCCAAACUUCAUAUCCAUAUCGUCCUAAGCUAACAAUUAAUGCAUGGAAGCCCCACAACUAUGUCACCAUCAACAGAACUUAGGCUAUGAUAUUAACAAUAUUUAUUUAUCUCUUCACUUACUUCAAAAAUUUUCUUUUUGAAUCACCAAGGAUAAUUGGAUUCGGGUUAUAAAGGAAGCAUACUUGGAAUUUAAAUAUUGAAUUUCAAAUAUGUGGCACCAGCUUUGAAGAUAUACGAAACUCCACCAGAAGGAGCCUGGAAAUUUUUACUAGAAGACUUAGGGUUACGGGGUACAAUGCUUAUUGAUCCUCUUUGUCGUUUGGUUGGAUUUUAGGUUGGUUUUGUAACCUCUUUUAUUACCAAAAACAAAAACUAAAACACAAAAAAGUUGAAGUACUCAACAUUAUUGAUUAGAAAUAGAAAAGGAAUACUUAUCCUAGAGUUACUUUCAAAAUUAGUUUAAUUCUCGAAGUAAUUAAAUUUAGAGAGAAUAAUCAAGUAGUCGAUAGUUUGGUAUUAAUGACAUCUUCAAGGCUUUCUCUGGGUAGGUAUAUCUACAUGCAACCGUGGGAUGAAAUUAGUUUUAUCCUUCUUCUUGUACCAAAAAAAAAAAAAAACAACAACAACAAUAAAUAAUAAUCUUAUAACUAUUUCUAUCUGCUUCUAUUGUAACAAAAGAUUCCAUUUUUAUGUGCAAAAGGCUCGUAUCAAUAAUUAUGAUUUUACGUAUGGACAAUCUCUCAAUAUCUUGUUCAUUCGCAACAAAAUAUUUUCUUUGUGCGGUGGCAAAAAAAAAAUGCUUUUUUGGGGAGAGAUACUAUUUCACCUUUACCAAUCAAGUCGCAGGUAUCUAACAUAUUCAUAUCUAAUGAUUUUUCACAAAGUGGUGACGAAAGGUAUAACUUGUACAAAUCUUUUCAGUUUGCAAUUCGAUCCGAUCCAUUAGUUUAUAGAGCUAUUUACUCGAUUGCAGACAUUUCUGGAACACCUCUAACAGAGGGACAAAUAGUCAAUUUUGAAAGAAUUUAUUGUCAACCUCUUUCAGAUAUGAAUCCAUCUGAUUCAAAAGAGAAGAACUUACAUCAAUAUCUCAAUUUCAAUUCAAACAUGGGUUUGAUUCACAUUCCAUAUUCUGAGAAAUAUUUAUCAUCCGAUUAAUAAACUAUAGGACGAGGGAUAAUAAAGUGCCUACAUAAUAAAGGACGCAAUCUAGUCCGUUUAGUACUUGAAAUUAAAUAAAUUAAGACAAUUGCCAAAAGAAAAUAAAUAAAUAAAUGUAGUUGAGAAAAAUAGAACCCUGAGUAAAAUAGUAAAUGCAUAAUUGGUUGAAUUUUAAAAAAUAAAAAAAUUGAAAUAUAUAUAUAAUAUUCAUAAAAAUUAUAAAAAAUUCUAAAAAAUUCAAAAAUAUAAAAUGUUUCAAAAAGUUUAAUAAAAAUUUCCAAAAUUUUGGAAUAUAUAUAAGUUUUUUAAAACCUUAUAGAAAAAUUCAGAAAAACAUAUAACCUCUUAGAACUACCUUAAGACUCUGUUACUGACUUCUUAGCUAAUUUUUUAAAUUAUAAAUUAACAUAUAACAAUUGCUUUUACGUUAAAUUGAUGACUAUUGAAAUAAACUUUCUUUGAAAUAAAUUUAAAAAAUUGGAUAAUUUUAGAUUAGAUUUUUUUUGUCAAGAAUAUCCCACAUGAAUUUGUUUAAGUGUUAAUUAAAAAUAUUGUACACGUCAACAUUUGUAAUGCAUGAAUAUAUUUUAUUAUAUUAUUAGUAUGGUUUUUUAUCUGCGUUUUUUGUUGGGUUAAUUAUUUUAGACUAAAUAAUUAUAAUUUAAAGGUUAUAAUAUGCUCCAAGUUUUUGUACUAUUUGUAUAUUUGGAAUUUAAUCUCUAAUUUUUUAUUUUUAAGAAUUUAAUCUAUAUUUUUUAAAAUUAAAAAUUCAAAUCCAAUUGUUAACGUCGUUAAAAUUAUUCUGUUAAAUUUAUUUGUGACAUUCUAUAAUUAAAAAAAGUACUCUCUCGAUAAUCAUGCCACAAAAAAAUGAAAUUAUAAUGGACUUGAAUUUAACAAAAAAAUUAACGAUGUUAACAAUUCUUUAGAUUUACGCCGGCAUUUUAAUUAGAAUAAAAUAUUUAGACUAACCAAUGACAUUAUAAUCGUUGAAGUAUUAAAUUAUAUAAAAAAUUUCAAAUAUAAAAAUCAAAUCUCAAAUUUUAAUAUAGUAAAGGGACCAAAAUUAAAAUUUAACUAUUUUUAUGUAAUUCAAAAGUAGAGAGACUAAAAUUAAAAAUUAACCAUUAACGUUAAGAAUAAAAAAAAAAAAAAAAAGGAAAAAGAAGGAGGCCAAGGGUCAAGGAAGUAAGGCCUUUUAUAUAAAAUUCAAAUCUCAAAUUUUAAGGACCACAAUUAAAAUUUAAUUAUUUUUAUAUAACUAAAAAGUAAAAGGGCUAAAAUUGAAAACUAACCAUUAUCGUUAAGAUUUAAAAAAAAAAAAAAAAGUGUCCAAGAAGAAAGGCUUUAGGGCAUUCCUUAGUAUAGAAAUAUUAUGAAUUAAAUUUUUAUAUAAUUUUUUUUAUAUAUAAUGAAUUAAAUAUACACCUUAUAUUAAAAAUAAAAACUAAUCUACUGCUACAAUCAUCACAACGUGAACAACCACGAAAACUCCAUAUUUACUACUCAUAUUUCAAAGCUAAGCAUAUUAACAUUAAAUCACAACCAUACCAACAACAUUGACAUGCUUAACCAAGUCUAAAUCAUAUAAAUUCCAAUCAUUAGACACAUUAAAUCAAUUUUGGUCUACCAAAUAAAAUAAUAUCAUGUAACAUGAACACUUGCAUUCAAUUCAUCAACAAAUCAUCAUUAUAAAAGUUGCCAAAAUAACUAACAAACUAAAAUAUAUAAAAAUUCAAUACGAGAAUACCAAAUAUUCACCGAAUGACCUAGGUACAUAUCUUAUGUGCUAAAAAUGUUUAAAAGUUACUACAAAAAUUCAUCGACUAACUAAAACUUGACUCGUCGGUCUUGCACAAAUGAUCAGACCAAACUCGAAUCUUCGAAAACUUGUAAUCAGAACAAACAUCUGCAUGCUGAGCUUUCUAUUAAGCUCAAUGGUGUUUGCUAAAAACCAAUUAUGCUAUAUAUGUCCAACAAGACAAAAAGCAUGUUACUAACAAGAAAUUCAGGUUAGAACAUAAUUGGAUAAAUGCACUAUAACAGUCAUACAACAAUAAUAGUUUCCAUAAUUCUCAAUCAAGUUACUUAAGCAUUCAGGCAAUUAAGCAUACAAAGCCUUCUAAGGAUCCAAUUUCUAUAACAACAUCCAUUUCAGUCAUCAUGAUCAUUAUUACGCUCAAUUUAGUAUAUAUCAUUUGCCCUUAUUAACCAAACAUGAAAAAUAAUGAACAGAUACAUGAACAAUCUCUGGACACACCAAAUGUUAUGCCUGAGCAUCAAAUGAACAAUGUUUCUCCAAUGCGUGUAUAACACCACUUGCUCAGACACACCAAGAAUGCACACAAGUUCCCAAGUAAAUGCGGACAAGCACACAAGUAGAUAUGUACAAGAGUGCCACAAUAUGUUCCCAAUCACAAAAUAUAUUAUAUGACAUGCCAACUAUACUUGAACAUAUCCCAAAUUGUUUAAUAGAGAAUUUUAACAUAAAUUUUUUAUUUAACAUCAGCAACCACAACAUUGCAAACAUGUCUUCACCAAAUUUCAACACCAUUAACAUAACAUUAAACAAGUUAAAAGACUAUUUUAAUUCAAGAACAAUAAAAAGGCAUCAAAAAGAAUAUACCAACAAUUUAUCAUGUUCAUGAAAACAUUAAGGAGACAAAUCAUCAAAUCAUCGUAUAUUCUUAGGUCAAUCAACUUAAUCCAAAACAUAUAGUAAAAUUGAGUUCUAAUUAACACAAACAAAAAUUGUUAAAGCUCCAUAUUUUUCUCCUCUCCUUUGGUCUUAGAUGACUCGAUCACCUCCUUUGCUACAACCACACAUCCAAAAUAGUAAAUGAGUUAGAAAGGUCAUAAUCUGACAUUAAAAACUCCUAAAUCUAAUGAUGAAAUGCAAUUCGAUAUUGCAAGACACUUUCUUGCUUCUUACAACCGUUUAAGAGAACUCUAAUAUAAACUUACUAAAAGCAAAAUCUAACAUUAGAACUAAGUUUAGGAACUCUAAAUCUCUCUAAAGUAACUCUAAUUCCUAGCAAAGCUCAAGGUUUCUAAUCUCUCCCUCUAGAGCUCAUCAAUGGCAUCUCUUAAGAACUUAAUCUAAAUUCAAAAUACAUAAGAAGUUUGUUGUUCUAAAGUGAUCUUAAACUCAUAAUCAUCUAAAAUUAGACCUCAAACCAUCAAGAAAUAAUCUGAAUUUGAAUCUCUCACUAGCUUCAAAAUCAUGUGAAUGGGAAAAAGAUUGAAAGAUCUUUUUAAAAUAAUUUUCUAAAGAUUAAAAUUAAGAAAUUGAAGUGAAAAAUCACGUUACCUUUAUCAAAAACCAAAAGAAUAAAUUAAGAAAUUCAAAAAAACUCAACUUCUCUUCUUCCCCUUCAAGAAAUAUGGCACCAUAGAAUAGAGAGGAAAUAUUGAAAUUGUCUUUAUAAAACUUGAUUUUAAGAAAAGAAAUUUGUAAAGAAAUCAACUUACCUAUUUGAAAUUUGUCACAUCCCAAAAUUGGGUCUAGAAGUUUCGAGGGUAAUUUUGGAAUAGUAGCUCAAAAUGAGUUCGGAAAGUAGAUACAUGGUAAGCCAAAAAUGUCUUCAUUUAUGACCUUUUUGAAAAAUUAAAUCAAUUUGUGAAAAUAGCGUGGAAAAAAACUUUAAUUUUAAAGCAUGCUUUUUUUUGAAAAAGGGGUUAAAGUUGAGAGUAACACAAAGGUAAAUAUAUGAAAGUUUUAAAAUUAGCCCAAUUUAUUCCCCUUUCACCCUAAUAUUGACGUGAACAAAAAAGAGAGAAUAGAAAACAUUCCCUUCCCCUACUUGCCGUCAAUUGCAUCCUCAAAACCCAGUUCUUUUAUUCUCAAAAAUCUAAUCUCUUGUUUUCUAUCAUCUUCCAAACAUUAAACCUCCCUAGAAUUACAAAAAAUAGCAUAAAAAACACCAUUAAUUUUGCUAUGGAUUAACUUGUGAGUUUUUUUGAAUUUUCAAUCAAAUGCUUGUUUUCCCCUCAAUCAAGGUAAUGUUUUAAUGUGACUAGAAGGUUUCUAAACUCUUCUUAAAGUUUCGUUAAAGAAAUCGAAGGUUUUGUUGAGUUUUCUUAAAAUUAGCCAUGUAUCUCAAAUUUUUAGAACCAUGAACCUGAGCUAUUUUGUGUGGUUUGAGGGUUACGAAUUAUUCUUAGAUGUAUAAUUAGAUUAUUGGAAUCUAUUUAGGCAAUGAGAAUGAGUAAAGAUUAAGAUAUUUGAGUUUUGAGUUUGUUAGUAAAAAAUUUCAGUUCCAAGAGGAACUAGCCUUAGACAUGUGUUUUUGUUUGUUUAAGGUGUGUUAUGAUUGCUAAUUGAUUGUGUAUAUUGUGUAGUUAUUAUGUGUGAAGCUUCGGAGUCGUUAGGACCUUUUUCGAGUAAGACGAAAGGCAAGGAAAAACUAGUUUAAACUUUCGGCAUCUAAGUGAAAUGUAACACCCCUAACCCCUCUCUGUCUUCAGAUUAGGGCCACGAGCAUUACUAACAAAUCAAAACAAAUAAUCAAUCAUAAUUAAACAUGUAAGCUAGCCAUUAACAUUAUAAUAUACAGGGGCAGGUCACAACAAUCUAAUACUUUCAUGCUAGAAUCUUAUAUAUUUGAAUAAUAAAUUAUGCUAUGCAUUUCUAAACUUGGUCUUCCACUGUCUACACUCUUAUCACUAUUUAUCAUUGCUAAACUUGGUCUUCCACUGCCUACACUCUUAUCACUACUCAUUCCUUCUUGAAUGCUAGAAGUUGGUUACAUACAAGACUAUUCCAAUUAUUAGCAUCAGAGUAUAGGUCAAUACUCCUGUAACACCCUAGAAUUAGGGGUUAGAAGUUUUGAGGUUUGUGUUUAGGGUCAGUGACUAGGUUGAGUAAUUAUGUUUGUUUUCACGUUUAAAUGUUAGAAUGAGCCUCCUGGUUCGGUGGUUGAAUGUGUGUUAGUUUACCUUUGGGUUCUAGGUUCAAACCCUCAUGGGUGUUUUGAAAAAUUAUUUUAUUUUAUUUUAUUUUAGAUUUGUUUUUAACUUUUAAAAUAUCUGUUUAUUUUUAAUUUUAUUGGAAAAAGGCAAAAAAUCUUUUCUCGUCUUCUCUUCUCCUUCUUACACACGUUCUUUUCCUCUCUUUUCACGUUUUUUUGUACUUUAAUUUUGAUUUUCUUGUUUUGCUCCAUUUUCGUGGUUUGUUUUUGUCUUGAUUAGAAUUAUGUUCUUUUGCUUCUACUCCAUUUCUUUUGAUUUGUUUAAAAAUUUCAUCGACAUGAGUUUCCGGGUAAGUAUUAGCAUUGUUUUGUUGAUUAUUCUCUGAAUUUUAGAUUAGUUGCUUAAGGUUUUAUGUGAUUAAUGAGGUUUUCAGAAUUGGUGGAUUUGAUGCGUCGAUCAUUUUUGGGCGUUUAAAUCACGAAUUCAGGUGUGUGUUUGGAAACUCUUUAAUUUCGAUGUCGAAUUUUUGAGUGGGUUCUGUAGAAAUCGAUAAUUUUUGUGGAAUUCAGAAAUUAGUUAAUUGAUGUACUGUGUUGUUAUUAAAUGGUAUAGAAUUCAUUAUAUUUUGAUGUUUUUUCGAGUUAUCAAGGGUUGGGGUUCAUUUUGACAGCAAUUGCAUGAUCUAUAGACUGUUUUGGUGUGGUUUUGUGACCACACAUGUGUGUACUGCACACGGGCAAUUCACAUAGCCGUGUAAAAUUGGGAAUUAGGGUUUUUGGAAAAUUUUGGUGCCACAUGGCCGUAUCCCCUAACCACAAUAGUGUGUGAGAUUUCCACAUGGUUGUGUCUGCUUUGUACCCUAUUUUGUCAAUUUUGGAUAGAGAUUUACGCGGGCUACUCACACAGCCAUGUAACUUUGUCACAUAGGUGUGUGUCUCCUCCAUACGGGCGUGUGCAGUUUGUACACGGGCGUGUAGAAUUUCACAUGGGCGUGUUGACCUCCAUAUGGCCGGGGCACAUGGCCGUGUAGCAUUGUUUCAUAAAUAUUUGCUGUAAGUAAUAAACCGACCCGUUUAAUGUGGUUGUAUUCAUGAUCUGUGUAACUCCCCAAAAUUUAUAAUUUCGUUAUUGUGAAAAUAUGACACAAAUAUCUAUCAACUUUAGUGGUUAUGUGUUCUGGGAGUGUUUGGGAGGUCCCAAGUUCAAGCCAUCGCUUGGGAAAAUUUUGGUAUUUUGAAUGAAUUGGGCCUUACUCUUGUUCAGUAGGCUUUUAUUUGAUUGUUGGGUAAAUUACAUCAGAAUGGGCCUAUUGCUCUGGUGGUUAAAUGGUGUGUUAUUAUGGUGGAGGUCAUGGGUUUGAAUCUUUGGGAUGACAAGGGUUGUAUUUUUUUGCUCUUAAUUUCAGCAAUAGUUGUGCUGAACUGGGUUUCUGAGUGGUGGAUGUGUAGUAGGAAGUGGGGGAGCAAUUUUAGGAGUGAAUUAGGGGAUUAUAGGGGAGUAUAUCCAAAAUCUGAUCAUUUUUUUCCUUUUUCGAAAAAAAGAGAGUCAUUUUUCUCUCUAUCUUUUGACGUUUUCUCUCUCCCAUCUCUACCGAAUUUUUUUCUUCUUUGCUUCUUACUCGAUUAUCUUUUUUUUCUUUCCUCUACUACCGAAAUUCCCUUGUUCCCCCCUAAACCAAUAAGUACAGUUUAUUAUUUAAAAUUUCCCCUGUUCUUCUAUUUGACAGUUUCAACCUUUUUGCACUAAACCAAUAAUUCUGAAAAUUUUAUAGUAAGAAGAUAUGUGAGUCUGGUUUUAGGAAAAAAUUUCGGAUAUUAAUUCGAAAUUCUGUAGCUUAAGAUACAAAUUAUUUAGUAACAGUGAAUCAAGUAGACAACUUUGAAAGAUCAUAUAAGUAAAUAGUGGAAACACAUAUGAAUAAUUAACUAGCACAGGUUACAUUAAAAUGGAUUGCGAAGCCAAGGCCAAUUUGGGUCAUAUGGGCCACACGGGCGAACAUUAUGGGCUUGUAGGCCCUUUUUACUGUUUGACUGAUAAGGUUGCACGGGUCACCCAAGUCGACUGUGAACCUACUAUACGGUCAGUAAGCUUACCUAGACCCCUAAUUGACUGAAAGGAUUGUAUGACUGAUAUGAUUAAACCUGAUGAUGUCCCACUGAUUUGAUACUGUAUACCCUGUUUACAUGCAUGAUAUUAUGUUAUAGCAUGUCAUAUCUGUAUAUUGUAUUGCAUUGGGUUGGAGGAUUGUAAUGUUUGGAGGAACUGUACUGAAAGGCCUCAAGCCUAAUGUACUGGCAGCUCAGCUGCAAACUACUGUCUAGUGCCGCAUUCGAUACUAUUUGGAGUGUAAUGAUGGGUGAGUUGAUUAUAUCCCCACAUGGAGCGUAGGGUUGGACGGAGAUAGUGUGUAGAGGCUGGAUGGGUAGGUUUUUUUCUGACUGCAUAUUUGUUACUGUUACUGAUACUGUGAUGGGCUAAAGCCCUACUGUAUGAUUAUUUCUGUACUGAGAUGGGCUAAGGCCCAAACUGGACUAAUACUGAUACUGAAAAGGGCUUAAGCCCAGACUGUGAUUCUCUGUUUACUGUCUGUACAUUUGUAUGGGGAUUACACACUGAGUUUACGUAAACUCACCCUUCUGUUUAAUCUGUACAGGUAAUCCCCAGAUAUAGGCGGAACGGUGCGGCGGAGGACUCAGCGGUGGCCACACGACUUCUUUUACAUUGUUUAUUACUUAGUUAUGAUUUUACUUUUAUUUGGGAGUAUUUUCUGUAAAUAUGGCCUUUACGAAUUUUAGUUUAAAAUUUGGAUUUUAUACAAUUUUAUGAAUUAAAUUUGCUAUUGUUAGGUAAAACUCGAGUCUUGAAAUGAAAUUAAUGUUUUAUCAAAAAUAACACGAAUAAGAAAACUGUUUAAAAGCUUUUGAAAUAAAAAUAAAAAUGAACAUUUUGAAAUUGAAUAACGAUUUGUAAAUGAAUAAUUUUUUAGAAGCGAACGACACGAUUUGAAAUUAACAUAAGAAAAUGAAAAAAAUGGUUAAAUAGAAAAGGGGAUUUAGCAUGUGACAUCGUCAGAUUCGGCCAUAACGUUUAGGCCGGGUUUGGGGUGUUACAUUUAGUGGUAUCAGAGCCAGGUUGUAAAUCGGCUGUAGAUUAUGGGUUUUAUAAAAAAAACCAGGUUGUAAAAUUCGGCUGUAGAUUAUGGGUUUUAUAAAAAAAUUUGGCUUUCGUAGAAAAAUUGGGCUUUUGUAAAACUGAAUAAGUGGUAAACGAGUCUCCGGCGUCGAUCCUGUAAGUAUUAUGAACUGUGAUUUGUUAUAAACUGAAACUGUUACAGAUAGUAUAUUCUGAAACUAAUAUAGGUAGUAAACUGUACUGAAAACACUCUAGAUAGUGUAUACUAAAAAUUAUAGAGAAACUAAAAACUGUAGUAAGACUGAGAUUUACGAAAACGAACUCUGAGUAACCGAUGCUGUUUUACAUAAAAUAUUUGUUAAUAAACAGUUGAACUGUAACUGAUUCGUAAAACUUAUAAUAUCAGAUAAAUCUGAUUAGAUAUGAGCACCGAGGUAUCCGCGGAUGGGGUACUAGAGGCCAAGGUAAAGGUCGUAGAGGGGCUCGAGCUGAGUCAUUAUCACUAGGCAGUCUGCUAAAAUUUGGAUACGAGUGAGACGCCAGUGUCGCCUGCUACUGAGACUGGGUCUCAAGAUUGCAUGGCUGGGGACGAUGCAUUAUCCCAAGCUAUACUAAGGAUUUUGGAAAGGGUCGCUAGGCUCAAUACUGGAUUGAGGGCCGAUGAUCGGUUACGGAACGACUCUGGUCCAAUAGAGUUGAGCUCUUUAGGGGUGUCACUAGGGUCACCCUUAUGUGGCCGAGUAUGAGGUUGACUUUUUGAGACUGAACCGCUAUGCGCGAGGUAUGGUGGCAUCUGAGUAUGAGCGAUGUGACCGCUUUCAGGAUGGCCUCAGAGAUAAUUUGAUAGUGCUGAUAGCCCCGCAGAGGGAGUGAGAUCUUUCUGCUCUAGUCGAGAAGGCGAAAAUUGCUGAAGAGGAUAUGGAGGUAGUCAUGAUCGAAAAACGUCGAAACUACUUAUCUAAUGUGAUCUCUACACUGGUGGUGGAGAAGUUGGUUCGUAAGGGAUGUGAGUCAUUCUUGGCCUAUGUAAGUGUUUCGGAUUCUAGGGGCUCUACAGUUAAGGAUAUCAGAACGGUAAAAGAUGUUCCAGACGUCUUUCCUGAUGAGCUAUCGGGUUUACCUCCGAAUCGUGAAGUGGAGUUUGGGAUAGGUCUCCUUCUUGGUACUGCUCUGAUGUCCAUCGUUCCCUAUAGAAUGGCACCGAAGGAGCUUGUGGAGCUUAAGGCUUAGAUUUAAUAGCUUUUAGAUCGUGGGUUCAUCUGCCCUACUGUGUCUCCGUAGUGAGCACCAGUUUUAUUUGUAAACAAAAAGGAUGGAUCCAUCCGUAUGUGCAUCGUCUACAGGAAGUUGAAUAAAUUGACCAUUAAGAAUAAGUACCCCUUACCGAGGAUAGAUGAUCUGUUUGGCUAGUUUUGAGGAGCUUCGAUUUUCUCUAUGAUUGACCAUUGAUCUGGAUAUCAUCAAUUAAGGGUUAAGGAGGCUGAUGUUCAUAAGACGGUGUUUAAGACUCGUUAUGGUCAUUACGAGUUCCUAGUGAUGCCAUUCAGACUAACUAAUGCAUUGGUAGCUUUCAUAGAUUUAAUGAAUCGAGUGUUCCAGCCUUAUCUGGAUCAGUCUGUGGUGGUAUUCAUCGAUGACAUAAUGGUUUACUCAAGGAUUGAAGAUGAGCAUGAUGAGCACCUUCGAGUCAUUCUUCAGACUUUGAUGGAAAAACAGCUCUAUGCUAAGUUUAAUAAGUGCGAGUUCUGGCUGUGUGAGGGGACAUUUCUUGGUCAUGUAGUUUUAACUGUGGGGAUUCAAGUUGAUCCUCGAAAGAUUGAGGCUGUGUUGAAGUGAAAGCAGCCUAGGAACGUGUCUAAGAUUCACAGUUUUCUGGGACUGGUGGGAUAUUAUCGAUGAUUUGUAGAGGGUUUUCAUUGAUUGCAGUACCCUUGACUAAGCUGCUACGUAAGGGUGUGUCUUUUAACAUGACUAAUUCACAACAAGAGAGCUUUAAGAAGCUUAAGACUGUACUGACUAAUGCCCCUGUUUUGAUACAGCCAGAGCUUGGAAAGGAGUUUACUGUUUAUAAUGAUGCAUCACAUGUCGGUUUGGGAUGUGUGUUGACGCAGGAUGGUAAAGUGGUAGCCUAUGCAUCUCGUUAGCUUAAGACCCAUGAGGCGAAUUAUCUGACACAUGACUUGGAGUUGGCCGCUGUGGUAUUCGCAUUGAAAAUCUGGAGGCAUUAUUUGUAUGGUGAGAAGUGUAUCAUCUAUACUGAUCAUAAGAGCCUCAAGUAUCUCCUCACUAAGAAGGAGCUUAAUCUUAGGCAGGGUAAAAUGAUUGAGCUGCUUAAAGACUAUGACUGCGCCAUUGAGUACCACCUUGGUAAGGCCAAUGUGGUGGUUGAUGCACUGAGCCGUAGGGCUAUGACUGAUUUUAGGGCGAUAUUUGCUCUCCUAAGUUUAUUUGAUGAAUGGUAGUUUAUUAGUCGAGCUUCAAGUUAAACCAUUAUGGAUUGAGCAGAUUAAGGGUUAGUAGUUAGAGGAUGAGUCGUUGGGUUUUCGAUUCCGGCAGAUGGAGGGUGGUAGUACUACGGAUUUUGGACUAAAUAGUGAUGGGGUACUCUGUUUCUAUGGGAGAAUCUAUGUUUUGAAUGAUACUAAUUUGAGACAGGCCAUACUGAGAAAGGAGCAUAGUUAUAUUGGUUGCUAGGGUUGGAACGUGAGGUUACUGAUUUUGUGGGUAGAUGUCUAACUUGCCAGCAGGUUAAGGAUGAGCAUCAAUUACCUUCGGGUUUGCUGCAACCGGUUACAAUUCCUCUUUAGAAAUGGGAGUGCGUAACUAUGGAUUUCGUUAAUGGGUUGCCUUUAACACUCACUAAAAGGAUUCAAUAUGGGUCAUCAUGGAUCGAUUGACCAAGUCCACCCACUUCAUAUCGAUUCGUAUUGAUUAUUCUCUGCAGAAGCUGGCGAAGCUUUAUAUUUCUGAGAUACUGAGACUGCAUGGAGUACCGGUUUCGAUCACCUCUGAUAGGGAUCCUCGUUUCACGUCUUGGUUUUGGAAGAAGUUACAUGGGGCUCUAGGUUCAAGGUUGGACUUCAGUACUGCAUUCAAUUCUUAGACCGAUGGUCGGUCUAAGAGGGUGAUUCAGAUACUGGAGGACAUGUUGAUGGGAUACCGCUCUGAUUCUACUCAUAUUGUUCCUGUUGAAGGGAUCGAGGUUAGGCCAGAUUUGACCUUUGAAGAAGAGUUGGUUUAGAUUCUGGAUCGCGACGUUAAGGUUCUGAGAAGGAAAUCCAUUCCACUGGUAAAAAUUCUGUGGCGUAAUCAUAGCAUCGAGGAGGCCACGUGGGAGCCUGAGGAUGCAAUGCAUCAGAUGUAUUCUCACCUAUUCUAAUCAGGUAAAAUUCGAGGAUUAAAUUUUCUUUUAGGGAGGUAGAAUUGUAACUCCCCAAAAUUUCUAAUUUCAUUAUUGUGAAAAUAUGACACAAAUAUCUGUCAACUUUAGUGCUUAUGUGUUCUGGGAGUGUUUGGGAGGUCCCAAGUUCAAGCCUUUGCUUGGGCAAAUUUUGAUAUUUUGAAUGAAUUGGGUCUUGCUCUUGUUCAGUAGGCUUUUAUUUGAUUGUUGGGUAAAUUACAUCAGAAUGGGCUGCUGGUCUGGUGGUUAAAUGGUGUGUUAUUAUGGUGGAGGUCAUGGGUUCGAAUAUUUGGGACGACCUAGGUUGUUUUUUUUUGCUCCUAAUUUCAGCAAGAGUUGUGCUGAACUGAGUUUCUGAGUCGUGGAUGUGUAGUGGGAAGUGGGGGAGCGAUUUUAGGAGUGAAUUAGGGGAUUAUAGGGGAGUAUAUCCAAAAUCUGAUCAUUUUUUCCAUUUUCGAAAAAAAAGAUAGUCGUUUUUCUCCCCAUCUUUCUGACGUUUUCUCUCCCCCAUCUCUACGAAUUUUUUUCUUCUUUGCUUCUUACUCGAUUAUCUUUUCUUUUCUUUCCUCUACUGUCGAAACUCCCUUGUUCCCCCUAAACCAUUCUUUCCUCUUGAUUCCGUAGCGUUAAGCAUUGUGCAAAUUCAGUAAGUUUUUGGGUAUCAUUUUAAGAGAUUAUUUUGUGUUCAAUAGUCUAAUUCUGGGGUGUUGGCAACAGCAUUUCGCGAGGAUUAAGGCUGUCAUCGUGAUUUUCGUAAAUGUACUGAUUUGAAGUUUUUGCGGUAAGUGUUCAUCGUUUUAUGAGUAAGUAUUUUGGUUUCGAGAUUUUGAUUAAUAGUGAGGUAAGAUUGAUUAUGGUGUUAUUUGUUCAAUUAUAGGCUCUGAAGUGCUCGAUGACUGUUUUAGCAUCAAACAGAACGAGGUGUGUACCCGAAACACAAAAAUAAAGGAUUCGGCGAAAAGCUAAAAUUGCUUGCUGUUUGGACAGUAGCAGUAGGGUAAGUUUGAAAAAUUAGCAUAAAUUGUGGAAAUCGAAUUAGAGGAUGAAAAGAAUAUGAUAUUAAAGAUAUUUGAGUCUAGCUUCUCAUAGAAGAAACUAAGUAAGCAAAAGAAUUUCAUAUUAUGUGAUAUUUGAAUUUUAGUGAGAGAUGGUCAGAAUGAUUUCAGAAUCCCCUAUCUUGAAUUUAGAAAAUCAUUAAAAAUUGUAUAAAAAUAAUUAUAUGUUAUAAUUUAUAUUUUUAAAAUCUUGAAUGAGUCUACUUUCAAGAGAAAUAAACGAGAACAUCAUCCACAUUCUGUACAGGAAGAUAAUUAAUUUUUAGUACAAAAAGGUUGAAACUGUCAGACAGCAGAACAUGGGAAAUUUUAAAGAAUAAACUGUACUUAUUGGCUAAACUAAUAAUUCUGAAAAUUUUAUGGUAAGAAGAUAUCUAAGUCUGGUUUUAGGGAAAAUUUUUGGAUCUUAAUUUGGAAUUUUGUAGCUUAAGAUACAAAUUAUUUAGUAACAGUGACUCAAGUAGACAGCUUUGAAGGAUCAUAUAAGUAAAUAGUGGAAACACAUAUGAAUAAUUAACUAGGACGGGUUAUAUUAAAAUGGAUCACGAGGCCAAGGCCUAUUUGGGUCAUGUAGGCCACAAAGGCGAACAUUAUAGGCUUGUAGGCCCUUUUUUACUGUUUGACUGAUAAGGUUGCACGGGUCGCCCAAGUCGACUGUGAAACUACUGUAGGGUCGGUAAGCUUACCUAGACCCCUAAUUUAUUGAAAUGACUUUAUGACUGAUAUGAUUAAGCCUGAUGAUGUCCCACUGAUUUGAUACUGUAUCCCCUGUUUACAUGCAUGAUAUUAUGUUAUAGCAUGUCAUAUCUGUAUAUUGCAUGGCAUAGGGUUGAGGGAUUGUAAUGUUUGGAGGAAGUGUACUGAAAGACCUCGAGCCUAAUUGACUGGCAUCUCAGCUGCAAACUACUGUCUAGUGCCGCAUUCGAUACUACUUGGAGUGUAGGGAUGGGUGGGUUGAUUAUAUCCCCACAUGGAGUGUAGGGUUAGACGGAGAUUGUGUAUAGAGGCUAGAUGGGUAGGAUUUUUGUGGUUGCAUAUCUGUUACUGUUACUGAUGCCGUGAUGGGCUAAAGCCCUAGUGCAUGACUGUUUUUGUACUGAGAUGGGCUAAGGCCCAAACUGGAUUGAUACUGAUACUGAAAAGGGCUUAAGCCUAGACUGUGAUUAUCUGUUUACUGUCUGUACAUUUGUAUAGGGAUUACACACUGAUUUUAUGUAAAGUCACCCCUUAUGUUUAAUCUAUACAGGUAAUCCCUAGAUAUAGGUGGAUCAGUGCGGCGGAGGACUCAAUGGUGGCCACACGACUUCUUUUACACUGUUUAUUACCUAUUUAUGAUUUUACUUUUAUUUGGGAGUAUUUUGUUGUAAUUGUGGCCUUUACGAAAUUUGGUUUAAAAUUUGGAUUUUAUACGAUUUUAUGAAUUAAAUCUACUAGUGUUAGGUAAAACUCGGGUUUCAAAUGAAAUUAAUGUUUUAUCAAAAAUACCAUGAAUAAGCAAACUGUUUAAAAGCUUCCGCAAUAAAAAUAAAAAUAAACGUUUUGAAAUUGAAUAACGAUUUAUAAAUGAAUAAUGUUUUGGAAACGAACGACACAAUUUGAAAUUAACAUUACAAAAUGAAAAAAAAAUGGUUAAAUAGAAAAGGGGAUUUAGCGACGACAUAUUUUUCUAAAAGCACUACAUGUGACAUCGUCAGAUUCGGCCAUAAUGUCUAGGCCGAGUUUGGAGUGUUACACUCUCGGUUAGGCCUCUAUAAGUGUGUGGGGACUCUGUCUCAGCUCAGAUUUUUUCGUUUGUUUUUAAUUAUGUCAUCAAUUUAUUAGUUUGUAUAAAUGUUAUGUGAUGUUACCUAGUAAAUAAAUACAGACAUAUCUGAUUCUGAAUCUGAUCGAUUGAAUAUAUGAACUUCUAUUUUCGAAUAACUGUUGUAUGAUUAUCUGUAAGUUGUAUGCAUUGUGCAUCUUCAUGAAAAUCUGGGAUUUGGUUAUGAAGAGAAGGAAGUCUAAUUCAGUAGUUUAACUCCGUUACCUAAUAGAGGUGAUAUCGCAAUAUAAACAUAUGAUAGCUUAGCUGCAUAUUAUUAUUAUUUCGAGUGGCUUAGUUCCACAUAUGUGGUGUGUAGGGUGGAUGGGCCUUUCAAGGUCUUAAGUGGUGUGCAGGGUUGGUUCGGCGAGAUUUUAUUUUGGAUGUAUUCAUUUCACAUUUAGGUAUAAUUUGUCCGUGUGAUAUUGGGAUUGGUUGAGAAAUCAUUUGAAAGUCCGACAUGACUUAAGUAACUUGUAUGUUUGAUUUAAUAUCACUAUGUUAAGUUUGAUACACGAGUCUAUUCGUAAGUCUAAUUAUUAUCACGAGUUGUACAUAGUGUGAUGAAUGUAAUACCCUGAAUGGAUUGUGGAAAUGUGUUUGUACUUCUGACCAUCGGUUUAAGAUUUUCGUUCUCUGAAUGUGUACUCUAUUUUGGGUUAUUUGCUUUGCAUCCUCGUUCUUUGUUAUCAUUUUUGGUUUCGGACUCACACUGAGCUCGUGUAGCUCACCCCCUUAGUUUUCUCCCUUUUAGGUACCCUCGUGUUCUAUAGUUGAACUUGGCAAUCAGAGGUCUUGGAGUAAUGCGUUUUGAAUCGAGCUAAUAAAGUUCUAUUCAAUUCUUAAAUUAUUAAGUUGUUUUGGAUUGUUAAUGUUUUAUAUGAGUUCUGGUAUAAAUUUUUAAUUUGGACUUUCUUAUAGUGUUAAUUGGACUGAAUUUUUUGAAAACUGUGGAUUUAUAUUUCUGAAUGUUUUUAACGCAACUUAAAUACUGAUUCGAUUCCUAAAUUGUUAAACAAUUUGGUUCGAAUAAGAAAACUAUGUUCGAAAUGACUUUUUAAUGAUUCCUUAUGUAAAUUGCUUUUUAAUCACUUCGGUAAUCAAUGUGACCUCCGAGGUCCGGUCGAAAAUUCUAGGCCAGGUUUUAGGGUGCUACAACUCUCACUAUUUAUUUUCUUCAUUUUCAGUGAUGUUAGUGGAAUGCACUUAAUUUAGGUUUGCUAAUCCAUUCCAAUUCAAAAUAAAAUUUACUCUUACAACCCCUAUUUCGAGUCUACAGGACCUUAAAAAUAAUUUAAAAAUAGACAGUGACUAAUUUGGAACAAUUCUGAAGGUUUAAGGUCAUUUCUAAAAAUUCCUAAAAAUAGGGGACAUACGGCCGUGUGGAAUACCCCAGGCCAUGUGACUCUCGAAGUUGGGACACACAACCCUAUCCCAGCCUGUGUGACUCACUGACUUGGGUCACACGCCCAUGUGUGUUACCUAUGUGUCAGACCAUGUGCACCUAAAAGUACCUUAAAACUCAAGUUUACCAUUUCCUACUUGCUUGGACACUAAGCAACUCAAUUACCAAUCAUAUAACCUAUUCAAAACAUGAUUAAACAUGCCCAAAAUAUACCAAAUUCAUCACUUAAUAUGUCUAACCAAUGUACCCUAAUUGGUACCACAUUUUAUAAGUUCAAAGCACAUCAACAAGGCAUUAAUCAUUCAAGACUUCCAUCCAUAUCAAAUUUACCUAUAUAGAACUAAUCUUUAGCUAUUUAAGCUAUCAAGCUUUAAACCAAAAACAUACCAAGCAUUAGGCUAACAUACUAUCAUAGUCUCAACCACAACCAUAUACACAUUUAACCAUCAUUCACUAGCAACUAAGAUAACAACACUUUAUAACAAUAUCGACAAAAGACUUCCUAGGUACAUGCCAUUACAAAAUAAGAUAUCACUACACUUGAGCUCGAGAUUUGUGAUUUGAUGCUUAGUCGGGGAUAAGUCGAACAGUACCUAGCUUGCGCACAGAAAACAAAACUGCACACUGAGUAAAACUCAGUGGUAUUUCUAUAAUCCGAAUGAUAUAAACUUGAUAUAAGUAAUUAAAAUGAAAUAUGCAACAAAUAAGCUAUGUCCAUGUGUUUCAAUUCAAUAAUAUAAUUUUUGCUCAUUCGUUAUUCACAUCUACAAAGAUUCUCACAUGUUCAAACAUAUAUUAAUGGCAUGUCAUAUAUCAUUUGCAUAUUACAUCUCAUGCAAUGGCAUGAUUCAUUCUUUGUUCACUACUUGAAUUCUUUUCAAGUUCCACAUCUCAUUUCAUCAUUUCAUAUCUCAUUUCUCAUAAUUCAAUUCAUAUUCACAACAGUAUACUAUUUCAUCUUUUCCAUUUCAAUAUUUUCUCAUCUCAUUUCCAUUUCUCAACCAUGCCAUUUCAAUAUCGAACACAUCAAUUUUAUCGUUUAUUUUCCCUAUUAACACGACUCAGACUCGGACAGGUAUAUGGAUCCAACCAACACACUAGUUUGGCACCUAGUGCCUUAUCGAAUAAAUCUGAAAUAAUAACUACGCCCAACGCUAUAUAAAUUGACACCCAGUGUCUCAUUGGUUAAACCGAAGCAAAUUGGCACCCAGUGCCUCAUCGACUCGAGGUCGAAGUAAUCCAUAAAAUCUUUCUAUCCUAUAGCAUGCCAUCUAUAUCCAACUCAGCCCAAACAGUUAAUAUGGUUUCAUUUCACUUUUCAAUACAAUCGAUGUCUCAAUUUCACAUAUAUUCACAUCAUCACAUAUAAUCAAUUCAAUAAUCAUUUAAUCAACCUAUUUCAGAAUAUACAAAAUCAAUCAAUUUCCAAUCCAUUUUGAAUUCAAUUCAAUAUCAAGUACCAAGAACUCACCUCAAAUGUUCAUCAUAUGCAAACAAUUAAAUAUGCAACAAUCUACUAUUUAAUUCAGAUUAUAGAAACACAAACCGUGAAUUUCGAGCUAUUCGACGUCGAUUUUAUCCUUCCCCUUUUUACUCGAGGAUUCCGGUACGAUGUUAGCUAUGGAAUAAAAAAAAUAAAUUACAUUAGUACGACACAUUUCAAUUUCACAUAAAAUUUCAAUUUUCACACUAUAUUUUGCUUAUUCAUCAAUUUAGUCCCUAAACCGAGACUAGGUUAUUACCUUCACAUUUAACUUUAUAUUUUCAUACUAAUUUCACUCUAAGCUAAAGUUAGCUUCCUUUUCUUCCAAUUCAACCCUUUAAUUUUUAAUUUUUCUCAAUUUAGUCCCUAUUGGUCUAAAUCAACAAUUUAUUCCACAAUUUAGCCCUUUUUUCACUUCUAACUUAAAAAUCUAUCUAUUUAAUCCCUAAUACUUAAACUAUUCAACAAUGUAAACAUCUAAAAUCUUGAACAAUAAUAAAAAUUACAACAUGGGCCGGGUAGCCCUAGGUAUCAAGAUUCCAAAAAUGUAAAAAUUAUAAGAAAAUGGACUAAAUUGACUAACCAAUUGAACUUGAAAAGUUCAAAAACCCUUAGGUUGUCGUCGGCCUCUUGUUUUCUCUCUCUUUUUCUUUCUUUUAUUACAUGUUUCCAUUAUUAUUAUUAUUAUUAUUAUUAUUAUUAUUAUUAUUAUUAUUAUUAUUAUUAUAUACAUAUAUUAACUAUCAUAACAUAUACAUAUAUAAAAUAAGUUAACAUAUAUAUAAUCAUCAUUAUUGCCGUCCACUUUAAUCAAACAAUGGCACAAUUGCUUCUUUAGUACCUUUAAUUUAUUUCAAUCUAUAAUUCAACUUUUAAGCCUUACGUGAUUUAGUCAUGUACCUUAAUAAAUUAUAAUUUCACGAAAUUUAAUAAUCCAAAAAUUUAAUUAGCUACGCAACUAACUUUAUAAAUAUUUAAUAAAAGAUAUUUACGAGUCCAUUUUAUGAAAAUGGAGUCCCAAAAAUACACUUUUCGACACCCUUGACUAUCAGGUUGUUACACGAAAGCACGAACAGUGAGUGUUUGGAAUCACGACUUGUAGACAAGAUUCAUAGUGUUAAAUGGGAGCUGAGGAGUAGCCUAAACCCCUACUCUAAGUUCUGAGUGUAAGUUAUCUUAUAUCCUCGUUUAAUUUAUAAAUUUUGUGGUUAUGUGAUGUGGAUUGUAUAAUAUGGUGUGAUAAUGUGACAUGUGAUAUAUAUGUUGCAAUAACUAUUGUAGAAUGUGUUAAUUGUGAGCGUGCCAAACAUGCCGAAUGCUAGAGAUGACGUUGUAUUAGUGAUGUAAAUGUGGUAUGAAAGUGUACAGAAAACGGUAAGUAUAUAUGUGUUUUAUUGUGGAUAUUUUGGCCUUGUGACCUUUUGAGACCAUUGGAUAUAGUUGGCAUGCCAUAUGAUUUGUGAGUACUCACCCUUGUGUUGUGCUUUUGGGGCAUUGAGGCUUGAGAUAGUUUUUGAGAGAUGAAGGAAUGUGAGCUCAGCUCCAUUCACCGAGAUAUGUUGGUAUGUUGGAGAGUGUUACCUAAAUGUUACGCUUUUGGGAUAUGUUUGACUCAUCGAGUCAUUGAUGUAUUAGAGAUCCGUGCAUCCAAUAUGUGGUGAUAGAGCCCACUUUUAUGUUUCAUAGCUUAAAAGUCAAUUUAUCGUUGAAUGUAAUAUUAUGAAAUAUGAUGUAUGCCUUAUUACUAUUAUUUAAUUGAAAAGUUAGAAGAGUUGGUAAUUGAUGCAUGAAUAUUUUAAUAUGUUACUUUAGUCAAACGUGUAUGUAAUUUAUGUUUUAGAUGUUUUCAUUUAGCACAUGUUAUCAUGUUUAUGUGGUGAUCUUUCCAAUCAUUUACUGAGCUUGUUUAAGCUCACCCACUCUUUCUAAACAUUAUAGAUAGUUAGCGUUGAGGUGUGAGCAGUGUGGAAUUCCAAGGAAGUGAUCCAAGUUAGGCUUUAUAUUUUGAGUAGGUGAAACUCUUAUUAGUCUUUGAACUGUGAGAAUAAGGCAAUGUGGUAGACAUUUUUGGUUGAUUAUUAUUAUGUCAUAAAUGGUUGAUAUGAUUUUAGAAUCUUAGGAAUUUUAAUGGAUGAUUGAUAUUAUGAUAUUGUGUUGAUUUGGCUUAAAAGUACUGAUGAUUAUUUGAACUGCAAUUAUGGAUAUUUUUUAUGUUGAAUGUUGAGGUUAUAGAAACAUGUUGAAGUGAUAUAUGUUUGGUUGUGUUAAAUGCCCUGUUUUGCUGUAAUUUUUGUUGGUUUGUACAGAGGUAUCAAUAUUCGGGGCAUAUGUAUCGAUACCUCCAUGUUAAAACAAAUGUGCAGGAAAUAGUAGGUCAUUUUGGUAUCCAUACUAAUUCUGGAGUAACGAUGCUCGGGGUGAAAAAUAUAUAUACUUUUGUAAUGUAUCGAUAAACUGUCUGGUUUUGAAUUUUGUAGAGAAACAAAAUGUUAAAAAGGUAUCAGUUUUUCAAACGGUAUCGAUACCCAUUAUGAGAAAUAUCGAUACCAGUGAGUAUGUAUCGUUACCUACGUGACUUUUUGGAAAUUUUCGUUAAGCGGUCUUUAAGCAUGUUUUUAACUUGAUUCAAGAUAAGUUAAUGUAUGUUUAGUAAAUUUUAAUGUCGGCUAGGGUAUUUUAGACUUAAAACACCCACAAAUGAUUAUAUGUGAUGAUAGUUGUAUAGAAAUGAGACGGUGUGUAAUGUGUGAUGUUGUGAUGUGUCAUGUGGCGUCCUGUUACUCAGGCUCGGUGACUGGGCCGAGUAUAAGGUGUUACAAAAUUGAUGAGUGAAAUCAAGAUUUGAAAAUAAAUUUGAGAUAUUUUGAGAGAAAAUAAAGAGAAAUUGGUGUAGAAGAUGAAAAUGGCUUCAUGAAAAUAACUGUUCCCUCCUAUGACUAUUCCUAAAUAGUAAAUUUUCUAAGAUAACCUUCGGCAAUUGAACACAUAAUAACCGCCCGUCUAUCUAAUUCUACUGUCUAAUUCUAAGACAUUGACCACGAUAAAUUUGACUCUCUUACAAUAAAGUCCAUAUAUCAAAACUCUAAUUUUUAAAUGCCAAAAAAAUAAUGCAAUUUAAUAAUGCUCUAAUUAAUGAACCUCAAAGUCAAGCCAACAAUCAUUCCUAAACUAAGUUUAACUUCUCAGAAUGGCUCAAUUAAAGAAUUCUCAACAUUUUUUAAUUUCCAAUUUUUGAAAAUUUUGGGGGCAUUACAUUCCCAUUUCUUUUCAAUUUAAUUCUUAACGCAAUAUAUACCCAAUUGCUUACUAAAAAUCAAAAAAAUAUAUAAAUUCUCUUCUAAAAGAAUUCAAUUCUAGUAUUAAAAUUUCUUACAUAAUUAAUUUUCGGUAAACCUUACGCUGUUUUAUCUGAAUUCUUUGCUCGUAAGGUUUUCCUUAAAAUUGAAAAAAUUUUAGAAAAAAUAUUGAAGAUGAUCUCAAUCUAGGUAUUACAAUCUAAUUUUAACCUACCUUCGACAAUUUUAGUGAAAAACUACAUAAGUUGCAUAUGAUCUUUCACUAUAUUCCCUGCCUUUAUGCAUAGAAGCCAUAACAAAUUUUGAUUCCAAAUACGUCAAGCUAAUAUAUAUUAGAUUUUAAGCAUAUCCCCAAAAUUUUAUGAUUUUCCUUAAGAAACCAAUAAAUCUACCAUGUUACUUUAAAAAAUCAUGGUAAUGCUUACAAGCACUUGGUACCAAGAAAUAUCAAUUAACUCAAUAUUUAUUGAGUACGGGAAUUAGGAGAACUAAAUAGUGAACAUUAUUUAUCAAGCAAAUAUUGUAAUUUUUGUAACACCCCAUACCCGAUCGGAUCACCGAACUUGAGCUAUCAAACGCCAUAUUAGCCACUUAAGUGACCCUCCAUUAACAUCCAACCUAACCUCUAUCACACCACAAUGUAAAACAUAAAAUAUGUCCUAAGUUAUUAAUGUACAACAGAAUAUCAUAUAAGUACUUUCAUCAAAGCUCCUAAACUAACUUCCAUUCAAUAUUUUUCGAAUACAACUAAGGGUUCAUAAACUUAUAAGGGUUUUCAUGUUAGUUCAUCUAACGUUCGUUUAUUAGUUUUCAUAAGGUUCGCAGAAUAACUUCAUUAAGUGUUUGCCUUGCACAAAGGUUCUAGGUUUACCUAAAUAGGGUUGGUCUUGCGAACAGGGUUCGCAAAUAGAUAAAUUCCUUUAAACAGGGUAAGGUGUGCGAACUACCCCUAUGCAUUCAAAUUCCGUGAACUCAGUUCACAGGGUUUUCUUAUUCUGUAUUAUCAAAAUUCUUUAGAGGUUUGCUUGGAAAUAGUUCACUAACUGUUAGGUUUGGCACCUUAUCAUUUCAUACUAACUUUGACGAACUCUUUCUAAGUUGACAAUUUGAUUCAUUACUUGAUGUUGUUUAUGGUGAACACUAUGUUUUGCAAUUAAAUUACUUAAAUAUGAAUUUGUGAUUUAGAUAAACAUCAAUUCAUACUUGGAAUAUAUUCAUGUACUUAAAACUCAUAUGUUUAUAAAGUGAUAUAGGUUCGUAAAUAGAAGCAUUAAGAGAACAUAAGGAGUCAUAAAGAAAAUAAUUAGGUCCUAAGACAAACAACAAAGUCAUCAGAGAGAUAUCUCUAAGCCCAUGCAUAAUUCCCACAUUGCCUUUAAUCCAAAUUCCAUUUGUAUCACCUCUUUAGCAUUUAUGCUUCCUGGAUCACCCGCCUCACCACUAUUCACCAUGCGAUCUAACUAUCUGUAGUGUUUAGAAAAAAAAUGUGAGCUCUUACGAACUCAGAGAAUAUACAAGAAAGAAUAGCCACAAGGCACGCACAAAGCAUAAAUUACACAUAACUUUAGCUAAGUCUCAGAACUUGUGAAUAGGGUUCACAAUACUUACGCGAAGUUUGGUUCGCUAACACUUACUAUUAGAUAGCUUAAAAAUAGUAAAGCGUGUUAUUUUAGAAAACAUAAACUUAUUUUUCUGUUGGAUAAGUGGAUCUCCUUAUAACGCCUCAGAAUGACUUAAUGAAUCUAACAUGUCUCAGCAUUAAGCUAAACACUCUCAAAUGCACCAACAUGCCCCAAUGAAUGGAUCUUACCUCUAUAUUCCCUUAUCUCUCCAUCAUGUCCCAGGGCCUCUCGCCCAAAUAACAAAACAUAAAGGUGACUACUCAAAAUCCUACGGCAUGACAUUAUAUCCAACAGUCUCAAAAAAACAUAUUUGUCAAAAGAUGUACUUAACAUAUAGAGCUUGCACAUUUUAAUGAGCUCGCAGGGUACUAUUCAUGUUGAGCUCGAAAUAAGAAGCUCGCAUGUCACUGUUUAUAAAAACACAUAUUCAUAACACAAACACAAAAUCAAGGUUUUAGAAACGGCUUACUCUCAAAACUUAGGUUAAAACCCUCAGCUCCUGGUUAACAUGACGGUUCACACAUGAACGUGGCGAUCCCUGAACACUCACCAUUUUGCUGAAAAAUUUAGGCAAGUUUUUUCUUUCCCUUAUCCUUGCUUAUAGAUGGUUCUAUCAGUUUCCCAAUUCCACAAACAUACAAAAGUCACUAAUAGAAAAAGCACAUAAAAACUCAUGCAUAAUUACAAACGAUCUUAGGUUCACACAUGCCAAUAUUUUGGCGAACCUAAUUUCCUUUCUUUGCGAAUAUUUCCUUAAUUAGUUCUAAACAUAACAGAGAAACAAUGUCUUACCUUAGAUCCUAAGAGCUAAGUGUUGGGUUCUUAAAACUUGAUAACAGAAUAUGAAAUUUCUAAUAGAGAUGGCUUAAUUUAUAGGCACUGAGUGUUGUAAUGUUCUUAGAAUACCUUAGUCACAGUAGAAGUAGGAAAAAUAUUACGUUCAUGAAUGGCGUUGUAAAAUAAGUUGGCUUCCUAAUUUUGGUAUAGUUACCCUUCAGCUACUCCUACUUUUGACUCUCAGACCAAAAUUGUAACACCCCAAACUCAGCUUAGACGUUUUGGCCAAAUCUGGCAAUGUCACAUGAUAAUGUUUUUCGAAAAAGUGAGUUGUCGUCAAAAAUCUCUUUCCUAUAUAACCUCUUUACAAUAUCUUAUGUUAAAUCUAGGACGUGUUGUUUAUUUUCAAAGUUAAAUUCUUUAUCACAAAGUUAUUCUCUUUUUUAAACGUUAUUAAUUUCAAAACAUCACUUACUGCGAAAGCUUUUUAUAAUUGUUGCAUAUUUGAGUGAUUUUAUUAAAAUGUUUGAUUGGUUUUAAAAACUCGAUUAUCCCUACUACUAGCAGUUGUAAGUCAAAACAAAAUAAAAACCCCAAUUUAAAAGUAAAAAUCCAAAGAGGCCAUUAUUACAGUAAAAUACCCCUAAAAUAAAAGCAAAAUUAUAAUUAGGUACUAAGUCGAAUAAAAUAGGUCGUGUGGCCAUCAUUGAGUCCUCCGUCGCACCGAACCGCCUAUGUCUGAGGAUUACCUAUACAGAUUAAAUAGAAGGGGUUAGUUUACGUAAACUCAGUGUGUAAUUCCCCAUGCAAACAAACAGACAAUAAUAGAUAAUCUCAGUUUGGGCCUAAGCCCAUUUCAGUAUCAAUAAGCAUUAGGGCCUUGGCCCAUCACAGUACAGUAACAGUGACAGUUAUACAAUUAUAAAAUCCUACCCAACCAGCAUCUACACAUCAUCUUCAUCCAACCCUACACUCAAUGUGGGGAUAUAAUCAACCCACCCAACCCUACACUCCAUGUAGUAACUAAUGCGACACUAGACAGUAGUUCCAGCUGAGCUGCCAGUAAGUUAGGCUAAAAGCCUUUUAGUACACUUCCUCCAAUCAAUAUCAAUCCCCAACCCAAUGCAAUGCAUCAUACAAUCAUGUCAUGGUAUCAUGCAUAAUCAGUUUAGUGUAUAUAGCAUGCUUAACAUACAGACAUACAUAUCUAUCUCAUAUAGACAUAUAACAGUCUUUUAAUCAUUUCAAUCAAUUAGGGAUCUAAAUAAACUUACUGACCCUAUAGUAGGUUCACAGUCAACUUGGGCGACCCUUGCAACCUUAUCAGUCAAACAGUGAAAAUGGGCCCACAGGCCCAUGUUGCAUGCCCAUGUAGGCCCACACGCUCGUGUGGCCCCCAUGGCCCAAAAUGGCCUUAGCCCAAUAAAUUUCAAACGCAUGUGUGGUUCACCUGUGUGGGCCAACGCGCCCAUGAGGCCCACACGGCCCAACUCAGCUCGGCCCAUGAAUCACACAUGGCCAGCCUCAUCGAUCUCACGCCCAUGUUCGGUUACACGGCCUACCACAUGAGCGUUCCCACGCUCAUGGGGCGUACAUAGUCCCAUUAUUUAGCUUUUCGCUGACUACCGUUUUUAGUGAUGUGAUUACACACCUGAUUCUGAUUCUUUGCAAAAGCACUCCUGAACACAUAAGACCUAUCAAUUGACCAGUGUAACACUGUAUUAUACACCUCAAUCAACAACCAAUUAACUACAAAUGAAAAUCGUACUUCUAACACCUUAACUAAACUCUUACCUUACGAACACCAGAAAUUUCUCUCUAAAAUUUGGCACCAGCACAACCCUUCGCUCCAGACUUUUGGCUGUCAUCACAAUUAAAAAAGAUUCCCCAAUUGCCAACUUAAAAACCAAAUAUUAAAACACCCUUGUUAGUCGUAAAAUAAUGAUUUAAUCAAGACCUCAAUAUCGAUGGUGGUUCAAUAAGUAUGAUCUACUUACCAACGACAACUCUGUCCUUAACUCUCCAACCUUAGCAGCAACACAAACCACUCACUGCUUUUCGCCUACCAUAAGUAACAACAAUCUCCUUAGUUACCAACCAAGAAUCAAUUAGCAAGAGGCGAAAACACUACUUACCAAACGCACAAAAGCACAACAGAGAAGACAAGUUGCGGAACGUAAGAGAGUUUAGAGAAAAACUUGAUUAAUGGAAAAGCCAAAACAGUAGAAGAAGUAAGUUUUUCAGCAAGCAGUUGGCAGCAAAGAAAAGGAUAAGAAAAGAAAAACCAGAAAAGCAAAUCAACAGCAAUGAAGCAGAAAAAGAAUGACAGAGAAAAUGGAUUCAAAAUGUCAAAAAAAGUAGAAAGGCCAAAAUUUGGGAAAAGUAUGAGAAGCCGAAAUUUGAAAAAAAAAGAUAACAAGAAAAUAAAAAUAAAAUCCCAUAAUCUCCUAAAAAUCGGCCACCACUUUUCUCAACAACAGAAUUCGAAAACCACUCAAACACUUCAGUGUUUCGGCUAAACCAAAACAUCUACACGGCACAAGCAGCAAAAUAAGUCCUCUGUUUGCACAAAAACUCGAACUCCAGACCUCCUGCCCAUUUUCACUCCACUUAGCCACCAAACCAGUAGGCUCAUUCUAAAAUAUUUCACCAACAUUUAUUUAUAAACCUACUGAUUAGAGAUAGGGGUUUAUUCAUUUAGAAACAAAAAUUUGCCCAAGCUAAGGCUUGAACGUAGGACCUCUCAAACACUCACCAGAACACUUAAACACUAAAGCAGAUAUAUAUAUUUGUGUCACAAACACACAAAAAUAAAUAUAAGAGAUUUUAGGGCACUAAAAAAAUAACUAUCAUAGUUCGCCAAGCGUACUGGUGAUCCUUGCUUCGUCAAGCCUAUUGGAAAACACCAACUCGCCAAACCAACUAUCAAAAACUAGCUCGCCAGUCCUACUGGCGUACACCUUUGUGCCAAUCUUACUGGCGUAUACCAUCUGGCCAGACCUGCUGCCAUAUAACAACUCACCAAGCCUUUUGGCAAACUUCAGCUCACCAGGCCUUUUGGCGUUCACAGUUUGCCAAAUCCACUAACGAACCCUGCUUCUCCAAAGCCAUUAACGAUCUCUGUUCACGAGGCUCAAACUUCUAGGCCCUGUUUUGGGAUGUUACAAUUUCUCAAAAUUAAUAACAGCGUUCUUUUUCUAGUCUAUUAAAGUUAUUACCAAAUUUUUUUGGGUUAACAAAUAAUAAAAGUAGUUGGUGUCAUAUCAAAUAAAUAAUCAAAAUAAAAUAAUCUCAUAUACUCAAGCAAAUAUUCUUUGUUGUCUAGCAACUUGUUUAACAACUUAAAAAUACAUUAACGUGAUGCAUGUUUUUUACAUUAAAACCUUGAAAAUAUUUGUAAUCGUCGCAAUUUUAAUUCUUUAUACACAUUGUAUCAUGUUACCGUGGGGCCAACCAUAACAACUAGUAAAAACAUGGAUUCCAUCCAAUUAAUAUGUAAAUCUAAAAUCACAACUCCACACAUUAUAACUAUUUCAUUUUGUCAUUAUUUUAACUUAAAUAAAUAUUUGUCAAAAGUUAUUUAAUCAAAAUGAUCUUGAGUGUAUAAUUAUUAACUCAACACCCAUCAUAAUAUAUUCUUUAUUUGCUUAAUUGUAGGAAAAUUUAAACUAGAAUCAUAAUUGAUUAAUCCUCUUAAAAGAAAUCCCACCUAGUGAAUCCAUAUUAUAAGACUUAGUGUAGUGUGUGGCCAAGGUAAAAUUGGCUCAAAAUAUUAUAAUGCUAUCACUUAGGGAUCAUUAAUGGAAGCCAUUGGUUUUAUAUAGGGACCCUCUCCCACUCAAUAUUUUAAAAAACAUGCAAGGUUUUUUGUUUCCAUGUAUGAUCCAAUGCAAGUAUAAUCGAUUGGCAUUAUCCUUAGCCUAAAUGAUAUUUUAUCAUAAAUGCAUGACCUACUUAAUCAAUUUCAUCAUACAUUCUGUAACGACUCGGUUUCCAGUGGUAUUAGAUAUUUCGAUUUCGGGACCUCAUUCCCGUAAAUAUUAAAUAAAUAUAUUUACAGAGUUAUUAUGAAGAUUAAUUAAAAUUUGGAUGAUCAAUUUAGCUGAAAUUGUAGUUGAUAGGGCCUAGAGACUAAAUUCUAAAGUUCAAUCACUAUAGAUUUUUAAUUAGGAAAUAGCUUGGUGACUUAAAUUGCAAUUAACUAUAAAUUGCAAUUAACCAAAGAUCCAAAAUAGCAAUUAAACCAUGCACAAACAUAAGAUAGUGGAUGAUAAUGAAGCAUGUGGAUUAAUUAAGUGGAAUAAAAUUUAAUUAAUAUAAACCUGAUUAAUUAACUUAAUCAAACUUUAAUCCAAGUAUAAAUAGGAAAUAUAAGUGGAAGGAGAGCUGAAAUAUCAUCUUCUCCAAUUGGCCAAGCAAAUAAAAAGAGAAGAGGAUGCCAUUUUCUUAUGGUUUCAAACUUUUGGCCUUUAAUUCAAGUAAUUUUGAAAUUUCAAUAGGAAUAGGAAUAGGAAAUAGGAGGUCCCUAAUGAGUAAUUUUGAAAUCGAAUUUUAGUCCAAAGCUUUAGAUUGAAAGUUAUGUUUGUCUCGGGUUUAAGGACUAAAUUGAAUACAUUGCAAAAUAUGCUUGAUAUUGUAAUUGAUUUUGAUUUGAACUAAUUUUUUUAGUAUUGUAUGUUUGUGGUCUUAUUUAGCUAACAUUGACACAAAACCAUCGAGAGGGAAAGGAAAAUCGAAAGUCAUUGUCGAAUAGAUUAGAAAUUCAGUUUGUAUUUUUAUGAUUUGGGAACUAUUUAUUUUCAUCAUGUUCAUGUCAUUUUGAAUUAUAUGGUGUUAAGGUGAGUUAUCAAUAGUUAUUUGAGCUGAAUUGAUAUGGUUAAGAUUGAAUAUCGAGAUAGGGACUGAAUUGAAUAAAAUGAAAAAUAGUAUGAUUAAUUGAUAUGUGCUAAUUGGUAUGAUAUUGAGUUGAAGCAUAUUGUGUAUGUAACACCCCUAACUCGUCUUCGUCACCGAAUUAGGGUUACGAAGCAUUACCAUCGUCGCUAGAUUAGGGUUACGAAGCAUUACCAUACAAAUCAGAACAUUUAACUUCAAAACGAAAACAAUUAUGCAACUUAACAUAAUCAUAGUAAAAGUACUCUUACAUGGCUUAAAUUUAGCCUUCGGGGCCCUAAAAAUAACUUGGGAACAAUCAGGGAUCAAUUUGAAACAAAAAAAAGAUUUGGAAAGAAACUUGAAAACAAGAAAAUAGGGGUCACAUGGCCGUGUGACAUAGCCCAGACCGUGUGAGCAUUCAAAGUAUGGACACACAACCGUGUCCCAACCCAUGUGUCCGUCCGUGUGAAAUUUGAAAUAAGGCCACACGGCCGUGUUUCUCAUGCCGUGUGCCAAACUGUGUUACAUACUAACUUGAAACACACUACUGUAUGAGGUGACCAUGUGUGGCACAGAACUGUAUGACAGCCGUGUGCUUCACAAACUACCCCUAAAACAAGUCAUUUCAUAUACUAAUUCUUGUACACCAAGCCAAUCCAAUCCCACAAGCAUUCACAUAACUAAAACACAUUAAAGCACACUUCAAACAUACCAAAUCAACCGUUCUAUAAAAUAUAACCAAUAUGCCAAUGAGGGCACCACAAUCCACAUGUCAACUUAAUUCAAUUCAAUAUCUUAAGAUCAUAUCUUAAACCUAUAGCAAUCAUGCCAAAUAACCAUUCCAAAAACAUGUCAUUCUACCAUAUGAUAUUUUCUAUCAAUAAAGCAUGAAUAAGGGCCCAACCACACAUAUUCACACCAUUAUUUACAUGCCAACAGCUAACAACAUUGUUCACAACAAGCUUGACACAACUCAAAACAAACCAAAUCACUAGAAUGACCUUAUGACCUUAUGACAUGUCAAAACACACCUAUAUCAUCUAAUCAACAUGUCUAUCCAAUGUACCCUCAUUGGUAACACAAAUUAACAUCCAAAUCAACUCAAACUGAAUGCCAUAAAUUCAUAUCUUAAACUUACAUCACACACCUAUCAUUUAACUACUUCAUUUACACUUCAAUGAACCAAAAGCUAUCUAAAUCACAAAGCCUUCACAAGUGACUAAAACCCAUACUUAUAUAUACAUUUAUAAGCCCACAUCAAGGCAUAUAGACAAAUAAACUUAAAUCACAUCACAUUGGAAAAUAACAUAAAAUAAACUCCUAUUACAUGUCAUUUAUAAUCGUUAACCAAAAGAACCAAAACUACCAAUAUGACGAAUGGAUAAUGUGAUGGUGCUCCGACAAGAUUCCAACUGUACGAUUUUUUCGAUGACCUACAAUACAGAGAAAACAACUAUGUAAGCAACUAGUGCUUAGUAAGCUCGUAUAAUGGAAACUUAAACUUACCAAACACAAAAACAUUAAACCAUUAAACAUUGCUGAUUAGAUCAUAUGGAUAUUUUUCUUUCCUAUCCACAACACUUCACAUAGUUAGUAGAUACAUUUAAGAACAUAUCAACCAAUGAAACAUGACACAUAUCAUGUAAAAGAUUUCAAUAUAUAAGUCACCCAUCAUAUAAUCCAUUUGUUAUCUUUUUCCUUCCAAUUAUACAUAUUACAUUUUCCAUUCCAUAUUCUCAAUAACGUAGCUUAUUUCAUAUACAUAAUUUUUCAUUUUAAACCUUAAUUACCCGUUGAACCAAAUGAAACACCAUCGAAUACUUAGAAAAUACUCAUAUAACCAUUUAAUUCUCUAAACACACCACAAACAUAACUAGAUAGCAUAUUUAUAGACAUAUGAAACAUAUAAUUACACCAAGGCAUUAAUGUUCAUUAUCAAACUAUACUAAUCAAAACAUUCAUAUCAUUUUCAUACUUAUGAUACAUAUCUCACCUGAAACAUGUUACCUGAAUAGUGAAUGGUUGAAGGAUGAUAUAUCGACUUUUCAUUGAGAUCCUUUUAGACUUUUUCAUUGAUAUCCUUUUCGACCUUUUCAUUUGUUAUCUUUUUGAAUGACAUCCUGUUCAACCUUUUCAUUUGUUAUCCUUUCGGAUAACAUCCUUUUCAACCUUUUCAUUGGUUCAAAAUACUAAAUAUAAUGCUAUAGUAUCUUUUAACCAUGGUCUUUUCCUUUUCGCAAUUUAAUAAAUCCAAUCCCCAAUUUAUAGACAUAUAUAUAAAUAUCAGUUUAAUUAAAGAAAUCAAAUGAAUUACUUUAAUUAAAUUAUGAACUUACUUCAACUAACAUGGUUGCAAAAAUAAAGCCAAUGACUAAUCCGAAAUCUUAACUUUUCCUCGAUCUAACUAUGAUUGUCUUGUUUCUAGAUCUAUAUAUAAUAAUUUUAUUCAGUGAAGCAAAUUUCAGCACAUAAAUAAUCAAAUUUUCACAAUUUAAACUUUCCAUAAAAAUUUACAAAAUUACCCCUAAUAUUUUACCAUUUUUAUAAUUUAGUCCAUAUACCUGAAACAUGCAAUUUAGCCAUUUUUAACCACCAUUCAUGCUAGCCAAAUUUACUAGGGUUACAUUACAACCAUAUUUUCAUUAUUUCAAAAUAUUUGCAUGAAAUUUUACAAUUUAAACAAUUUAGUCAUUGAAUAUUUAAAAUCACUAAAAAUCUCUUUAUAAAAUAGUCCUAUUUAGUUUUCAAACUUACAAAUCUAUCAUCAAACUUUAAAAACAUCACAAACUCUUCAAUGGAAAAUUUUAAAAUCAUUAAAAGUUUUGAAAUCGGAGAUAUGGGUUAACUAGACCUAGUUGCAACGAUCUUAAAAAUAUAAAAAUUACUAAAAAAAUGGACCUCAAAAUCUCACUCAUGCAUUGAUAGAAGCUUAGUCGAACUUUCCUUUCCCUAAAAUGGUGCUUCAUCAGUUUGAGAAGAAGACAUAAAGCAAAAAUAUGUUUUGCUUUGUUUUAUUUAUUUUUAACUUAAGUCUCCUUUAAUUUUAAUUUUUUUCUUAUAAAGAUAUAACAUAUAACUUAAUUAACUAAUCACUAACCGUUUAUGCAUUUAAUUAUGACAUAUUUUCUACUUAAACCCUCAUAACUUUAUGGAUUUAGCCAUUUGAAUCCUUUAACUAUUAGAUACUAACUUUUACAACUUUCACAAUUUAGUCCUUUUAAUUAUGUAACUAUUUAUACAUUAAAAUUUCUUAACCAAAUUUUAGUAUGAGCCUAGUAACACUCUGUAAAUAUUUAAUAAAAUAUUAUGGGUUUGGUUUAUAGAAACGAGGUCCCAAUACCUCAAUCUCUUAAACCACUUGAUUUUUGGGAUAUAUCACUUGAACCUAAUUAUUUAUUCAAAUAACAUAAAUUUUCAAAUCAAAAUUUAUUAUCUUACUAUAUUUGACUCGUAAAUAUUAAAUAAUAAUAUUUACGGGCUCACUUAUCAGACUUAUGGCCCCGAAACCACUAUUUUUAACACUAUUAAAAAACGGGUUAUACAGUGUUAUAUGAUAAAUUGGCUAUCUAAUGAUAAAUUGAUAAUGAAAGAAUGUUAAUUGAACUAUAUUUAAUGAAUUGGAAAUUGAUUACCCUAUUAGUGUUUCGGAUCGAGUCGGAUAUAGUUUGCAAGCCAUAAGUUAGAUUAUUGAUUAAAAACCAUCAUUAUCGGGCAAUCCGGGGUAGUUGUAUGUAUUGAGUCAUCAUUUUCGGGCGACCUUGGGUGGUAGAUUAAUCCAAUUGAGAAAAUCAUCUUUGUCGGGCAAUUGGGGCGGCAGUAUAUACAUGUAUAACCUUAUCAUUAUCGAGCAACCCAGGGUGACGGAUUCGCAUAUUCGUUCUAAGUUCAUGUCUGGUUAAUAGGGUUAUAAACGUAUGAAUUGCCUAAAUAGUAAGUGAAGUGGUAAAGAAAAUGGAAAUGUGAUAUGUAAUAUAAUGCAAAAGAAUCAAAACGAGCUUUGGAGGCCAAAUGCAAAUUAGAAAGCCAAUAGGCUCGGAAAUAGUUAAAAAUCACGCAUGAAUUUGAAUAUGUAUAUGCAAAUGUUGAUGCUAUGUUAUCAUUUGGUGUGUUAUUAAGAAAAGAAAUGGUACUUUAAUUGUUGAAUAGCAUAAAUGGUAUGUUUUGGUACUUAUGUGAUGAUUUGAAGUAUGACAUGGACGUAAGUAAGUUAUGUGAUAAUGCUAGCUAUGACAUGAAUAGGUGUAAAUUGGUUUAAUAGAUAUCUAUUUGGGAGUGAAAGAAUUUGACAUGAAUGGCAUAAGAUUAGGUUUAAAUGGAAUGUGUACAUAUGUGUAAACUUGCAUUAUUUGGCAUGAAUCAUGGAUAUACAACUGAGUGUAUUUGCUCAGUGUACGGUUUGUUUUCUUCAUGCGUAGGUAAAGUAUAUUUUUGAUAGUUUGAGCAGCUAAUCAAGCAUCCAGCAAGCGAAUCCCCUACUCAGCAAUGUUUUUAUAUCCCCGUUUUAUUUAAGUUUGACAUGUACCAAGGUUGAGACAAUUUUGGUAUAAUACUAAGUUCAUAUACACUUUGAACUAGAACUUUGAUUUAUGAAAUUUGCCAAUUAAAUACAAUAUGUAUAUGAAUUCAAUAGAUGGUUUGAAUUGUUUUAAAUGUUGCAAUUUUCAAUGGCUUUGGUGAAUGGGUAUGCAUUUUUUAGAUUUGAAUGAAUUACACUAUAUAGUUAACUUACAGGUGAUAUGGCAUUGGCACAUUGUUGAAUAAAGAAUUGUAGUUCAUGAAUUGAUGCUUGAGAAUUGAAAAUUUUGGCUAAAUUUAUUAGAUAAAUGUGUGACAUGUUCAUUUGAAAUUGUAGGUUGAUAUACAUUAACAUUUUGUAGAAAAAAUUUGUCACGUCGCAAUGUCGAGCAUAUAUCGUCCCGAUGAGAUCAAACCACCAUGUCACGACGUGACGUUGAGCAUGGGUCAUUAAGACAAGACCUAGUCAGUAUGUUGCAUCACAAUGAGGAACUACCUGACGUCGUGACAUUAUAGUUUAUUCCUAAUUCGAGUCUUAUAUAAAAGUUAUAUACAUGUUGCGUCAUAAUGAGGAACUCCCUGAUAGCCUAUGUCCCAGGCCGUGUGCUCCAUUUUUAACCCCUAAUACAACCCAAAUCAAGCAUCAUUUCUUGCACACUAAGACACACCGUAACUGGCUUAUUUUACAUGGUUAAAAUCACAUUAAAAACACCAAGAACAUGCCAAAUAUUCAUCCAUCCUAUGUCUAACCAAUAUGCCAUCAAAAGACACCACAAUUCACACACCAAUUCAAUUCAUUCAAAGGCACAUUCCAUAUCUUAAACAUACAUCACAGACAAUCACACAUCAUUGAACUACUUCACUCACAUACCCACAAGUCGUAAGCAAGAUAUUUACAAGUAAUUCAAAAGUGACCAAAAGACAUGAUUUACCUAUACAUUUACAAAUAAAAAACAAAACAUAUACACAAGAAACGUAACCAUAUCACAUUGGCCAAAUAGCAUAAUUAAAAAUCCUAUUACAUGCCAUUUAUAACCAUUACACAAAAUAACCAAAAACUACCAAUAUAAUGGAUGGAUAGUGUAAUGACACUCCGACGAGAAUUCCAACCGAACGGGUUUUCUAAUGAUCUACAAAACAAACAAAGUAAUUAUGUAAGCAACUAGUGCUUAGUAAGAUCGAAUAAAGAAAACUUAAAACUUACUGAACAUAAAGCGAUUAAUUCAAACAAAUAUUGUUCAAAAGAUCACAAUGAUACUUUUCUUUCCUAUCCACAACACUUCACAUGGUUAGUAGAUAUAAUUAAAAACAUAUCAAUCCAUGAACAUGGAACAUAUCAUGAAAUGAAUUUCAAUAUAUAAACCACCCAACACACAUUCAAUUAAUCCCCUUUUCAAUUCAUUUACACAUAUCAUAUUUUCCAUUUCCUAAGCUCAAUGGUAUUUCUCAUUUCAAUACAUACCUUUUUGUUUUAACCCUUAAUUGCCAGUUGAACCAAAUAGAAUAACAUCGGAUACUCGACAAAUGCUCACACAAAGUGCCUUUACAUGUAACUGUAACCAUAUCAAUAAUGCUCACACAAGCUAUGAAAUGGGCCUACUCACACGAGCUGUGGGUCGGGAUGUUAGCUACACGAUGCUACUCACACGAGGUGUGGAGAAUUUGCAACACCUGCCGGACUUCAGCCAUCGUUAGGACAUCCAGGACCAGCACCUGAAACUGUAUAAUCCCUAAUGAUAUGUCAUUUGUAUCCUAAGUAUUCAUAAGGUUCAAACGGGACCAUUAAACAAUCCGAUUUAAUUAACAUCACAAUUUGAUUCAAAACAUUGUACAAUCAUCAAAUUAAAUUAUACAUAGCAUAACAUUUACUAACAUACCAUCAAAAUGUCAAUUAAAAAGUUUAAUACUUAUGCGAACUUACGUCGACAAAAACAAUUGUAAAAACGAAGUCGACGACUAAUCCGACACUUUAGCUUUUCCUCAGUUUAGAUCCGUUUGAUUCAUUUCUUGAUCUAAAUAAUAAUUUCAUUCAAUUAAAUAAUUCAAAUAGCUUAAAAUAAUUAAUUCAAGCCUAUAACCCAUUUUACUAUAAAUUUACAAAAUUACCCCUAACGUUUUACUUUUUGUAUAAUUUAUUUCCUAAACCCGAAACUUGAAAUUUAACCACUUUUAAUUAAAAUUCAUGCUAGCCAAUUUUCCCCUAGCCUUAUAUCAACCCAAUAUCUAACUAUUAAAUUCAUGAAUCUAUAAUUAAAGCUAAAAACACAUUAGAAUUAUUCAUAGCAAUUCCCUAACUCUUAACAAUUUCACAAUUUAACCUCCAGGCUAGCUAACUUAAGCUGAUACGAACUCAAACACAUCAAAUCACUAAAAAUGAACCUUAAAACACACACAUGCAAAGGGAGAGAGCUUGUCGAACCUCCUUGGCCUCAACAAUGAUGUUUUUAUCGGUUAGGAGAAGAUGAACAUAAAAAUAUAAAGUGAUAUAUUUGUCUAUUUUAUUUUAAUUAUAACAUAUAAUUUAACUAAAAACAAUCAAUAAUCGUGUAUUCCUUUUGAAUAUGGCAUAAUUUCUACUUAAACCCUUAUACCUUGACCAAUUUAGCCAUUUAACACCUUAAACUAUUAGAGCUAAUUUUUGCAGCUUUUACGAUUUAGUCUUUUUUACUUAAUCAACUAUUUAAACGUUAAAAUUUCUUAAACAAAUUUUAACAUGACCUUAAAUAAUACUCAUAAAUAUUAACAUACUAACUCGCUCAUCAAAAUCAUGGUCUUGAAACCACUGUUUUCGCCACCAUUGAAAAUGGGUUGUUACAAAUGUGAAUUAGAAUCUAAAUUGUUUGUAGUUGCUCCAGUAACAAAUGUAACACCUUAUAGUUUGGCCCAACGAUCGGGCCGGAUAUGGGGUGUUAAAAAUUUAAUCAUACCAAUAUAAAAAACAUCUAUCUAACAAUUGAAAAAUAAAAUGACUCUAACUUGCCAAAGGUUCUCAUGGUUCUAUCCUAAGAAAAAGAAACAAAAUGCAAGUAUAUUACAAAGAUUACCCCAAAGCAUUCUUUAAGUCUUCAACUUCUUUGGAUAGUUGGCAUGGCAUCAUUUAACCAUAAGAACCCGUAUUAAGUUUAGCAGAACUUGUUUCUAUCAUAAACCAAAUGUUCAUGAAAAAUUAAUGGGACAAGAUUACCCUAUAAAGUCAACUUUUGGGUUUCUAGAAACCUUAAAAAUUGAAACCCUAACAUAUGAUUUCGUCAAAUUUUUUUAUUCUUGAGUUCAAAUCCAAAAAAAGUCUACCUUAGGAUUCUUUUUAUUAAAUUCGAAACACAACAAAGUCACAAAGUCAAAUACAUUUCAAAUUUGGGUCAAAUGAGGAAACCCUAUUUUUUUUACUUUUGAGACUGAAAAGAUGUCGACUUUUGAUAUCCCAUAUACUCUGAUCUUGUUUCUAAAUUCUAAAUUUUCCAUAAUUUCUAAAAAUUCAGUCACAUGAAAAAUUUAAACCUUUGCAUUAAUUGAAAAUAAGAAACUAGAUCAAAUACAUACUUGACUUUGAUGUUCCUUAAGGAAGGGUGUCGACUUUUUAUUUUCUUGGUAUGAGUCUUUGUUUUUAUUUUUGUUACAAGAUUCUAGUCCAUUUCCAACUCAUAAUAUUUUCUAAUUGCAAUAAUUUAAAAAAAUUGUAGAUAUGAUAGUCUAUAGUCUAAUUACAUACCCAAAAACUAAUGUAAUACAAUCAAUCUACUUUUAGUAACGUAACACUCUUUACCCCGUCCGAUCACCAGACCCGAGCUUCAAGGUAUUACUAUAGUAAUUGGAAUUGAAAACUUUAAAAUAAACUAUGUAACAUUCACUCAUAUCAAAAUUAUAAUCAUAUUAUGACAUUCAAUUAAAAAUAGAGACUAAAUCGAGCUUACGAAAGCUUAUAGGUGACCCGGGCAUGAAUUAGGACCAAAUUGAAAAGUUUUGAAAAUUUGGACUUCACAUUACGACGUGCCCUCCUCCACGUUGUGAAUAUGUUGGAUAGUGAGUCACGUCGUGACGUCAAACCACUUGACGUAGAGAUGUCAUCAAAUGUUGUUCGACGUUGCGAUGAGAGGAAUUUCACGUCAAAACGAGAACCCUAUUUUUUGGUAAAAUUAGGCUAUUUGGUACCUAUAUCGUGCCAAGGUAUACCUUUAGCUCAAAUGGUGCAUAUUUGCACAACCAAACCUACACAAAACCAACUUAAACACAUACCAAAACAUCCAUUUAACCAACCACAAGAUUAACCAAGCCAUUUCACAUGAAUUUGACCUUUUCUAAUGUAUAACAACUAAUGUUUUCAUCCACUAUUCAAUCUUAGUUCAUUAUUCACAUCUAACACUUAUAUUCAACCAAAAUCACCCUCAAAAUACGCCAUUAUAUAGCUUAACACGUAACUUACCACAAUACCAUUAAUGCACAUAUAAGCUCAUGAUAUAAAACAAUAAAUAUUCAAGCAUUAUCCAAAUAUCAAAACUACUAUAUCCAUGUAGUCAUGUAUACCUAAUAAGGUCUAAAUACAUUCACCAUACAUUCAAGCAUACCAAUGUCUACUUUAACAAACAAUGCUUCUUUCAUAGCUUAAGACAUUUCCAACAAUUACAGAUAUGGAUAUAACACAAAAACACGUAAAGUCCAAACCACAUCUUUGAUUCAAAACACAAUAUCUCAAGGUACACAUAUGUGCAUAAAAUUUCCUAUACAAAUGCCACAUAACCAAGUCCGGAACAAAAAAAAAAGACUAUCAGAUUAGAAGUUGUAUAGUGUGAGCUUUGGGGCGAUCUGAUAGUCGAGUUCCACAAAAUGCCAACUACAAAAACAAAAAACAAAAUAGAGUAAGCAUAAAUAUAUGCUUAGCAAGUUCAUAAAUUAAAACAUUAACUCACCUCGAUAUACAAUUAACAAAACAAAUUAACUAAUUAUGUAACAUUCAUGUUUGCACAGUUCAAUACUAAGUAGAUUAGUACCAUUCAGUUUGAAUUAUUAAACAUACAUACCAUUUAUAUAGAUUCAAUCAAUUAUAACCAUUUCUAUUCAUAAAGCAUAUAUCAUCAUUCACAUAUGCUUAUUUUUAUACUAUUACGCCCGAAGAACUAAACAACAUAUUUGGAUACACGGGUAACCACCAAAACACACCUAAAUGCUCAUUCGAACGAUACCUCCAAUACACACUUGAGCACCAAAGUGCUAAGCCUAUAGGCUUCACAUCCCUCCAAAACAGUCCUAGAUCUCUGUAAAGAUGAUCAGUAACAGUGGUCUCUGUAGAGACAAACUCGGUAAUCCACAACAUAUACUGGAUUCUGGUAUAAUCAGUGUAAUCUCAUCUGUCAAUAUCAUCUCUUUUACAAAUCCCAUACAACACAUAAAUAACCCUAUUGACAUACCAAUUGUAUCCUAUCAUUUAAUACGUUCAUCCGAGCACCUUUAACACAUAUUUUCAUUUCUAUUCAAUUCAGUACAUUCUCACCUUUUUGUACUACUUUGAAAAUAAUUCAAUAUCCAUUCACAAUUUCAUAAUUAAACCACAUAAUAUAAUUAUAUACACAACUACCAUAUGAACUUAUUUGGCACAAACGAUAACAGACAAGGUGUUGGGGACUACUUCGCAAUUUUCCCGUUUCCUCGAUUAAGUUCUAGUUGACUCGAAUCUUGAGCUAAAAGGUAACUCAUUUCAAUUUAUCAAUUUUAAUUACCUUAUAACAGUUUAUUUUAUCCAUAUGACAGUUUAAUUUCAUUUUACAAAAAUUCUUUAAAUUUUUUCAUUUUACUUAAUUUAGUCUCUAAAACCGUAACUACCAUAACUUUCACAUUUGAGCCCCAUUUUACAAUCUGAUUUCAAUCACAUCCUUCUACAACCCUCUAAUAUAUAAAAUUAUAGAAUUUUCAUAGAAAUUUUUAAUUAUUUUCAUUUUAGUCCCUAUACUCAAAACUAACAAUUUCACUUUACAAAUUAGUCCCUAAUCACAUCUAAGAUUACAAUCAAGGCAUUUAACAACAAAAGCUUAAAAAAUCAUCAAUGGUAAUAUUUUUAAAAUUUUAACAUUUUUAUGAUUUAAUACUUGUGUUAGCUAGAUUAGGCUACAACGAUCUUAAAAACAUAAAAUUUAUGAAAAACGAGCUUAGGUUAAUUUACCAUGCAAGGAUGAAAGCUUGGAUGAAAUUUUUGGCUUCAAAGCAUGGAGGAAAUGGUGAAGAAGAGAGGAAAAGUAUGAUGAAAAAUGGACAUUACCUUCUUGUUUUAUGAUUUAAUUCUUUUAACAUUAUUUUUAACAUAUAAAUUAUCAAUCAACGUGCACCGACCGUCCAACAAUCUUCAAAAUGGUUAAUUUUCCUUUUAGAACCUUAAAUAAUUAUUAUUUAGCCCUUUUUGCCGUUAAAAAUCUAUAAUGAUUAACUUUUAAAGUUUUACAAUUUAGUCUUUAUACCUUAAUUAACCAUCCAAUCAACAAAAUUACCAGACCAAAAUUUAAUAUAAUCUUAUAAUAGACUCGUAAAUAUUAAUAAAUAAUAUUUACUGAAUCGAUCAUCGAAAAACGAGAUUCUAAAACCACCAUUUUCGGUACCAUUGAAAACGGGCUAUUACAAGUAACCAUAACCUUGGCAGAAAUAUAUGAUGAUGAUGAUGAUGAUGAUGAUGAUGAUGAUGAUGAUGAUGAUGAUGAUAAACAAUCACUAUAUUAACAUCCAUGAACAUGUAUGUUAAUAACAUGCAAAAGAGCAUAGAUUGUCACUCUCUAUCAAUUGAAUCUAUACACAAAGAGAAGAGAGAUUUAGAUAAUCUCAUCUAUGCUAAUAAUUAAAUCGAGAAGGCUCUGAUGUCAAUUGCUAAAAAAACAUGGAAGGUUUGUGCGGUGAAAUUUUUUAAAAUUUCAAAUACAUCCAAUAUCAACUUGAAUAAUUAAGAACAAUAAAUCAUCGAUAAUCUAGUACCUGGAUGUUUUAAUCCACUUUGACAAGUUGGAGAAGUUGAUUUGCGAUUAAACUAAAACUGCUUAUAUAGGAUUGCAUUCCUUUAUAGAAACAGUCAUAUCUCGAGCUACAGACAUCGAACUCUAAUGAUAAAAAAUAUUUGUUAUUAAACUCAAACUUCUUGUAGAGAACUGUGCUAUUUCAUGAAAAUAACCAUAUCUUGGGCUACAUGCCAUAAAAGCAAGUGAUUCAAAAACCAUUUUGAAGAAAACUUAAAGCUCUAUGAUUUAGGCACUAAAAUCACCCCCAGAAGUUGGUUAGAGCAUAUCAAAAAGUCCAACCAAAGUUUACUUUACAAAAUCCUAUGAGAUUGGCUUUAGAUUCUCACAUAACUUCAAUCCUCACUUUCAACCAAUCGGAUCUUCUCCACUAUUCUCUGACUCACAAAUCGCACGAUGCUUGGGUAUUGUUCCAAACACAAAUACAAGUACUCACUCAGAACUCCAUAAAGAAAAAUGAUUCUAAACAAACUCCCCCCUUUCUCUCUCUAGCCAAAUAAGUGAAUUGACUACUAAGGUUUUUUAGGUCUCAUCAAUUCAUCAAUUCUCAUAAGUCUUUUCUCUUUAUCGAAUAUGAGAUAUUUAUAGAAAGCUAAUUAGAAGUCUAAUGAUUUGAAAUUACCAAUAAAACAAAGAGCCCUAGGCUUAAACAACCAUAUGGGUGGCAAAUCCAGUCCAACAAGAACUCCCUAUGCCGCCCAGCUUACUUGGUUGCUCGACAAGCCUCCUUCCACACAUGUGUCAACCACCUUUGACCCUAACUGUGUCACUUUAAGGCAUAUCUAUGUGUUUUAUACUCGUAAUUAAUUUUAGUUAAGACAAAAAUUAAUUACCUAGUUAAAUAAUUUACACAAGUCUUAUUUUAAUCUUGUUAAAGUUAUGAUGACUUUACCAUUUUAAGAUGUCUUCUUAAUUUUAUUUAAUUAAUUUUAUUCCAUUCCAAAUAAUUAGAUAACAUGAUCACUUAAUUUAGCUCUUUCAAAUUCAUCAUUUAAUCCAAUUAAAUAUAUAUUUUUAUAUAUAUACAUAUAUCUCUAAAAUGAAUAAAUUAACCCAGAUCAAUCUAAUCAUUAAACUGAGAAAACACAUAUUACCCCCAAUAAGUAAAUCCAAUGUAUCAUUUCUCCUUAUUCAAUUGUUUAAAGUUCCAUACAAGUGUUUAUGCUAAACUCAAUUUGUUAAAGAGUUGUGUUGAGCUAGUGGAGGGGUAGAUUAGACAUAUAUAAUUAGGGAUUAAAUAAUUUGUAAUUGAGUUUCGACUCUUCUUCUAUUAAUUACAUAUUUAUUUAGUCAUGGAGUCAUUCCAUUUAUAUAGUACCAUGGCUGAACUCCCUUUUUUCAGUUUGAAUCCUGAGUUUUAGUCCAAAGACCUCAUCAUAUGUGUGUUACGCUCAUAGGGUAUCCACGAUUGCAUUUGGUUAAAUCCGUUCACCAAAUUCUUUUCAUUUUAUCUCAUGAUGAACAUUGUAUCUUCCACAAUGAAAGUUUACUCAAAUUAGUAGUGAUAAAAUCAUUUGUCCUAGACAAAUGACCUCUAGUUAAGUUUAAUUUCAUAAUACAUACAAUGCAAAUGAGCCAUUUACUCUUUUUCGAGCUAUAAUUCCACUAUUAUGGGUAAAGUCAUAUCAUACAUAAAUCACGUACCCAACAUACCAACUAUCAACCCACAAUCAUUAGAAAUGAGGUUUUCAAUACAUAAAAAACACAUGAGUUAUACACACAUGGUUUGUCACUUAGGAUUUAGUCACACCAUAAACGUUACAAGUGAAUAAAUCUGUAAAUGGAUAUAAGAUAAAUUCAACUUGGGUCUAGUCCAAUGUAUUGUUAGUCUAAACAAAAUCACAUAUAUGCCUCUACUUCUAUGAGUCACUCACUCCAAUAGCCAAGACAAACUAUCUCCCCAACUGGAUUUAUACCAAUGUUUGCUCAAUUUGAUUCUGUGGACUAUGAACAAUUUAGAUUAUCUACUAAUAAAAGUUGUAUUAUUGCAUUAUAGAUAGUGCAUAUAAUGCAACUCAGUAUUAGUUAAGCCUAAGAAAAUCAAGUGGUCAAUAUUUGCUUAUUCAUUUUUCUUUUCAUGUAAAAAUCAUUAAAGACAAUUUAACAUGGAAAUAAUAAAUAACAUAUACUUAUUUCCAUAAAUAAUAAAUUUAACUGUCUUAAUAAUUUAUCAAAUAUGAUGAAAUUACUAAAUCAAAAAAUCAAAAUCCAAACAAAUGGUUGAUAUAAAAAAUUUAUAUUAAUUAUCUCAUGUUGCAAUGCAAGUUAUUUAACAUCACAAAUAUAUAUCUAUUGCUAGAAUUGUAUAAAUCCUUUUGAAAAGAUAGGACAUCAUUAACACAAUUACUCGAAGUAUAGACUUUCGGACAUAUUCUAAGUUGGAUAUUAAUACUAUCAAGUAUGUCUUUCUAUAUUUGAAAUCAAAUUGAAACUAGCUCAUAUACCAAUGUAAUAACAUGCUGACGAAAAUCUUAUAUACCAUCUCAUUGUGAAAUUAAAGAAAAUAAGUCAACUUACAUGGUGGUUGAAAUUGUUGAGUAUUUUUUUCUAGCUCCUUCAUAUGGUAAAGUUGUAUAUUUAUAUGAUAUGAUUAUUGUUUAUUAAUGUGAUAUUAUAGGUAAGCUUUAUGUAUGUCAACACCUACCCUACUCUAGACUUAACAUGUGUUUAUACGAUAUGGGUUUACCUAAAUAGUGACAUGCAAACCCAUGUCGCACGACCUCAUGUGUAACAACAUUUAGCGUCAUGUGAGCUCGAUACGUGAGCCCAAUAUGCAAGCUUAAUACACGAGCCCAAUGUAAGAGCUCAAUAUGUGAACCAUGUAGAAUCCGACCCGAACCCAUUCGGGUUGUGAGUCGACAAUAGUAAAUAUCAUAACAGACAUUCAGUCAAUAUACUUGUAAAAAUAAAAUUAUUGACUAAAAAUCUUUUUGUUUUCCGCAGCGCUAAGGCCGAACUUAAAAGAGAGUUGAGAAUAUUAGAAUUUAUUGUGAUUAUUUUUCACUUUUUCUCUCCCUUUAUAUCUAUUGAUUUUCUUACUUAAACCAAAGACGCCCUUAAUCUCCAUCGUCAAAUUGAGUUCCAUGACUACGACUUAUUAACCAUCACUCAACGUAUUGUCAAUCAAGUAGAUCCUCAAUCUUCUUUUAUUUUUGUAUUAGUGGAACAACUGAUCAUGUCUAGACCGACAGAACACUACAAAAUAUCUAUAAAAGAUCUAUCGGGAAAUUUUGUCAUCAGAAAUAUUACCAAAACAUUUAUGAUGAAUUAGUACAAGCAUACAAAUUUAGCCGAGUUGGAAGUACUUUCCAACGAUAUUUUCCAUGUUCAUGAAUGAUUUCGUAAUUGAGAUGUAAUUUAAUCGAUAAUCUCCUUUAUAUAAAAAAAACCCCAAUCGAUUUAAGGAAAAAAACAUCGACAUUUCUUUUUGUUUUUUUCCUUUUAUAGUUAAAUGCCGUGGUAAAAUUGAUUGCUUGCAAAAUGACAAGAUUAACUUGGAAUUUUACAUAGAAUAGUACAUAUGGUGAAAUGAUUUGGUAAAAGAAGAUCCUUAUGCUUGCUGUUUGAGCCAGAUUUGAAUUUCCUCUUCCCCAAGUCAAAUAUUAACCAUUGUUGGUCCUAAAGAGAUCUUCAAAGUAAUUAAGUAUUUUCGCAGUUAAAUGAAGCCAAUUCUGUUUGUCUUCCUGAGAGAGCAUGCAUCAAAUAUUGUAGAUUCCAAACAGUGAGCCAAAUUCAUUUAAACCCCACAUAAGGAGAGCCCAUGGCUUGUUGGUCCCCGAAUGGACCAACCCUCCCAACAAAACCACGCGGUAUUUGUGCCUCGCAAACCGCCCUAGCCCCAUCAAAACUGCAUUUCUUUCCACAAAAUCAACACUCCCAAAACCACCGUUGCUGUUGCUUCGUCAUAUUUAUGAUAACAUUAGGCAAAGUUAAAUAGAGUAAGUCCAGCAAAAUGAAAAUUUACAUCGCAAUAACAUUACAUCCAUAACUGCUAUAAAAGCUAGGACCAAAGUUGCAUUCCUGCUGCAUUCUAUUUAUUAGUUCAAAACACCCCCUUUCUUUCCACAAAACUUCCUUUCAAGGAUGAAUUACUAGUCCAAAUCUUCUUUUUCCUUCCUCCUCCUCCUCCUCCUCCUCCUCUUCUUCUAGUUACUGUUUUUGACUUUAAAACUUCAUAAUAGAAAGAAACGAAAAACAGGUUAGGCAGCACUUUAGAGUUUUUCAUUAGUGUUAACACUUUUAGUUCAAUAUCUCUAUAUUUGUUUAAGGAGUAUGUUUUUUGGUGUGCAGAACAAUGGGGCACUUGGGAUUUCUUGCAGCUGCAUUACUCUCACUCCUCAACUUUGUUCAUGGCUCCCUUGGACCCUGGACCAAUGCUCAUGCCACUUUUUAUGGAGGUGGUGAUGCUUCUGGAACAAUGGGUACUUUCCACAAUCCAAAUAUCAUAUAUAUUUUUCUUAUUGAUGUAUAUUUGUCAUGUCUGACAUGUUAUUAUAUUCAAUUACAACUUCAGGUGGAGCUUGUGGCUAUGGAAACCUAAAUAGCCAAGGUUAUGGUAUUAACACAGCAGCCUUGAGCACCGCAUUGUUUGACAAUGGCUUGAGCUGUGGUGCAUGCUAUGAGCUGAAGUGUGUGAAUGAUCCACAAUGGUGCCUGCCUGGUUCCAUUGUGGUCACUGCCACCAACUUCUGCCCUCCAGGAGGCUGGUGUGACCCUCCCAAUCACCACUUUGAUCUCUCUCAGCCUAUUUUUCAACACAUUGCGCAAUACAGAGCUGGUAUUGUUCCUGUAAUGUACAGAAGGUAAACAAACAAUGAAAACAGCAACAUAGUUUUUCAAAAUUCAUUUUCCACCGACACACUAACUAAUAAUUAUUUUUUAUCAGGGUAAAGUGCAGGAGAAGUGGGGGUAUCAGGUUCACAAUCAAUGGACAUUCCUACUUCAAUUUAGUACUGAUCACCAAUGUUGGAGGUGCUGGGGAUGUACAUUCAGUAUCCAUUAAAGGGUCAAAGACCAGAUGGCAAGCAAUGUCAAGGAACUGGGGCCAGAACUGGCAAAGCAAUUCUUACCUUAAUGGCCAAAGCCUCUCUUUCAUCGUCACGACCAGUAACGGACACAGUGUUGUUUCUUUCGACGUUGCUCCAUCCGGUUGGUCCUUUGGACAGACUUACACUGGAGGCCAGUUUGGGGCUACCAAAAUAUAACAGCCCCUUGCUAUAUACUAUAUGAUAUUAUAGUAAAAAUAUGUCUGAAGAAAAACUUAAGUGAGUUUUUUUUUUAAAGUUUAUAAUAUAGUGUACGGUGAAUAUCACCGACGAAGAGAAUGAUAUUGUAUAAAAGGCAGUAACUUGGCGUUGGGAUCAUUACCAAACAUGGGUCAAGAUUGAUUUUUGAAUGGCCCAUAGCCGUGCAGUUGAAGCCUGGAAGUAUUACUGGUACAUCAAAUCAUGAAAUAGAAGGUUUUUUUUUGGUUUUUCCAAGUCAAAAUUUCACUUUCGUUUGCUUAUGGCAUUCCAUUUAAAAUCAAGUUCUUUUUGCCCAUGAAUGCCUUUCUUGUCAUCAUAUUUUUGGGGUUUGAAAGGUACCUUAAAAAAAGAUAAAACGGUAGAUUUUUUAAAAAUUAUUAUCUAUGCCACUCAGAUUUUUUAUUUUUAUUUUUAAAUAUUGUACACAUGUCUGGAUCUCAUACUUCUUUUGCUUUGUUCCACGUUGUUGCAGUUGUUUAACUCGUGUAUGAAAGAUGGAGAAGAGUGAAAAUGAAAAGAUUGAUAAUUAAAUGGUUAAGAUUUAUAAUAUUUUGUAUAUUAAUCAUUAAAUUGAGAAAUAUUUUGAUCCAGCGGAAAGAAAAAUAGAAAAUUGAAGGGUUAGAAAUGUCAAAAGAUAAAAAUAUAUAUAAUUUUUUUCCUAGUUGUGCUUUGUAGAAAAGAAGAAAAAAUUAAGGGUAUAUUUGAUUGUAUAGAAAAACGAAGGAACGAGAAGAGGGAGUGGCAAAGUGGAAAAAAAUAAAUUUAAAAUGUACUUAGUAGGAAAGAAAAGUGAGAAAGAAAGAAAAUAAGAGAGAUGAAUAUUUUUUCAUACUUUCAAAUUGUAAUGAUAAGAGGAGAGAAAAUGAAAUAGGAGUGUAUGUUAGUUGAAAAUUAUGGAUUUUCAAAUAUUUUAUUUUAUUUCUUUUCAUUUUUCAAUUAUACCAAAUAAUGGAUGGAAAAAAAUUACAUUUUCUUUUUAUUGUUCAAUCCUUGGGUUUUUUUCAUAAAUAAUAUACAAUAAAUAAAUAAAUACCAGAAUAUGAUAAUGAGAUUAAUAUUUACGUAAAUAGGCACAUGCAACAAAUGAUAUACAAUUUACACCAAAAAUAUGAGUUUUUUUUAACAAUAUACAAAAAAUAAAAAAAAUAAUUUUUUAUUGGUGUUGCCGAUGUGUCAGCGGCACCCAAAUAUUUUUUAAAAAAAAUAAGCUAAAACGGUAAAACAAUUGGUGUAAUAUAUUUUUUUCAGGUAUUGGAACCCGGGCACAUGACCGAUGGGUCACAUCCGCGGUAGUCGUCAGGCCGGUGCUGUCGAUCUGUUGACAACCGUCAGAUCAACGGCCCCAGCCUGACGACUGCCGCGAAUGUGACCCGUCGAUCACGGGCCUGGGUUUCAAUACCCGAAAAAAUUUAUUAUAUCACAAUUUUUAGUUUAAAAAUAGUUUUAUUAUUAUAUUAUUAUUAUUUUAUAAAUGGGGGUGGGUUUGGACCCCCAACCCCCCACACAUGCAUUGUAGUGAUUAAAAAAAUUAUGAAACUCCUCCCCUCCCCCAUCAGUUAAGUUUAAGUUUCUUUUUUGACAUUUUAAUUUUUUUUAUAUUACAUUUUUUUUUUUGCUAUGGUUUAAUUAUUAUAUUUUUUAUUGUUAUUUUAUUAAGUUUUUUAUUCUAUUUUUGCAAUUUUAAAAAAUGGAGAAUCAAUUUUUUACAGCAAUUCAUUUCAAUGGUGUUAUUUUAGAAACAACCGUUGUUGUAUUUUUGAAACUCGUCAAAAAAUUGGGAUGAGAUUUGAUAGGAAUGUGUCCAUCGGUGAUAUGAAAGAGAAGGUUAGUGAAAAAUUUCCUGAUGUUGUGGAAGGAGGAUGACAAAACUAUUCUACAAAUUUACAGUUUCAUCAAAUCCUAUCAAAUUUACUGAGAUGAAACUUCUAGACAAUGACGAUGUCGAGACAACGGUUGCAUUGUAUUGCCCGCCAAGGAGGUUAAACACUGAAUCGAUUCAGUUAUUUGUUGAGUUAGAAGAUGCGAAGCCCGUUGAUAAUGUAACACAGAUAAGUCAACAAUAUGGAGUUAAAGACCCACGUACAGAGGUUCUCAGGUCGUUUGUGCACGAUUUUGACAUCGAUUUCAACGUUGGAUAUUCAAAACAGUACAGUGGUAGAUUACAGAUGCAUCCGGUCGUUAUUGAUACCAAUGCGCUUGGUGGAGAUGGAUCUGAUAAUAAUGAUUUUUCUAAUCACAAAGGUGAAGAUUUUAGUGACCCCGAUUUAGAUGAUGUCCUAGAUGAUAUCGACAACGAAGGACCGGAUGGUGGAAAUAAUCACGCCCCUUCGGUCGAAAACCCAAAUCGUGGCAUCGUCAUACACAAUGAUCCCGGGCCCAUAUGUCGAUUGUCAAUCCUGAUGUAGCGCAUGCUUCGGAGUUCUCUGAGUACCUAGACAUCAUACUUGCUCACUUGAUGUUAGAAGAUCCUGAAUCGAAAGAGUUGUUCGUGGGUUAAAGAUUCGCAAGCAAAGACGAGUGUGUCGAUGCCAUCAAACGCUAUAGUUUGAAGGUUUCUGUCGACUACAGGAUGGUUAACUCUAAACUGACGAUAUAUGUUAGUGAGUGUUGGAAGUUGACAAAAAGGAGAAUGUGGCGGGUACGAGCUGCAUUUAUCUAGAGGUCCUAAUAAUGAGAGAUAUAGAAAUAUGUUGGGUCUCAUACAUGCACUCCUACUCGUAUGACGUAGGACAAACGGAAGCUUGACUCAAAAACUAUCUGCAACUGCAUAUUGGAAAUGGUUAAAGACGACCUCACCAUUACUAUAUCGGUGCUAAUUACCGGAAUGCAAGAACGGUUCCACUGCAGAGUUUCAUAUCGAAAGGCAUGGUUGGCUAAACAGAUGGCCAUGGAUUAUUUGUAUGGAGAUUGGGAUGCUUCGUACAACGAACUCUAAGGGUGGAUUACCAUAAUGUGAGAGUACGGAAGCCAACUACAUCCGGGUAAAAGAACUUUUCAUCGUAUGAUUUGGACAUUUGGUCCCUACAUUCAAGCAUUUCCCCGCUGUAAGCCGCUUAUACAGGUAGAUAGGACUUGGUUGUACAAGAAAUAUACGCAGAUCCUCCUUAUUGCAGUUGCACAAGAUGGGAACUGGAACAUUCUACCAAUAACAUUUUCCAUCAUCAAAAGAGAGAACUCAGAGUCAUGGCAAUUUUUCAUGGAGAACUUUUGGAGAUAUGUUGUCACUCAAUAUAAUUUUUGCAUCAUUUUCGAUAGAUCAAAAGGGCUAGUUGCCGCAAUUAGGCGUUCGGGUGUUCCGUGGAAAUUCGUUUACUACAUCAGGCAAAUUGCAAUGAACUUCUAGAAGCAAUUCAAAAAAAUGGAUUGGCGAAGACUAGCUGUGAAGAUGGGUAAUUAUCUGUCUCAUUCUUUUCCCAUAUGUUUAUAGUUUAUCAAAUGACACGUAACAUGUUGUAAUGGUUCAAUGUAUGAAGUGGAGCCGCAUUAGUUCAGACAGAGAUGGGCUAACCUAAAAGCUGAUAUACAUGGUCAAACGACUACUACAUUACAACAAUGGCUUUCGAGUACGGAGCCUUGACAAUAGGUUCAAAUUUUCGAUAACGGUUUGAGAUAUGAUCAUAUGACCACCAAUCUGGCGAAGGCUGUUAACGUAGUAUUGAGGUGUACACGAUAUCUCUCAAUUGCAUCUGUAUUCUCAGCUACUUUCUAUCAGAUUACCACACUGAUGCUGAGAAUGGGUCUCAUUCAAGUAAAUCAAAUUAAUGUAGGGUUCAUGUACAUCAAGAAUGUUAGGAAGGCAAUGGCAGCCAAAAGCCGAAAAGCGAGGACCAUGAACGUUCAAUUAUAUUCUCGACAUUAUGAAAUGUUUCGGGUGAUAGAGACCGUCAGUUUUCGACCAGGUAUCUCGCCUAAGUCAUAUGGAGUUGAUCUCCUAAACAGGUGAUGUUACUAUGGGAAAUUCUAGACACUUCAUUACUCGUGUGCGCAUGUCGUUGCAGCAUGCGUUGAUGCCUCUAUCAAUGUCAAAUAAUAUAUCGAAGAGGUAUACACAGUAGAACACACGUUACAUAUUUGGGGAAACUAGUUCCCAACAAUGCGGGAUGUGUUAACGUGGGAAGUUCUCUCACUGACUUUUGAGUUGGUCUUAGACCGCAAUCUUCAUAGGAAGCCUAGAGGUCACCCGCAUAUCACUCAGAUAAGAACUGACAUGAACAUAAAGGAAAGGGUCAACACUAAAUAUUGUGGCGUAUGUAGAUCAGCAAGUCAUAAUUGAAGCAAAUUCUCGCAUCGAGGCUACCACCCGAGAGAGUCGUCUUGGCCGAAUAGAAUGUGAUUAUGUAUUGAAUUUUCAUUAUUGUAUUAACUUAAAUUAUUUACAUAUAUUUGCAUUAUAUUUCUAUUUUUUAUUGAAUUUUCAUUCUUGUUUCAAUUUCAAUUAUUUAGAUGAACUUGUAAAAUAUUUGAAUGAACUUUAGCUACUUGAUGACCAUGUAUAUUUGCAUAAACUUGUUUCAAACAUUUCAUUAAUAUGAGACAAACUUUAGCUUGGAAUAAAAUAUGUCAAAUUUUAAAUAAAAGGAACAUUACAAUAAACUGAAUUAUUUGAAUUAAAAGCAUCCAAAUCUAUGGUUCGACGGGGUUUUUCGUAGGGUGUAUCGCUGCGGUGGUCUUCUUUCACAUUGCAGGUGCUCCCAAUGGCUAAUGUCUAUCUAACUAGAAACUACAAUGUCAUCACCCAUUGGUAGACCUGCUCAUGGUCGGGCCACCCGGCCCCACUCGAAGGUUCGCCCGAAAUGUGGGAGGGUUUGAGCAAAAAUAUAGGCCCGAAAAAUGGGCUUGAAAAAAAUGCCCGUUUAAAAAUAGGCUGGACCUCGAGUAAGGCAUUUUUGGCCUGAGCUUGGCCCAACCCAACCCGAAUUCACUAAAGGACAAAAAAUUUACUCUUUUUUUAUUUUUUAAUAUUAUUUUCUUAUUUAUUUCUCCCUAUUUUGCGAUUAUUUUACUAUUAUGUUGCUACUAUUUUGUUGUUAUUGUUUGGAUAUUGUAUAAAACUUAUUUUAUUGUUAAUUUUGUUAUUAUUUUAAAGACGUUUGUUAAUUUUGUUAUUAUUUUAGAGACAUUUGCUUGUUAAGUUGCAUCUAUCUUAGUGUUAUUUAAGUAUACGUAUUUUUUAAAAUUUAUUUUCAAUUUGUUGGGAAAAUUUAUUUUGAUGUUGUUAGUAUUUUUGAUGUAUUAUAUAUAUUUUAAAAUUAUAUAAAAAAUAAUAUAAAAUUUAGUAUGGGCGGGCCGGGUCGGCCCUGAGUUUUAGCAUUUUUAUUCAGGUCGGGCUUAGGCAAAAUUUUAGGCCUAUUUUUUGGGUUAGGUCGGGCCUGGGCCUAGCAAACAAGCCUAAAUUUUUGGUUAAGCCCAGUCCAAACCCGGCCCGACCCAUGCACACCUCUACCCAUAGGCGAUCCCCAAGGUGUACUAAGUAAACUCAAAAAAUCGUUUGUUUGCUCGUAAGGGGUGUAGUACUGGGGUGGGGACGGAUUAAACAUGUCAAACAUUGUUGGUGAGAUCAGCUGCUGAUAAGAACUGCAACCGCCCAUCUCCGUGUCUAUUACGUAACCCGAGUACUCUGGGCAAAACUGCAACCUCUCAUUUUCAGGUGAUAGGAACUACCAACUGAAUGUGUUUAUGAUAACGAAUGUGUCAGCUCGGACUAGGGCCAACCCCUAUCUCUGAGUGAUAGGAAUUGUCGGUUGAGUGUGUGCAUGACAACGAAUGUGUUGGAUCAGGUUGGGGCUAGGGUUCAGCCUCGGGCUCAGGCUUGAAUGGUAGUGGGGAUUGCUGACGAGGAUGGGGUUUUAAAGGACCUCAUCAUUCCAUAUGUGGAGAGGCUAACAUCAAUCGACCACCGUAUAAGUAGGGCAACCAUUCUUUAAGUACCACUUAUGGUAGUCUCUCGAGGGAAUGAAAUCAAGAUAACAUGACACUAAAUAAGGCUUUCUCUCCAAUUGGGUGUUCCACAACACAAUAUAUGGUUAAUGCUUUAAUGCCUAAUUCGGUGCAUGUUUCUCCUUCUUGUCAAUUUCAUGGACAUCUUUUCUCAAUUGUAUAGGAACAUCCAGAAUAUGUUGACUACACCUGAAUUGACGAAGCACCCAAUCCUCGACAUACCACUCAACCAUUUGAAAAUUUAUAAUUGGUGCAUUAACACACCACACAGUUACAUGUGCUCUAGCCGACGGAGGAAUGACAGAAGUAAUGUUCGGCACGAUAUAUGGUAUCCACACGAACUGCACAAUUAAAUACAUGAUUAGAAUACUAAUUAAAGUAUAAUUUAAUAAAUAAACUAAUUACAUGACAUUAAUAUAAUUUGAUUUUUUGAAAAUAAAUUACCCCAUCCCCGACAUAUCCGUCGAUCAUCUUUCGGUAUAUAAUAAGUGUUUUUGAUUUCCCGAUGUUCGGACAACUAUACCAUCUAAAAAUAUAAACCAAACUCAUUAGAAAAUAUUUUCAUGAAAAAAAUCUUAACCCAAGUUUAAAUUUUAUUUACCUAUUCACAAGUGGGAACAUAUGUACUUGGUGACCCAAUGAUGCCAAAAAUGGUAUCUUGUAUAGCUCCAAAGAUUGUAACAGUAUCGGAAAGCCACCUAUAUUGACAGUUUUGUGCUUUGUCGCCAGACAAAGCUCACAAUAUAGCGUAGCUAGUACUACUGAACCCCAACUAUAUGAGCGGGCUCCUUGCAAAUCACUAAGUAAGGGCAGGUACAUCAAGUGGACUCUAUUAUUAUUGGAAUCCGACAUAAGUACCCCUAAUAAGUUGUAGUAUAUAGGCCCGAGCAACCUGUAUCUUCUCCAUCUUGGUCGUAUAAUCCAAUAAAUUUUCCUUCAGCUACGAAAAGUAUGAACUCGUAAAUUUAUCGAUACCGUCACCGAGAGAGCAUCCAAGCAAGUCAUAGUAGAGGGUCGCAGGAUCUGCUAUGCUGCUUAUACCGAUUACUGCAUCACCGUCCACGGGGAGCCCUAAUUGCAUUGCGACAUCCUCCAAUGUGAUGGUGCAUUCCCCACAUGGUAAAUGAAAGGUGUGCGUCUCUAGGCGCUACAACUCAACUAGUGCCUAUAUUAAGUCGGCCCUCAGCUCAAACACACGGAUUAAUGUCACUGAUCCAAAUCCCGCGGCAUCUAAGUAGGGUAUAAUUCGUGUGUCUGGCCGAUAGCUCAGACCAUGGCCACGCGACCGCAACACGUGUACGGACCCUAAUCAUAUUACAAAAUUGGUUAAGAAUGUGAAAUUAAAUUUAAAAAAUCACGUACAACUAUGCUAAACAAUACGUACAACAUUAGAACAUUCUCUUACCGGUAAAUGGACCGUCCUAACUGUGUGAUCUUCUGUAGUAAUUAAAGAACUCAUAUCGAUAUCUGCAAAAACAAUUAAAAUUUUCUUAUUCGACUUAACAAAUAAACAAUAUAAAAAUAACGCUUUAUACUAAUACUUAAACUAUUAAUUUUAUCUAAAUUUACCUUAAAAAAUAAUAUCAACCAAUAAAAAUGUGAAAUAUAAUAUAACUACAUAUCUAAAAAAAUAUUAAACUUUUAACACAAAAUUUAAACUAUUACAAAUAAUUAUAAUAACAAAAUAAGUAAAUUUCUGAUUUUUUUUUGGGAGAUCUUCAGCUGUGGAGAGGGAGGGAAGGAGGAAUCAUCCAAAUGUUUGUAAUAUAAAAAAAUUAAAGAUAUAAAUUAAUUAAUACAAACAUGUACUAAUAUAACUAAUUAUACUAAAAAAAUUGACCAUAUUUUUUAUUUGAUUUUCGGAGAUAAUAAAUUAAAUACUAACUUCUUAAUAAAAUAUAAUCCACUUUAAAAAUAUUAAUUAAAUAAAAAAACAAAGAAAGGGAAACUGAAAUUUACCUUUUGUGGUGGUGGUGGGGGAUAGGGGAUCUUCAACUUAAAAAUUUUCGUAUAGCGGUUAGGACCAAACCAACCUACUUUUAUAAUAAAAUAAUAAUAAUUUCAUUAUAUAUUUUUAAGCUGAAACGGUAAAAAAUAAUGGGUAUAAUAAAUUUUUUAGCUAUUGGAACCCGUGCCCGUGACUCGUCGGUCACGGGUCUGGGUUCCAAUACUUAAAAAAAUUAUUAUACUAUUUUUUUACUAUUUCAACUUUAAAAAUAUAUAAAAUAUCUGAGUGUUGCCUGACACAUCCGCGACACCAAUAAAAAAUUAUUUUUUUCGUAUACUGUUAAAAAAACUCGUAUUUUUUGUGUUAAAUACGCGUGUCGUCAAUUGGUUAGGCUACACACAAAAAAAUAUUUUUAAAAAAAAUAUUAAAGUGGUGCCGCCGAUUGGUUAGGCGGCACUGGUAUAUCACUGUUGUAUUUGCCUAUUCUUGUAAAUAUUAAUCUCCUUAUCCUGUUCUGGUAUUUAUUUUAUAUUAUUUAUGAAGAAACCCUCCAUCCUUCCUACCAAUCAUGCCUAUAGAAAAAAGAAAGAAAUUAUAUUUUUCAUCUUUUUAAUUUUUGUACUGUGACACCCUGCAUCCGAACUAGACGACAGAUCUGAAUGUAAGAUGUCACAUCCAUUGUCAAAUCAACUUAGACUAUCAUCAUUCAUACCAUUGAUACCAAAUUAGUGUGUGUGAUAUAAUUAUAAAAAUUUCAUGUUGUACAAGUAAAAUGUGUGUGUUCUAAGUCCAAUGGGCCCACAUAUAUUAUCCCGAGACCACAAGGAGUCAAGAUAUGAAUCCUAACUCAAAGUUUCAAAAUAAAGUGUUGUGAGAUGUGUCUCGAGACAAUGAAGCCAUGUAUCAAGACAUGCUUCUCCUAUUUCAGACUUUUGGUUUUGAAGUACGAUGUCUCGAGACAAUAGGACUCAUGUAUUAAGGCAAUGACCCUUAUGUCUCAAGACAGGUCUUGAGACUUGUCUCUUCUGUUUCAGACCCUUAACUUCGAUGUUGUCUGUCUCAAGGCAUGGCAAUCUAUGUCUCGAGACAUCUUCAUUAUGUCUCGAGACCAUUUCCCAAAAAUGCACAAAAUGGUCAAAUUUAUUCUUAAUUUCUCAAGACCUACUCUUGAUGUCUUGAGACACUAAUAUUAAUAUGUCAAAUUUAAAUACCCAAUGUCAUGCAAAUGGACUCCGAAAUAUAUCCUAAUAAGACCAAUAUGGUACCAAAUCAAUAUACACCAAUUCAACAUAUAACGACACAUUUUAACCAACCAAUCUCAUAGCAUCCAACACAUUACACCAAAACAUAUAUAUCCAACUCAUCAACAACAUCAAAACAGAGAUAUUCAUGUGAAUCAAGUGACAAAGUUCACCAAGUGAACUAAACCAUCCUAAACCAACUAUGUAACACCCCCUAACCCCGAACCAUCGCCAGAACAGGGUUAUGAGGCAUUACCGAACGUAUCAGACAGUUUACAAAAAUUCUUAAAUAACUAACAAACAUAUUGAAUAAAAUCAUAAAUUCAUAAGUUUGUUUACCAAUUGACUUCAUCUCUCUCUCUUUUUUUUGUUUUUAUUAUUAUUAUAAAUUUUAUAAAAAUUUCGGCAGCAUUUCUGCUUAUUUUUACAUAGAACCCCCUGCAAUUAAAACCAUAUCUUUUCCAAAUAUAACCAAAUCAACCAAUUCAUUCCACAUUCACAUUUUCUAUUCUAAUUACUUCUAAUCAACUCAAUCAACAUAAUAUCAAUUUAAAUUUAACAAGGUACUAAAUAAAUCAAAAUAGGUAAACUUCUUUCAUUAUAAAUCUUAAAUUUAUAAUACUAAUAUUUUUAACCAUUUAUAUUAAAACAUAAUAAUCUUUAUACACAUCCUAUGUACAUGCCACAUUUACCAAAGGAAAAAUACAUCACCAAAGUUUUGCUGAAGUCGGGAUUAAUCUGGAUGCUGAACCGGGACCUUUGACUUCUAUCGACCUGCGCACGGAAACAACCGUACGCUGAGUAUUUCAUACUCAGUGGUAUUACCAUAAUUCAAAUUAUAACAAUAAUAAACAUGUAAUGCAUAAUUCGUAUAUACAAUUUAAAUUCAAUAUUUCAACAAUAGCAAUUCAUCAACCAAUAUCGUAUAUCCACAAUUUGAGUUUGAACAAAUCAUGAACCUUAGGUUCAUUUCUCAAUCUCAUUUCACAUUUCAAUUCACAAUUCAACUUUUUCAUAUCAUUUCAAUAGCUCGUUUGACCAACUCGUUCGGUUUAUCAUUUCAUCAUUUACCCUAUUAACAAAACUCGGACUUUGGCGGAUACACGGAUCCAACCAAACACACCAGAAUGGCACCCAGUGCCUCAUCGGAUAGUUCGAAGCAAUAGUUGACACCCAGUGUCUCAUCGGCAAAGCCGAAGAAAGUUGGUACCCAGUACCUCAUCGAAUCUAUCCGAAGAAAUAUAGUGACACCCAGUGUCUCAUCGACUCGAGGUCGAAGUAUCCCUGAACUUUUCCAAUCCUAUGGCAUGCCAACUANNNNNNNNNNNNNNNNNNNNNNNNNNNNNNNNNNNNNNNNNNNNNNNNNNNNNNNNNNNNNNNNNNNNNNNNNNNNNNNNNNNNNNNNNNNNNNNNNNNNNNNNNNNNNNNNNNNNNNNNNNNNNNNNNNNNNNNNNNNNNNNNNNNNNNNNNNNNNNNNNNNNNNNNNNNNNNNNNNNUUGAUUCAAAUUCAUUUUCGACAACUCAAUACAUUUCCGUACAAUGUAAGUCCAUUCACAAUAAUAAUAAUAAUAAUAAUAAUAAUAAUAAUAAUAAUAAUAAUAAUAAUAAUAAUAAUAAUAAUAAUAAUAAUAAUAUUAAUACUAAUAUUAAUACUUACCUCACAUUUCAUUUACUAGACACAUAUAAAUUAAAAUUUAGCAUUUAAUAAUAAAUAACUUGAAUUAUAGUAAUACAAACCCGAAUUUACUCGAUUAUUCCUCAAUAACCUUCUCCUUUCCUUUGUGUGCCGAUGCUUCGAGUUCCUUGUUAGCUACGAAAAUAAUAAUAAUUUACACCAUUAAUUACAACAUAAAUUAAUAAUAAUAAAAUUUCUAUCCAAUUUAUACUUUGAUUCCAAUUUAAUCCUAACUAAAUUUAUCUACUUUUCUAAUUUAAUUCACACUCUAUUUCUAUUCAAAUUUCUUCUAAACUAAAUUUUAUCUACAAAUUUUUCAGCAUUUUUCACUAAUUUCGAAUUUUCCCCAAUUUAAUCCCUAAAAUUCAAAACUUGUAGCUUACUUCACAAUUUAAUCCUUGUAUCAACUCUAACUAGAAAUUCUAUCAAAUAAACCCUCAAUUCCAUCAUUUAUUCAAAAUAAACCCUACUCAAAAAUCUAUUAACUUUCAAAUUUUCAACUUAAAUCCAAGAGUAUUUCACUCUAGGAUUCCAAAAACAUCAAAUUUAUGAGAAAAGGACUUGAUUUUACUUACCUAUUAAACUUCAAGCUUCAAAUCCCUAGUUUUCCCUUUUAUUUUUCUUUCUCCUUUCCUUCCCCUGUUUUCGUCUCUUUCUCUGUUUCUUUUCUAGCUAUUCUGUUUCUUUUCUUCUUUGUUGCUUUCUUUUACUUUAUUCCUUUUAGUCAUUAGUUAAUAAUAAUAAUAAUAUAUUUUAAUAUUAUUUACUUAAAUGAUAAGUAAAUAUGUAAUAAUUACUAAUAUAUGUAUUUCAAUUUUUUUCCACAUGUCUUCAUAUACACCAUACAUUUGUCAACUUUUUUUUAUUAUAAUAAUAAUUUAAUAAUACUAAUUUAAUAAUAAUAAUUUAAUAACAUUUUUUUAACACAUAAAAAUAUCAGAUUUUUAUACUUAUGCCGCCUCAAAUUUGGCAAUUGGCAUAAUUGCCUAUUUAGUCCUUAUUAUUUUCUUUUAAUUUAUAAUUAGACUUUCACUUCUAUUGCAAUUUAAUCCCUUUUUGCUAAUUAUUCCUAAUUAAGCUAAAUUCACCUAUCUAAAACCUAAUUAAAUACACAUCUAGUCUAGUAAAUAUUUCUAAUAAUUAUUUUCAGACUCAGCUUAUUAAGAUGGAGGCCCGAUAUUAUACUUUUCCGAUGCCCGUGAAUUUUGGGUCAUUACAAACUAACCAAAACAUAGAUGAAACUCAUAAAGUUCUGAUAAAUGCUAAAAGUAACAUGUUUUAACUUCAUUAUUAAUGUGUUUUUGGUGAUUACUUGAUGUUAAUUGUGAUUUUUAUGCUUCUAAUCCUUUAAAUUAAUGUUUUAAUGCUUAAUAGAACACUUGGGAGCAAAAAGAGUAAAAGAUGAGUGAAAACUGGAGUAUUGGAGCAAGCUGCAAGAGCCAUACGGGCUGAACCAUUCCACACGGCUAGACUAUAUGGGCGUGUGGUAGGUCGUGUCAAUUUCACAGGUUUUCACACAGAAUUUCACAAAAUCGUGAUUUAUAGGUUUUUUGGGUAUUCUAAGACGCAUAUAUGACAAAAAUAAGAAGAUAGGAGUGAGCCACCAAAGAAUACUCAAGAAAACAACUCAAAAAACAUCAUUAAAGCCGAUUCUGAAGUAGAUUUUUGUCAAGAUUGAAGAUUCCCAUUUGAUUUCUUAAGAAGUUAUCAAGAGUUUCUUUGUUUCUUUUGGUUAUAUUGUAUCUGGGAUGUUUUUAUUUUCAAGCAUGAACUAAUUUUCUAAAUACCUUGGGGAGAUGAACCCUAUGAUGGAUUAUGUCGUUUGAUUUUUAAUUUACGCAAUAAAUACUUAGUUUCUUGUUCUCAAUUAUGUGUGCUUAAUUCUUGGUUUAAUAUUUCUAGAUUAUUGAUCCAUGUUUGAUGUGCUUAAAUCAGUAGUUGAAUAAACCCUAUUUAAUAGUAGAUAUUGUGUAAUUGAGUGGAGUUGCAUGCAAUUCUAGAAAUAGGAUGACAUAAAUCUAUCAGAUUAUGUUCAAAUCUAAUAGGGGGAUCCAUAACACGAGUUAAUAUGAUAAUAGGGGUUUUAAUUAGAAAGAAAUCUCAAUUAAUCAACCAAGAAUCAAUUGCUCUUAUGCUCGAAAUAAAUAUUAGCAUAAUUUAGCGGUUUCUAUGGAUCAAUGUGCUAAGUAAAGAAAUUGCUUAAUUUAGAUUGAUAGUGACAAAUGAAAUCUACGCAGAUUUUUUCUUGGGUAUUGUUUUCGCUUCUUGGUUGUUAAUCGAUUAUUUUCCUGAUUUGUUCUUUGUCAUGUUCGUUAGUUAAUAUAAUUAAUUAAUUUUAGUUUUUAAUCAAUUACUUGAAUUAUUCAGUUAAAUAAUAAAGAGACGAAAAUUACUAGUACUUUUAGUCUUCGUAGGAACGAUAUCUUUGCUUACCGUAGCUAUAUUAUUAAUUGAUAGGUGUACUUGUCUUAUUCAAAAUUUUAGUUUGUUUCGUGACGCAUCUAGUUCCCUAUUAACCUAGGUGCAUGGUGUUUAUAGUCUAGGUUCGAAAAAAAGAUUACAAACAUUAGUUUGAAUUGAGAUACAAAUCUUCGAAUGCUACCAAAAUUUCACAAUCUAAUCAGAUAUCUAAUUAUUAUCUGCGCACAAAAACAAAUAUAUUCGUACACUGAGUAUUGGAAACUCAAUGAUGUUAACAUAAUAUGAUUUUAAAACAUAAAAUAUUAAGUAAAUAAGUAUACUAUUAAAUCUUGUUCGAACAAGAAUGGUAUUCAAAUAAAGCCCUCCCAACAAUGUCGCGUGGAUGAUUAUUAGUUGCUCCUAACAAUGUUUUCCAUCAUCUUAACUCAUUUCUCCUUAUUUUCGAUUAAUGAUUUACAACCUUCAACAUUUGACUUGUACUCCUAGAGCUUUACCACCUUCAACGUUUUGUCCAUCACUUCACCACGACUUUUGAUAGUCACUAGGUGUGAGCAAAACUCGAUUUGACUAAAAAAAUCGAAAAAAAUUUAAAUUUCAAGUUAAACGAAUUGAGUUAUUCAAGUUAAUAAAGUCAAGUAGAUUUUUUUUCGAAUUUUGAGUUCGAAUCAAGUUGAAUUUUCGAAUUCGAAUAACUCGAAUAAUUCGAAUAAACCGAACACAAAACUAUGCUAUUUUAUAUUUUUACCCCAAACCCCAAAACCAUUUUACUUUCCCCCAAAACUUUUACUCCCCUCCCAUCUCACCCCCAUCUACCCCAAACUCAUUUUCCUCCCAAAUGUUUUUUUAAUAUCCCCCUGCCCAAAUUUACCCCCUCAAACCCUCAAAACUUUCUAUUUUCCCCCUAAACUUUUACUUCUCACCCUUUACCCCCAAAUCAAAAAUCAAAAUCAUCCAAAAAAAUCAUUAAACCUAAAUAGUAAUACUUUUAUUUAUAUCUACUAUUUAUAUUAUUAAAUUAAUUUUCACAUUUUGUACUAUUUAUAUUAUUGAAUUAUUUAAUCAUAUUGAAUCUUUAUAUAUUUCUGUUAAAAUUGAAUUAUUCAUGAUGCCAUAAAGUAUUCGUGUUAAAAUUUUAUGUUGGUAUCAAUUUCACAUUUUAUCCUUAAGAUAACUUCUACUAAAAUUUGUUAUAGGAGGAAGGGUUGAGUAAAAUUCGAUUCAAUUUAAAAAUUUGAUAAAUUUUUCAAGUUUGAAUUAUUUGAGUUAAUCAAGUUAUUUGGAUUAACUCAAAUAAAAAAUUAAGUUUUUUAGUUUAAUUCGAAUAUGAUUUACACAAUUUGAGUUAUUAGAAAAUCCGAAUAAGAAAAAGCAAAAUUAUGUCGUUUUGAUAAAUGUCUAUUUUUUUAAAAUUAAAAGUUAAAAUUAUUAAGUUAAAAGGUAAAACUAUGUUGUUUUGAUAAACGUUUACUCAUUAAAUUAAAAGGCAAAACCAUUAUAUUGUUUACGUAGUUAAAUAAUUUUGUACUUUAUUUACUAAUUAAAUAAUGGUUCAUGUAAACGUAACAUUGAGUAUAAAUAAUAGGAUUCGUUAGCUCGACUCAAUUUGACUUGAACUUUUAUGACUCGAUUCAAUCCUAUUCGAAAAAAAUUCAAACUGAAUUUGAUUGCUGAAAUAGGAUUCGUCAACUCGAUUAACUUAAAAAAAUUUAACUUGAUUUGACUUGAUCGAAUACGCAAGGGGAAGAUUUUCUUUAAAGCUAAUCCGAAGAUGUAAAGGUGUAAAGAGGCUCUUCUUGUUUAGAAGCAGAUAAAAAAUUUCCCCCUCAAAAAGAUACAUGGAUGAUAGGGAAAGAUUAGAAAAGCUAUGGGUUGUAUGAAAAUAGUAUGUGCUCCGAAACACUCGAUUAUUGCAUCUUAUUCAUAUACAGAUGUCGUUGUCAUGCAAAAGAACAAAUUCCCAGCAGAAAAAUAUCCGUAGACUUGACAGUUACAGCAUAACUAACAUGGCUACUGUUGCAAAUUUAAAAAAAUUUAUUUUCUGUGCAAAAGUCAGAUUCUGUCAAGAAUGCACUUUACUUUCUCUAUUGACUUGGACACGUGUCCACUGCUUCUUGCCCUUUUGUGUCGAAAACUCUUAUUUAUCAUUAGUCCUAAGGAAAAUUUUAUCCACGACAGAUUUUGGGUUACUCAUCAUGAAGAUUUUAUUUUAUUUUUACCUUUCUUCAUCGAAAUGAACUCACAAAGAAGUUAAACCCAUAACUUCCGAUGAUCAAAUCUAUAACUCACAAAACACAGAAAAAGGGUACUUGAAGGAUCUAGGGCUUUGUGCAAUUCAACAUCAGUAUUAUAGGCUAAGAAAAAAUGGAGGGGGGAUUACAGAAUAUGGUUUGUUCCUUCUCAAAGGACACAAAAUCAAGAUCCCCUUCUUUCUUGGCGGCAACGGCGGUGGAGCAGUGCCGACGAUUCUUUCGGCGAUGCCAUUCGUAUUUGUCAACAGGCCUCCCAAGCAAGUUAUCUUGUUGUGGAGGUGUUCAAAUCUUGCUUUAUCGCCGGUGUAUGGCGUUGGGCUUCAAGGUUCUCAAGCGAUUAAAAGGCGAUUAGUGUAACGUUAUUAACCCUUUCAAAUCCAGUUAGGUUUCAUAUUAUGAAAAUGGGUAACUAGUUCAAAUACUUUUCUUUUCUAAUAUGUAAAAAGUAGUUUAUAUUUUUUUUUAAAAUCUUCAACGUCAAAAUUAAAGCAAAACUCUCCUCAAUGACAUAAAAUAAUUGGUAGAAAAUUAGAAAAAGAUUAUGAAGAACAUGUUCUUUUAAUUAUUUUAUGAAACUUAUUUCUUUAUCGAUUAAAAGAUGGGUUUACUUUUAAUUAAUAAGAAAUGUUGUAAUAGAGAUGAUUAAUAAACAAUUUUUCUCAAAUAAAAAAAUUAUUAAAAUGACUCAAAUAUUGGACUAUUUAGAAAAAUAAUCUAAAAUCUACUCUAAAAUUGGAUGUCACUUCCCAAUGGGCCACUACUCAAUAAAAUGUCUUCAAUAAUUGUCUCAUAAUUGAUUCACUUAAAAAAAUAACUAUUUUCGUGCCACCGCCUAUAUAAGUAGGAAUGAGCAAAAUUCAAUUCGAUUUCAAAAAACUUGAUAAAAAAAUUAAUUUUGAGUUAAAUAGUUCGAAUUAUUUGAGUUGAUCAAGUUAUUCGGAUCAACUCGAAUAAAAAAUUAAGUUUUUCUGUUUAACUUGAAUAUGAAUGACACAAUUCGAGUUAUCCGAAUAAUAAAAGGCAAAACUACGUCAUUUUGAUAAAUGUUUACUUUUUUAAAAGUUAAAAGGCAAAAUACAUUAUUUUGAUAAAUGUUGACCCAUUAAGUUAAAAGACAAAACAAUUGUAUUGUUUAUGUAGUUAAAUAAUCUUGUAUUUUGUCUACUAGUUAAAUAAUCGAUCCAUGUAAACGCAACAUUGUGUAUAAAUAAUAGGAUUCGUUAACUCGACUCAACUUCACUUGAAAUUUUUUGACUAGAUUCGAUUCGAUUCGAAAAAAUUCAAAUUGAGUUUGGUUGCUAAAAUAGGAUUCGUUAACUCGACUAACUGGAAAUUUUUUUACUUGACUCGAUCGAAUACUCACCCCUACAUAUAAGUUUUCUCAAAUACUUUCCAAUGCGGCACCCAUAUAAGAUAAAAAGAUAUUGAGAUUAUUAAAAAAAAAAAGAUAAUUAAAAAAUUAUUUUUAUUAAAUAAACUUUUUUACUGUAUUUUCACGGGUAUUCUCGAAGUAAAAAGAUAAAAAAAAUUAUUAUUUUUAUUAAAAUCUAUAAUGAGAUUAUUCAAAAAAAAAAUUUGAAGUAUAAUUAAAUUAAUUUGGCGCCUCCAUCAAUCUCAUUAUAGAUUUUAAUAAAAAAAUUAAUUUGUUCAAAAAAAUUUAUAAUGACAUUGUUAAAAAAAAAAGAGAUUAUAUUAAAGGUAUGAUUAAUUUAUUUUAUUGAUGUUUUUUUGGUAUCUUAUAUUAGAUUUUCGUAUUUAAGGGAAACGUUAUUUUUUGUUUUUGUGUUUUAUUAAGUUUAAGUUUGUAUUAAAGGUAUAAUUAAUUUGUUUGAUUAAUGUUUUUGAAGUAUCUUAUAUCGGUUUUUCGUAUUUAAGGUAUGAGCAUAUUUUUUUAUAAGUCAUUUGGGUUUAUUUAAUGUUUGGUUAUUUGAGUUUAUUAAUAUAAUUGAUAUGUUAUAUUAAAUUAUUUAUUAUUUUAAAUUAAUGUUUAACAAUAUUUUAAUUAAUAAAUGUGACAAAAAUCAGGGUGAGUUCACGUACCAAAUUAAGCGAUCACACGGUACGAAUGAUAAAUGAGACGGUAAAAAAAUUAAUUAUGUCCGAUCGAGAAGUUGAAAUGCUAAAUUCACGGAAUUAUUUUUUAGUUGAUCAAUUUUUUUUAAUUGACAGGAUGAGUAUCAUUCUUUGAGGGCACUAGCCAUGGGCCUGGCUACUGUCCGGGAGACUUUAUAAUGCCAUACUUGGAAAUGGCAGGAUUUGGUCAACGGGUUUAAUCGAGAUGUUUGAGUUGUGGUUUGAUGUAAUAUCCAUAUUGGUUGAGCAAUGGCGGCCGGAGACCCACACAUUCCAUUUACUGUAUGGGGAGUACACUAUCACACUUGAGGACGUCGCACUACAACUCGGGCUACCAAUGGAUGGUUAUGCGAUCACUAGUUUCAAUAAAGUGGUCGAACUUGUGGCCUUGUGCGACAGUUUGCUUGGUCAACUGUCAGAUGAUGGGAAGAAUAAAUUUACUAGUUCUGAAUUUUGGUUGGUUAAAACAAGAUUUCAAAAACAUAUUGAGCAGUGCCACGGAGUUGGAGCUUAUGUGCGCUGCUUGAGCAUUUAUUAUGCAGCUGAUAGGGUGUAUUGAUGCCGGAUGCGAAGAAUAAUAAAGUCCAUACUUGUCCCAUUGUCAGAUUUACGCGUCGCUUGAGAGUACAUUUGGGGGUCGGCAGUAUUGGCAACACUGUAUCGUGAGCUAUGUCGGGCUACAAAGCAUGAUACGCAAGAAAUAAAUGGCUGUCUAAUACUGCUGCAAUCAUGAGCGUCGUAUAGGAUGUCAUUUUUGGCAUCAGUGGGUCACCAACCACCAAUGUGGCUGCUUGUAAAUAGGUAAGAAAAUAUCAAUAAUAACCCAACCAACAAUUAAAUUUUUUUACACACAUUUAUUUGUUAACAAUUUUCUUUUGUUGGCAAAUGGUCUACAUACCCUGCUAUAGGGAGGUCCGUACAACUUGGGGUAUAUCGUCAAAUAAUUGAGGUGUAUUCCGGGGAGGAGGUGGAAUUUUUAUAAAAAUGUCAAUAAAAACUGUAUUUGGUCACGGUAGUAUAGCUAUGUUAAAUACUUUGCAGUUCGUGUGGAUGACAUAUUCUGUGUCGGACGUUGCCGUUGUUAUUCCGCAGUGGGGUCAUGCACACUCAACCGUGUGGUGCAUCAACGCUUCGGUGUUGAAUUUCUCGAUUGUUGAGUGGUAUAACGGCGACCGAUUCCUUCAAAUACAAUUUGAUUGCAAACAACAGUAUAAAUAGGUCCGCACAAUCUUGAAUAUUAAAAAUAUUGUUUUUAAAAUGUCUAUACUCGAUUUUAGCUUAAAGUUUUUGUUCUCAAUUACUCUGAAAAAAUUCAUAAAAUUUCGAUAAAGUGUCUAAAUUCACCAAAAAAAAAUAUUGAUGUCGGUAGGGUUAACAUAUAAAAGAAAAACUGAAAUUGGAGCCUAAAUAGAAUCUAAAUUAUAAGAUUCGUUUAUAAAUAGAACAAAAUAGAGGAACAGACAGCUCAAGCGUUCAAAAACCAGGGAUAGGUCCAAAACCACUUGACGCCCGUUCCCUAUAAGUGGAAUUAUAAUGCAGAAUAAUAAAAUAUCCCAACAUUUUUCAUUUUGUCGACUCUGCGCUGUUUCCUUCAACCUCGUCUAUUCACUGAGUAUAAUAACAUUAAUGUAUUAUUGUUUUAUAAUGUUGGUCAACUUCAUCAUACCUCCCAAGAUUGAUUCCUAUGAUUUUGACAUAUUUUUGAAGAAUUAAUAUCCUUUUUUUUAAAAUAAAUACUAAUAAUUAAGCUUUUAGUGAACAGCGUACAUAAUUGAGUCAUCAUAAUAAAAUAAUUAAUUAGACCUUCUCGUCAAUGAAAAUUAUUGUUGAUUAGUUUGAUUGUUGAUAAAUGUUGACGUGGUAGAUGGAAAUUGACUUGUAGUAUGCUAUGUGGAUAAGUAUGUUGAUGUAGCAUGUCAUGAGAGGUAUAUUUAAAAAAAUAAAAAUUUUAAAAAAUUAUUAAAACAUGUAUGCAUAGAAUGAACUUAGACAAAUGAUUAUUCAAAUUCAUUCUGGAUAUGGUUCAAAAUACUAUAAAAAUUAUUAAAAAAUGAUCAGAGAACUAAAACCUAUUGAAAUAAUUAUUAAAAAUUAUUAGUUCAAAUAUUUAAAGGUAGCAUAUAAAAAGUAUUACUUUGAAACCAAAAAGCUGUUAACUUUUUAAAUGGAGUUAUUAUUUUUAAUUUGUAACAGUCUAUUUUUCAGUGGUAUCCGAAACAGUGGCUCGAGGCCACCAAAUCCGGAGAGGAAGCUCGUAAAAUUUAUUAUUUAAUAUUUACGAGUCAAAUGUAGUUUUAAAAAGAUUUUUGAAUUGGUAAUUAUGUUUCAUAAUGAAUUAUUAGGUUCGAGUGGUAAAACCCUAGGUCAAGUGGUUUUAGAAAAUGAGGUAUCGAGACCUCGUUUCUAUAAACCAAGCCGUAAAUAUUUUUAUAAAUAUUUACGGUGUCAUUAAGGUGGUAUUAAAUUUUUGUUGAAAAAUUUUAACGUUUCGGCAGUUAUUUAAUUAAAAAGAACUAAAUUGAAAAAGGUGCAAAACUUGCUAAUUAUAAUAAUUAAAUGAUUAAAUAGCUUAAUUAAUAAAUAAGGAAGGACUUAAGAAAUAAAUAAACCCAAAUUAAAUGGUGAGGCGGCAUAACAAGAAAAAAAUAAUAAAAUAAAGCCAUUGGCAAAAUGGUAAAUAAGUUGAAGUUAAAAUAAAACAAAUUGAUUUUAAAGUUUUCUAUGCAGUUCUUCUUGAACAUUCGGCCAAAACCAGCAUUAGAGAGAAAGUUUUAAGCUGGUUAUUCAUAUCUUGGUUUCAUGUGAGUCCAAUUCUUACCUGUUUCUUCUAUUUUUAUAGUUUUUAGAUUGUUACAAUUAGGACUAAUUAAAUUUUACUUUAGUUUUUGAAUUUAUUAAAAAAUUAUUAAAUUUCAUGCACAUACAUCAAGACAUCUAAGCAUAUUUUACUUCUUAAGCUGAAUAUCAAAUAUGUCAAUUCAUACUUCUAUUCAUGUGCAUAAAACCAAACAAUCCAUAUCGCUCGGCUUAUUGUCCAUUAGAAAAUGCAACAUAAUCAAUUUCACCAAUAGUCAAGUUUAGCAUAUAAACAUCUUAGCCACUAAUGCAUUUAACCUUAUCAACUAUGCACCACUUUUUUUUUUUUUAAACUCAACUAAUAAGUCAUACAUGCCUAACUUCCCAUUUAAGUACAAAACAUGUGUAUGCUUUGCCAUUCAUCUUAUCUUCUAUUUGGCUAGCAAACUAACCAUACAAUUUACACCCAAUUCGCAUGCUAAUUAUUAAGCCUAAAAUACAUAUAAAACCAAUACAUACUUUAUUCACUUGACUAACAUUAACCAUUUUCCAAGUACUUUAGCCAUUCAAAAAAAACCAAUUCCAUACAGUAUAAAUCAUAUCAAAAUUUCAUAUACACACCCUAAUCAAUUUAUAAUCUAUAUAUCCGGUCAUGCAAAUUAACUUCUAUAUAAUAUUUAAAUCACAUUCAAUCUUUGCCAUCCUAUAUUAAGCCUAAAUAGUCAAAUCAUAAUAAUGGCAUAAACAUUUCAUAAACUUAAAAGAACACAUACCAAUGCAAAUAUUUCAUACUUACAAUAAUAAGUCAAUUACCAUAAUCGAUCAUACCACUAUGUAUACAUAUAACACAUUUUGUAAUUCAAGCAUUAAAACCAUUAGUCCUUUACAUAUCGAAUUAUCAAAUAACUUAUCAAAGACACACACACACAUAUAUAUAUAUAUAUGUGUGUGUGUUUACAUUUCAUCUACCGAUUAUAUAAUAAUAUAUCAAUUUCCANNNNNNNNNNNNNNNNNNNNNNNNNNNNNNNNNNNNNNNNNNNNNNNNNNNNNNNNNNNNNNNNNNNNNNNNNNNNNNNNNNNNNNNNNNNNNNNNNNNNNNNNNNNNNNNNNNNNNNNNNNNNNNNNNNNNNNNNNNNNNNNNNNNNNNNNNNNNNNNNNNNNNNNNNNNNNNNNNNNNNNNNNNNNNNNNNNNNNNNNNNNNNNNNNNNNNNNNNNNNNNNNNNNNNNNNNNNNNNNNNNNNNNNNNNNNNNNNNNNNNNNNNNNNNNNNNNNNNNNNNNNNNNNNNNNNNNNNNNNNNNNNNNNNNNNNNNNNNNNNNNNNNNNNNNNNNNNNNNNNNNNNNNNNNNNNNNNNNNNNNNNNNNNNNNNNNNNNNNNNNNNNNNNNNNNNNNNNNNNNNNNNNNNNNNNNNNNNNNNNNNNNNNNNNNNNNNNNNNNNNNNNNNNNNNNNNNNNNNNNNNNNNNNNNNNNNNNNNNNNNNNNNNNNNNNNNNNNNNNNNNNNNNNNNNNNNNNNNNNNNNNNNNNNNNNNNNNNNNNNNNNNNNNNNNNNNNNNNNNNNNNNNNNNNNNNNNNNNNNNNNNNNNNNNNNNNNNNNNNNNNNNNNNNNNNNNNNNNNNNNNNNNNNNNNNNNNNNNNNNNNNNNNNNNNNNNNNNNNNNNNNNNNNNNNNNNNNNNNNNNNNNNNNNNNNNNNNNNNNNNNNNNNNNNNNNNNNCAGAAUAGGGUACGAGGUAUUACCAGAACAUAUACACUUUUAACCAUAUUAAACCGACUUGUAAAAUUUCAUCUAAACUAAAACUUUCAAAUUGUUAUUCUUGAUUCGCUAAUUAGGGUUUACAUAGCCCAAUAUACUCACAAUCUUUCAUUUCCUCGUCGUAUGAAUUUAAAAAUUUCCAUUUACUUAUUGAAUUUAUCACGAGUACCUGAAUUGAUCCGUAUCAUUACAUAUUCUCAUGUCGUCACAUUUUCCUAUUUAACUAUUGUAAUAUAUCAAUUACUCAAUAUCUUAUAAACUAAGUGUCACAUAUACAUUAUCCAUUCAUCUCCCAUACAACUAUCAAUAUUAGCCACAAAGAUAGAACAAAUUUUCUCUAUUCGAUGUUAAAUCAAAACAUGUUACUUCAUUACCAACUACCCUUACUCAGUAUACACCUUAAAUUAGCCCAAGUGUUUAACCAAUCACACAUGACAUAAAUAUAUUUUAUCUAUUAUUGUAGAAUAUAGAUGUGCUACCCAAAUCAUAAUUCACCUCACAUAAUAACUGAGUUAACUUUUAUCAUUUGUCAAAUAAAUUACAAAACAAAUUAUAUAACAAAAUAUAGAUACAUUUUAAACCUCACCAAAAAAACAAAUUCUCAUGGCAUUAAAUAAUUAUCACGCAUCAAAGACAAAUGUAUUUGAUAUUUCUAUCACACAAACUAGAUUAAUCAGUGCAACCUCAAUGAUGUAAUCAUCCUUUUAACUUACUUAACCAAGCCAAAUUAUACCAUCAUCUCACACAUAGAAUGACCCACCUAUCAUACUUCUCAAUUAUGUCACUUAAUAGACCAAAUAUACCUAAUCUUUAUCAUCAUGAUCAAUCCACAACCAAAAUACAUCCAUAUAUCUAAAUUACCACACACACAUAUAUAUAUACCAUACACACAUACUAUAAAACUUUAUUUUCCCCAUGAGCUUAAAUCAUGACCAAUAAUGCACAAAUAUAAGUAUCAUUUCUAUUUCAUCGUUUAUCAAUUAUAAUCGAACAUAUGACCAAUUAUAGACAAAUCAUUUAUAUAUUCUCUAAUUUUCCUCCUCCUUCUCUCCAUUCCACAUCCUUAAUGUGUAUAAUACAUUUAAGCAACAUUUUCCAUACUAUCACUAUUUUCCUGUAUGUAAAUUCAAGCUGUCUAUCAGAGUCAGAGUCACUAAUUUAUUUAUAUCUCGAUCUACAGAGCUAAAAAUUAAGAUCCGUUAAUUUUCCCUGAAACUAGACUCAUAUAUCUUUUUACCAUAAAAUUUUUAGAAUUUUUGGUUAAGCCAAUAAGUACAGUUUAUUCUUUAAAGUUUCCCCUGUUGCACUGCUCGACAGUUCUGACCUCUCUUCACUAAAAAUUGAUUAUCUCAUUGUACAUAAUUCAGAUGGUAUUCUCGUUUAUUUAUAAUGAAAAUAUACUCAUUUAGGAUUCUAAAAAUAUAAGGUUUAACCCCUAAUUAAUUUUUUACAAUUUUUAAUGAUUUUCCAAAGUCAGAACAGGGGAUUCCAAAAUUAUUCUGACUCUAUCUCACAAAAUUUACUAUAUCUCAUGAUCUAGAAUUCCAUUACUUACACCGUUUCUUCUAUGAGAAACUAGACUCGAUAAGAUUUAAUUUCAUAUUUUACUCAUAUUCUAAUUCGAUUCCCACGAUUUUUGGUGAUUUUUAAAAGUUGGCACACUGCUGCUGCCCAAAAUUGUUUUAGUGCAACAUUUUGAUUACCAUUUUGACCCUAAACUUUUAACACAUGAGAAUUUCAUCCUUAGGCUCGGAAAAUGAAAUUCUUGCAAUUUAAUCCUUGAUCCAAGCCUAAUAGUUCUCAUACAUAUCAAUAACAGCCCAUGGAUCCCAUGAAAUUUCAGAAUUUCUCCACAAUUUCAAUACUUUUCAAUUUAAUCCCUAAAACAUGUUUUCAUCCAAAAUUCUUUAAUAAAACACCUUUAAACAUCCAUUAACAUCUCAAUUUCAUCAUAAAAUAACAAAAAUCAUAUGAAAUUAUCAUUGGUAUCUUCCAAAACUUUCAACAAAAUGAGAAACUAGUAGAAUACUAAGUUGGAUCUAAUUGUAAAAGUCUAAAAAUAUAAAAAUUUCAAGGAAAAAGCAAGAAUUAAACUUACUUGAAGCCAAAAUAUGGAAUACCAGCUCCAAACCNNNNNNNNNNNNNNNNNNNNNNNNNNNNNNNNNNNNNNNNNNNNNNNNNNNNNNNNNNNNNNNNNNNNNNNNNNNNNNNNNNNNNNNNNNNNNNNNNNNNAUAAAAUUUGGCCACAUAAACUUUAUUGUAAUUCCAAUUUUGUCCUUAAAUACAUAAAAAUCUUUGAUUUUUUUAACGGUAUGCCGCCUCUGCCACUUAAGUUGGUCCAUUUGCUCCUUUAGUCCUUUCUUAUUUAAUUGUUAAUCUAUUUAAUCACUUUAGCAAGUUUUACAUCUUUUCAAUUUAGUCCUUUUUAAUUAAUUGACUGCCGAAAUGUUAAAAUUUUUUGACGAAACUUUAAGACUACCAUAUUGACACUCCUUAAAUAUUUAUAAAAAUAUUUAAGGCUCGAUUUAUAACAUCGAGGUCUCGAUACCUCUUUUCCUCAAUUUCUUAACUUAAUAAAUUUAAAAAAAACACAAAUUACUAAUUUAAAAAUCUCUUAACAAUCAUAUUUGACCCGUAAUUAUUGAAUAAUAAAAUUUACGAGCUUAUUUUCUGAAUUUGGUGGUCUCGUACCACUGUUUUCAACAUUUCUAAAAAUCGGGCUAUUACAAAAAUAUCCUACAUUAAGCAUCCAUCAAAAGCAUAUCCAUUUUGUACUAUCAGAACAUAACCUUCCUCAUAUAAGAUGAUAUGGUAUUAAAAUUCAAAUGACAAUUUGCUUGGCUACCAUGUGAAAACUUGUUCCAAGACAUUUAAGUGAUUAUAACGAGUGAAGUUCUCAUAGUUGAUCAUAUUUGAUGAACUUGUUUACAAAAAAGGACCCAUUGUUAUCCUUCAAGCUUCUUGCAUACUUCAACCUAUAGAAUUGGUUGCAUGUAUCUAAUAUAUUGUAACACCCCUCACUCGUCUCCGUCAGCGGAUUAAGGUUAUGAAAUACUACUGCACAUAACAGAAUCAUGCUAUAUCAAUUCGAAUUUCUCUAAACAACCAGUAAUUAUCAAUCUUAUAGUCAAAAACAUGUUAUUCAUACAAUAUCAAGGUUAAAUCGAGCUUACUAAAGCUCUAAAAAUAAUUCAAAACUAAUUAGGGACUAAUUUGAAUAAUUUUAGAAAAGUGUGGCAAAAAUGAAAAAUAAGGGUCACAUGGCCAUAUGGUUAGGCGGUGUGGUAGGCUGAGGCCAUUUGGAGUUGAACCACACAGCUGUGUCCCCAAACCGUGUAACAGACUGAUGCCAUAUAAUCCAAGGUCACACGGCUGUGUCUUUAGGCUGUGUAACUAACUGUGGCUGUGUAGGUCUAAUUGUCACCUAAAUCAUAUAGACCACACGACCAUGUCAUCUACCCGUGUAAGACACACGGCCGUGUGUCAGACCGUGUGUACAUAUAAAUACCUUUUCAAAUAAGUUACAUAUCCUUAAAUUUAUUUACCCUACAAGCAAGCAUUGAACCAUUCUUCAACCUAUUCAAACCCAUAAAAAAAUAUAUCAAAACACAACUUAAAUCAUCCUUCCUAAGGGCCUAACCAAUGUGCCAUUAUGACCCCAUCAUAACCGAAUUCAAAAUUUAAAACUUAAUAAAAAAUACAAGCAAAUAUCAUCUUUGUGCAUCUUACCAAGAAUGCUUCAUAAUAUUUAUCUUUUAACCAAAUUAAACAUGCAUCCACUACCACCAGAGUUGAUCACAUAUAAACUUGCAUUUCAAUCAUACAAUUACUUUUGUAUAUAAUAAAAACUUACCAUAUCCAUGAAGCAACUUAAUAUCAUAAUUGCAUAUACCACAAUAAUCAACUAACACAUAUACCAAGGAUUUCACCCAAGUUUAACCAUUUCCCAACCAUUUCAUAAUCUAAGAUCAAGCAUACCAUAUUAAGUAAUUGCAUUUACGACUAUUUGUAUUCUACUAAGAUAAUCAAAUUAUCUGUAUAAUUUGUUGAUGGAUGCAUAUAUUUGAAAACCUUAAUGCUUGUUUACUUUGUAAUAUACUAAACUUAGGUGUUUGAUAUUGAAAGUGGUAAGUUUUUUAUAUAUCAUGUCAAAAUUAUGUGUAAAAAUGAAAAUGCCUAGUUACGUACUCCAACACCAAUCUUUGUACCGUACUUGCUCAAGGGAUGUAUUUUACUUUUUGUUUUUAUUUUGCUUUACUUGAGGACAAGCAAUAAAUUAAGUGUAGGGGAGUUUGAUCUGUCGUAAUUCGGUGUAGCAAAUUAAACUAGUUUUCAUACUUCAAGAGCUUAAAUAUGAGCAAUUUUAGUAUGUAUUAUUUAUGUUUUCUUAGUUUAGUUAAAUUCAAUAAAAAGGGCAUUUUGAGUCUUUUAUUGACCUUAGGAUUCAACAGAGGCCUAAAGGCAAGCUAACGUACUUAGUAAGUGUGUAGGAGACCAUUCAAAGGCGUAGGAACUCAAACCUAGUUAUUGUGUUGCAACACGGGAGGUUCGAUGUCGCAACAUAGGGAGCAAAAUGUUAGGAUUGAUAUACCGCCUUAAGUGUCGUGACAUAGCCAAGGGAAGUCAUGACACGCCCCUGAAGCUACCCUUGAUGUCAUACCCCGAAAUUAGGGUUAGAAGAAUCAAGAUUUGCAAGUUAAGUCAAAGGUCAUGGUUAGAUUUUUAAGUUUAACCUUGCUUUUUAGAGUUAGAAUGAGCCUGUUGGUUUAGUGGUAAGGAGUUAGCUUACCAGUUGGUCUUGUGUUUGAACCCUUGCAUGUUCAAUCAGGGAUUAUUCUUUUUGUUAUUUUUCUGUUGUGUAGUUAAGUGGUUAAGUUUAGUUGAAACUGAAUUUAAAUGUGUCUGAUAUGGGGUUAGUGAGGUUGAGAGGAAAAUUCUAAUUUUAGAAAAAAAUCCCCAAGUUUUCUCACAUUUAUUUUCUUCUCUCUCUCUCAUCAAUUUUUCUGUUUCACUUCUCCAAUUUCAAUUUUGGAUUCUUUUGCUUCAAUAUCCUCUUAUUCCAUUACUUUCUUUGUUCGUUUAUUAUUUCUUUUUUUUAUUCACUGCUACUAUACUCCAAAAUUCUAUUAUUUUGUAGCAUCACAUUGGUGUCAACAUAAUUGUUAAUUGUCGCUCCUCAAAGGUUUCAUCUGUCCUCUUGAUUUAUGUUUGUUCAAGUGUUGAAUCGGGUGAGUGUAAGUGUCAUUUUGUUGAGUUUUACAUUGGUUCUUUGAUUCUUUUAUAUUUGGUUUUGUCCGAAGUUCUUAUAGGUUUAGUAUGUUGUGAAAUUGAGCUUUCAUAUCGAUAGAAUAGAGGUGUAUCAGCCAAUCUUUGGUGCUUGGAAGCGCAUUUUCAGGUGUGUUUCUUCAACACUCAUAAUUAGGGGUGGUUUUAUGGUUAAUUUUUGUGAUUUGUAGCAGGAUUUGGUGUGGUUUUUGGACCACACGGGCGUGUGUCGCACACGAAUGGUCUACACAGCUAUCUACCACUCUAAAAGUUAGGGUAACUUUAUUGUCACACGGCAUUGGAUUUCUCUCCUGCUUCUUGUUGUUAAAUUUUGUCACAAGAGCAAGGAGAGUUACAUGGUUUGCCCACACGACUGUGUAUCUCAGCCACACGGCCGUGUCCCUCAGCCAUACGACUGUGUACCCCGGUCACACUGUCGUGUGGUGCUGUUUUUGUAGUUUUUCCCCUUUUUAUCAUAUUGAUUCGUUUUAGUUCCUGAGUGAUCCAUUGCAUGUUUAAGCCUCUAUAGAAGUGGUUGGGACACGAUUAAUGAUUGUUGAAUGUCUAUGAAUGAGGCAUUAUUGUUUGGAUUUAUGUAUUAACAUGUAUACAGGCAUUAAGAUUCUUCUAUUCGUACAAGCUGCUAAUUUGAUUUUAUUGUGAUAAAUUUUAAUUUAUGGGAUUGUUUGGAUGUGAUAAUUAGAAAUUGUGUAUAAUGUUGAAUCCGCUAUUUUGGUAAUUGAUUAUGAGUGUAUAGGAAAUAUUGGAAACUGAACAAGAGUAUGAUUGAUUCAAUAUAUUUGACUGUAUUGAGAAUUUUGCAUAUACAUUAUGGUUGGGUUUUGAUUUUGAAGAGAAGUUUGAUUUGGACUGCAUCAAUAUAACUUGGCGGUAAAACCACAAUAAUGUUAGUAGCUUGACUGCAUAAUAUUCAAGUGGCAUGUGACCAACUUAAGGUGUGUAUCGGUUGGAUGGGUCCACCAUAACCCAAAUUUGGUGUGUAAAGGAUGGAAGGGUCUAGAGUACCUUAUUUGGUGUGCAGGUUGGACAAAGUUGGUGUGUUUUGAUGGUUGGGCGGGUUUUAUUUGCAUUUUCACGCGUUUAGGUAUUAUCUACAUAUAUGAAUGUGUAAUACUUGUGAAUGGAAUUGCUUAUUCAAUAUGUUUAACUAUUAUGAAUUAUAUGGGAUUUCUGUAUGUUUGAAUGUUUGUUUGAGAAUUCGACUCUAUCUUUUUUACAUUUGUUUUAGACUCACAUCGAGCUUCGUAGCUUACCCCCUUAUUUUUCUCUUUUUAGGUAAUUUGCAUGGUUAGGUCACGGGCUCAGCAAAUCGGAGGUCUUCGAGUUCUUGUCUCGGUUUGGUUUUAAUAAAACUUUCUUAAGGCAUAAUGAUUGGUUUUCAGUCGAAUUUGUAAAUAAGUUUAUGAACUAUGGUAUGGGUUUUUGGUUUUGAACUAAAUUUGUGGUUUCAUGCAUGAGUUUUAGCUAAUCGAACUGCUACUUACUUUAAUAGUCACUCAACUUUUAAGUAAUAAUUUGGAGAUUUCUUAUUUAAAUAAGAUGUCAGAUUUUUCGCUGCAAUCCUAGUUUGAAACUUUAGUUUGCAAAACUCCUAAUCGAUUUGGUUGCAAAGUUGAUAAACAAAUGUUAAUUUGGUUUAAGUUAAUUUAAGCAAUGAUUAAAUUAAUGUUUGGCUAACGUAAGUUAAGUUUAUUACUGAAUUUUGUUAAACAUGAGAAAAAGUGGUUUCAAAAAAAGUUUUUUGUAAAGUUUGAACAAUUUUCAUGUUCUAAGCCAUCUCGGUGGCCAAUGUGACCUCCGAGAUCCGGUUAAAACUUUUGGGCCAGGUUUUGGGUAUUAUAACUGAAGCAUGCAUACUACCUUUGAUGUCGAGACAUCAAUCAUGUACGAGAAGCACUUAUGAGCCAGAGCCGUUUUUGUCUACACAAUGGAAAUUAAACACGAGAACAUUAGCUGACCUAGGGUUAAGGACAACGACAAUUCUAACUCUUUAAAUAGGCUCUUAAAACACUUCUUUAAGGACAACUUUUACAUUCUAAUUUUUUUCUUUGUAAAUUUAGUCUUUAGUUUUUCCUUUCUUUUAGGCUUUAGGUUUAUUUCAAUUAUUUUCUAUUUCGUGUUCGCCGGAGAACGUGAGUUGUAACCGUGAUCAAACUAUUGUGGAUUCUGUGCUUCAAUCAAUACAAUUUAAGAUUCUUUUAAACCUUUCUCUUAAUUCAUUAUUCAUGCUUAUCUUUAUUAUCAAGAUUAUUGUGCUCAUGAGUUCCACAAGGAACUAAUCCUUUUAUAGGGGGAUUAGUGAGUGGGGUGUAAUUAAUUAAUUGCUAUGUAGGGUUUUCUUAGCGGGUUAGCUGUUUGGGAGAAGUUGAACUUAAACCCUAGGCUUGACAACCCUAGAAAGUCAUUUAGGUGGGAAUUAACCCAAAAUUGGUAUGGCCUAACCGUGAACACCUUAGCCCCGAACCGGUCUGGACUAUGAGAUCGAGAGAUAAGUAGUUUUGCUGACUUGUUAGAUUAGUGGAAGAUUGAUAUGUCUAAAUUAUAUAAUUGUUCUAGCACCUUUUUACUUAUAAUCUAUGCAAAUUUCGAGUAUAAGGGUAGCUAAUCGAGUCAUUUUAGUUCAUAUUAAGAUAUUGGGCAUAAUUUUAGUGAAGUGUGUAAUUUUUUGAAAUUAAGUAUUAAUUUUACAUAAUUUUACUAUUUUAUGUUACAUAUUAAUUUUUGUUCAAUUUACUACUAUUGGACCACUGGAUUAAAUAAAUGUGGGAGCCAAGACACACAUGGACAUGAGCUAAUAUACACCCCAUGUGGACAGUACCACAACAAUUUUAACCCAAAAAAAUUAAUCAAGCCCAGUUGAAAGUUUGUUGCUGAGAAGGGCUUGUUUGCUAUCUAGUUGGGUUGUCAAAAUAGUCCAACAAGAGGGAUAAGAGCCCAAAUCGGGUAAGGCAUGAAAAUCAACCCAAAUGAGCUUUGGAAUAGUUGAAUUGAAUUUUUCUACAUGUGUAAAAAAAUUAGAAUUCUGAACCUUUAAAAGUAGUCCAACUCUUUACAUGAUUCAUGCAUAAAAUCAAGUAUGAAUCAAGCAAUCACUCAACCCUCUCUCCACAAUUUAUGGCCGGUCAAGCAAGGGAGAAAUCUAAGGGAUCUCCAUGCUAUUUUUAGAAAACUCCCAAGCCACUCCUCUAGUAUAAAUACCACCUCCAAUCUCCUAUUUCAUUCAUCUCACAAUCUACAUUUUUCUCAACCUUCUUUCCUCUCUUCCACACAUAAGCGAUCCAUUUCCCCGCUUCCCUUUAGUUAGCAUUUCCCUUGAGAAAAACUCUCUUCGCUGGCCAUCUUAAGGAACAACUUACAAAGGAUAAAUCACGAGAAUUAGAGGAAGCCACCAUGAUCGGUCUUCCGAGAACUGCCGAACUCAUUAAGAGUUCCUUCUUCCUUGUUCUUUAUUUUUGUUCUUAGAUAUUCAAAUAUAUUUGCAGUUUUUCCUUUAGCGAUGAUGACUUAAUUUUUUUUAGCUAGAAUAAUUGCAAUAAUUUGAUAAAAUUCAUUUGAUUCAUGUUAUGAUGUUCUGUGCCUCAGCCCUUCAUGCUUUCAAUUAAAAUCAUUUAUGUAUAUCAUGCAUUAAAAUAUGUUUGGAUGCAUUAGAAUUAGUUGAUCAAUCCUGACCGGAUGGCAAUUAAUGGACACAAUAAUUGGAAGAUGCUUGCUUAAUUUAGAUCUCAAUCCAAUUAAAUUAAAGGUUUGUAAUAACUCCGGAGAGCUCUAUUACAUUGCAUAACUUUAGGUUUGUGUGAUUAAAUUAUUUCAAAUAUGAUCCGUCCCUAUUACUUCACAAAAAUUCUAAGGAAUAUUUAGUUAAAUAUGGAUAUAGAACUAUACAUUUUUUUAGUAAGUAUAAUAUUUUGAAAGAAAUUAUAUUAGAUUCCAAGUUAAUGAGUGAUCAAGUUGCCAUGGAAUUUUUUCUGGAACAUUGUUAAACAUGUUGAGAAUGAAUUGAGUCAAGUGUUGUAAUUAUUCUAGCUUAUUCAUGUUAUUAACUACUUGUGAAAUUUCUGCUAAACCAUCACCUUGCAUUUGAUUUCAAUCAUUACAUUUAAGUUAAUUUGCAUCUAGUUAAUUAAUUUAAUUUUAACAUUUAUCACCCUAAAUUAUUGUGUUUUGUUUACCAAAUUGUAAAUUCAUAAUUUUGCAAUUAUUUGAUUAACAAAUACAAUCCCUAUGGAGACGAUAACUCUUUUACUUACUUAUUACUUGAUAACAACUGUGUGCACUUGCACAUUCCAUCGUGAACCAAAGAUUAAGAGAUCCUAAUAGGGUAGCAACUAGUUUAUUGAGUAGAAAUCCAAAAUAGGAAUUAGCUAUGAUCAUCAAAGCGAGCUAAUCACCCAUACUUAGAUUUGAUUAUGUUAUAAUUUAUAUUUUCGAAGUUCACUUUCCUUUUAUUAUUUUUACUUCAUUAUUUAUAAAAAAACCCAAAAUAUUUCUCUUUAUGUUUUAUCGUACUAUAAUUUAUUUAAACUACUAAUUAAUUCUAUUUACGUUUAGGUUGACAGUAAUUUAGUACUCGACUCCCGUGGGUACGAUUCUCGGAGUACUUAUCUGCUUCGUUGUAACUAUAUUAUAACCUAACCCAUAUACUUGUGGACACUGCCUCAAUUCCAUAUCUUUUAGUUGCAGUAUUCACAUUCUAGACGUUGAUACGUCUGGAGGCAGCCACUAAGUAAACUUAAAGAGGAGACAAUGAUGCAAAAGGAUGCUCAAGUUGAGAAAAAGCCAAUAUAGGAGUUGACAGCUGAAUGUAAUAAUGAGUGAAAUAUUGAAUUUUCCCUCUUGACAACAUCAAUUUCAUCACAAUUUGAGGAUCAUCAACAUCAAGAAAUAAGUGAAGAGGUAAGUUUCUCAAACCUACUUCAAUCAUUCUAUGAAAUGUUAACCUUUAUGAACCUAAAAGAGGAACCGCCAAAGCCUUCGAACCCUAUAAAGGAAAAAGGAAAGAACGUGAGAAUUGCAAAGAGGAGGACCCAUUCAACAUAGAUACAUUUUACAAAAUAAUAAUCCUUAAUCAAACACCUCAAAAAUUCAAAAGUUUAGGGAGUUUUACUAUAUUAACCAAGUUAGGGACUAUACAUGUCGAUAGAGUCUCAAGCGACUUAAAAGUUGUUUUUAAUCUAAUAAACCUACCAAAUAAGAAACUAGAGUUAAGGGAACUAGAAAGCACCAACUUCUUAAUAGAAUUAUACGAUAAAGUCGACACUCAAUUAAGACAAAUGUCAAAAGAUGAAAUAAUCGAACAACGUAGGUAUAAGAUGUGGACCGAAAAUAUAACUCUAGAUUUCAAGGUAAAUGUAGAAGUAUCCUUUCUGCUUGGAAAUUUUUUUGUAGACCCUAUAAAAAUUAUCAAUGAAUUCAAGAAAAGAGACAUCAAACGUGGAAGUGAAAUAUACCAUAAGAGUGCUUCAUAGAAUCAGGACUAUAAAAGGUAUUUAGGACCACUAGAUUAUGAAAGGUAUUCUUAAGGAUAAAUGUAGGACGGAAGAGUAGAUUCAAUGAGCAUGAUAAACAAUGAAAAGUAGAAUGGCACGAUGGAUGCUGGACUAAUACCAACAGAAACAAAACCAACGAAGCAUCCAUAUGUACAUUGAUAGAGCUGACGAAUGAAUCCAGCAUCAAAACUUAACAUUUUCGAACUAAAUUAAAAUUAUAUAUAUUAUUGUAUUUUUAACUAACAAGUAGUUUAGAAUCUAAUUUUUAUUUGAAUUACUUCUUAUUAUAAACUGAAAUGUUUUGAAAAUUGAGAAUUGGGGCUAAAACUGAGUUGAUGUCGCAACACGAUACCUCCAUGUUGCAACACUGGUGACAGAAUCAAGAAAUCGAGCAAAUUUGCUUGAUGUCACAACACAGCAACUCUGUGUCGGGACACAAAAGCUAGUAUACCCCAGACUAAAAAAUUUCAAGGUGUGUCGCGACAUUGAACCCCAUUGUCAUGACAUUAGCAUACUAUUAGAGGUGUCGUGACAUGGAACCCCUAUGUCGCGACAUCGCUACAAUUUUCUACAAGGUCGACCCAACCCAUUGCAUAACCCACCAUUUUUAAACAUAUUUUAACCUCGUAUAUAACUUUAAAUCACCCAAAACUUAACCCUAAAACUAUACUUAACACCUAUUUAAACUCUUUUAAACUCAUCCUCUCUUCAAAACACAUAAACCUCAACAUCUCUCUACUUUGAAAUCCCUAAUUUUGCAAAUACCUUCUCUUCUCUUGGUGUUUUACUUAGUGUCGAAAUUUCAGCAACACAUCGACGGAGCAACAUUGAUUCAAGUUUAUGAGGAAUCUAACACGAAGAAAUCAAGGUUAAGGGUUCCUAACUUAUUUUACUAUUCCAUUGAAUAUUGCCUGAUUUUUGUUCGUUAUUCUAGUUUUAAUAUCGAAUAUGCCUCAUAGGAAAGCUAGAACAACUAAUAUAUAUAGGAAACUUUGAUGGUUUCGAAUCCCCAAAAAUUUCAAAAUCCAAUCCCCAAAAAAUAUUUUCUUGAAUUAUAAGGAAAGACUUUUACCCAAGAACGGCGAUUUAAAUCAUCAAUGGUUCUAUGUAAUUAGAUUUGGACAUUAGUCUGAUAUCACCGAUAUGAGCGCUUUUGUGUCACUCCUAAAGAAAAUGCGGUUAUCCCGAUAUUUCAAGAGUUUUAUGCCUCUUUUAGGGAUCAAUAAACGAGGAGACCAUACAGUGCAAUAUGGAAAACUAUAAAGGUAAGAGGUAACGAAGUACGGGUUACUCCUCAAGAAAUAUGUGAAUUUUACAACGCCCCAUACUACGCAAAUGACUUCCUUGGUAAUACUAAUUUAGAAAAAUUUAGGAACAUAGAAAUGAAUGACGUUGUAAAAUAUUUAACUCAAGGCAGAGGCAUAUCAAACCAUAGACCGAAUACCGAAUUACCAACUAAUUUCUAUCAAGCAAUUAUGUUCCCAGUAGCUAAGAUGUGGAUGCAAUUUAUUUGUACUAGAAUUUCACCUGCAUUGAAUGUCUCUAACGUAAACAGUUUUCGAGCUAUCUUGUUGUACAAUAUCUUGCAGAGAAAAUAGAUAUGUGUCAGGAGAUGAAUACAUAAAAACAUGAAGUGAUCCAUUAGUGGCCAAAAGGUCGGGGUUUUCUUUACCCAUCUUUUGACAAAUUUAUGGAAAAAGGUUAGAGUUCCAAUAGAAGAGAACGAGAAAUUCAUGAAGCUAACAAAGAGUUUAAUUGGAGACUCCAUAUACACUCAAUAUGAUAAGCUUCAGCAAAAACAAAUCAUAGAUUGCAACCAAAGAAGAACGCAUAAGAUGAAUGUCCCCGUAUCAAUAAAAAAGAAAUCGAAAACAAAUACUCUGAAAGAAAUAGCGAGUAGACCCUCGAAGAUAGAUUAGAUGAUCCAAUGGAUGUAAGAAUCAAAACCAGACAUCUAGGAGUUUGUGUGGCAAAAUACUAGAUUCGAGGAGCAAGGAAAUGAAUGAGAGGAGAAGGAUGAGGCUGUUGAGCGAGACUUCCAAGGGGAGGAUGAUGGUUACGAGGCUGCAUUUUAGCCACAGUAUUCCAUGCAGAAGGGGCCUAACCAGAUAUGCACAUAAGUUUGGUGGUGGUUCUAAUAAAGGAGACGUCUCAGGGAAGGGAAAGGCACCCAUAGAGAGGGAGCAACCCCCCCAUUUUGAUGAUUCUACUGACGAUUGAACUAAACUUUAAUUUAAUUUUUGAGUAUUGUAAUUAAUUUUGGAUAAUUUUAAUUUUUAUCGUUUUAGGAGUAGGAUUAAUAGUAGGUUUAUAUUUGUUUUAUUUUCUGUUUCAAGUUUUCUGUGUAGGAACCCCAGAUGAAAAAAGAACAAUUUUGAUCUUAUAACGAACAAUGAAUGAAGCAUCCACCAUUUGAUAAUAGAAGUAUCACGAUCAAUCGGGUAACUUAUUUCCUUAUAUUUUCAGGGAUGCACAUUAGGGACAAUGUGCCAUCUAAAGUGUUAGGGUGACAAAGGAAAUUUGUUUUAAUGCUUUCCUUUUAAUUUUUAUUGUUAAAUGUGUGCUUGAUCUUGUAGAAAUACAAGUGAUUGAUUAGGAGCAUGCAUAAAGGUUGAUUGUGUUUAUUGUAAAUUUGGCAUGAUAGUGAUUUUAAAUUUUCAACUAGUAGACUACUAAGUUCAAUUUAUUACACUAUAAAUAUGAAUUGAGUAAUUGAAUAUACCAAAUUAUAUAGAAAAUACAGGGAAACGAGCAUGCUAGUAUGUAUGAUAAAUAGUUGAAUUUAUGAUUGCUUGAGUGAUUAAAUUUGUGAAUAUUGAGAUGCCCAGGGAUGACCUAAGAAAUUGUUUGGUAUACACCCAGAGCCAAAAAGCUAACCUUAUUUAUCAACCCUUGGUACCUAUUUUUGAGCCAGAAAACUCGUUUUGAUGAACCUUCAUGCAAAACUCAAGCCAAAAAAUUAAUUUGUACUUACCAUUUUUCUUUCGUCCUGAAUUGUACGAAUAUAAACAUCUGGUCAUAUGUAUUGAGGGUUAAAUAGAUACAUCAUGGCAGAUUCUGUAAAAAUAAGAGUGAAAUAGGAAGAAGCAGUGUGAUAUAGUACUUAUAGUUACUUAACAUGUGCAAGACAAAAGAAAAAUUCAGAAAGAAAGUCAAAACGAGUAGAAAAAGUACGUGAAAAUCAAAAGCAUUGUGAGUGAAAUGUGUGAAAACAAAAAAUGUGACAAAGUCACGAAAUUACAAGAAGUCAAUCAUUAGUGCACAAAAACUCAUAAGCUAGGCAUAGUUGAUGUAUUAUGUUGUGGCUUCGUACGAGGAGAAAUAAUGAAGGUGAGAGAAGGAGAAAUAAAGCGGUGAGCGGGUAAGGGCUAUUAAGGGGGAGAAUAGGGAACAAUACGAUGUGCCAAACUAUUUUCGUGCUUGAAACUAUUUUUAUGCUUCCUGUUCUUGAUUUCCAUACUUGUCUUAAGCCUCAAAACAUUACAAGCCGAAAAGCCCUAUGUGACCUAGGUAACCUUAUUCAUGAAUUGAAAUUAUUUUGAGCAAUUACAAUAACGACUGUUUGUAUUCUGGUAGGAUAACCAAAUUAUCUGUAUGAUUUAUGGAUGGAUUCAUAUACUUGAAAACCUUAAUGUCUAUAUACUUUGUAAUAUACUGAACUUAGGUUUUUUAUAUUGAAAGUGGUAAGUCAUUUUAUAUAUCAUGUCAAGAUAAUGUGUGUAAAUAUGAAAAUGCCUAAUUAUGUACUCCGAAACUAAUCUUUGUACUAUACUUACUCAAUGGAUGUUUUUUAUUUUUUAUUUUUGUUUUUAUUUUGCCUUGGUUGAGGACAAGCAAUGACUUAAGUGCGGGGGAGUUUGAUCUCCCAUAAUUCUGUGUGGUAGAUUAAACUAGUUAGGUUUUAGUUAAGUUUUCUAUAUUUGCUUUGAAUUCAAUAAAAAGUGAGUUUUGAGUCUUUUUUAUGACCUUAGGGGCGAAAUGAGGUCCACGGGUGAGCUAACAUACUUAGUAAGUGUCCAGGAUACCAUUCAAAAGCAUAGGAACUCAAAGUUGGUCGAUGUGUUGCAACACGGGAGUUCAAUGUCGCAACAUAGGGAACAAAAUACAAGAAUUUCAAGUUUUCCUUUGGUGUUGUGACAUGGCCAUAGGAUGUUAGGACACACCCUUAAAGCCAAACCUGAACCAGACAUAUUGCUUUCAGUGUCACAACACAAUCAAUAGGGUGUUGCGACACCGUCCCUAUACAGGAACAAUUACAAGUAAGGGGUGUUUUGGUCCGCGCAAUGGAAAUUAACAUGAAAACGUCAACUAACCUAGGGUUAAGGAUGACGACCAACCCUAACUCUAUAAAUAGGCUCUUUAGACACAUGUUUAACGAUAAUUUUUCCUAUUCUUAGUUUUUACUUGUAAUUUAGUUUUUAGUUUUCUUUUUUUUUUUUAGGCUUUAGAUUUCUUUUCAGUUCUUUUCAUUCGUCUUCUUCGAAGAACUUGAUUUGUAAAUGCAAUCAAACACUUGCGGAUUUUGGCACUUCAUCAAUCAAAUACAAUCAGGAUUCCCUUAAACUUUAUUCUUGAUUUAUUCUUUAUCUAUAUCUUCUUUAUCAAGUUUAUCAUGUUUAUUGAUUCCAUGAGGAACUAAUCCUCUUAUGGGGGAUUAGUGAGUGAAGGGAUGAUUAGCUAAUUACCAUGUAAGGUUUUUUUAGUGGAUCAACUAUUUGGGAGAGGAAGAACUUAAACCAUAGGCUUGAUGACCCUAGGAAAUCAUUUAGGUAGGAAUUAACCCAAAAUUGGUAUGGCAUAUUCGUGAACACUUUAGCCCCGAACCGAUCUGGACUGUGAGGUCAAAAGAUAAGUAGUUCUUGUUGACUCAAUAGUUUAGUGGAAGAUCGAGAGAUCUUGCUAGGGUAAUGACUAUUUGAUUGAAUAAAAACCCAAAAUAGAAAUUAGUUAUGACCACCAAAGUGAGCUAAUCACCCAUAUUUAAAUUUGAUUGAGUUUUAGAUUUUAGUUAUUCGAAGUUCACAUUAUUUCUACAAUUUUUAUUCUUUUAUUUAUAAAAACCCAAAAAUCUCUUAUUUAUAUUUACUCGUAAUAUAAUUUAUUUAAUUUACUAAUUAAUUUUAUUUGUGUUUAGGUUAAGUUUAAUCUAGUACUCACCUCCUUUGGGUACGAUCCUUGGAGUACUCACAUUUUUGCUGUAAAAUCUAUAUUACAACUUGACCCAUAUAUUUGCGGACACCGCCUCAAUUUCAUAUGUUUAGUUGCAGUAUUCACCCCUACACGUUAGUACAUCUGAAGGCGGUCAAGUUGUGAAUUGGGGUUCGCCAGUCAAUUUCAUAGGAUACUUUUCAUGCACGUAACCUUCUUCUAAACCGACUUGGGAACCUAAGUCUAGUAGGGUAUCCUAAGAUCACUAUGACACUUAGUACCUAUAAAUACAACCCUUACCCCAUGAAAAAUUCUCUCAUCGAUAUUCUGUUAUGAAGUCUCUAUUCUGGACCAAGUUCGUAGCAACCAAGGUAAGCCUCUGCCCUAUUAGGGUUGAUUUUCUAGAAGGCUAGGUUUGCUUGCAUGUGUGAAUUUCGUAACUUUUGUCUAUUUAAGUAUUUUGUGUGUUUAUGUAUGUUGCGAACUAGUCGGACCAGCUACCAACAAGAAUAAAGGCCACAGUAAAACUCAUUAAAAUUCUCAACUUUAUCGGUGAGUGAUUUAAAAUUGCCAUAAGUGUACCAACUAUCAUGCUUUUUAGUAUGAAUGCUCAGGGUUUGCAAGUUGUGUGUAAACUGUUAUGUUUUUCAAGAACCUUGUCUUUAAAGUAAGUUCUAAGAGUAAGGUUUUCCUAUAAAACUCUAUUUUUCAAGUUCUGAUAUAGUUUCCAAGAUAUGUUUCCAAGUUAUAUUUUAAAGAUAUGUUUUACGCGUGCUCAUAUGCGAGCCUAUGUAUUAAAACAUAUUUUAAAAGUACAGUUUUAUAAGCUAUGUUUUUGUGAGCUCUUUAUGCGAGUUCUAUGUGAUAAGUUUCUGUGCAAGCUCCUUUGCGAGCUUAUAUGUUGGAUAUAUUGGUAUACCAAAGGAUUGUGAGUACUCACCUAUAAGUUCUGUGAUUUGGGCAUUGAUGCCCUAAGACAUAUGGAGAAAUAAGGGAAUGUUGAGCUAUGGUCCAUUCAAUGAAACAUGUUGGCAUACAGGAGAGUGUUUAGUUUAUGCUAGACUUAUGAGACAUCUUAAGGAAUCGUUAAGUUAUUCUAAUGCGUUAUAAGAAGAUCUGCAUAUCCAACAUGUAACACCCCUAACCCGUAUCCGUCGCCGGAACAGGGUUACGAAGAAUUACCGAAAUAUACAGAUCAAGUAAACAUAUAUUUCAUUUUAUACAAUAUUCACAUCAGAAAUCAAACAUAAAGUCUCUUAUAUGAAUCUUCAAGGUCCAAAACAUACAUUAGCAAUGAGUCGGGACUAAACCGGGUACUUAGAGAAUUUUUUGCAAAAUCUCAAAAUUUUUCCUAGGUGCUGGGGUCACAUGCCCGUGUGGUUCACACAACCAAGGGACACACUCGUGUCUCAGGCCGUGUAUCUCUCUGACUUGGGUCACAUAGCCAAGCCACACACCUGUGUUCUAGGCCGUGUGAAAAUACAUGAUCAUUCUGUUUUGAAAUUUUAAAGAUGCAGGGGACACACGGCCAGAUCACACGCCCAUGUGGUAUGCCGUGUGUCACACACGGCUGAGACACACGCCCGUGUGGACGAAAAUAGGCUAUUUUCCAAGCCAUAUUUCUCACCCCAUUUUUUCAUCCUCCCACACCAACACUUUAACAUAUUCACAAUCUAUUAUAGGUCAUUUAACCCAACUCAAAAUCAAGUCCUAUACAUGAUAUAAUACCUCAUAUAAUCAAGUAUGCACACUUACUUAAAUUACCAAGUUUACAUAUAUGCAUAUCUUAUCAAAUAUGCUAACUUAACUCAAUCAUCAAUAUGCCAAUAUAGUUUCUAUCAAUCAACCAAUUUCAAACACAUACCAAACAUAUCCAUCACAAGCCUUUCCAAUGGCUAGUUACAAUUAAAGCAUUUAUAUGCCGAUAUUGGCAAAUUAACCUAUACAUGCCAUUAUAACCAUAAUUGAUUUACCAUAUAUAUACCGAAAUGAGAUGAUGGAUAGUGUGAGUGGUCUCCGCCAAGAUUCUAAUCCAACGAGCCUCAGAAUUACUAUAGAACAAGGGAAAAUAAAACAAAGUAAGCAUGAAAUGCUUAGUAAGUUCGUAUAACAUGGUAAGUAACUUACCACUCAUUUAAAUUCAAUAUAAACAUACAAGGCACAUUCAAUCAACUUGAUCAUGAGCCCUAACACAUAUCCUCUUCACCCUUGUUAGUCAUAUAUUUCAUAUAAAUAUCAAGAAACAUGUAUGGGAUCAACAAUAAUUACAUUUCCAUGUACAUAUAUUUUCCACAUCAUGUAUUCAUAUAACAUAUACAAAUCAUAUCCUUGUAUUUCAAGUACAUUCUUAUAAUAAUUCGUCUCGAGUUCAGAUUAUUUCAUGUCGAAACUUUGCCUAUUAAAUCAUUUGAAAUGUCAGUGUCACACGGGUAAUACACUCAAGGUGUACAAAUUUAUAAUCAUGGAUGAACAUAUUCAUCAAAAAAAUUCCAUGUUCAUAUAUUAUCAUUUCGUAUCUCAAUAUAUCAUGUAUCAUCAUUUUCAUGUACUUCAGGCAGUUACGUGUAUUAAUUAAUUUCAUGCUCAUAUUCUCUCAUGUCAGGAUUUUACCCGUUAAAUCAUUAAAAACAUUGAUGGAUACACAGGUAGUACACUCAAAGUGUACAAAUCAGAAAUCUGUUGAUUCAUAUUCAGGAGUGCUCUUUAAAGCACACAAUCAAGAAAUCCUCUCUCAAGCCAUAUAACAAAAAGCUCACGAAGAGCCUUUAAAUAGAAAGCUCACGAAGAGCCUUUAAACAAGAAGCUCACGAAGAGCCAUUAAUCAGGAGCUCCGGACAACCAUAUAUCAGGAAGUUCAAGCGAGCCAUAUCAGGACGCUCACAAAGAGCUACAUUUGUAUCAGCAAUAUAUGCAAGAUCACAACCGAUCAUAUAAGAGGACACUCACAAAGAGUUGCAGAGUCCGCAACACAUGUAGAAUCACUCUCGAUCAGGAUGCUCAUAGGAACCAUAUAACGGGAAGCUCGAGAGAGCUUAUAAUGGGAUGCUCGUAGGAGUUGUGGUGCGUCCGCAACACAUGCAAGACCACAACCAAUCGAGAAAUCCAUUAUCCAUCGAAUUCCAUUAUUCAAACGAGAUUUAAUAUUUACCGGGCUUUGUCGGAUAUGUAACCAAUUUCAUAUAUUUGGCAUUUAAUACAAUUCACAUACACAAAAUUUAAUUCAAGCAUAUAAAUAUGCACAAUUUAGUUACACGAACUUAUCUCGAUAAAUGUUCGUGUAUGUAAAAUCUACUAACUUCAUAUUUUCUCUUUUCCUUAUUCUAACUCCGAAUUUGGUCUAUCCAAAUCUAUAUGAAUGAAUUUAACAUUAAUUCAUGUUCAUUUCAAUUCAAUUCACAUCUUAGGCAAAAUUACCAUUUUGCCCCUAAAGUUGAAUUAAUGACGAUUUCAUCCUUAGGCUUGAAAAAUGAAAUUCAUGCAAUUUAAUCCUUAUUCCAAGCCUAGCUUAUUUUUACAUGUAGAAUUUACAGCCCAUGUCUUUCAUAAAUUCAAAAUUAUUCCAUGAAUUUUACAUCUUUUCAAUUUAGUCCCUAAAUCAUAAUUUCAUCAAAAUUCCCUUUACAAAAGUUGUUUAUCUAUCAACAACCUUUCAUUUUCUACCGUAAAACUUCAUAAUUCAUCUAUGUUCAUCCAUGGCAAAACCCUAGUACCUUGAUAACUUUGCAAAUUAAUCCCCGAGAUAGUUAGAUUAAGCUAUUACGAUAUCAGAAAUAUAAAAAUCAUUAAAAAUAGGAAAGAAUACUUACCUAAUCAAGCAAAAUAAGUUGGCUUGAGCUUAGGCUUCCAUGGCUAGGGUUUCUAUGCUUUUAAUUUGGGAAAGAUGAUAUAAAUGGUGAUUUUUUUAUUUUUUUAUCAUUUAUCAUCUUUUAUUAUUUCACUUUCCAAUUUCAUCGUUUUCUUUAUUUUAUUUUCCAUGGAUGAAUCAUUAUCCUUAACCACUAAGCAUUUUUAAUGGUUUAUUUGUCAUAUAAGGACCUCAAAUUUUGAAUUUCAUAGCUAUUUAAUCCUUUUAGCUAUUAGAACUUAACUUUUUCACUUUGUGCAAUUUGGUCCUUUAUCAAAUUAAACAUGUAAUCGGUAAAAUUUCUUUACGAAAUUUUUAUACGACAUUACUAUCAUACUAUGAACCAUAAAAUAAUAUAAAAAUAAAUUUUCUUCUAAAAUCAAAUUUGUUGUCUCGAAACCACUGUUCCAAUUUUACCGAAAACAGGCUGUUACACAACAAGAUAAAAUAAGUAAGUUAAGACAAGUGCAAGAACAUAUUUUAUGUUCCUCAGCCAUUCCAAUAAGACAAGUAUGUGAGCAUGUUUCAUGUUAUAUAAGAUCCAUUUUCAAACAAGAACAAGCUAAGUUUUUAAGUAUGAUUUUCAACAAGUACAACUGAAACUAUUUUUACAAACUUAUGUUUUCUGGCAAGCAUGUUCUGCGAACUGGGUCUCGCACCUUCACCGUAAACCCAACACAUGAUACAAUUUUUUAGACUAAGUUUUCUUUCUAUUUUAAACUCUGUAUUUUAAUCAUACUCCGAUGAUUCCUUAUUAUUCACUAAGUUCGCAGUGAACUCACCCACUCCUCUCUUACUUCGUAGGUAAGUAGGUCGUAGAUGGCAGUGGCGAGGUAGAUGCCUUGGUGAGGCUCAUCCCUAAACAGAUAUCGGCAACCUAGGAAAUAGGCAAUGGAGUUUUAUUUAUGUGGGUUUAGAUUUAUCAUUAUUUGAUUCAAUUAUUGAAACGAUUUCUUUUCAGCAUGAAAAACCUUAAAGUUAAACCUUGUUACUAAUUUCUUUUCAGCAUGAAUAAAGUUUGAUAUUCCUUUAUUUCUCCUUGCAUGCAUACCAUGUGGUAUUCUUUCAAUUUUGCCGAAUUAUUUAUUAAUAUAAUGUGCAAGCCAGUUUUAUUGUGAAGUAUUAUUUUUUGCGACUCUUGUAUGUUUGCGACCCCCUAUAUGCAUGCAAACACUUAGGUGCGAUAACCUUACUACUUAGCGAACCCUACCUAAGUUUGAAAACCCUUGCAUGAACGUCCAUUUUGUUGUGAAUCCCGUUGUAUGAGAACCUAUGUUGCUUUGUUUAAGUGCAAACUUAGGAUGUAUGCAAACCACAUAUAUUUUGCGAACCCAUGCUUUUGUGCAAACUCAUACCUUAUGUUGUGCGAACUCAUGUUAUACUUUGUUAUGCGAACUUCUGUAUGCGAACCCUAUAACAGAUGUUAGUACUUGUGUAUUUAUAUUUGAAUUUUCGUACUCUAAAGAACACUGUUUAUUUCCUUUGAGUGAACCCUUAAGUUUUAAUGCAUAAUUAACAUGUGAACCAUUCCCUCAUUUUGUUUGAUAAGCUUUCAUGAUUUACAUUCUAUGUAUGAUAUUAUUCUGUUGUUAUGCUAUAACUUAUCAUGAUAUACGUUAUAAGUAUGUGGUGUGCUAGAGGUUAAGUUGGGAGUUAAUGGAGAGUCACUCCGGUGGCUAAUGUAGCUUGUCAAAUUUAAGUCGAAGCUAUUCGAUCGAAUUUGGGGUGUUACAUUUUGGAUUUUCAACCGAACAACCAUUUUCACUAUUCACGUACCAUGAAUUACUUCGAGUGCGGGCUUAAACAAUCAUGAACCAAAUAAAAAACCAAAAACGAUUUAUUACUUUUAGUAGAAAAGUAAUUCUCUCUCAAUAGAAACCGACCAAAUUGCUAUUCCCAGAAAAUAAAAUUUAUUCUUAGAAAAUAAAUUUCCACUACUUUCUAGCAGAAUAAAAAUGUUGAAAACUUAUGUGAAAGUUUUGUAAAUAGCUCUACUAGUGACAUCUAUUUACAAUGAGAGAUAUGAGAAUCCUGUUGAAUUAGUAAAACAUAAAUAAUAUUUAUUUAAUAGAAAAUUAGUCUUCUAGUCUAACUAGAAGAGAGGAGUGGCACUCCCUAGUUAAAUAUACUAGGGAUGUCGCCCAUCAUAUGUCAUAUGAAGGGAUUUUGGGUCUUCCUGUAUUGGGUCCAAUUAUAUGUUUCCUGGACUUUUAACCCAUCAACUUGUAAUUUAAUCCAACCCAAUACAUUUUUUUUCUAUUGCCCAAAAUAAAUAUUAUUUAUUUAUUUAUUUGCAUAAAUUAAUUUUUCCAGUUAAAUAAUUUUCUCAACCCAAAGUCCAUUAAAGUCAUGACAAUUUUACCGUAAAAGAAUAUAUGAGAAAAUAUAUUAAAUUCUCAUAUUCAAUGGAUCCAUAAUGAAUAAUUAAUUUAAUUCCAUUUUCAAAAGUCAAUUGUUUAAUUAAAUAAAAAUUUGAAAACCUUAAAUUAAUUAUCAAGUCAUUUUUAUACACAAUGAGAAAACACAUUCAUUUGCGAAUGUGACCCAUUUUUCUAACUUUAUCAUUUCCAUCAAUUUCUAUCCAUUUAGUUUUACAUGCAAUUCGUUUUUGACCAAUUAGACAUGUGCAAUUAAAGCUCAAAUGAUUUAUAAUUAAUUUUCAACUUUUUUCCUAUUAAUUAUAAACUCAUUCAAUCAUGAAGUCAUUCCACUAUAGUAUCGUAACUGAGCUCUCCCUCUUUACAUACCAUUACAAAAGCUACUUAAUCAAUGUUUGUCCAAUGACCUUAUCGUAAGUGUGUCACCAUCAUUUUAUAUCCUUAAUCUCUUUAGGAUAAAUAUGUUCUCCCAAUAUGAUCUUAUUUUAUCUCAUGGUAACCAUUACAUCUUCCUUUAUGAAAAGUCAAUUACUAUCAAAUAAUAAUCAAGUCAUUUAUCACAAAGACAAAUGAUCCAUGACCACGUUUACUUUUCAUCUAUCAUGUAAUAUCAAUGAGAGAAUAUCAUUUAAUCACUAUUUGGGCUAUGAAUUCCACUAUUGUAAAUGAUGCUACAUACUGCAGAAGUCAUAUACCCGACGCACUAGCUUUCGGUUUCUUAUCUAUUUAAACUCAAGUUUUAACUUACAUCAAAGUAGACGAGUCACGUAUACAUAAUUCAUCAUCCACUUAGGAUUAAGGUAUGUCACACUAUGGACGUCACAAGUGAAUAAUUUCAUAAAUAAAUCUAGAAUCUAUUCUACUUAGGUCAUGUCUGAUGUACUGUCAAUCUUGUCAGUGACAUCUAUGUUUCUAUCUUCUGGGAGUCAUCCGCUCCGAUGCUCAAAACAAAUCAUCUCCCCAAUUGGACUUGAUAGAUGACAUAUUAGUCUUUCAAUCGGUUUGUUCAUUUCCAAUUAGACUGAUGACAUGUUUAGGUUCAUGUACUAAUAUAAUUUGUCUUUUUGUAUUAUGAUUCGAUCACAUAAUACCGUUUAGUAUUAGUGUAAACAUUAGAUAACUAGUGAGCUAAUAUUUUCUUCCAUUUUGCUUUGUGUGCAAAAAAUUUAAGAUAAUAUACAAAAGGUAUUAAUAUAAUUAAUGCAUAUUAUUAAACAAAUUUGUUAAAAAAAUACAAGUUUACAUAGACGAAAAUACUAUACUUAGGGCACCAAAUCCAGGAAACAGACCUUUUAGAUCUCCAAAACCUUCUCUAUUCUUGUGUAUAUAAAGCAUUCAAUAGCUUUGCCAAACUAAUUUUUUGACAGAUAUUUAAUACUUUAAAUUUAGAAAAUAAGUGCUUUAAAUCUAUUAAGGUUUGUUACCAAAAUUUUUUGAACCAAUAUAGAAUCAGGACAUAUAAAGCCAAGUAAUCUUAGUUUGUUGGUAAUACUGAGUAAUCUAUCAGAAUACUCUUUAAUUAUCUUAGAGUCUUUCAUCUUUGGAAGUUCAAAUUCUCUUAUUAAGUUGAGAAUGUAUACUCCUUUAACCAUUCCCUUCAUAUUCGUCCUUUAGGAAAUGCUAGAACUAAAAUGUUGAUUUCUUUAUCAUAAUUCAAACAAAGAUUUUUGGUGAGACUCCAACAAAUAACAUAGCUCUAGCCUUGGACUUUCUUGUUUUCUUCUCCUUGUGAUACUUUAUUUGCAAGAUAAUUGGAAUUCCAAGUAAGGAAGGAACUUUUUAGUCCUCUUCAAUAGCUUUCCAAAGAUCAUUUUCCUCCCAAUGAGCAUCCAUCCUUAUUGUUCAAACAUGUUAGCCUUCUCCAUUGAAAAAUAGUAAUGCAAGUGCAGUGAAAAAGGUUUCUGAAUCCAUAGAAAAAAAAAGUUCCCUCAGUUACAGGUUCUUCAAGAAGAUGGCUCUGAUACCAAAUUAUUGGAGCAAUUGGAGAAAAAUUGUUGUAAUUUUAAGAAAAAAUAAAGGCAAGAAGAAAAUAUAAAUGAUUUCAGAUGGAAAGUGUGCAAUUCAUUGAUCUAAAAAAUUAUGCUUACAUAGAGAACAAUUUUCAACACAUAGUACCUAAUAAUAAGCAACUAAAAGAUUUUAAAAUCAACAAAUCUCUUAAAAAUCAUCAACAAAUUGAAAAUGGCUAAAAAAUAGCUAAGUAGUUUUGACUAAUUCACUGCAGUAGCUUAGGCAAAUUUCAACAUUCUAUAUUAUUUGUAGCCUACUACUUACCAUGAACUUGUUCAAAACUUGUUGAAUAUUUUCGAGCUUAUAUUUGCUAGAGGGUCUGGUAUCUAAGAAAUCAAUUUUAUGAAGCCAAUGUACUCUUGCUUUAACUUGUCCUAAUUUGAUGUAGGAAUUGCUUGCACAAUGUGGCAGCAUGAUUGCAACAUCCAACGUUUGGUUUUAGGUCAUGUCCAGUGUCUAACAAGUGGUGUAAGCCACUAAAAGGUGUUGUGAAAAUCAAUGUAGAUGUGCGACUAAGUCGACAGGUAUUGAGGGCUAUUCUAUAGUAUAACAUCCCUUACCCGAGACCGUUGCCGAAGUCGAGCAUGAGGCAUCAUCUAACUUAACUUACUAGUUCGGAGCAUAAAAAUUUACUUUUAAAAUUAAUUUCACUAUUCACAACAAAACUGUCCACAUGAGCGGCUGUCACUAAUUUAAUUAUAACUCAAGUUAUGAAACUCAAAAUUUAAAUCCGUAAAUUUUACCUGAAACUAACUCAUAUAUCUUCUUACCAUAAAAUUUUUAGAAUUUUUGGUUUAUCCAAUUAUUACAGUUUAUUCAUUGAAGACUCCCCUGUUUCAUUGAAAGAUGGUUCUGACCACCACUUACUAAAAAUAAAUUAUCUUACUGUACAGACUUUAUAUGGUGUUUCUGCUUGUUUCUAUAUAAAAUAGACUCACUAAGGAAUCUAUACAUAUAAAUUAUAACUCAUAAUUAUCUCUGUAAAAUUUUUAAUGAUUUUCUAAAAUCAAAACAGGGGACUUCAAAAACCAUUCUGACCCUAUCUCACUAAAAUUUUAAUAUCUCAAAAUAUAAAAUUUCUGUGGCUACACCUUUUCUUUCAUGUAAAAAUAGACUUGAUAACCUUUAAUUAUAUAUAUCAUUCACUCUCUAAUUCCAUUUAUACUAUUUUUGGUGAUUUUUCAAAUUCACGUCACUGCUGUUGUCCAAAAACUGCUUCUUUGCAAAAAUUUUACUCUUUUAUAGUUUCUUUGUUUUAGUUACCAUUUAAGCAUACAUAACACCAAAACAUAUUCUUUACCAACGAUUUCAAUAGCUAAUCUUUAGCCAUAUCAUAUGAACAUACUCAAAAUGAGUAAGUCUCUAUACAUGCCAUAACUUUAAACGUUUUGAAAUCACAUAAUACUGAGAAGUUUGUUGAUAGUGUGAUACGAGGCUGCGACGAUCCCCAAUUCGAGCAAGCUCAAAACACUAUAAAACAAUGAAAAGAAAGGUGUAAGCUACUAAUAGCUUAGUAAGUUACAUGUAAACAAUAAGUACUCAUUUAAUAAUUAACAUUUUUAAAAAAAUAACUAAUCAAUACAUUUUUUAGCAAUUUCAAUCACUUACACAUGCACAAUCUUACCAAUUCACUUGCACAUACAUUUACAGACUUAACAUUUAUCACAUAUGCUCAUUCUUUCAAAUGUACCUACAUACACACUUCAUUUCAUGUUCACUUUAACUCUAUUAAUCCCAUUGAACACUCGGAAUAUACACGGAUACGUAGAGAAUUAGCACAUAAGUGUCACACUGAUAUGUAGCUUAAGCUACCACUAAUAUGUAGCCGUAGCUACCACUGAAAUGUAGCCGAAGCUACCACUGAUAUUUAGCUGUAGCUACCACUGAAAUGUAGCCAAAGCUACCACUGAUAUGUAGCCAUAGCUACCACUGAAUUGUAGCCGAAGCUACCACUAAUCAAUAACACUGGAAAUGUCCACGGGCCUGCUCAUACAAGCUGUCAGGUGUCUGCAACACAUGCUAGAUCACCCAACACCCGGGACUCACUGUAACACUGUAACACUGGUCUCUAGUGACAUGUCACUUGUAUCCACUUCUAUUCCUAAGUUCAACCGUGAAUUUACACUUAACACUUUAUUUUAAACACUUUAUCACUUGAAUAAUUCAUGAACAAUUUUCCUUCCACAUUCAAUAUUAAUUCACAUAUCAAAUAUAAUUCACAAUUUAUAAAAAUAUAUUGCUAUUAUUUACACGUAACUUACCUCGGAUGCAAAACGACUAUUUUUGUAAAUUAGUCGAUAACCUUCUCUUUUCUCCGAUCACUUCCACUAUUUCUUCUUUCUUGAUCUAUAUUAACACAAUUUAAUAUACUUUAUAAACAUUCCAUUCAAAUACAAUUCAUACACAAUAUUUUGGCAAACUUACAUUUUUUCCCAUAACUUUUCAAAAAUUACACUUUAGUCCCAAAGCUCGUAAAAAUAAAAUUCACUAAAUUUCUUAAAUUUCAAACCUCACUAAAUCAUAUUUCAUACUCAUAACAGCCCCCAAUUUCACAAAAUCACAACAUUAUGCACACUUUACUAUCUUUCACAAUUUAGUCCUUUUUCAACAUUUUUAUCGAAAUGCAUCUAGUAAAACUCGUAAUUAGCACUUCAAACAUUCAUUAUCUAUCAUCACUCAUCAAAUUACAACUAUAUCAUGAAUGGUUCAAUUUUUAAACUUUAAUUCUAUUUAAAAUAAAUGGUAGAAACAUGAAUUCAAGCUUCAAUAAGCAUAAAAAUACGAAAAUAAUUAAAAACGGGGCAAGAAAUCACUUACAAUUGAGCUUAGAAAAAUCAAGAACCCUAGCUAUUGGGACAUGAAAUUUUCAGCAGCAAGCUCGUUAAUUUUUGAAGAAGAUGAACACUUAUUUUCAUCUUAUUUUGUCUUUUAUUCAAUUUUGACAAAAAUGCCCUUGACCCACUUACUUAGAUAUUUUUCUAAAAUUACCCUUAUGUGUCCAUAACACUAAUUUAUGGUAUAUUUUCCUCAUAAACACUUCCAAUUUCAUGCAAUAAUUCAAUUAAAUCCUUUAAUCACUAAUUAGUCACACUUUGCAUUUUUCUCAAUUUAGUCCUAAAAAUUCAAUUAGGCACUAAAUCAUUAAAAUUUUCUAUCCAUAUUUUCACACAAUAUUUCAAUCAAUUGGUAAUUAAUAAAAAUUUAUAAAAUUAAACUAUUUCACUUCGGAUUUGUGGUUACGAAACCACUGUUCCGAUUAGGCCCUAUUUCAGAUUAUCACAUAUAGGGAGAUUUAGGUAAUCUUAUUAUUGCUAAAACAUGGCUUAUACCUAAUAAUGUAAAUAUUAUUUUUUUUAGAAGCUAAAGCUAUUUUGUUGGGUAUCCAAUGGUUAAAAGAGAAGAAUGUUUUACAAGCUAAACUGAAGAGUGAUUGUCUACUCCUAGCCAGUAUAGUAUCAAAUUUAGAGCAUUUGAUUACUUUAUUUAGUCUCUUUUUUUCAAAGUUUGAGUACAUUUUACUUAAGCAUGAAUUGAAGGAGCGUUUAGCUCAUGGAGUGCAAUAUUUCUGUUGGUAAUAAUAUUAUCAAAAUAUAAUAUUAUUUAGCACAUUAAUGGGUAUGUUACAUAUACCCUACUUGGUUUAUUUGGUUGAAAUUUAAGAUUUUAUUAUUUGGUUAAUAGGAUGUAAGAUUACUUAAAAGCAUAUUUUAUUAAAAUGUGCUUGUUAUGGAGUUUUUUUUUAACAUGUAAAAGUAAAGAAAUUGAAACAAUUCUAGACAUUAUUAACAUGUAAUUUACUUCUUCGUCGAUUAAUUUUUAAUUUUUACAAUAAAAUUAGCAAAAUAGCAUAUAUCUCUCAAAAUAUUCUUAAUUUUUAAUUUUCUUUAAAAAUUAUUUUAUUUAUGAAAUUAAAAAAAUAUAAAAAGUAAACAUAUUUUUAAUUUAAAUGUGAAACUAAACCUAUUAAAAGGUGAAGUCUUACGUAAAGCUUUGUGCAAUUGAGCUGCUCAAAUAAAAAAAAAGUAUUAAUAUUAAUAUAAUUGAACCCAACCCAGAAGAAAAUUAAAUACAUAAGUUUUCUCAAAAAUAAUAUAUAAAUGAGUUUUAUUCAAUUGAAUUAAAUUAGUUACUUAAUUUCAUAUAGCUUAGAAUUGGUUAACUUGUCACAAAUUAUAGAAAAAGACGAAAAAAAAGUUGGUGAAUAAGUUGUAACAUAUCAAAUUUAUAAAAACAAAAAAAAAUGAAAGGAUAAAACUGUCAUAAAUUCAACAUUACUUAAGGAAGAGGUGGUAUAACACCCUACACUUGAUCUAGACGAUGAAUUUGGAUAUAAUAUGUCACAUUGAUUACUGGAGUAAUCCAAACAAAAUGAAAUAAUCAAAUUUACAUUCAUUGAACAUUAUUAUAUCAUAAAUUCAAUGACACCAUGCUUCCUUGAUAUAAAACAUAAAAUAACUUGAUAAAACGGUUUAAAGUACAACAUUCGAGGCCCAAAAUAUAUAAAAAAAAAUAAGGGAUAAGUUCUGAUAAGUUGCCUUAAUGUAUCGAUACUUGUACUAGAAAUUCAAAUAGAUAGUUAUAGAGGUAUAGGUUCCGUUACCUAAAAACCAAUGUAAUGAUAGAUAGGGCAAUGUACCAAUACCUUAGACUAAGUACUGAUACCUCAUACAAGGUCCCGAUACCUCAUCUCUGCAACUUAGAAGAUUUGUGAAAAUGACAAUUUAGGCCAUAUGCAUAACCUUCCAAACAACACUAAAGAAGGUCUAACAUGUACCAAAGUCAUUUCAACACAUUUAACAUAUCAAAUUAAGUCUAAAACACUAAAUUUCAUGUCUCCAAACAUAAUAGAUCAAAAUUAAGCUACUUAAAUAAAAUUUAAGCACAACAACAAAAUACUCAAUAAAUAAAAUUUAAAUACAACAACAAAAUAUUUAGCAUGCAAUUUGAUUUCAGUGCUCAAUUUUAAACAUAACAACAAUACCGAUAUGCUAUAAAAGUUCAAAUACACUAUGUCCUACACAAAGACAAACGUGCAACCAUUCCACAUUCAAAAUCCUUUAGGGGUCCUAUUCAUACCCAAAUUUCAACAAAAACUCGAAACACAUUACAAUUUCGAUGACUAUAGCCAAUGAAUCCCUUUCCCAAUGCUUUUUUGAUCUCCAAGGCAGCUUACUUCUUAAGUACAUGCGCAAGGAAACACAUCAGCGUGCUAAGCAUAAUAUACUCAAUGGUGCAACACAACUCCAAAAUACCAUAUGCUAUUAUUAAAUUGCAAUACAUAUUCAAGCAUCAUUAGAUCAAAAUUCUUACCAAUAUAAUAUACAUGUAUAAGCCAAAAUAACCAUACUCCCAACAAUAAAUCCAAACAAUACAUUACAUCAUUGAGGUCUAAGGUUUGAUCCCUAUGUUUGCAAACCCUUUUUCCCAUUGUAAGUAUCAAAAAUAAGUAACAAAUCACAAGCAACUAACACAUACCACCAUAAUAUUUGUGGUUCAUCAUCAACUCAACAAUUUAAUGUAUAACACAAGAUAAUCUAAAAUUUGAGAACUCCAUUUGAAACUAACUAGUAAUAAAAUCAUAAUUUGAUCUUGAAAACUCUAAGAAUCUUGCUGGAAAAUCAAAUUACCUUUCAAGAUUGAUGAUUAGAAUUGAAAACUUAGAGAUAAUUUUGAGAGAAAAUAAAGUUGAGAAAUGUUUAGUGCUUUUGCAAAUGAAAACCUCUAAUUCUAAUUACUAAUUCUUAACCUAACCCAACACUAACUCCCAGAAACCAUUCAAUUUAUCUUCCCAAAUUAGCUCGGUGCAUAAUUCCAUUUCAAAAUCGACUAUUUUGAUUCUCUAAAAAUUUAGGGUGUUAUAAGUGGCAAUGGAAUUACCUCCUAUAUUAUCAAAUUUUAGUAUUGUUGAAAAUAUAAAAUUAUUAACUCAAGAUAAUUUUUGAAAUCUAAAUAAAAAAAAUAAUUUUAGAAUCUUAUAUUACUACUGAAGACAUAGGAUUUCAUGAACUCAAACGCUUAGGAGUCGACAACCAACUAGUUAUGCUUUGUUAAAUGCUAUCCACAUAUUUAUACUGAUUAUUGGCUAUAUACUGUUAAUUUUAUUAAUGAAUGACGCUUGGAUGCACUCUUUUUCCACUCAAUGUAAUGGGCGGUUUUUUAACAAGACAUCCUUUUGUUCAUAAAAAAUAUUUAUUUAAAUUCAAAGAUAUUAAUAAAAAUACAUACUAAGAAAUUAAUAAAAAUACAUAAAUGGAAAAAAGUACAUUAAUUUAAAUAUAAUAUUAUAAAUUAUUAUAAUAUUAUAUUUAUUUUGUUAAUAGUUUUGUAACUUUGGAUGUUCUUUACCUUAAAUUUUAUUAAUUCUAAAGUACAUUAAUAUCAUUUGAACUUUAUUUUUUAAAGUAUUUAUUAAUUUAAAUAAAAUAAAAUAAUAAAUUACUUAUUUAAAUAAUAUAACUAUUAAUUUUAUAAUUCCAAAGGAUAUUUUUAUCAUUUAGCUUUAGUACUUUUAAAGCUCACACAUUGAUUUUAUACUUAAUUUUUAGUUUAUUAACAAUAUACAUUAGAUAUACAUGCAAAUAUUUUUCAAUUACAUAUUUAUAUAAAACUAUAAAUUAUUAAAUUAUUAAAUUAUUAAUUAAGUUCAAUAAUUUAAUUUAAUAUUUAUAUUUUAUUUUUAAUGUAAAAAAUAAAAAUGAUCUAAGAAAAAAAGUUUUAAAAAAUUGAUGUGACAUCGAAAUAUACCUAAAUAGCCGAAACACAUGCAACCAAUGUUGAAAUACAAUGCACACACAUAACUUGUAGAAAAGCACAAACAUAAUAUGCGUCACAGGGUUCUCAACUAUUUUAGUGCAGGACUAAUGCUUUGCUUGGUAUGAGAAUGAAAGUUUUGUUAAUCAAGAGUCAAAUUUACUUACUUUAUAUUCACAAAUUUCAUUCUCAGUUCAUACACACAAAAAAAAGACUAGAUCAAAAAAAUAAAUAAAUAAAUAAAUGUAAUAAUGUAUUUAAGCUUCCGUUGAUUUCAGACUGAUGAGAUCCAUGCUUCACUAUUACUCUGUUACCUGAACAAAAAAACUGAAAAGCAAAAAGCUUUUCACGAAUCAGUUCUUAGAGAUACUCCUUAAGAUCUUGCUGGUUUCCCAAAUCCCAAAUUACCACUUUCCCAUCCAUUCCUGCAAUAUUCAAAUUGCAGAAUUAUGAGAAAAUACGAGUCCAAAAACUCUUAACCGAUCCCAAAAGUUUACAGUAUCUAAACUGUAAAAGCAGCACAACCACCCACCUGAGGUGCUGAAGCGCUUUGUCUGGGAACCUUUUUUAUUUAGAAGUGCAAUACAACUGCAGUUCCAACAAGAGAAUGUAGAAAUUGAUAAGCAGCCAAUGAAAUCUUUUCUUUAGGAGAAAAAAACUACAUCAUAUUCAAUAAUAACAAAAUGGCAGAGAAGUACUUGAUGCAGUUGUCAUGAACAGCUCCCUGUAUCUUUGAAGGUUCAACCGUAUCAUUGCUCAAUCCGUGCUUUGCUUGACCAUAUAAUUUGCCAAAUGCUUCAGAAAACUGAAAAGAAAUAACAACCGUAUCAAGAACAUUGCAUUACCAGUGAGUUUCAGAGACCGAGAGAAAUGAGAUGUAUAAACUAUAGACACUAGGUUUCUCAACUAGGGAAGUUAAAAAAUUUCGCUAUGCUGUUUUUAAAAAAAAAAAAAAAAAAAAAAGGUGCUACCUAUCACUACUUCAUUCUGGAAGCCAUAAAAAUGUAUCAAACUGUGGAAUCCAACCAUCUCUUCAUGCCUUCCCUAACUACUACAACACCACCCAACCUUUAUAUGUCAUACAACUUCAGUCUACUGUAGCCAUAGAUGUAAUCUUUAAAAUGGAAUAUACCUUUUUCCCCAUCAUUUUCCAUAACUUCUAUGACACCCCUCCCUUCCCCCCAGGAAAUAAAUAAAUAAAAAUGUAAAACUAAAAUGAUUGGGCUCCAAUCCAAGGCUUAAAACCUUUCCCGACAUGAUUGGGAGGAGGAUGUGUCAUUUGGGCACAGAGAUUCAACCGUUUUUUUUCCAGUGCCAAGAGAUGACUGUUUCUGAGAAAAUAGGAAUGAAAACAGCAAUAUUGGUGUUUGAGGAAUAAGUAAAAGACAUAACUGGAUAUAAAAACUGUGACGGACUUUAUGCAGAGGUAAAUAAUGUUCAAAUGAUAUUAUGUCCUCAUGUAGACUUCAAGAAAUGGUGUCCGGGCUUGCACAAGGGAAUGAUAAGCCACGGAAACAAUAUAAGUUAGAUCCUUUCCAUAUCUUAUAGAAGACAGUUCAUUUCAAUUCACAAUAUUGGCGCUAAAGAGUAAAGAUACUUGCAUUUUCCAUACUAUGUCAAGCUGAAAUAUUUUAAGAUGAAUAAGUAAAUUCAAUUCAAUAUUUUAGUGGUAAAGUUUUGAAAGAAUUUUCUGGAUUCAUUCCCUUUAGCUGUACCAAGCAUCCAAAGAAAAUAACAGGCCAAAGGAUUUCUCCAGUCCAAUUAGAAUCAAGAUAAUUGAUGAGAAAUUUUGAGAUGAACAUCUAAAAGAAAGGCAAAAGGUGCAAAGCCGACUCAGUUAGGUGCCAUGCACACUGCCAACACUCAAUGUGAGAUUUAUUUACUCACCACUUAAUACUCCACCUCGUAUGUAGGGCCAACAAAGCUAUCAAAAGGCAUAUGCUUCAAGUUUAGGGAUUAUGUGCCUAUCUUGUGGCUUGGACAUCAUAUUUUAGCAGAACAAGCCUAUUAGGAAGCCGUCACAAAGUGGAAUAGAGUCUGCCCCACCACCAGGGGAAACCAAAUAAGGGUCUCUCUGCCUAUUAGCAAUAUUUUUUAAGGAUGGAUGCUUGUCCUAAAAUUUAUCAUGGUAUCAAAACCCAGGUUUUUUUGUUUUUUAUUGUUCUCAUUCUUUGUUGCCCCUAAAUUGUUUGACUUGGUAGGCCUGUUCACUUCAGCUGUUAGUAUUUGCCAUUGAAACUACAUGUAAGGGGAAAUGUUACAUUGUGCUAUGCCCUAUCAGUUAAGUAUUCAAUUAGCUAUGGCCUUAAGUUAAGGUUGGACCUCUCUCGACCUACAACUAAGACUGACCAAAGUGCAUAAUGAGACCUAAAAGUUGAUGGUUUUUCACAUGCACUUUCUCUAAAACCGAAUUCAGGAACAUACAAAAAAUUAAAUAUACUGUGUUUUCUCCACUUGAGUAAAAAUUACUACUAAAUGAGAAAGACAUGUGACCACAGAGACACCUGGAACAUGAUCUUUGAUGUUAUCCUUUCGAAGAUAUUGUUCAGAUCUUACUGACAAGCCUAUCAUUUGAGAACAAAUAGUUGGCUCAGCUCAAACUAAGGUUUAACAAAAGUUGAAGCUUUGCAUGAUUCAUUCAAGUGAAUAGACAACCUGCUGAUCUUAUUACCCAAUAAGAGCCCUACUGACAAAUUAUUUCCUUAACCAAACACGCCUGGAAGUGAUCUGUGUUCUUAGAAUUAUCUGCCCUUGCCCCCUUCCCCCGGUCUCACCUAUAACAUUCGCACUCAUAGAAUGAGAAUAGCUAAAAGCUAUAUGAUUUACAUACCUGAGAACCAGAUUUUGGACCUGACAAAGAUUCUUUCCUUUCACCUAAGAAUCUGAUAAAGCUCCUAGAAAACAAGACCAAAAACCUUAUUGAUGUAACGAAGCAAGUAUAGAAAAUUACAGUGACAAUGAAUCUUACAUACCAUAAUCCUGAUUUAUCUGCUGCAAAAACCAUCGGGUUGCAGUCAAAUCCCACGCCUAUGACCAUUUUCUCUGAAACAAAUAGGACCUGAUGGAAAUUUAUGUUUAGGCCCAAAAUAAAGGGAAACAAAAGCAGUUAACAAGAUUGAAAGCUGACCCACAUCACGAAGAGGCAAAUUACGGAAUGCAACAUUCUGGGCCAAAGGGGAAGGACCAAUAUCAUCAACAAAGUAAAUCAUAGAAUUAUGACCUGUAAAUAGAUAAAUGGUAGGUAAGAAGGAAACUUUUACAAGCAGCUCUAAGACCCAAAAGAAAUGUUCCCCUUAAAAGGGAGCUGGGAUAUUGAUGAAGUUAUAUCAAAAUUUAAGCUUAACCAACAUAGUUUAGAGGUUUCAUGCAAUGACAGUUGUUCUCCAACCAAAAAUUAAAUGUAAAGUUGGAUUAGUUUCAAAAAAAAUUUCUCUCAACUAGAAACUAAACAAAAAAUUAACCAUGCCAAAAUGUGAAAUUGGUAGUUUUAAGGGGAAAAUAAAUUCUCCAUGCCACAAACUUUAUCUUCGGACAUCACAAACAGAGAAAUAUUUCUUACCUACAUAAGCCAAAGUAUUGCCACUUGGUGACCACUUCACCCCAAAUGCCCAUGAAGAUGACAGAUCAAGCUGAACUAUUUGCUGUUCCAACAGCAAGUGCCAUAAAAUGAAAAGAAAAUGUUAGCUCUUCUUUGCACUGAAAAAAGGUUAAUGAAACUGCAGAACCUUGAUUUCCCCUAAAUAAAUGAUGGAAUAAAUAAGAAUUUAAGCAAGUCAUUAAGCCAAGAUAAAGUAGUUAGUGUAAUAUUCAUCGGUCGCAUCUGAGGCAUAAAUAAUUUGGGUCAUUAAUUGAUUCAACUCCGUAUUUAAAGAUACUCAGAUACAUAAACAACAACAAUUCAGCAUUCUUUCCUUUAGGCUAAAUGUUUGGACCAAUUGAAUCGACAAAAUAUAGAAGUUAUCCUUCCAUGCUGCUACUUCUUUUGAUGCAAAGGAAAAUAUUAGGAAUUAACUUCAACAUGUUGAUUAAGCUCUCAGUAAUGAAAACUAAUUGCAAUUCCAACAUGUUCUGCUAGUUUUAAUAAAAAUUAUAGUCUGAACUAUGAUUUUUAAAACAAGAGGCACCAAAGGAUGCGACAAUGUGCAGCUGUAUAGCUUAAUUUAAGAUUAUAUGUCACUACUAAUGAAACUUUUGACAUUAUACAGAUUUUACCAAGAUUCACUUCGUUAACGGAUGAAUAUUUUGCAAUAUGUUUUCAUUAUUUACAAUGUUUAUCAAAAAUAUCAUUCCAUAGGCAAGGAUAUUACCCACUACAGGAAAAAAAAUUAUAUGGCUGUACUGGCAUAAUGUUUCCUUUCUAAUUGGAAUUGCAAUUUAACAUUGUGAACCAUAAAAGACGGUUUGCUUGCCAAGGAAAUUACCUUGUCAUUCUGGAAACUAAUAUGUUGUAGAACGAAAAUAAAUAAAUAAUAAUAAUAAUAAUAAUAAUAAUAAUAAUAAUAAUAUCCAGAUCAUUCAGCAUUCAGGAUUCAGCUAUCCAGUUUCAAUUUCUUUACAUUGAUGUCCAUUAGAAAAAAGAACAGAUUGCACGUUGAUUGGGCCUCCUAAUCACUAGAGGUUCAUAUGACUAAAGAUUUUCCCUUUCGGCAGUUAAUUGCACAUAUUGCAACUUGGUGCAUCUCUACUAACAGUAUAACAUGGAAAGAAGCAAAUUUGUAGCCUAUUGCCCAUAUUCAUCUUUCAAAAUUUUAGUAUGUUGAAUUAUUGGUAGAGUACAGUAAACAUGGAAAUACAUGGAUUAACAAACAAAAGUUGAGGCACCAUCUUUUCCUGCAUAUCAAAUGCACCCAUUAAAUAUUUACUGCUAAAGAGGGUGGCACGUAUAGUACCUCUCCAAACUUUGGAUCUGAAGAAGAGCCUGUUUUUGAUUCCCUGGGUAAUUUAAAAAGGAAACAUGAUACUAAUGUGCUCAAACAGUAAUGGGAGUCUCCAGGCAACGAUAUUUAACAUACCUUGUAUCAACACCUUUGAUAAAUGUAGAAAAUACUCGGCAUUUUCCAUCUGUGGAUGUUGUAGCAAGUAGAAUCUGUAGCAAAAAGAAAGUCAAAAUAGACAAUAAGACUUGUGACACGCGGGUUCUUUUCCAAAAUUUAGAUUAUAUACUAGUUAAUGAAACAGAAUAUAAGAGAUGAAUUCAAAAGCAUGUAAAACAGAUUUUCCAAAUGGCAUAGGUAUGACGCUAUGAUAUUCCGCAGAUGCAGACAAUUACAACUCUUAAACUAUGAUAUUUUGCGGGUGAACAGACUCAAUUUUUAACAUGUAAUUGGACCAAAAAAAAACUAGGUAUUAGAUGAUAAGCAUCCAGAUCAUCCAACCGCAGUUUAUUGAACUUCAAUGGCUUUAUUAUUCCUAUCAAAUGAGAUAUCCAACCAGCACAAUAGUUUCUUCUUUAAUCAAGUAUUAAAAUUCAACUUUUUUCUACUACAUUCAUAAAAAGAGUGUUGACAGUUAGCAUAGAAAUACAGAAAUGUCAAACACCACAACUCUCACAUCAACUCAUUAAUACCCCUUCCCCCACUGUUUGCCGCAUCAUAAUUCAUCUUCAGCCUCACCAUGAGAAAGUAAGUGAUUUUACGGAGAAGCAUUCAUCCAAUAAAAGCUUUAUUCAGUAUGACAUUUAAUCUACUUUGCCUGAAUAAGCCUACUUAAAAUCAACUAACUUAAGGCAUUCUCAAUACAAUAAUGCAUUUUGCAAAUUUUAUUUACAUUUUACUUUCUAGGAUUGAUUGACAUAUUUGUUGUCAUGCUCCCUUAUAAAUUGUAGUGUUUUUGCCACUGGUACAAAAUUAAAAAAAAAGUAGGUGCUUUGGUCAAUUGCAGCCAAUCUUGACUGGCCUCUACAAUAAUUGGAUGUGAAGAAUGCAUUUCUUAAUGGAGACUUGAAAGAAAAGUUUACAUGGAUCCACUACCAGGCUUUUAAAAGAAGUUGGAUCGAAUGUCUGAAAACUAAAGAAAUCUCUAUAUGGUUAAAAGAGUCACCAAGAGCUUGGUUCGGAAGGUUCACUCAGUUUGUAAAAACCAUGGAUACACAUUCAAGGAUAAACUGAUCAUACUAUGUCCACAAAGUAUUUAGCCAAUGAGAAGACGGUUAUUCUCAUAGUGUAUGUGGACAAUAUUAUUUCAACUGGCAAUGACAUAGCUGAAAUAGAACAGUUAAAAAUGUGUCCUACAUCCAAUUUUUGAGAUUAAAGGCUUAGGGUCAUUGAGAUAUUAGCUUGGAAAGGAGGUAGCUCAAUCAAAGAAGAAAUUGCAGUUGCACAAAGAAAUAUAUUAUUAACCUACUUAACAAUAAUAGGAAUGAAUAGUUGUCACCCAAUACAGACACCAAUUGAUCCAAUCAGAAGCCUGAGAAAGCAAAGCUGAUCCAGUCGAGACAUCACGGUACCAAAAGCUAGUUGGAAAACUAGUUUACUUGUUACAUGCGACCUGAUAUUGCAUUCAUUGUAAGUCUUGUCAGCCAGUUCAUGCAUCCUCCACAUGAAGAAUUGUUGAGAUAUGUAUAUAUUUUAAAUUUAUUUAGGUAGAUAAAUCUUAUUUAGGUAGAUAAGUUUUAUUCAUAUUAUAGGAAUAUUUUAUUUUAUCUUUUAUUAGUUUAUUAGAAUAAGGGAAUUAUUUUCCUAAUUAGGAUUAAGACUUUUUUCUCUAUUUAAGUUCAAUUCUUUAGUUAAUAAAAAAUAGAACAGUUUUAUUAAAAGCUCUCUUAAAAACUUUCAUGACAUCUGAACUAGGUUAAAUCUCUAAUAACAUUAUGGUUAAAACAGCCUUCACUGGAGAUAAGAGAUCCAGCAAUCAAACAGAGGAAUAAAGUUCUACUGUUGAAACAACUACCGAGAGUACAAUGACUCAAGGGACAGAGGCGUCUCACCUUUCUUUUCAGCUGACAUCUCACAAGCUGAAUGGCAAGAAUUAUCUAGAAUGGCCGCAGUCCGUAAAAUCAACAAUUGAUGGGCGCGGCAAGCUAGAUCAUUUAACUGGAGAAGUCAAGCAACCACAGGUGGGUGAUCCAAAGAUGAGCAAGUGGAGGUCAGAAAAUUCUAUGAUAAUUGCAUGGCUUAUUAAUUCCAUGGAAGCAUCCAUAGGUAAACCUUUUCUUUUUCUCCCGACUGCUAAAAAUGUUUGGGACGUUGUGAAAGACACAUAUUCAGAUUUAGAAAACGCUUCACAAAUCUUUGAGUUAAAAAUAAAACUUUGGAAAGCUAGACAAGGGGAAAAGAAAGUUACUUUUUAUUAUAAUGAGAUUAUGUCUCUUUGGUAAGAACUAGAUUAGUGUUAUAAUGAUAAAUGGGAGUGUCUCGGAGGUGUUGUAAAAGCUAAGAAAAAAGAAGAGAAUGAAUGAGCUUCUUUAUUUCUAGUUGGUCUAAAUAAAAAAUUUGAUGAAGUGAGAUCUUGGAUCUUAGGGAAAAAACCGCUUCCAAAACUUCAUGAGAUUUUUUCUGAGGUUAGAAGAGUAGAGAUAAGGAGAAAAGUAAUGUUAAGGCCAAGGUUUGAAGCUAAUGAUGAUAAUUCUGCUCUUGUAACUAUUAAAAAUAAUGAUAUAGUAAAAAAAAAAAGAAAAAACCUUGGAGCAAUCACUGCAAAAAAUAUUGGCACACUCGAGAAACAUGUUGAAAGCUCCAUGAGAAAUCGAAGAAUGGAAGAAAAAGGAGUAGCAAUGGUCGUGGUUCACAAUCAAGGGAUAGCAAAGCUUUCCAAACAACUAAUGAAAAUUAUGAGGGCCAAAAUUCUCUGGAAGGGUCUCCAUUCACUAAGAAACAAUUAGAGCAGCUAAACAAGCUUUUUCAAUCACCACAAUUUCGGAUGAAUUCUUCUAUUCCUAACCCAUCCAAUAAUCCUUCUUCCUCUUUUGCCCAAUCAAGUACUGAUUUUUCUGUUUUUUUCAGUGUCAAACCUUGUAAAACAAAUAUGUGGAUCGUUGAUUCUGGAGCUAGUGAUCACAUUACUAAUUGUCAUUUUCUUUUUUCAACUUACACACCUUGUGCAAAAAACAAAAAGAUCAAAAUAGCAGAUGGGUCAUUCUCGGCAAUAGCCGGGAAAGGCACUGUUAAAAUUUCGUCUUCCUUGGUUUUACAUGAUGUUUUACAUGUGUCAAAUCUAGCUUGUAAUCUCAUAUCGGUCAGUAAAUUAUCCCAGUCCUCGAAUUGUCAUGUCAUAUUUGACUCCUCUAUGUGUAAAUUUAUCUCUCCGAGUUUUUGGGUGUAGCGUUUUUGUUUAUCUUCACAACCAAGGUAAAUUAGAUCCUAGAGCAAAAAAAUGUGUCUUUGUUGGCUAUGCUUUUAAUAAAAAGGGUUACAAAUGUUACGAUCCAAUUGAUAGGAAGAUUAUUGUUACCAUGGAUGUCACAUUUGUUGAAACGCAAUCUUAUUUUGAUUCUAAUCUUCACGGAGGGAAUUAUAGUAAGAAAGAUUCUAUAAUUGAUCAAAAAAAUACUAAGAAUAUACAACAUAGGAAUUCCAAUUAUGGGGAAGGCAAAUUUAUGAUUAACACAGAAAUUAAUGAUGUUAAUGUUGUUAAUAAAAGGAGUAUGAAGGUGUAAAAUAUGAUCAUGAGAAUAAAGAACAAACAAAGGAGUUAAUUGUUUACUUAAGAAGAAAUUGAAAUCAAGAAAGUGGAAUCCACCAGAUUCAUCACCAAGAAUCCGACCCGCAAGAUCUUGUCAAAAGUCCAAGUAAAGCUCGUAAUCCAGCCAAUGAAUUUUCUGAUUUAGAUAUUUCAAUUGUUAAAAGAAAACGUGUUAGAAAUAUUGUCAAAUAUCCCAUGUCUAACUUUGUAUCCUAUAAAGCCUUGUCUUCGACAUUCUCAGCCUUUGUUUCGUGUCUCGAUACUGUGAAAAUACCCAAAAAUAUGAAAGAUGAUUUACAGGUUCCUGAGUGGAAGGAGGCUAUUUUAAAGGAGAUGCGCGCUCUUGAAAAAACAGGUACAUGGGAAACAAUGGAAUUACCUGUAGGGAAAAAAACAGUGGGCUAUAAAUGGGUGUUCACAACCAAAUUCAAACCAGAUGGAUCUUUAUAUAGAUAUCUAAAGAUACACUCAAACAUAUGGGAUAGAUUAUCUUGAAACAUUUGCUCCAGUAGCCAAAUUAAAUUUCGUUAGAGUUCUUUUAUCAAUUGCUGUUAAUCUUGAUUGGUCUUUACAGCAGCUAGAUGUGAAGAAUGCUUUCCUAAAUGGGAAACUUGAAGAAGAAGUUUACAUGGAUCCUCCUCCAGGUUUUGAAGAAAAAUUUGGAACUCGAGUAUGUAAACUCAAGAAAUCUUUGUAUAGUCUAAAGCAGUCUCCUCGAGCUUAGUUUGAACGGUUCACUCAAGUUGUUAAAAAACAAGGUUACUCACAAGGGAAAGCUGAUCAUACAAUGUUCUAUCGACAUUCACAAAGAGGUAGAAUAACAGUUAUUAUAGUUUAUGUCGAUAUUAUUCUUACAAGAGAUGAUGUGGAUGAAAUAAGGCGUCUCAAGAAGCAUCUAGCAUUGGAGUUUGAGAUCAAAGACUUCGGUCCUUUAAAAUACUUUCUUGGAAUGGAAAUUGCUCGAUCAAAGAAGGGUCUUGUGGUCUCUCAGAAAAAAUAUGCAAUUGAUCUUUUAAAAGAGGCUGGGAUGGUGGUUGCCGCCUAGCUGACACACCAAUUGAUCCAAAUGUAAAAUUCGAAAAUAAAGAAGGCCAAUUAGUUGAUAAAGGGCAAUACCAAAGAUUAGUUAGUAAGUUAAUUUACUUAUCACAUACAAGGUCAGACAUAACUUUUGCAGUGAGCUUAGUGAGUCAAUUUAUGCACUCCCCAAUGGAGAAACAUGAAGUAGUGUUUCAAAUUCUAAAAUGCUUGAAGAGUUCACCUAGAAAGGGCUUAUUCUUCAAGAGAUCCAAACAAAGAGGAAUUGAAGCUUAUACAAAUGCAGAUUGAGCAGACUCAAUAACAGAGAGAAAAUCUACAUCAGGAUUCUGUACAUUUGUUUAGGGAAACCCUGUGACUUGGCGAAGCAAAAAACAAAGUGUACGUAGUGCAGAGGCUAAGUUUAGAUCAAUGGCUCAAGGAAUUUGUGAAAUGAUGUGGUUAAAUGGAAUUAUGGAAGAGCAGAGGAAACCAAUAACUUCACCAAUUAAGUUGUACUGUGAUAUCAAAGCUGCCAUUAGUAUUGCUCACAACCCAAUCUAGCAUGACAGAACUAAACAUGUUGAAAUUGAUAGACACUUUAUCAAGGAGAAGAUUGAAGAAGUCCAAGCGUGCAUGCCGUUUGUUCCUUCAAAACAACAGAUUGUUGACAUACUCACCAAAGGGCUCUCUAAGACAACCUUUGAUUUUCUUGUAGGCAAGUUGGGCAUGAUUGAUAUAUAUGCACCAACUUGAGGGAGGGUGUUGAAAUAUGUAUAUAUUUUAAAUUUAUUUAGGUAGAUAAAUCUUAUUUAGGUAGAUAAAUCUUAUUUAGGUAGAUAAGUUUUAUUCAUAUUCUAGGAAUAUUUUAUUUUAUCUUUUAGUAGUUUAUUAGAAUAAGGGAAUUAUUUUCCUAAUUAGGAUUAAGACUCUUUUCUUUAUUUAAGUUCAGUUCUUCAGUUAAUAAAAAAAUAGAACAGUUUUAUUAAAAGCUCUCUUAAAAACUUUCAAGAAUAUCUUGAAACGGUGUAUUGAAUUCUAUGGUAUUCAAACAGCUCUCCAAAAAAAAGCCUAUUUUUCAAAAAGAAUGAAUAAUGGAACAAACGCAGAUUGGCUAGACUUAGUCACCGAGAGAAAAUCAACAUCAAAGUUAUUGUACUUUUGUGUGGGGGCACUCAGUAACGUAGAGAAGCCAAAAAAAAAAAACAAUGGUUGCUCAAAAUAGUGUAGAAGCAUGAUACAUAUCAAUAGCUCACGGAGUUUGAAAGAUGAUGUGGCCGAAACAAGUUAUGGAAGAACUAAAGAGAUCUAUGACCAUGCUUAUCAAGUUGUACUGUGAGAACAAGUCUAUAACCAUGCCUAUCAAGUUAUACUGUGAGAACAAGGCAACCAUUAGCAUUGCACACAAUCCAAUUCAACAUGACAAAACCAAACAUAUGAAAUUGAAAGGCAUUUUACAAAGACAAAGAUUGAAGCCAAAGCUAUUUGCAUGCCAUUUGUUCCAACAUUGCAACAAAUAGUUGAUAUUCUUAUAAAGAGACUAUUCAGACCUAACAAUGAGCUUCUCAUGAGCAAAGUUCGGCACAAUAGACAUCUACACACCAACUUGAGGGGGAAUGUUGGACAGUUAAGGUUUUUUUUUUUAGAUUAUAUUUUAUUUUUGAGAUCCAUUGACAUUCGUUGUCAUGCUCCCCUAUAAAUUGUAUUGUUUGUUCAUCAAUCAUAUAAUAAGAAGAAGAUUUUAGUUUAUUCUUCAAAACUUAUUGUCUUUUAAUCUCCCAUUUCCUUAUUACUUUACAUUUUUUCACUCCUUUUCUUGAUCCUCUUUCUCUCUCCAUCUUACAAAAUGCUUCCUCUACUACUUCCUCUCACAAUGCCUCUGUAAGCUUGACAAUAUCAAAAAGGGGUAAAUUGAGAUUUAAAAAAUCUAAAAAAAAAAAUCAAUACAAGUGAUUCAUAGACGUUCAGCCUCAAUUGCCACCCUCUACCUUAGCUCCUCUUGCUAAGAAUUUUCGCAAUCCACCAACUUGAAUUGCUACCUUCUAAAAUAAGGUAUAACACAAUCUAUCUUUUGAAGGUAAGAUUACACCACUUAAUCCCAAGUAAUCUCACAAAAAAAAGUAAGAAAGUAGCAAACAAUGAAUAACCUCUCAAAUAUAUGGGUUUGCAAAUUAAAUCUCUCUCAAAUACAAAUAAACACUUUGAAUAAAGGUAAUAAACUCAACCCAAUUGGAUAGAUGAAGAAUAUUACAGUUCUAGUUCAAGCAUGGGUAAAUGACAUGUAUUUGCAUAUUUAAGGUAAUGUCAAUAUGUACAUAUGCAUUUCUAUUUCUCCCUCGUUUUUAAUAUGUCAAAAAGAAUGAAAGCAUUUUAGAAGCAUAAAUAUACCAAAAGGUUAUAGCAGAAGCAAUCAAAGCUCAAAGAGGGAGAAAAGAUCGCAAAUCAAAUGAAGAUACCAAAGAUUUCAUUCUUGUUCUUCAUCUAUCCAAUUGGGUUGAGUUUAUUAUCUUUAUUCAAAAUGUUUAUUUGUAUUUGAGAGAGGUUUAAUUUGCAAGCCCAUACCUUUGAGAGAUUAUUCAUUUUUUGCUACUUUCUUACUUUCUCUGAGGAGAUUACUUAAGACUUUGUGGUAAAAAAAUCUUAAGGGAAUUUAGUAGUCCUAUCUUACCUUCAAAAGAUAGAGAGACUAUAAGGGUUAUACAUUGUCCUUGAAAGGUAGCAAUUCAAGUUAGUGGAUUGAAAAAUCCUUAGCAAGAGAAUCUAAGAUAGAGGAUGUAAGUAAUUGAAGCUGAACCUUUAUAAAUCACUUUUGCCAAUUUAUGUUUUUGUUAUUUGAGAUUUGAGAUUUCGAAAUCCCAAUUCACACCCUCUUUGUAUCAUCGAGCUUACAAAUUUUUAUUUUUUUUUGCGGUCAAUUUGUGCAUCAGUAAUUUGGUGCCUACAUGAAAGAGCUGAAGUUUGAAUGAUCAGCACCACGUUAGCAGUGAAAUUGCACACACAAAUCUUUUCAUGUCACAUUGACACAAGUAUGCAGCCUUAGAAUGUUGAGCACAUGUAAUACAAUAAAAGACAAGAACACAGCAUUUUCAGCUAAAACCUGCCAAUGAUAAAUAUGGCAAAUGAAAAUUUAAAAAUAAGUACAUCUGAGCAUACAUGGGUGCACCACACACAUGUUUGUUUACAUAUAUCCAUUUCUUUAACUACGCAUUGAAAUUACUGACUUUUAGAUAUACAAUCCUCUAAACUUCUCUUAGAAAUAUGGUUAUUAAGUAUGGUAAAAAUUUCAGGUGUUUAGAAAAAGGAAGAAAAUAAAGAAGACUAAUAAGGAGAAAAGGAGUAAGAGAGAGUAGAGUUAAGAAACAAAGAGGCACCGAAGAACUAGUUGAUCAUGUCAAUAGAUUAGCAAGUCAGAGAUAUACAUUUGUUGAUCACUUAGAGAAUUAAUCAAGCUUCAAAGCCCAUACACUCAUUUGAGGUCCAACUUCAUUAGAUGUUCCUUAACAUUAAGAGUUUAAACCUAGUACAUGCCGUAUACUUACAAUUGGGUGUUGCAACAUGACAACAAGAUAAAGGAGCUCAAACUCUAGACCCAUGAAGGUGAACCUGUCUUGUUGAUCUUCAAGGUAUUCCCCGCCUAAGCCCUCUUUGAUAAAAAGUUGUAGGAAUGAUAAGGAUUCAAAUGUAGACUAUUAGGUUGGGAGACAUCAAAAUGCACUUGGAAACAUACAGGUAUGCUUUUUAUAGACUAGGUGUUUGCAAAUUUAGGCCAUUGAAUGAAUGUGGAUCCCAAGUUAGGGAAGGUAUCAUUAGGCCAAGGUUUCUCUUGGAACAGGAGAAAAAUCCUUCCAUUAAAGAAGACUACAAUUAGGAUCAAUUAAUCAAAGCAUGGUGAUAAGCCUUCAUGCGGCUGGCAAUGAUCACUGCUGGCAUCUUCUUUGGCAUCCUAUCACUGAACAGGCGCUCAAGGAACAUGAUUUCAAAAAGGAUAAACCUAUCUUCAUACACUAUGCAAUCACAUGCUAAUCAUGCUUCACCUAUUAAGGUAGUUGUUAUAAAAGUAAUAAAAGGAACAAUAAAUGGGCAAAGUGAAGACAAGGACGAUUGUUUAUGAGUUGAAUUACAAGAAGAAACAGUAAGAUGAUGCAAAUUUGUCAACAAAAAAAAAAUGAACAAAGUGGUUUGGUGAAGAAAAUAAUCAAGGAGCAAGUAUGGAUGACAAAGUCUUGUGAGAGAAAAAUUGAUCUUAAUGUUUAUAAUAAUGAUUUGACAAGUAGAUGGCUUUAACAGAUAAUCUAAGACUUCAAUCUCAUCAAAAGAAAAAUGCAAUCAGCAAUAACUGGAAUGCGGGUUUCAAGCUGGGAGAAAAGGAGCAAUCACUGCUACCACAAAGUGGUAGAAGCAUUUUCUUACUCUCUUCUUCUUUGUGUUUCCCCUAAAUGUCAAUUCAUUUAAUAUUCCUUUUAUAUCUUUUCUUAGAAAUUAAGGAAAGCGGAAUCUGAUCCUUUUUCUUGUGACUCCGUUAGAAGACAUACCUAAAUGCCAAAAAUGAUAGGUUGAGACAUAUUGGCUCAUCUAUGUGACUCCAAUCACUUGUUUAAAAAUAUACUCUAGCAUGUCCAUGUUUUGACUUAAAAGGUUUCCCCAAAAAAUGUUGACUCCCUCCCAUCUGUAGCUAAAGUCUAAUGUAAAGUGUCCUACUUAGAUUCUUUUUAAAAAUGGAAACAAAAAAACACACACACAUAUACAUAAUUAAACCGAGAUUUAUUAACCUGCUAGAAAGAGAUGGUUUUGGGAUGGUUUUUUUCAAACCAUUAAACAUUAAGCUAAUGUGCUUAUGUCAAACAUCUUUAGUUUUUGUCUUACAUUCUUUGUCCCUCAAUUCAUUCUUCUGAAUGUAAUGGCAAGGGAGUCAAACAAGACCCUAAAAUACAUGAAAAUGAAUGAACUCUACCACAAAAUAAUUUUCCACAUGAUAGAAUAAAAUUGAAUAGAAACCCACCAUAUAAGUACAAUAAGAAUUGAAAAAGAACACUUUUCCAAAAUGCAGUAAAGUCAGAAAAACGCACAUUAUUAGGAUGCCAAGCAACACUUGUGACAGAGGAAUCAUGUUUUUUCCUGAUAACUUUGCUUACCCACCUGGAAACAGCAAACCAGACAAGCAUAUAGCAUCAAUCAUGGAUAGCAAAAGAAAUCAGUAGGACCUCAAUGUUUGAAAUUCACCCACAGUUGGAAACAAUGUAUGUAUGUACACAAAUAUAUAUAUACAAACUAAGUUCGACAAUAUUAAGAGAGAAGAAAGGUGAGAACUGAUAUGUAGCGACAUAUUACCAGUUAUUCUCUUGCUCAUAAUAGCAUACGCACACAGUUUUAGCACCACUUCCAACAGCAAACUUGUUUUCUGGGAGUUAAAGGAGAGGAAGAAAUGAAUUGGUUAGAACUUUGUCAAAUUGCUUGAAUAAAGGAUCUAUAAUGACCUGCAGUUUUCCUGAAACAGACUUCAACGGUCAUAAGAACAAGGAGAUGUAAAAAUUAUCAAAAUAAUAGCAAAAAGGAAAAAGGUGCUAUUGACUUCAUAAGGAACUUUUUCUUAUCAAAUAAUCCAACUGCUAUUCUGAAGUCCUACUCCACAACACAAUUUAUAUUCUCAUAGGUCAGAUGCCUAUCUAUUUUAUAAGCUUAAGCAAAAUCAACAGUGAAUAAGCUGCUAGGACAAUGAACCCUGAAGUAAUGUGUCAAAUUGUAAAAGAGUGGUCCUACGCUUUGUUCUUAAUAACUUGGGGGGGGAGGGGGGGAGGAACUAAUUAAGUAGAUCCAAGAAAGUGCCAAUCUGAGUAAAAACCUAAUUUAUUGUACAGUACAAAGAAGUGAAGAAUUAAUAAUAGUGCAAGGUCAAAUUAUGUUUAUGUACCUUUGGGGCUCCACCGAACACAAAGUGCAGCACGAUUGAGCCUAAGAAUAACAAGAGUUGGUACCCACUCUGGUCCUUCUCGGUUCCAAACAUAUCUUCAAAUGGGAUCACAAAUUUCAGGAGACAAAGAACACAAUAACAGUGCCAUAGAGAAAUGAAAACAAGAAAAUCGAAAGAAGUCGAACAUGAAGCUCAUGUUAGGCACUGUUUGCUUGUGUUUAUCAGGCACAGGGAAAAAGAAAGGAGGAGAUCCAAAUUAUGGAACUUUCAUUUGUACAUAUAUAUAUAUAUAAAUAAAAAGAAUUACUCACGAAUUCCGAUCAUGAGAUACAGAAACAAUUCUGUUUGACUUUCCACUCCAGUCUAUCCCAGAAACAAUUUGAUCAUGCUGUGAAAAUUUGACAUAAAAAAAUCAUAUUGAUAAAAAAUCAAACAUAAAACAAACAAAACUUAACAAAGAAAUGCAUCAUCAUCCUUCAAUGUAGUCACUUCAACACCUGGAUAAAUUUUCAUUUUAUAAGAAGAAAAAUAAGUAACUAAACAUGCUAGGAUAGAAUUUCCUUUCAAAAGAAGAAGAAGACUAAACAGCCUUGUUGUCUUCAACACGAAAAGAGUGGAUUAUUUAGACUGUGGAGGUCCUCAUGUUUUAGUAUUGUGCUCAACAUCCAUAGUUUAAAGUGCUUCCAUUAUAACUUGGUCUUUCUCACCUUUUAACUUGUUCUAAGGCAUAUCCAACAAUUCUAGCAUGGGCACAUUUAAAGAAUCAAAAGUAUUAUUAAAUAUCAGUACAAUUUAUUUCCAAUCAUUUGCAGUCCGGACAAGACUUUGCAAUGAGUUUCGGAAUCUUGGAAUCUCAUCAUGGGCUUUUUUUUUUCUUGAACUAAUCUCAUCAUAGGCUGCUACUCUUUGUUCUCGCCUUUUAAAUUUUAGCUUUCUCACAACUACUGUAAUCCCUAUCACACAAUUCAGAACCUAAUCUAAUAAAUCUCCCGGUUGCUUUAGAAUUCCCAACUUUGGUUUAUAUGCACAGAGCUUUCCGGUUCAGUUAAAGACAAAAGUGGUAAAAAGGCAGACUGAUAUCAUACCAUAGGUUGAAACCCAAAAAUUCAUCAGACCUCCAUGCUGUGGCAGUGCUUCUAUUUACUUACUAAGAAAGGCUAAGAUUUCAGACAAGAACCCAACGUGUCAUCUCAUAUUUUCCUUUUCAAGAAACAUUUUUAUUCUUAGUUAAAGAGAGGCUUCAACCUAGGUUCUAGACUUCUAGUCAUAUCCAAUUUGCAAAUUGAUGUGUUCCAAAAGUACCACAUAACAUGACUCCAAAAUGAAACUUCAAAUAACUAUUGGAGAUGAGUUAACACAUACAGCAUAGAUAAUUGGACUAAAACAUAACUUGGUGGUUUAUAGGGGAAAUUUUUUGAUAAAGUACCUUCUGAAGAACAUGAACUUUCUCCCACUUGUCAUUCACCAAUUUAUAAAUGUGAACCUCAUUAUUAUUUGGGCAAAAUGCUACCACUGCAGGCAAGAGAAAGUGAAUUAAAUAUGUAGAAAACACAGAAAACAAUAUCUCAUGCAAUUUAAAAUAAAAAGAACCAAAUCAUUAGUUCUAAAAUUCUCAAAAAAAAAAAAAAAAAAAAAGCUCUAAAAACACGCAUCAUUUUAAUUAAACAUGUAUCAUUAGUUCUAAAUCCAGCAUAUCACCAAAAAAUGGAUCAAUUUAGAAUGAGAAAGUAACGUAAAGAAAGAGUAAAUUGACCAUUAAUUUCAUUUUCUUCUUCAAUUUUACAUUUCUUAGACAAAUAUCACAUCACAAUAACAUUUAACUCAAAUAUAUACAUUCUUUUAUUUCCUACAUUUUCACAGCAACCAACCGAAACAUAAAGAUGAAGAGAGGAAAUGGAAUUUCGACAGAAACAAAUUAAAAGAAUGAAUGAAGUUACUGGAGUGAUCGGGACUCCAAGCAUGGCAAGUGAUGCACUGAGCGAACUGGUGAACGGCGACGGCCGCCAUUUUUAAGCUGAUGAAUUUGAUAUAUUGAGCUCCGAAUGAGAUGGAGAGAGAUCUCUGGAGAAGAGAAAGAACUGUGAAGCGAUCUCAGCUUCGGUUUAAAGUCUUUGUUAACAAACGGAAAGCUUGAAAGACUAGACUAGAUACCAAAUACCAAUAGAGGUGCGAUUGGACAAGUUCUCACCCGUCGACUUUGGGGAUUUUUAGAUUUUUUUUUUCUUUUCAGCAGGUUGAAUUAAUGGGUUAAACAUUCAUUUAGCCCUCAUAGUUUCCACUUCUCAUUUUUUUUCUCCAUUACCUCAUUUCAUUUUUGGAUAAACUACACAAUUGGUCACCUAACUUUUAUAAAUUUUCAUUUUAGGCACCAAAAUUAAAAAGUUUGCAAUAUGGGCAUUGCCAUUACAUAUUUUUAUCAUUGUAGUCACUUUCAUUACAUACUUUUAUCAUUUUAGCCACUUGUCAUUAAUUUACCAUUGCAUAUACUCAUUUUAAUCACUCAACUUUAGUAAAUUUUCAUUUUAAUCACUUAUUUUCUUUUUAAAAUUAUUUUUUUUUUCAAAGGAAAUAUAGGCUUUACAAGAAAUUAAGCUAUUACGCUAUGAGAUGAAACCCAAGCUUUUCACUAGUAACUUAAUUCCAUGUAAAAACUCAUAUUUUUCCUAUAAAAAUUUAAGUAAUUCCUUGUAAACCCCCUAAGUUUUUCCUUUACUGAAAAAAUUAAAAUUAAUUUAAAAAAAGGAAAAUUAAAAGAUAAAAUGUAAUUUCUUAUAAAUAACAAAAUAAUUUCCUAUAAAACCUUGGUUUUCCCUUUUACUAGAAAAAAAAUUCUAAAAAGGGAAAAAUAAAAUGGAAAUGAAAAGAUAAAUUGGUUUUCUUGUAAAAACUAAGUUUAUCAUAUAAAAACAAAGGUAAUCCCCUAUAAACCCCAUAUUUUUUCCUUCCCUCUCACUAAGAAAUAAAUUGAAAUUAAUUCUAAAAAGGAAAAAAAAAACAAAGAAAAUUAAAAAUAUAAAAAAUGAUUUUUCUAACCCAAAUUUUCCCCUAUAAAAACCAGGUUUUCCCCUUUCUAAAAAAACUAAAAUUGAUUCUUAAAAAAAUUAUAAAGAAAAUUAUAAAGAUAAAAUGAGUGACCAAGAUGAAAACGUACUAAAGUUGGGUGAUUAAAAUGAUAAAAGUACGUAACGGCGGUGACUAAAAUGAUAAUUGUAUGUAACGAUAGUGCCCAUAUUACAAACUUUUUAUUUUCGAUACCUAAAUUGAAAAUUUACGAAAGUUGGGUGAUUGAUAAGGGAUAAUUAUGUAUAUACAAUUAUUGUCCUCUCAUGCUUGUUUUAGCUUACUUUUGAGUGAAAUUGAAUCGUUUUAGGGUCAAAUCAUGUUUUAGGUCAUUAAUGGAUAUGUCUGUGUUUUGUGUCACUUUUAGCAUUUUGAUGUUAUUUUAGAGUUUUGGUAAUAUGCGAUGCAUAAAGUGUGUUUUUGAUAAUGUGUUGAUGAGUGGAAGACUAAGGACAUAAAGGUUUGAAGGCUUGACAAACAGAAAGUCACACCCCAACAUUGAGUUGCUUGACGUCGCGAUGUGGGGGAUUGGGAUGGCAUAAGGUGACCAAGGUUGAGGUAGUGACAUUAAAAGAUUGGAGGUCGCGACCACGCUAACCAUUUGGAUUUGAAGAACCAAAUGUCCCAUGCAACGCCACAACGUUAGAAAGCCAAAGGCACAAUGUUGACUGAUUAAGCUAUAGGGAUCGUGACAAAUAGUGAGUGACAUUGCGACGUGAAUGCUAAAGUCGGGUUGUCGUUUCCUAAAGUCACAAUGUAGAAACCUGAGGCCGUGACAUUAAUACCUUGCUCAUUGUAUAAGAAAAGAACAUUCGUGAAGUAUGACGUUGGUGUUGGAUUUGGUGUCCUAAGUGUAGUAUUUUUGGCUACGUACACUUGUAUUCUUUUCAAACAAAAUGGUUUAAUAUAAUUGUAUAUUGCCCUUAAUAGUUUUUGCAUGCAAAGCAAAAUGAUAUUGGCUCAAUGGUUAUCUAACGUUUAACUAAUACUAAGCGAUAUUACAUGGUCGGAUUGUAAUACGAAAAGACAACUUGUAUUAGUAGAUGACCUGUAACACCCUAUACCCGACUCAAUCAUCAAGUCUAAGCUACAGUGUGCCACAUUUGUUGUCGGAGCAACCAUGAUCAAAUUAAAUAUGAAUUCACAUCAUCAAGCUAUUAUUCAUAAAAAUUUUAAACAAACAAUACAAUAUAGAAUCAUUCUCGGGUCCUAAACGAGCUUACGAAAGCUUUUAAGUUAACCUAAGAUCAAAUUAGGAUUGAAUUGUAAAAUUUACAAAACACAAUAUUGGUGUCGUGACGUCAACAUUACCAAGUUGUGAUAUCGCCAAACAGUUUGUCACGUCAUAACAUCAGUCAACUCGACGUCGCGACGUCACUCACUGUUUGGCCUCGUUGAAACGACGGGGUUCCUAGUCUCAAUGUGACAUUAUAGGCCAUUUCUCGUCGUGGCAACAUACAUUGACGUCGCGACGUCACAUACUAUUUCUGCAAUACCACCUUACAGAAGUUGCAAUUUUAAGUGUAACAAACCAUUUUUCAGUGGUGUCAGAAAUAGUGAUUUUGGGGCCACAAAUUCGACGAGUGAGUUCAUAAAUAUUAUUAUGUAAUAUUUAUGAGCCAAAUAUAGUAUAAUAAAUAUUAAUUUAAUAGUUUAUGUUAUUUGAAUGAAUAGUUAAGUUCAAGUGGUUGUCCUUUAAAGUCAAGUGGUUUUAGAAAAUGAGGUUUCAGGAUCUCAUUUUUGUAAACCGAGCCUUUAAAUAUUUACAGACUUGCUAUAUAGGUAUAUUAAAGUUCGGUCUGGAAAUUUUAAUGAUUUGAUUGUUAAUUAAAGAAAAAGGACUAAAUCAUAAAAGAUGCAAAAAUUAAUCGCUAUUGGUUUAUAAAGGCUAAAUGGGUUCAAAUUAAUUGUUGAAUGGUUUUAAAUGGCAAUUUAGCCAUAAUUAUAUCAUAGUGGACGGUUUGGUGUAGAAAUAAAUUGAUUAUAUAUAUUUUUUUUAUUAAAAUGUUAAAAUAAUAAGUUAAUAAAAAAGAAAAACAUGACAUUUGAUAAGUCAUCUUUUUCUUCUAUUUUUCCCAACCAAACCAAAAACAUGAAAGAAAGCCAUUGUUGAGUUAAGGUUCGGCCAAGCUUCAAUUUGUGUAUGUAAGUCCGUUUGAAUUUCGUUUUUGUAAUUUUUAUGUUUUUGAUAAUAUUGUAGCUUAGUCUAGCUAAUUCGUAAAAUCGUUAAAAGUUUAGGGACUUACCAUAAAUGUUUUAAGUGUGUUUGUGAAUUUAAUUGAUAGAAUAUUAAGCUAGGUUGAUAGUUAAGGUUACUUUGUUAAGUGAUUUUUAGUAAUUUUAAUGUUUAGGGAUUAAAUUGUUUAAAUAAGUAAAAUUCAUUGAAAUAGUGUGAAAUGAUGAGAAAUAUGGGCUGUAAUUGAUCCCUAGGAAAAUCGGCUAGCAUAUUUUUUCAUUAAUUAUGAUUAAUUUGUGAGUUUCAAGUUUAGGGACUAAAUUGUAUAAAAGGUAAAAUAUUAGGGGUAAUUUUGUAAAAUGAUGUUGGAAGGACUUAAUUAUAUAAACCUGUUUAUUUGAGUUUUGGAAUUGUAUUAAUUGAAUGAAAUUACGGUCUAGAUGAAAAAAUAAACCAAUAAGAUUUAAAUUAAGGAAAAGUUAAAGUUUCGGACUAGUUGUCGGGUUUGUUUUUGCAACCGUUUUAGUCGAGGUAAGUUCGCAAAUUGAUUAAAUUAAUUAUUUGUUGUUUUGUGAUUUAAUACAUAUAUAUUUAUGUUGUAAUUGAGUUUAACUGUUUGAGAUUAGCAUGUGAUGAGUUGCACUAAGUUGUGAUGCUAUUUAAGUUCAGUACUACGAUUGGAAAAUGUGAAAUACAUGGAUGUGAGUUUGAAAUGGUAUAAUGGAAAUGAAGUUAAAGGAUUUGGAUAUGAAAUGUGUCCCAUUUGAACCUUGCAAAUACUUAGGAUACAAAUGACAUGUCAUUAGAGGGUUAUUUACAGUUUCGGGUGCUGGUCUUGGGUGCCCUACCGGUGGCUGAGGUCAUACAUUUGUUGCUGAUUCUCCACAACUCAUGUGAGUAGCAUCGAGUAGCCUAACAUCCUGAUCCACAGCUCAUGUGAGCAGGCCCAUUUCACAGCUUGUGUGAGCAUGUACAGUUACAUGUUACAGUCACAGCUUGUGUGAGUAUUUCCUAAGCAUCCGAUGUUAUUUCAUUUGGUUCAACGGGUGAUAAAGGCUUAAACGAAUAUGUAUAUAUGAAAUGUUAUAUGGUCAAGACAUGUCAAUUGGAAGAUGUUGAUAUAAAUAUUUGAAAUGGGAAGCUAUGUUUGUCGAACAUAUGAUGGAUCUAAUAUGUACUUGUUGUGUUAUUAUUACAUGUUCCAUUAAUUGUUGGAAUUAUAUGUUUCUUUGUGAUACCUACUAACCUUGUGAGGUUGUGUUGUACAAGGAAGAAAUGUAAGUACAAUAUUUAAUGAAUGACUAUGUGUUAAAUGGUAAAAUGAAAUGCUUAGAUGAAAUUGUUAUACGGAAUGUUUUUAUGAAAACAUAUAUAUGAAACUGAUAUAUGAAGUGUUUAUACGAAACAUUUAUAAGAAUAUAGAUAUGUGAAAAAGGGACAUUUGAAAUAUAUACUUGAAAUAAUGAUGUUAAAUGAUAAAUUAAUAUGUGAUGGUUGGUUUAUGUAUCAAAUGUUUUUUUAGGUAUAUGUUUGAUGACAUGAUAAAGUUACACGUAUUAUAUAUGAACUCACUAAUCUUGUGAGACUUGUGAUGCGUAUAGGUAACUAAUGAACUCAUGAUCAAAAUAUUUAUCUUGUAAAAUGUUUUAUUACAUCCUUUUUGGUAAGUUAAAGUUAAAGUUUAUUAAAAACUUAUUAAGCUUUAAUCAAGCUUACCUUAUUUUGGUUUUUCUUCUUUGUAGAUCGUCGGAUAUGAGCUGUCGAUUGGAUUGCUUCUGGAUAUCACACUAUCCGGUAACUAUAUACGAUAACUAAUUGUUUAUUUUGGUUUGGUUAUAAACGGCAUUAUGGAUAUGUUUUGUGUUAUUUGAAGUAUGAGAUGUGUAUAUUGACGUAAAUCUUAAUUAGUAUUUUGGUUGAUUGUGGUGGGUGAUGGCAAUGGUAUGAUUUUGGUUUUAAAUGCAUUUUGAAAGGUUGUUUUGGAACGGUUGAAUUGAUGCAAAUGCUUAGGUAACUUGGUAAAUAUUGGUUAAUGAUUUUGGUCUUUAUAAAUGAGGUAUAUUUGAUAGUUGAAGAAGUAUGAACUGUUAAGUAGUUGUACUUGAAUGAAUUAUGUUUUAAUGUGUGAAUUGUGGUGCCAAGUGAUAGCAUAUUAGUUAGGCACAUAGGAUGAAUGAUUUGGCAUGUUUUAGGUAUGUUUGAAUGUGUUUUAACCAUGUGAAAAUGAUUGGAAAAGGUUUGGUUUGGUUUCCAAGAAAUGGAUGUUGAUUUAGUUUGCAUUAGGGGUCAUUUUGGGUGCACACGCACUAGGACAUGGGCUACUACACAAUCGUGUGCUACACAUAGAUACCUCACACGAUCGUAUGUCUUAUUAAUUUUAGGUGCAAGAUUUUUCACCCGGUCAUAAUCAAUUACACAGUCUAAGCACACGGGCGUGUGGAGUGGCCACACGAGCAUGUGAGGUAGCCACACGGCCAUGUCUCUAAGCCAUAUAGACUGGCCUUUGUCACAUAGUCAUGUGACCCCUAUUUUUAGUUAUUUCCACAUUUUUUUGUUUUGUUUUAGAUUAGUCCCUGUUUGUUUGUAAAUUGUUUCUAAGGUUCCAUAGGCUCGAUUUAAGGCACUUUUUUUUUUGUAUGAAUGCUAUGAUUAUUGAUUGGACAUUGAUUUCACAAAUGCAUAUUCACUUCAACCCUAUUUUUUUUUCUUUUUGACCAAAUGUAGAGUAAAAAUAGGUUCCAUAAUAAGCCGUAACACUUUCAAUUCAAAUAAGUGUCACGUUUUAACUACCUAAUACUUCCAAUCAUCAAAUCAUUCUCACUAACUUACCCAAUAUUCAUAAUAUACUAGAGGCAAACCUAUAUAUAUCCAUUUAUCACUUUAUAAUUAAACUACCAUUUUAUGCAUCAUUCCCUAAUCCUACCAUAGCAAAUCCAAAUUCCACAUAUAUGCACAUAAUGACAUAUAACAUCAACCAUUUGUUAGGUUUAGACAUUUCAUUCAAGGUACCAUCGCAUAUCUCAUACCUUAAUCAAACUAUAAGAAUUCUAAGUUGAAUACAUAUAUAUAUAUAAAUAUACAUAUCAACCUCAUAUAUAUCUUCUAGAACAUAAAAUGCAACAUUUAGUUAUAAACAUCAUUCUAUCCCAACAAAAGUUAACCUAUUAGGUGCAUGCCAACCAUAAAUAUAAAAGGUGCACAAACAUUGUUGCGUCGGUUUUGGAUUCUGGAUCCUGAGAAGACCUCCUCACGAUUUACCGUGAAUCUAAGUUACCAUGCACAAAGAACAAAAUCGUACGCUGAGCAAACCACUCAGUGGUAAAUCUAUAAUUCAAGAUGAUAUAAUCAAGUUUAUGCAAAUGCACAUAUCCAAACAAGUUCAAUCCACAAUCCAAUACACAUUCAAUUUAUACCAAGUCCUACCAUUAUCCCAUUUCUUAACAUUAACAUGCCAUUACGCAUACAUACUUACUCAAUUAGAUGCCACCAUUAUACAUGUAUUCAACCAUUUAAAACAUCAAUUAUAUGCAUAAAUUUUCAAUCCCAUAUUUUUUUUAACAUUUUCAAGCUCAUUAGCUCAUUGAUUCAAUUAGCCCUCUAGGCUCGUUUUCAACUCAAUUCAAAAUAACAUCAUAUUUCAUAUUUCCAUCUCAUUUCUUUCCUUAACCAGUAAACCAAUUCAUUUAAUUUUAAACCUAUUAAUUAGACACAAACUUGGCAGAUACGCUGAUCUGUCACCCCGGGUUGCCCAGCAACGAUGACGCUAUAAUAAUAUAUAAUACCACCUCAGAUUGCCCAACAACAAUGGUUUUCCCAACUCAAUCAAUCUAUCACCCUGGGUUGCCCAGUGACCUGCCAGGAAUCACACUAUUAUUUACAUUCUUUUUACACAUAACGUUAGCCUGUUUAAUAGUUAAAUCAAAACAUCUUAGUAUAUAUUUAGGUUUUCAUGUUUAAAGUAGUAAUUUAUGCUUUGAAGUAGUUUUUAUUACAUCUAUAUAUCUAAAUAAGGUUAACGUGUCUUGUAGGACAAAUCGGGAGCCAAAAAUGCAUAUUUGGGCCAAAAUUGAUACCUAUGUCAUGACAACAAGACACUAAUGUCUCAACAUCGAAGACAGAAGCCAAAAAUGAAUCCUGGAGUGAAACUAACCUUGAUGUCGUGACACGACCUUCCUGUGUUGCGACAUACUCCCUGUGGUUGGUUACAACAUCACAGGCCUAUUUGCAACCAAGCCCUUGCGCAGCCUAAAAACUCAUGUACGUUUUAAUUACGUUUUUUAGGGAAAUUAAGAGUAUCUAUCCUAGUCGAACUCUAAGGACUUCAAGAAUAUUUUAGGCACUUUAAUAUUCCAAGUUUAGCCUAUAUAAAAGCCAUUGUAAUCAAUUUAAAUACACAAUUUUAGGUUUUUGAUUCUUAGGUUUUUCUUUCAUUCUUAGUUUUUACUUAAAGUUAUUUUAUGUUCUUGUAAUCGGAAGAUCCUAUCCUGAAGUGAGGCUCUCGCGAGAGGAGAUUGUUUUGGAACCAUGCUUUUAUCAAUAAAUCCAAGAGCAUUUCUUUUCCUUUAUUUUGUUAUUUAUAUCUAUUUCUUUAACAUUGUUUAAUUGAAUGUUUGUGUAAAGAUUAGAAUCAAUUUAUGCCUGAUACAUAUCUUGCAUGGUUUCAACUAUUCUAAUCUUAUUAAUUGAUUGAAGGAUAGAGUUUCUUAGCAGAUCGAUUGUUUGGGAGAAGAAGAACUUAAACCCUAGGCUUGAUGACCCUACAAAGUCAUUUAGGUUAGAAUUAACCCAAAAUUAGUAUGACUUAUUCGUGAAUACCUUAACCCUAAAUUGGUCUGCACUGUGAGGUCGAAAGAUAAGUAGUCAUUGCCGACUCAUUAUUUUAGUAGAAGAUCGGAAGAUCCUAAUAGGGUAUCGACUAGUUGAUUGAUUAGAACCCUACAUCAAUAAUUAAUUAGGUAAAACAAUUGGAUCUAGGCUAAAAGGAACUUGCGUAGUCAAAACAAUGAAUAUGAAAAGUCGAUACAUGAACCUAGAAGUAGAUUUAGGUUUUGUUAAAUUUAUUUAGCUUAUUAUUAUCAUCUUACUUAUUGAUUAACACUACUAAUUCUUAAUUCGAGGAGAUUAGUAAUUAUUUUUGGUAAUUGGCUUAAUAGCAGUUUUCCCAAAAGUGCAAUCCCUUGGGUACAAUCUUGGAAUACUUACCGAGAGUGUCAUUGUAAACAAACUAUAUUACAACCUAAACCGUAUACUUGUGGGCAUCGCCUCAAUUUCCAUAUAUUUCAUAACAAUAUUCACACUCUAGACGUUACUACGUAUAGAGGUGGUCACCGAGCAACGAUUACUCAAAGCAUAAUGUCUACCACCCCGAAUUUCUCAACAACAAUGGUUUUACACAAUAAUCUAACCCUAUGGCAUGCCAACUAUAUCCGACACAGCCUGACAACUAAUAGGGUGACUAAUUUUUGAAUCUUUACAUAUAGUUCAAUUUACAACUCAAUGUUCACAAUCCAUUUACAUUUCAUAAAUUCAUAGCAUACAUGACAUGUUUCAACCAUAGUUCAUAUAAUUUAUUAUAUAUCAAGUAAACUUGAAAUUUUUUUCUUUAUUCAAUUGAGUCCCUAUUUCAGUAUUCAACGUAAAUCAUAAUAAAUCAAGUUAAAUAGACAUUACCAGCUCACCUCGAUACCAGUAAUGCAACAUUUAAUGAAUAUACAAUAAUAAGUUGAUCCUGAAUUAUUGAAAUACAAACUAGAAAUUCAGAGCUAUUCAUCAAUGGCUUUAGCUUUUCUUUUCCCUUUCAAAGAAUUCGGGUUGACGUUAGCAAUUAGUAACCAAAAGCUUGAAGCCUUUGGCCAAUUAUUCUUCAACACCUUGGCUAUGUUUUUCCGUGGUGAAGGAGAAAGAAGUCAAAUGUUCUCUUUCUUCCGAUUAUGUUAGUUUUAUUUCAUAUUUUAUACAUUUAAUUUUUAUUAUAAAUUUUAAUAAUAUAAAAUAUAUCAAACAUAACCUACCGUCCAUUAUAACAUAUUCAAAAAGGAUUAUUUGUUUAACACGCCAAACCUGAUCCCUUAGAAUAACCCAAGUAUGACGUGUCACUAUUUAGAAAAUCAUCCAUCUUUAAAACUGUUUCUAGUGAAAACUUUGUAUAAUUUGUAGUGUUUGAAUUAAACAUUUAAUAAAAUAUUAAAUUAAAUUAUAAGCCAAUUGGUGUAUAAACUACAAUGAGAUAAUUUCAUUACAGCAUUGUUUAAUUAAAGCAUUGUUUAACAUUCAUAAGUUUGAAUUACAAUUCCAUUUCAAAAUACAACUAGAUAUCACCCCCAUAUGUCAUACAUAGUACAAAUAAAUAAAUGUCUCACAGCAGCAAGUAUCCUCUGGCGUAUUCCUUUAAAAAGUAUUCUUUCAACAAUAGGCCUGAGAAAGAAAGGUAACGAGGUAAGUUCAAAAGAACUUAGUGAGUUCCAUAGAGAUCUUAAGUAGAAUACUAAUAGCACAAUCUAGUCUUUCAAUGGAAUCACUCAACAUUACAGAGUACACCCAAAGGUAUAUAUAGAACUUAGACAGACUUAGUAUGCCAAUGGCGUGUCACAUUGGUGAAUACUAUUUGCCAAUAAAACAUUAUUCAGACAUUCUAUUUUCAUUCCAGCCACAUACCCAGAGUUCAGAGUUAGAUUCAUAUCAAAUGUUUCCGUUUCUAGAACAUGGGAAUCCCAGCCCUCAUUUUUCAUAUAUUCCAAGAAUCUUGGGGUAUUUUUAGAUUAACCAAUGCACAUUUUUAUUUUUUUCACUUGUUACCCACCCGAUUGCCUAUAUAAAGGGGGUUUUGCUCCCCCUACUCCAUCAACUCUCUCGACCACCUCCCCCCACCCCUAAAAACUUCUCUACACCAUUGUUUAUAUUUUAUUUUCAAGUGUUUAAAUUUUUCGACGGACAGAUUUAUUUCUAUUUGAAGGUGAUAGUGUGUUAGUUUUUUAAGGUGUUUUUGAGUUCACAAUGAUGUGGUGGUGCUCCGUGACCCAUAUAUUUCAUCUACCGUGUCAAGACAGAACCAUUGCAUUAGAAGCUCAUCACAUUUCAACUCAAGCUCUGAGUUUGUGGUGCUUAUAAACUUACGGGUUAUAGUCUAACUAUGGGUCCUAAGUGAUAGAUGAUCUGCCGUAAUUCAUUGUAAAAGAUUAAACUAAUUUUCAUACUUAAGGAUAUUAGACACGAGCAAUCUUAUUAGGUUUUAUUUAGUUUUUCCACUGUAGUUUCAAUUUAAUAAAAGUGUGAUUUGAGCUGAUUUUAUGACCUUAGGGGCCGAAUAAGGACUAAGGUAAGACUAACGUGUUUGGCAAGUGUGCAGGACACCAUUUAGAGGCAUUAGAACUCAAGAUUGGUUGCCAUGCUCCAACAUAAAAGUUCAAAUGUCGCAACAUAGGGAGCAGAAAGCCAAUAUAGCAAUAUUACCUUUGGUGUUGCGACAUAGCUAGUGGAUGUUGCAACACACCCCUGAAGUUGAGCUCGAGCCAAGCAAAUUGCCUUCAAUGUCGUGAUACCGACCCUAUACGUGAAAAUAUUAACGAGCUGAGGGCGUUUUGGUCCGCACAAUAUAUUUUAACGUAAAAAUGUAAACUGAACUAAGGCAAAGGAAAACUAAUAACUCUUGAAAAAAGUUAUAUUUCAUGCUUUUAAACCAAGCUAAUUGCUUAUACUUAAGUACAUUUUGUUGCAUUUUAGGACAUUUUAGUUAGCAUUCUUAAUAUUGCAUUAGGACUUGGGCUAUGUUGGAAUUAGAUGCUUUUAAACGCUUGCAGUGGAGUUUUUUAUGUGCUGGUUUGGUAGGAACAGGUUUUGGAACAAGGAAAUAAAUGAGUGAAGGUUUUUCAGGGCAAAAGGUUGGAUGUUUUGUCAGCACGAAUGCUGUGGCAAUGCCGGGAUGACCAAGUUAAUUUUUUCCGUAUAGCAAUCCUAGAUCAAAUUCAAACUUGUACCAGAUAAAUUCCCCUAAAAGAGGAGAAGAUAAUCACAAGUUGUUCCCCGACCCUAGCCUAGUCUAUUUAUAAAAGCCGAUGAAGGGACCUCACAAAGAACAAGAAAAAAAUGAGUGAGAUCUUUAGGCAUGAAUAAGGGUUCGGCUGCGCAAAGGACAGGAAGUCGAAGGCAGUCCUUCUUAGCCAUCAUAGGAUGCUAUGCUGCCGAAGUGUGGACUUGGUAAGUGAAAGUUUUUUCCUGAAGUUCUUCCAUUAUUUCUAUUAAUGUUCCUUCGAAAGGUUGCAUUGAAGUAGUUGAACACAAUGUCGGAUAACAUUUUGGUUUGGAAUUUUAUUUCCCAACCCAUGAGCUAAAUCUCAUAAGGUUAGGAUUACUUUGGAUGAAACCUUAAACUGUUUUUAUGGAUGCAGUAUAUCUCUAAUUUACUUCACUAUUUUUUUUAUUAUUCUUAUUUAUUAAUUAAAAUGAAAAUGAUCUCUAGACAUGGAAUACUGUUCACAUCCUUAUAAACUGAUUCUGAUUCCCAAAGGGUUGGAUUGGUUGGAUUAAAAUUAAAUGAAAUGAGCAAGUAUUUGAUAAACACUUGUAUUCAACUCUAGACAUAGAGUCACGAUCAUUCAAAAGGAACUCAUUCAAGAUAUCUAAAAAGCUUAUAGACACGAGCAUGGUAACUUGAGGUUUUACUUUCACGAGAGGCAUGCCAUUUUAGAACUCUUCUAUACAGUAAAGUAGAUACGAUUUUACCAAGUCAUUAUUCACAGUAAGGAUCAAUUCUGGGUAAUCCCGACCUUCCGAAUCAACAUCACUCUAUCCUUAUUCUUUGUCAUAGUAACUUUGCCACAACAUAUUUAGUCGUUUAUUUCUUUGUUUAUGUUCUAUUCGGAUAAUCACUCUCGUUAUUGCCAUUACAUUUCUGCUUUAACUUUUGCCAUAGCAUUUCCAAUUAUUCAUCAAUCCCAUCUAUCACAUACAUCAGCGUUCCUUUGAAGUAUCACUGCAUACUUACCUUAGUUUACCAUAACAUCUUAUUCGUCAGUCUUGCCAUAACAUUAACCAUAUUAAAAUAACUUGACCAGUUUUGUGCCUCAAUCUGAUCUUUGUGGGAACGAUACUCACUCAUCACUUUAUUACUUGAACUGAUGUGUAUACUUGCACAAAAUCGCACAUCAUUUUACACAUGACAAGUUUUUUGCGCUAUUGCCGGGGAUCAACAAUUUGGUGAAAUUUGGUUUGACUAUUUUUAGUAGUUUUAUUUAACUUAAUGUAUUUGUUUUUUAUAGGUUUUCCAUCAGUGCAUGAGAAGAGGCAUUCCUGCUAACACAGAUUACCUUUUUGACCUGAAGAUUGAUAGAACCUUGCGGGGAAAGAGAAAAGAAUUAAGAAAAAUGGCUGGAAAUAGGAAUGAUCUUAAUGGUAAUACAAAUGAUCGCAAUAAAAAUCCUCCCGUUGGACGUGUAGUGGAUGACGAGUUAGGCCAAUUAGGGAGCAUGUCAUUCCAAUGCUAGAUGAUUUGAAUCCAGGGAUAGUUAAACCAACCACAUAAACUCAACAAUUCGAGUUAAAACUGAUAAUAUUCCAGAUGUUGUAGACCAUAGGACAGUUCAGUGGACUACCCACUGAAGAUCCACAAUUACAUUUAAGACUCUUUCUUGUAGUAUAUGAUUCAUUAAAACAUCAAGAUGUUCCUGAAGACGCCUUGAGACUUAAGUUGUUUCCAUAUUUUUAAGGGAUUGAGCAAGAGCAUGUUUGAAUAAUUUGUCGUUGGAAAUAGUGGCAUCAUGGAAUGAUCUUUGUUACAGAUUUUUUCCACGACAUAAUCCCCCAAAUAUGAAUGCCAAGUUGAGAAACGAUAUUACAUCUUUUCGACAGAUGGAGGACGAAAUGUUAUAUGAAGCUUGGGAACGAUUUAAAAUUUUAAUUCAGAAAUUUCUAAUACAUGGAUUUCAACAUUAGACUCAAAUGGAGAUGUUUUACAACUGGUUGAAUACACACACAAUGAUGGUAGUUGAUGCGUCUACCAAUGGUAUGUUGUUGGACAAAACUUAUAAUAAGCAUAAGAGAUUUUGGAAAAAAUUACCAAGAAUGAUUAUCAAUAUCCGACCACGAGAGUUUGGGCGGGUAAGAAAGCUACUGGUACCAUAAAGCUUGAUGCAAUCACUUCAUUUAUAGCCAUGUAUCUUCUCUAGCUAAUAUGAUUAAAACCAUGAAAAACCAAUUGUAGCCCAUGAGAUGAAAUCAGGAGAGUUGUCAUGUUUUUGUUGUGGGGAAAAUCAUGUGUUUGACGAAUGCCCAUCAAAUCUAGCGUCAGUAAACUAUAUGGGUAAUUCCAAUUGAAAUAGCAAUCCAUAUUCCAACACCUACCAUUCAGGGUAGAAAGCAGUAUUUGAAUUUCAGUUGGGGUUAUCAAUGUGUGAGAAACUUCAACAAUACCACAUGACAGAAUGUCAACAAUGCACCAACUAGUUAUGUUCAACCUAUGCCAAGGAGAAAUACCCAAUCUGGCCAAGCAUCAUCUCCUACUUCUAUUGGAGUUUUUAUUAAAAGAAUAUAUGGCCAAGAAUGAUGUAAUUCAGAGUCAGGCUGCAUCUCUUCUAGUGCUUGAAAAUCAAGUAGGGCAAAUAGAAAAUGCUCUAAAUUCAAGGCUACAAGGAGCAUUGUCGAGUGAUACCAAGAAUUUAAGACACAAGGCAAGCAGCAUAGUAAAGCAAUCACCCUUAAAAGUGGGACUUAGUUGAGUGAUGUUGUUCAUGAUGUCACGACAGGAAACGAUAAUGCAAGUAACAAUCAGGUAAAGAUCCUAGAACCAUUUAAAAAGCAUACAACAUCUGAGAAGGGUAAGUAGAAAAAUGUUGUGGCAAAACCAAAUCAUGCUGCCAACAAAAAUACCACAGCAAAACCAUAUUAACAACCAGAAUGAAAACCGCUUCUACCUUUUCCAUAGCAUUUCCAAAAUUCCAAACAAGAUGGUCAAUUUAAAAGAAUUUUAGAUUUGUUUCGAAUCAACUCCAUAUUAACAUACCUCUAGUCGAAGCUUUGGAGCUAAUGCCCAAUUACGUGAAAUUCAUGAAAGAUAUACUGUCGAAGAAACGUAGGUUGGGAGAAUUUGAGACUAUUGCUCUCAUUGAAGGGUGACAACAAUGUUAAUGAAUAAGCUGCCUCCAAAGUUAAAGAACUCAGGGAGUUUCACUAUCCCAUGUUCAAUUGGAAAUCAUUAUGUAGGAAAAGCAUUAUGUGAUUUAGGAGCAAGUAUAAAUCUAAUGCUUACGUCUAUUUUUAAGAAGCUAGGAAUUGGGAAAGUGAGACCUACCAUGGUAACGUUGCAAUUGGCUGAUCGAUCUUCCGUCUAUCCAAAAGGUACAAUUGAAGAUGUAUAGGUAAGGGUGGAUAAAUUUAUCUUUCCUGUAGAUUUUCUUAUUUUAAAACGUGAAGCCGACCAUGAUGUACCAAUUAUUCUUGGAAGAUUGUUUCUUGCUACUAGUAGGACCCUAAUUGAUGUACAGAAACGUGAGCUAACCAUGACAGUAAAAUACGUGGAUGAGAAUGAGGAAUGUCACACCAUUGACUUGAUAGAAGUAGCAGUGGACAAAUUCGUAAAAUUUUGCUACGACAAUUCUAACAGUGAAGACAAUUUGAUGGAGCAAUGUGACAUAGUAAGUUUUGAAUAGCUUGGUGAAUUUAUGAAGCCAAGCAGAUAAUAGAUAGGCCAGGGAAGAAAUUUAAAUCCCUAGAUUUAUCAAAACUAUCUUUUAAGCCUCAUAAACCAUCUGUAGAGGAAUCUCCCGUUCUAGAGUUAAAGCCUCUGCCACAACAUGUGAAAUAUGCGUAUCUGGGAAAUAACAGUACUUUGCCAUUUGUAAUUUCUGUUAAUCUAACACCUAAGCAAGAGGACAGGUUGUUAGAAGUGUUACAACGAUCUAAAAGAGCAUUGGGUUAGACCCUUGCCGAUAUAAAAGGAAUUAGCCCUACAUUUUGCAUGCACAAAAUUUUAUUGGAAGAUUGCAUAGCAAAUCCAUUAAAAAUAGGGAUGACUGAAUCCAAUUAUGAAAGAAAUUAUCAAGUGGCAUAAUGCUGGCAUUAUUUACCCAAUUUUUGAUAGCUCGUGGGUAAGUCCUGUGCAAUGUGUACCCAAGAAAAGGGGUGUCACAGUAGUAAGUAAUGACAACAAUGAGCUAUUGAAUGGUACUGUUAUAGGAUGGAGAGUGUGUAUGAACUACUACAGGCUUAACAAGACAACUAGGAAGGAUCGGAUUUCCAUAGCACUUGAAGAUCAAGAGAAGACAACUUUCACGUGUCUAUGUGGCACUUUCAUAUUUAAGCGGAUGCCGUUCGGGUUAUGCAAUGCUCGACAACUUUCUAGCGCUACAUGAUGGCCAUAUUCUCAGACUGGAAUCUAGUAUUAAACUGGGAGAAAUGUCAUUUCAUGGUCCGUGAAGGCAUUGCCUUGGGACAUAGGGUGUCACAGUGAGGAAUUGAAGUGGAUAGAGCGAAAAUAUAGGGUGUCACAGUGAGGAAUUGAAGUGGAUAGAGCGAAAAUAGAAGUGACCAAAAACUUGCCACCGCCCAUCAGUGUUAAGGGUAUUAGAAGUUUUCUAAGACACGUAGGAUUUUAUAGAAAAUUUAUUAAGGACUUUUUGAAAAUCUCUAAACCCUUAUGUACUCUACUUAAACAGAAUAAACCCUUUAAUUUUGAUGAUCAAUAUUUACAGGCUUUCGAGGAACUAAAGAAGCAACUUGUAACAACACCGAUUGUGGUUGCUCCAAAAUGGACAUUGCCUUUUGAACUCAUGUGCGAUACCAGUGAUUAUGCUGUGGGAGAAGUUUUGGGUCAAAGGAGAAACAAGGUACUACAUGCAAUAUAUUAUGCUAGUAGGACGUUGACAAAGACUCAGCUUAAUUAUACCACUACAGAAAAGGAAUUACUAGCAGUGGUUUUUUCAUUCGACAAAUUUUGUUCUUACUUAGUAGGAACAAAUGUUACAGUUUACACAGAUCACUCAGCUAUCAAGUACUUGGUACGGAAAAAAGAUGACAAACCGAGAUUGAUUAGGUGGACACUAUUUUUACAAGAAUUUGAUUUAGAAAUUAGAGAUCAGAAGGGAACCCAAAAUCAAGUGCUGACCAUUUGUCAAGAAUAGAAUCGAGGUAUGAAGAUGAAAGCAAGAAAUAUACUAAGGAAGAAUUCCUAUGUAACAACCCGAUUUUGACCCUAAUCGGAAUAGUGGUUUCGGGACCACACAUCCGAGUCUAAAAAAUAUUUUAAUAUUUUUAUUCUGUGUUUAUUAUGUGUGAAUUUACAUGUGUGAAAGUUUUGUGAAUUAAUUUUAUUGUUUGAGUGCUUAAUUUGAGAAAAGGGUUUAAUCGCGUAAAAAUGAAAAUUUAGUGGUUAAAUAUGAAAGUGUCUAAUUGUUGUUGUCUUUAUAAUUUGGAGGUUCUAUGAUGCAAUUAGCCCACUAUAUAAGUUAGUGGAUGGCAAUGGUCAAGAAUGACCUUAUAUUAUAUGUUAUAUAUAUUAAUUAGUAAAGGUUAAUUUAGUAAAAUAAUAAUAAUGUUAAUAUAAUGUUAAUAAAAUAAAACAUAAAAUAAAAGAACCAUGCACUGGUUCAUCUUAUGGCCAAAACUUCAAAAGAAAAAGAAAGAAAAGAAGAAAGCUAGGUUCGGCCCUUGUGUUGGUUGGUUUAGGUAUGUGUUUUGUUCGGUUUUUGAUAAUUAUUACGUUUUUGAGAUCGUUGCUUCGUGUUCUUCAAAUCCCAUGUCUUAAUUUUUUUUUAAUUGUAGAUGAUUUUGAAAUGUGCCAUUGAUGAAUGUUUGAGUUUUAUGAUGUUAGUAGGUGAAAUAUGAAAUAUAUUUGUUAGAUUGACAUGUUUUGUUUUUGAAUUUUUGGUGAAAUUGAGUAAUUAGGGUUAAAUUGUGAAAAUAAAUUUUUGAGAGACUAAAAUGCUAAAUAAAUUAAAAAUAUCGACUUGUAUGGACACUAGGAAAAUUCGGCCCUUAAGGAGUGUAGUCAAAUUUUGUGUAUUUUGUGUUUUGAGCAAAAAUGAUUAAAUUGUAAAAAGUGUGAAAUGUUAGGGGCAAAAUUGUAAAUUGCCCAUUCAUGUCUUUUUAGGCUAAAUUGAAUAGAAUGGUGUUUAAAUAAGCUUAAUUUGAAUAUGUUUAGAUCAUGAAUUAAAGAAAUCGGUUUUGGAUCGGGGAAAGAUAGCCGAUUUAACAGUCGACAACAUCCGAGGUAAGUCGAUAAGCAUUUAAAUUUUGUUAAAUUCAUGAUAUAUAGUAGAUAGAUGAUAUAUGGAAUUAUUAGAUGUAUUAGGGGGAUUUUGGCCAAAUAUAUAUAUUUGUUGAAAAAGGUAAGUUAAUUGAGUUCGAUUUAACUGAUAUUUAAUGUCUGUAAGCACAUUUGAACCCUAGAAAUUGCAUGGGAUUUUCUGAUAAGUGUUUUCGUGUAAGACCACGUCAGGGACGAUAGCAUCGACUUGUGUUUUCGUGUAAGACCACGUCUGGGAUGAUGGCAUUAACUUGUAUUUUCGUGUAAGACCACGUCUGGGACGAUGGCAUGGACUUGUAUUUUUGAGUAAGAUCCUAUAUGGGACAAUGGCAUCGAUUUGUGAUUAUAUGUAAGAGCACGUCUGGGACGUUGGCGUUGUACGAAUCUUUCGACUAUUUGCAUAUCCUAUCAAUUUUUUAUUGGUUCAACAGGUAACGUAAAUGAAGAUGUUAUGUAUUUGAAAUAUAUGUGCAGGUAUAGGUUAGUUAAAUAAAUAUAUGGAAUUAAGGUAGGUUAUUUGUUUGGAAGUAUAUAUGGUAUGAGUAUACAAGUUUCAAAUUGUUAUGGUUAUAUAUAUAUGCAUAAUUUGAAUUUUGGUUGAUAACUAUUUUGCUUAAGGUAAAAGUUAAUAAGUAUUUAUACAAGAACAUGAUUGGUUAUUAGUUUACAUGUAUAUGCGAUAAAAGUGUGAUUAUAAUUAUAUAUAUAAUAUCUUUGUAUAUUAACUAUGCGCCUUUAAUUUUUACUAAUUAAAUAUUAAUUAUGUUUACGACUUACUAAGCUUUAUAAAGCUUACUGUGUAUUUUAUAAGCUGAAAUCUCUUUUGAAAUUAUGGCAUGUAUAGGUUGGUUGGGAAAUAACUUAUUUUAGUAAAUGUAUGUAUUAAAGCCAUGCGAAAAUGGCUUAAGCACUAUGUUUGGUUUUGGUUGAGUUAUGGCUUGAUUACAUUUUGAUCAUCAUUUAAUCUUUUAUGGAUAGUACUUAUAAGGCAAGGUAUAUAUAUGAUCAUGGUAGUGUUUGAAUUAUGAAUUUCUGACACUUAAGUAUGUGGUGUAAGUAUAUUUGAUAUAUGUAUUAAGUUACAUAAUGUUUGGUUAUGUGGAAUUGGUUGGGUAAUGCAUAUAGUGUGUUUGUUUUAGUAAUUAAAGAAAAAAAUUAGUUCAUGACUUAUAAAUUGAAAUAUGAUGAAUUGGUUGGUAGCUACUAUGUGAUCGACUAUGAUAGGAUAAUUGAAUAAAUGUAAGUUUGAGAUAUGUAUUGAACUAUGACAUAUGUUUUGUUAUUUAAAUGGAUGGUUCGAUUAUAUGUGUUUAAGAGAAAUAAAGGAUAUGUCGUAUAUGCAUUGGUAAUGGGUGGCCAAUUUGGUUAGUUUGAUUUAGAUAUAUAUUAGGUAUUUAAUGCAAUAGACAAAUUAGUAUCAUUUUGGCUACAUCAAAUUGAUUAUUUAAUAGAGAAUAUUUGAUAUGCUCAUGUGUGCAAUCGGUUUUAAAUAGGGCAAGUUGGUUUUUAACCACAUGAUAAUAUUAUAAGUCAUGCAAAUUUGGUUAUGGUAUGGGCUUAUGUUAUAUGAUUAAAUAUAGUGUAAAUGAAUUUGGUAUAAUACAUGAUUUUUAGAUGUAACAGAAUUUAUGAAGGUGAAUAUUUAGGUUGAAAUUUUACGUAUUAAAUGGUACCUUUUAUAUAUAUAUGUAUAUAUUUAAGAAAUAUUAUAUAGGCACAAAUGUACUAUGGUUCUUAAGUUUUAUGAUGUUCGAAUGUGCAUUAGUUAAAUUUUGUAAUGACCUUGAUAUAUGGAUUUAUGAAAUGGUUAACGGUUUAUAAAAUAUAUAUAUCUGCAUACAUGUGUGUAAAAUAGUAGUACAUUAUCGGUAUAUGUUUGAAUAGAUAUAGUAUUCUUGAUUUAAUUGUUGUCGUAAAAUAAGCAUUUUAUUUCUUUUGAAUGGUUGGAAUAUGUAUUUGGUUUAAUUAUUAAGCAGGCAAAAUUUAGUAUAACUAUUUCGUUUUAUUUUGUAUAUGCUACUAAGUUUGCGGAAAAAAAAAGUCAUGUCUGGUAAUGCCUCGUAACCCUAAUUCGGCGACAGACAUGGGUUAGGGGUGUUACAUCCUAGAUGAACAGUUGCUCAUUGCCAAGACAUUACCUUAGUGUGCCGACAUAGUAAACUUCUUAGUAAGUGGUGUAAUGCCACUUGACUUCAAUGCUAAAAGAAAACAAAAUUUCUUCACGAUACCAAAUAGUACUAUUGGGAUGAACCUUUUCUAUUCAAGCAUUGUGUAGAUCAAAUAAUUCGAAAGUGCGUCCCUAGCGAUGAGAUUCGUAGUAUCUUAGGUCCAUAUGAAGGACAUUUUGGAGGAAUGAAAACAGCUGCCAAGGUACUCUAGUCAGGAUUCUAUUGACCUAGUUUAUUUAAAUAUGCUCAUGAAUUUUAUAGGUUGUGUGACCUUUGUCAGAGAACAAGAAAUGUGUCUAAGAGAUAGGAAAUGCCGUUGCAAAGUAUAUUAGAGAUUGAACUGUUUGAUGUAUGGAGAAUAGACUUUAUGGGUCCGUUUCCACCAUCCAUGGGCAAGCUAUACAUACUUUUGGCAGUAGACUAUAUGUUUUUAAGUAGGUAGAAGCAGUAGCCCUAGCCUCUAAUGAUGAUAAGUCGGUAUUGAAAUUUUUACAUAAGAACAUUUUCACACAAUUUGGUACACCGAGAACCACUAUCAGUGACGAGGGAUCCCAUUUUGAUUAUAAACUUGCCUUGCGCAAGUAUAGGGUGAAACAUAGAAUUGCCAUGACAUAUCACCAUCAGACGAAUGGCCAAGCUAAAAUUUCUAAUAGAGAAAUUAAACAAAUUCUAGAAAAGGUGGUGAAUCUGUCUCGAAAGGACUAGUCUAACAGAUUGGAUGGAGCUCUAUGGGCAUACCGAACUGCAUUUAGAACAUCACUAGGGAUGUCACCUUUUAAACUUGUUUACGGUAAGCCAUGUCCUUUACUCGUUGAACUUGAGCAUAAAGCAUUUUGGGCGAUUAAGAAGCUGAACAUGGAUUGGGCUACUGUUGGCGACAAGUGAUUACUAGAAUUGAAUGAGAUGGAAGAGUUUCGCACACAAGCAUAUGAGAAUGCUCAUUUGUAUAAGGAAAAGACCAAGCGAUGGCAUAAUUUCAGAAUUUACCAAGGCAAUUUAAACCUGGACAGUAGGUAUUAUUGUUUAAUUCCAGGCUCAAAUUAUUUCCUGCUAAGUUAAAAUCUCGAUGCUAAGGACUUUUUGAAGUAUUCAAGUGUAUUCGCAUAGUGUAGUUGUUGUUAAAGACCUAAUAAUAGGGGCAACAUUCAAAUUUAAUGGACAACACUUGAAGCAUUACUAGGGUGCUCCUAUAGAGCGUGACAAGCAAAGUGAUAGCCUUCGUGAUGUUCGAAAUUUUUUAUAAGUAGUUUUUUCCAUUUUAUUUUCCAUUGUUAUUUUUAUUUCAUUUCUGUUUUUAUUAUUAAGAACAGGAGUAGAAUAAAAGAAGUAGGGUUUGUUAGUGUAUACAGAGAAGCAGUUUGUUGCAGCAUUACAAAGAAACGUUAUGCCAUGACAAACUGAAUGAUGAGGUGUUAAUAAAAGAGUUGACUCGUUAGAAAAUUCCAAAGGAAAAAAAUUUAGGUAGCUGCAUUUAGUAAAUAUUGGGAAACCCAAAGUAUGAAGCCCAUAAUGUAGGGCUUAGUUAUUUCAUUUUCCCUCAAAAAAUCUUUUUGUUUUUAACUUUUCCUCCACAUCAUAACCUGCCUCCUUCACGUUUCCCAUUCCCUAAAAACUGCCCCUUUUUAUUUUCUUCAACAGAUUCAUGUUUCCCACUUCUUACAAAGUUCACAUUUUUAUAGUUCUCUCAUCUUCAACCUCUCUACUAUUUAUUUACUUCAUUAUUUUCCUUUUCUAUUUCCCUGACCUUCUCUUCAUGGCUAGUGUAAGGAGUACUUCCAAAAUAGCAGAAUCUUUAUGCGUGGGCAUCCCGCAACAAAAGAUAUUCUUCAAUGUUGCUGCUGCCACAAGUUAUUAAACCAAUAUUCUAAAGUGGCCAUUUUUUUCAACAUGAAUUUUUUUUUAGGGAUGAACCCCACAUGGGGUACGAUGAAUUGGUAUCCUCAAUUGUAGAGAAGCACAACUGGAGCAAAUUUUGUCUACACCCAAGGGAUGUUGUGGGUAAGGUGGUAUAAGAGUUUCACGCUCAUGUAAAUUCCCUAGAUUCUCCCUUCACUUAUAUGUGGGGUAAAUAUGUGCCAUUUGACGAAGACCAUAUUAAUGCUCAGUUCGGCAUCGAGGAGGUUAGAGAUGAGCAUUCUGAAUUUAACGAGAAUACUACACCAGAGGGGUUGGCAAAAGUAUUAUAAGAUUUAUGCGUUGAAGGAACACAGUGGAUUAUUUCAAGCCAAGAGUGUUACACGGUUGAAAGAGCUUUAUUAAAACCAAGUGGAAGGGUGUGGUACAACUUUUUAAGGAAUUGUCUUAUGCAAUCUACGCAUAACGCGAAUGUUUCGAAAGAAAGAAUGCUACUGUUGCAUUCUAAUUUACACGGAAGACAGGUAAAUGUAAGGAAGAUUAUCUUCCAAGAGGUCCAUAGGUGUGCCGAUAAGAAUGCCGGGAGUUUGACUUUUUCUUCCCUUAUUUAUGUCCUAUGUAAGACGAAAAAUGUGCCUUUAGUUGAUGCUAAGGAUGUUACCCCAAUAAGGGUAGGAUAACGCGAGCAAUUUUUUUUAAGCUUUGAGGAACUAAUUUUGCCACAGCAUCCCAACACAAUUAAGCUUCCCCUACCACACGUAUUCCCACAGCACCAUCUCCCAUCUCUCAUGACCAAGAAAUCUUGACUUCUCUAAAACAGUUAGAACAAAUAUUGUCUCUGUUUGAGGUGCAAUAAUACCUGCUGAAGGAAGAGUUGGAACAAAGCAACAAACGCCAAGCUCGAUACAGGUCGUGUGUAAAAUAUAGGGAUUUGGCAUUAAAAAGAUCCCUCCAGAAAAUUUUUUUGAGACCCAUGCCAAAAUUUCUUACUUUCCUAGCUACUUUAAUCUCGUCCAUAGAGUGUAGAAAGGAGCCAGUUCCACCCACUGCCAGAGCUGACCCCGCGACUGAAGGAGUCACUGCAGAUAAAGGAAAACUCGUUGAGGAGGAGUUAGAAAAGUCAAUCUCUAUUGAACUAGAGAAUGAAGUAAAAGAAGGAAAGGAAGAAAAAAAUGUCCCUACCACUGCACCAGUGACUGCCACGGAAAAAGGUAAAAGUCCUGAACCGACAUCUUUACCCAUCUCCAUGACUACACAAGAUCAAGCAAUUGAUCAACUGAUCAAUGCAUUAACGAAGACCGACAAAGAAUAUGAGAAAUUGCCCUACGGAAAUGGAAGAUGUGAUAGAAAAUUAGUGUUCGCAAGUCCACGAGAAGAAUUGAAUGAAGUACCAACGUUUCAGUCCAAGAAAGUUAAGUUUUGUUUCUCUCUCACGCAUUGCAUAGUUUUUUUUUUGUGUGUGUGCAUAUUUAUACUUGUUAUAGACUAUUCAUGAUUUUACAUGCAUUUAUGACAAUGCAUCCCUUAGUUUUGGGGCUGUAUUGUGCAUCUAGGUUGCAUUUUGUAUGUUCAUUUUAGUAUGUAGGAUUUUUUUCCAUCGCAUAAUAACUAUUGAGAUAUUGCCUUGUCUAUAAGAAGUACAAUUUUUCUUUAUAAUGAUCGAUGAUGAGCUUAAAUUUUUUCGAUAUACCUAAAAUAGGUAGCAAUGGAUUGGGUGAAGUUAGCUUAGGUUAAGUUACUUGGAAAUUGAUUUCUAAAAAUAGGAUGUCCUAUACUCUAUUUUGUUUUUGGAUGUUCGAAAUAUAGUAAGUAUCUUUUUAAUGCCCUUAAGGAUUUUUUAAACCAAACAUUAGUUAAAUUGCCACAACAUUUUGUUUAAAUAAGUAUCACUCCAAUUCUUAGAGUUGCUAAGUAGGUCAGCUUCACUUUGUUUGCUCCAUUGUGCUAUUAAUUAGAAAGAAAGACCUAAGUAAGAGUGUGUGGUAUAACUUUAGGGGCAUUCCGUUGUAGCAAAGGACUAACUAGCUAAUGAGGUAGUUGUAUGCUCUAUUCAUCUUUUUAGUUAAAAGCCUUAGCUUCAUGAAUUACUUUUGGUUUAAAUUGUGACAUGAUUGAGUACUCGGCAAUUCGUUGUAUGCUCCAUCCUGAUUGUCAAGUCAAAGAAUUUUGUGACAUGCUAAAUCCCCUAAUAAUAAUAACAAUAAUAAUAUUCUUUCAAAAAAAAGAAUAAAUAUAUGAAAAUGUGAAUAAUAUAUUUUGAUAUGGGCUUAAAGCAAGUGACUUUUGCUUGGGUAACGAAUAAACUAAGUAAAUAAAAAUAUAUUUGCUAUAGGACGAAAGAAAGAAUGCAUAGGUACUUAGGAAAUUUUGUUUUUAGGGAGAAAUUUUUGCACUGCCUUUGUUUAAUAAACCUUUGACAUUUGAAUCAGUUUAGGAAAAGAGAAUAUUACUAAGAACGGAAGUAUAAAAUUUUUUUUGAAUACCUAGGCAGUACAACAAAUUUUUUUUACCAAGGCACGAUGGAUGCAUUCAUGUAUGCAUUUAGAUGUAUUUUACUUGAGGACAAGUAAUAAUCAGGUUUGGGGGUGUGAUAACUCUUGCAAAGAGUUAUAUUUCAUGCCUUUAGAUCUAUCUAAUUGCUUGUGCUUAAUACAUUUUAUUGCAUUUUAGGACAUUUUAGUUUGCAUUCUUAAUAUUGCCUUAGGACUUGGACUGUGUUGGAAUUAGAUGCUUUUAAACACUUGAGGUGGAGUUUUUUGUGUGUUGGCGUGGCAAGAACAUGUUUUGGAACAAGGAAAUAAAGGAGUGAAGGUUUGUUGGGGAAAAAGUUUGGAUGUUUUGUCAGCAUAAAUACCGUGGCAAUGUCGGGAAGACAAAGUCAACAUUUUCUGCACAACAGUCCUAGUUCAAAUUCAAACUUGUACCAGAUAAAUUCCCCUAAAAUAGGAGAAGAUAAUCACGAGCUGUUUGUCAACCCUGGCCUAAUCUAUUUAUAAAAGUCGAUGAAGGGGACCUCACAAAGGGUGGGAAUAAGGGUUCGGCUGCGAAAAGGACAGGAAGUCGAAGGCAGUCCUUCUUAGCCAUCAUAGGAAACUGUGCUGCCAAAGUGUGGACUGGGCAAGCGAAAGCUGUUUCCCAAAGUUCUUCUGUUAUUUCCAUUAGUGUUCCUUCAAAUGAUUGAAUUGAAGUAGAUGAACACAAUAUCGGAUAACAUUUUGGUUUGGAAUUUUAUUUCCCAACCCAUGAGCUAAAUCUCAUAGGGUUGGGAUUACUUUUGAUGAAAGCUGAAACUAUUUUUAUGGAUGCAGUAUAUCUCUAAUUUACUUUACCAUUUCAUUUGAUUGUUCUUAUUUCUUAAUUAAAAUGCAAACGAUCUCUAGACAUAAAAGACUGUUCACAUACUUAUAAAUUGAUUCUAAUUCUGAAAGGGUUGGAUUGGUUGGAUUAAAAUUAAAUGAAAUGAGCAAGUAUUUGAUAGAAACUUAUAGUCGAAUCUAGACAUAAAAUCACGAUCAUACAGAAGGAACCCAUGCAAGAUAUUUAAAAAGCCUAUAAAGACGGGCAAGGUAACUUGAGGUUUUGCUUUUGUGAGAGUCAUGUCAUUUUAGAACUCUUCUGUGCAGUAAAAUAGAUAAGAUUUUGCCAAGGCAUUAUUCACAAUAAAAGGUCGAUUCUAGGUAAUCCCAACCUUCCGAGCCAACAUCACUUUAUCCUUAUUCUUUGUCGUAGUAACUUUGCCACAACAUAUUUUGUUGUUUAUUUCUUUGUUUACAUUCUAUUUAGAUAAUCACUCUCGUUAUUGCAAUUACAUUCUUGCUCUCACUUUUCCUAUAGCAUUUCCAAUUAUUCAUCAAUUCCAUCUAUCACAUACAUAAGCAUUCCUUUGAAUUUUUACUACAUACUUACCUUAGUUUACCAUUACAUCUUAUUCGUCAGUCUUGCCAUAACAUUAACCAUGUUACAAUAACUUGACCAAUUUUGUGCCUUAAUCUGAUCUUCGUGGGGACGGUACUCACUCAUCACUUUAUUACUUGAACCGGUGUGUAUACUUGCACAAAAUCGCAUAUAAUUUUACAUGUGACAAUGACGACCAACCUUAACAUUAUAAAUAGGCUCAUUAAACACUUGAGUUAUCAUCUCUUCGGUAAUUUAGAGUUUUUCCUUUCAGUUUAAUUUUUUAGUUAUUAGUUAUUAGAUUCUUUUGUAUUUAGGAUUUAUUUUCAAUUUAUUUUCGUUCGUGUUCUUCGAAGAAUCUGAUUUGUGAAUUCAACGCAAACUCUUUGUGAAUUUAUGUGCUUUAUUAAAAUACAAUUCAGGAUUUUUCUUAAACUUUAAAUCUUGAUUUCUUCUUUAUGUUUAUUUGUUUUAUGAAGUUUAUAUUGUUCUUAAACUCUUAUGGGGGAUUAGCAAGUAGAAGUGUGAUUAAUUAAUUUCUAUGUAUGGUUUCUUGGUGGAUCAACUAUUUAGAAUAAAAAGAACUUAAACCCUAGGAAGUCAUCUAGGUGGGAAUUAACCCAAAAUUGGUAUGGUCUUUCCGUUAACCCCUUGGGUACUGUAAAUUAUUUACAGUACUAAUUAGAUCUAUUUACAUUUAGGUUAAUAUUAAUUUAGAACUCGCCUCUCUUGGGCACGAUCCUCAGAGUACUUACCUACUUUGUUGUACAAAUUAUAUUACAACCUAACCUAUAUGCUUUCGGAUAAUGCCUCAAUUCUAUAUUUUUAGUAGCGGUAUUCACACUCUGGAGAUUAGAACGUCCGGAGGUGGUCAAGUUGCUGGCACCGUUUUCGAGGAGGCAACGCUAUUAAAUGAGUUUUAAUUUUUUGUCUUAAAAUAAUUAGGAAAUUUUUAAAUCAUAAGUACGAUUUUUAAUUUUUUUAUUUAUUUUAAUUUCCUAACUGAUAGCACUAGAAAGAACAUAUGUUUCCGCCCUACUUAUUGGUUAAUUUGUCCCCAUUUAGUUAUCUUUAGCACAUCUUUUAGCAUUUUCAGUUCAAUCAAUUGCAUUUUAAUACUUAGUGGAUCUUAGCCUAUUUAUCCUUAAUUUUGUCAUGUUUUGGUACCGAUGUCGCUGCAUGAGUAUUUCCAGAUUGCUUCCAGAAUUGCCGCCGCACCUGACAGCUGUCUAAAUAAGAACAAAAAUGUGUAAGCUCAUUUCUUUUAUAUUUCUUCUCUAAACGAUGGUGAUUACUUUCUAUUUUAUGUUUGUACAAAAGUACACAUGAUUUUUGCGUUAAAUGUUAUUUUAUUCAAUCUUGCUUCUACUGUUUAAUCUUUGGAUUUGAAUGUUUUUAGCAUGGAAGUGUUAUUGUGGUCACUGACAUUGGAAAUGCAGCGACAAUUCAAGCUAACAAGCAUGACAACGGAAGUUGCUUGAGGAUUAGAGGAAUUUAAUCCACUUGUUCUUAAUAGUGUUUCAUUUUCAUCAUCGGAAGGUGUGGUUAAUGUGUAUGUUUAAGUCUUAGAUUAAUUAUAGAAGUUAAGCUUGGUAAGAUAUUCAUUGCAAUUUAAUGCAUCAACAAUCACCUAUCCUUUUAUACCUUGUAAGCACUUAGUAUUGUGUUGAAUAUUCACGUUGGGGAUCUUAGUUUAUCAUUAUCAUAUUUUAUCUUAUUGUUUUCAAGUUAUUGUUUCGACAACUACUCUCACAAUUUAUCUCGUUUCUAUCUAUUUAUUGCACUGACAUUGAUAGACAAAAUACAACCAUCAUCGUAUGAUCAAUAUCUAACAUACUCAUAUCUGUCUACUAUACUUGCAUCGACAGUGUAUGCUUGCACAUUAUUGCUAUGACGUUAAACAGCCGAUCAAGUUUUGGUGUCAUUGCUGAAGAUGGCGUUUGAUUGAUAUUUAUUUUUGUUUUUGCAUUUUGUUUUUUAUUAUAUAAUAUUUAGUUGUCACUAACUUGUUUUCUUUUUGUCGCUAUUUUCACAUUUUAUUUUAGGUGUUUGAUGACCUGAAGCAAUUCAAAUUUUAUUACCGAUUUUGAUCCAGAAAUUGAAAGAACCGUUCGGAGGAGACUUUAAGAACAAAGGAAUAUGGUUUUACCAAGAAACAAUAAAGCCAUAACCCAGGUGCAGCACCAAAAUGCUAAUGACCUGCCGUUGCCGCAAGACGCUCAAAUACAAAAUAGGACUAUACGAGACAUUGUAGUACCUGUCUUGGAUGAAUUACAACCGGGAGUUGUUAGGCUAGUAAUCCAAGCUGGGAAUUUUGAGCUCAAGCCAGUAAUGUUUCAAAUGUUGAAUUUUAAUGGGCAAUAUGUUGGACUGCCACAUGCAGAUGCGCGAGAACAUCUUAAAUCAUUUUUAUUGAUGUGUGUUUCCGUUAGUCAACAAGGCAUUCCUGAUGACACUUUGAAUAUGCAAUUAUUUCUUUAUUCCUUGCAGGGAAGAGCUCGUAUUUGGUUCCUUGGGCUACCUACCAGAUCAAUUACUUGUAGGAAUGCACUAGCAACACAGUUUGUUUUGCGCUUUAACCCACCGAAAAUGAAUGCUCGUCUCUAAAAUGAUAUUACAGCUUAUCAUCAGUUGGAUGAUGAGAAUCUUCAGACUACAUGGGAACGUUAUAAAUCUUUGUUUGAACGUUUCCUUAUGCACGACAUUCGACAAGAAACACAAAUUGAAAUUUUCUAUAAUGGGCUGAAUUCACACACGAGGAAUCUUGUUGACGCAUCAGCCAAUGGUCCUUUGCUGGAUUUUACUUAUAAUGACGCUGUUAGAAUUCUUGAAAGAAUUGCUCUAGAGCUGCAUAAGAAAAAACUACUCUGGGAGUUAUUGAAUUGGACACAAUAUCUGCACUUAGUGCUCAAGUUUCUUCUAUUGCAAAUAUGAUAAAAAAUAUGUAAAGGACUAGUGACAUUGCACCUAUACAAGUAGCUCAACAAGUUGAUGUUCCUACCUUUUUUUGUGAGAUUUACAGUGACAACCAUAGCUAUGAAGAUUGUUCACAACAUGUAGAGAGUGCCUUUUAUGUCAGUAACAUCCGCAAAAAUUCUUAUGACAACUCUUAUAAUAAUUCUGCAUGUAAUCAACAAUCUUGGGAAACUCAGAUUGCUAGACAAAAUACUGCAACAUUCCGAUAUGGGAAUAUAUCUACUCAAGGAAAUUAUAGUCCAAGACAAAGGAAUUACGGUCAACAACAACAGAACUACAAUCAGCACACUCAGAUGCAUCCACACCAAAAUCAUAUGCAGCCACAACACUCUCUUCAAUGCCAAAUCAGUAUGUUAAGGACAUCGACAACAACAGUAUACGCAAGCUUCUCCUUCUGAACCGUUAGCAGAUCUUGAGGCUUUAAUGCGGGGGCAUAUUACUUGCACAGAAGCUAUUGUGCAAGGGAAUUCAUCUUCUAUUCGAGCGUUGGAGCCACAAUUAGGAUAACUUGCUUCGAAUCUGAAUACUUUACCACUGGGCACACUACCUAGUGGCACAGAAAAACCAGUCCAAUGGGGAAAGAACACUGCAAGGCUAUCACUCUUAGGAGUGGUAAACAAACUAGCGAGCUGACUAUAGACUCUACUGUAGCACCUCAAGAUACUGGUGAAGUGAUCCCUGGUGAGAAGGUUGAAUCUGAAGAGCUUGUCGAUGUACCAGGCAAAGAAGUUCCAAAAAUUGUCACUCAUAUGCCUAAUGUCUGACCCUCGAAACUGUCAGCGGAAUCAAAGGUGUUGGCGCAAUCAGAUGUAUCUCCACCUUUACCUUUUCCACAAAGAUUCAAGGAGAAUGAGCAAGAUAAGCAGUACCAAUAGUUCCUGAACACACUGAAGCAACUUCAGUUUAAUAUUCCUUUAGUAGACGCUCUUGUGCAAAUUCUGAAUUAUGGGAAAUUUAUGAAGGAGCUCUUGUCCAAGAAGAAGAAGCUCAGUGAUAUUAAAACUAUUGCGCUCACAGAAGGCCGUAGAGGUUUUUUUUACAAAUAAGUUGCCCCCCAAAAUGAAAGAUCCUGGGAGCUUUACUAUCCCAUGUUCAAUUGGAAACUAUUAUUUGGGCAAGGCUUUAUGCUACUUGGGAGCUAGCAUCAACCUAAUGCCACUAUCUACUUUCAGAAAUUGGGAAUUAGUCACAUGAAACCUACUGCAGUGACAUUGCAACUAGCAUAUCGAUCCUUGGCUCAACCUGAAGAGCUAAUCAAAGACACCUUAGUUUGUGUGGAUAAAUUUAUUUUUCCGGCUAAUUUUAUCAUACUUGACUGUGAGGCAAACAAAAAGGUUCUUAGGAUGACCAUUCUUAGCCACCGGACGAAAUCUUAUUGAUGUUUACAAAGGUGAACUGACCAUGCGACUUAAUGAUGAGAACGUUACCUUCAGUGUUUUCGAAUCUAUUCAAUGCAAGGAUAAAUAAGAAUUCAAUGACCAAAGCAUAAUACUUUCUGAGGAGUUUGCAGUGACCUCUGAUGAUGAAUUCUUAGAUGAUUGUGACAUCAUGGUUAAAGUUAAUAAUAUUGAACUCGGGCAUAGAUGGCAGAUUGAAUCCUUAGAUUUAGCCAACAAAAUAGCUCUAAUUUUCAAGCCAUCUAUUAACAAAGCUCAUACUCUGGAAUUGAAACCACUACCUAGUCAUCUUAAAUAUGUCUUUUUUGGCCCUAACAAUACUCAUCCAAUUAUUGUCUCUACGACACUAGAUGUAACUCAAAAAGAGAAAUUGGUUUAUAUUCUUAAGCAACAUAAACGAGCUAUUUCUUGUAGUAUUGUCGAUAUUCAAGGCAUUAGUCUAUCUUUUUGCAUGCAUAAGAUCAAGUUGAAAGAUAAAGGCAAGCAAUCGAUUGAGCAACAAAGAAGAUUAAACGAGAAGAGGAAGGAAGUUGUUAAGAAAGAAAUUAUAAAAUGGUUUGAUACUGGAAUUAUUUACCCUAUUUUUGAUAGCAACUGGGUAAGCCCAGUGCAAUGCGUUCCUAAAAAGAGUGGCAUCACUGUGUUAGCAACGACAAAGAUAAAUUAAUUCCUUCACGUAUUCCUAUGGGCUGGCGAGUCUGUAUGGAUUAUAGCAAACUUAAUGUUGCCACAAGGAAGGACCACUUCCCACUUCCUUUCAUUGACCAAAUGUUGGAUAGGCUUGCUGGAAGAGCCUAUUACUGCUUCUUAGAUGGCUAUUCUGGUUACAAUCAAAUUGCUAUUGCACUAGAGGAUUAGGAGAAAAUAACUUUCACCUGUCCCUUUGGUACUUUUGCUUUUCGGCGUAUGUCUUUCAGUCUUUGCAAUACACCCACCACAUUUCAAAUAUGUAUGAUGACAAUAUUCUCGGAUAUGAUUGAAGAUUCUUUAGAGGUUUUUAUGGAUGAUUUCUCAGUCUAUAGGAAUGAUUUUGAUCAUUGCACUGACAAUUUGGAUAAAGUAUUGAAGCGAUGUGAAAACACACAUCUUGUUCUAAAUUAGGAAAAAUGUCAUUUCAUGGCAACUGAAGGCAUUGUGUUAGGCCAUUACAUCUCUAGUCAAGGCAUUAAAGUAGAAAAAGCUAAAGUGGAAAUCAUUAAGAAAUUACCUCCACCGACAAAUGUGAAAGGUAUUCACAAUUUUCUUGGGUAUCCGGGGUUUUAUUGAAUAUUUAUUAGAAAUUUCUUGAAAAUUGCAAAACCCUUAUGCUCAUUGCUGGAACAGAAUCGAAAUUUAUUCUUUGACGAUACAUGUCUAGAUGCAUUUAUUCAAUUAAAGAAGCAGCUAGUAAAUGCACCCAUUGUCGGUGCACCAGAUUGGUCUCAAGCUUUUGAAGUUAUGUGCGAUGCAAGCGACUUUGCUUUGGUGUUGUUCUAGGACAACGCAAGGGAAAAAUAUUUCAUGCUAUCUAUUAUGCUAGCAAAACUCUUACAGAGGCUCAAAUCAAUUAUACCACUACAGAGAAAGAAUUGUUGGUUCUAAUUUUUACUUUCAACAAGUUUCGUUCUUAUCUUUUUGGAGUAAAGGUUAUCGUAUUUACUGAUCACUCGGGGUUGAGAUAUAUUUUUGUGAAGAAGGAUGUAAAACCAAGACUGAUACGCUGGAUCUUAUUGUUACAAGAAUCCGACAUCGAGAUAAAAACCUCAAAUGUUCAGAUAAUCAAGUUGCAGACCAUCUGUCUCGAUUGGAAGUUGGCAGUGAAGAUGGAAACAUAGUUCAAAUUGUCGACGCAUUCCUAGAUGAGAAGUUAUUUGUUGUAGAUACAACCCAUUGGUAUGCGAUUUGGUUAAUUAUCUAGUGUGUGGAAAACUCCCAUUGGGUGUCACAGGCCAUAAAAAAGAAAUAUUUCUUCGUGAAGUAGUGAAGUAUCAUUGGAACGAGUUGUAUUUAUUCAAGUAUACAAUGACAACAUCAUUCGGCAUUGUAUUCCGGAAGAGGAGAUGCUUUCAAUCAUGAAGCAUUGUCAUGAUGCUCCUUAUGGAGGUAAUCUCGAUGGCAUGCGAACUACCGCUAAGGUUCUCCUAUCAGGAUUCUACUGGCCUUCAUUAUUCAAAUACACCCACAAUUUUGUAAAUCAAUGUGAUAGGUGUAAGUGCAUUGGUUCUAUUUCCCGAUGCAAUGAAAUGUUGCAGCAACCAAUUAUGGAGGCUGAAUUGUUCGAUGUUUGGGGUAUGAAUUUUAUGGGACCAUUUCCAAGUUCAUUUGGAAAUCUUUAUAUAUUAGUAGCUGUUGACUACAUCUCGAUGUGGGUUAAAGCUGUUGCAGUUCCAAAGGAUGAUGUAAAGACAGUGCUUAAAUUUUUCACAAGCAUAUACUCACUCGCUUUGGCACACACCAAAGGCAUUGAUUAGUGAACAGAGUACACACUUUCAUUGCAACCAAGUGGCAACUGCACUGAAGAGAUACGGAGUUAAUCAUAGAAUGGCUACUACUUAUCAUCUGCAAACUAAUAGACAAGCCAAAGUAUCAAAUCAACAAAUUAAAAGCAUUAUUGAGAAGGUUGUAAACCCUUCGAGGAAAGUUUGGUCUUUCAGACUGCAUGACGUUUUAUGGGUAUUGCGGAGAGCAUAUAAAACUCCAUUAGGGAUGUCGCCGUAUCAAUUGGUUUUUGGGAAAGCAUGUCACUUGCCAGUUGAAUUGGAGCACAAAGAAAUGUGGGCAAUUAAGCAAGUGAACAUAGACUAUGAAGCUGCUGGAAAGAAAAGGUUGUUGGAUAUCACUAAACUAGAGGAGAUUGGGCGAAAUGCCUAUGAAAACGCUACAAUUUACAAGGAAAAGACCAAACGAUGGCAUGACAGAAUUAUUUUGCAGCGACAAUUUAUCCAAGGUCAAUAAGUUUUAUUAUUCAAUUCUAGACUGAAAUUGCACCCAGGUAAAAUGCGCUCACAUUGGUCUGGACCUUUAGCAGUUUUCGAAGUAUUUCUUCAUGGUGUAGUCACAAUCAGAGAUUUACAUGAUGAACACCCACAUUUCAAAAAAAUAUUAGUUUAAUGAAGCAUGCUAGGUUUAUUUGUGGUUAAUGCAAAUGUGUUUGAAAAUUUUUGUUACAUUCGAUGUUUAAUUCUUAAAUCAUGUGAAUUAUCAAUGAAUGAGUAGGAUAAAUUUAACUGACUGUUGUAUCUUCUAUUCUUUGAUGAAUGAUUUAGGUUGCAUUAGUAAUGGAUGACUAGUAGCAUUCCUUGAAUCUUGAACGAACCUACCUUUUACAGUUGUUUCUAUAUAUAGUUAUGAAUAAGAGACACUCCAAAGUGGGUGUAUUGUGAAAUGUUAAAAAGGAAACACUCCAAUGCAAGCGUUAGAGAAAUGAAUCUGGCUAAAGGCUGUCACUGCAUGAAUGUGUGUCGGCGCAAUUACGUACUCCCUGGGGGUUUUUGCACUCCAUCAUUACUUCUCAAGAACAAGGGCACAGUAAUGCAAUGAUAUCCCUUAUUCACAAAAAAAAAAGAAGAGAGACAUAUAUUUAUGAUCUUCAUAGAUACUUAGUAUUGUACAAUAAAUAUUGUAUUGGUAGAUAGAAUUUAGGAUUUAAAGCAUGAUGCCGAUUUUGAUGAAGUUGCAAUCUUAUUCAUUCAUACUUAUGUAUUGUUGAUGCAAUAUUUUGUUAUCUGAAUGUGACUCAUUCAUUGGGAUUUUAGGUGAUUCAAGUUUUUAGAAUGAUCAUUUGCCUUAUUGAAUUCUUGUGUAGUGUUGCUAGUUUUUGUUUUACUUGAGAACAAGUAAAAACUCAAGUUUAGGGGUGUGUAAUACUACUAGAAAGAACCUAUGUUUUCUCCCUACUUAUUGGUUAAUUUGUCCCUAUUUUGUUAACUUUAACACAUAUUUUAACAUUUUUAGUUCAGUAAAUUACAUAUUAAUACUCAACAGAUCUUAGCUUAUUUAUCCUUAAUUUUUUUAUGUUAUGGUACCGAUGCCGCUGCAUGCCUAUUUCUAGAUUGCGCCCAGAAUUGUCGCCGCACCUAAUAGCUGCCCGGGUAAGAACAAAAAUUUGUGAGCUAUCCAGUCUAGUAUAACAAACUUGUACGUGCAGGGGCAGCAUGAUUCUAAUGAAAGGACACUUGUGCUAUUUGGAAGAAUAUAAAUAUUCACGUGAAAAGGGAAAAAAAAAAGAGAGGCUUUUUGGAGGGUAUUAUCUUCUUCAACCUAUCUUUUGAAGCUUUUCAGCUAUGGCGGGUUAAGUUUCCUAUGGGUGAACCGACGUGAAGGGGACACAGAUCAGCUAUUAACAAGGAGCCCUGAGUGCAACACAAGAGGGAAUGGAGAGAUUCAAGUCGAGAUUGUCUAGAAAUAGUAUUCUCCACUUGUUUAUUUUAUAUUUCUUUUAUAAACGAUGGUGAUUACAUUCUAUUUCAUGUUUGUACAGAAGUACACAUGAUUUCUGGGUUAAAUGUUAUUUUAUUCAAUCUUGUUUCUACUGUUUAAUCUUUGGGUUUGAAUGUUUUUAGCAUGGAAGUGCUAUUACGGUCACUGACACUAGAAAGUGCAACGACAGUUCAAGCUAACAAGCAUGACAACGAAGUUGAUUGAGGAUUAGAGGAAUUUAAUCCACUUGUUCUUAAUAGUGUUUCAUUUUUAUCAUUGGAAGGUGUGGUUAAUGUGCAUGUUUAAGUCUUAUAUUAAUUAUAGAAGUUAAGCUUGGUAAGAUAUUCAUUGCAAUUUAAUGCAUCGAUAAUCACCUAUCCUUUUAUACCUUGCGAGCACUUAGUAUUCUGUUGAAUAAUCACGUUGGGGAUCCCAGUUUAUCAUUAUCAUAUUUUAUAUUAUUCUUUUCAAGUUAUUGCUUCGAAAACUACUCUCACAAUUGAUCUCAUUUCUAUCUAUUUAUUGCAUUGACAUUGAUAGACAAAAGACAACCAUCCUCGUGGGAUCGAUAUUUGACAGGCUCAUAUCUGUCUACUAUACUUGCAUCGAUAUCUCAUCUUCAUGGGAUCGAUUGUUUAACGUUACAGUAAUAAUGGGCAAGUAUGAUAGAAACGAGAUGGGAUCUUUCUACUAUACAUAUCGAUGCAAGUAUAGUAGACAGAUAUGAGUCUAUCGGAUAUCGAUCCCACGAGGAUAGUUGUCUUUUGUCUAUCAAUGUCAGUGUAAUAAAUAAAUAGAAACGAGAUAAAUUGUGAGAGUAAUUGUCGAAGCAAUAACUUGAAAACAAUAAGAUAAAAUAUGAUAAUGAUAAACUAAGAUCUCCAACGUGAAUAUUCAACAGAAUACUAAGUGCUCACAAGGUAUAAAAGGAUAGGUGAUUGUCGAUGCAUUAAAUUGCAAUGAAUAUCUUUCUAAGCUUAACUUUUAUAUUUAAUCUAAGACUUAAACAUGCACAUUAACCAGAACUUCCGAUGAUGGCAAUGGAACACUAUUAAGAACAAGUGGAUUAAAUUCCUUUAAUCCUCAAACAACUUCCGUUAUCAUGCUUGUUAGCUUGACUGUCGCUACACUUUUCAGUGUCAGUGGCCACAAUAACACUUUCAUGCUAAAAACAUUCAAAACCAAAGAUUAAACAGUAGAAGUAAGAUUGAAUAAAAUAACAUUUAACCCAAAAACCAAGUGUACUUCCGUACAAACAUGAAAUAGAAAGUAAUCACCAUUGUUUAGAAAAGAAAUAUAAAAGAAGCAAGUGGAGAAUACUAUUCCUAGACAAUCUCGACUUGAAUCUCUCCAUUCCCUCUUGUGUCGCACUCAAGGCUCCUCGUCAAGAGCUGAUCUGCGUCUUCUUCACGUCGAUUCACUCAUUAAAGACUUAAGCCGCCAUAGCCGUAAAGCUUCAAAAGAUAGGUUGAAGAAGAUAGUAGCCCCCAAAAAAAGCCUCCUUUUUUUUUCUUUUCACGUGAAUAUUUAUAUUCUUCCAAAUAGCACAGGUGUCCUUUCAUCAGAAUCAUGCUACCUCUGUACGUACAAGUUGUUUAUACCAGACUGGACAGCUCACACAAUUUUUUCCUUAUUCGAAUAACUGUCAGGUGUGGGGACAAUUCUGGGCACAAUUUGGAAAUACUCAUACAGCAACAUCAGUACCAAAACAUGACAAAAUGAAAGAUAAAUAGGCUAAGAUCCACUGAGUUAUAAAAUGCAAUUUACUAAACUGAAAAUGCUAAAAUAUGUGCUAAAGAUAACUAAAUGGGAACAAAUUAACCAAUAAGUAGGAAGAAAACAUAUGUUCUUUCUAGUACUAUCAACCACACAACGAAUUUAUAGCUCAAUCAAAAGGGAUGUUUGAAGACAUGUUAAUCGAACAACACAAGCGUACAUUACAGAGUGAUUCUAUAAUCCUAGAUUUUGAGGUAAACUCUGAACUAUCUACUUUAAUAAGGGAACUUUUCUUAGACUCUUUUAGGUUUAUUACUAACAAAGUAAAAAAAAUGUGAAAUAUAUAAAGGUGGUGUGUUAUAGAAUCAAGGGUAUGAGAAAAAUUUAGGACCACCAAGCUAUCAAAUACUUAUAAGUGUGGCUAAUAACUUUAAUCUGCGAAAGGUAUUUGUUGUGAUCAAUGAAGAUAAAAAAGGCAAGUUCAAGAAACAAGACAAAUGAAGGAAAAUAGAGUGGAAUGACGGAUGCUGGACUAAUAUAGAUAAAAAAAGAACCAAAGGCGCAUCCACUUGUACUUUGACAAAGCUGAUGGACAAAUCCGACAGCAAUAUUUGAUACUUUUAAACUGAGAUAAAUUUUUGUAUACUGUUGUAUUUCGAUAGACUCAUAAGUAGUUUAGGAUUUAAUUUUGUUUAAAUUAUUUAAGAAUUUAAGCUGAAUGCUUUGAAAUUUGAGAAGGGGGUCGAAACAAAGCUGGUGUCACAACACGAAACCUCCAUGUCGUGACACCACUCAUAAAUUCAAUAAGUCGAGCAAGUCAGCUCAAUUUCGUGACACAGAACUUUUGUUCUGUGACAAGAAGUCAGUUUACCCCAGAAACCAAAAAUUUUAAUGUGUGUCACAACAUUCAACCCCGAUGUCGCGACAACGGUAUCCUGUCAGGGGUGUCGCGACAUAGAACCCCUAUGUCACGACAUCGUUGCAAAUUUUUGCAAGGUCGACCCGACCCAGUGCGCAACCCGCUAGAUUUAACUCUUAUUUUACUCAACCUUUAACAUAAAAACACAAAAUUUUAAUCUCAAAACACUUCUAACUUAUUUCUAAAUCCCUCAUAACUCUAAAGUCUCUUUAAACCCCCCAAACCACCCACUUUUAAAACCCCUCUUAUCCCUUAUUAUUUUGCUAUAAAUUUUUCCUUUGUUUCACUUUGUGCAGGGAUUAACACACCACACUAAGAGGGCAAAAACAACUAAUUGUUACGAGGAAUCCUGAGUAAUCAAUUGAGGUUAAGGGUUCCUAUUUGGUUUUUAAUGUUGCAUUGCAUAUUGCUUGAUUUCAAUUAGUUAUUCUAGUGAAAGUAUACUGACAAUGCCUCAAAGAAAAUCUAGAAAAACUAAUGUGCAAGAAACACCGGUGGUCUUGAAUCCCUCUAAAUUCUUAAACGCAAAUGUAGAAAAAAAUUUCUUUGAACUUCAAGGAAAAACAUUUAUACAAAAGAGGAGAUUUGAGUCAUCAAUGGUCUUGUGCAAGGAAAUUUGGUCAUUAGUUCGGUACCAUAGGUGGGAACACUUUUGUGAAACCCCGAAAGUAAAUGUGGUUAUCUCAAUUGUUCAAGAAUUUUAUGCUGUAAUGAGGGAUCGAGAGGCUAGAAUACCUUAUAGGGCCAUUCGGGAAACCGUAAUAGUAAGAGGUAAGAAGGUACGCGUUACUCUUCGAGAAAUUUGUGAGUUUUACAAUGUUUCAUACUAUGAAAACUAUUUUCUUGAUAAUACAAGUCUAAACACUUUUAGGGGGCAUAGAUAUGGAUGACAUUGUAAAAUGCUUAACUGAUGGGAGGGGUGCAUAGAACCACCGAUCGGAUACCGAAUUACCAACCAAUUUCAAUCAAGCAAUUAUAUUUCUUAUAACUAAGAUGUGGAUGCAAUUUCUUUGUACUAGAAUUACACAUGGCAUGAAUGUGUCUAAUGUAAACAUUUUUUGAGCUCUUUUGUUGUAUGGAAUCUUGUAGAAAAAAUAGAUAUCUGCUGACAGAUGGAUCUAUAUUAGCAUGAAGCAAUGUAUAAGCGGCCAGAAAGUCGAGGUUUUCUUUACCCACCUUGUGAUGGAGCUAUGCAAAAAGGCCAGGGUUUUGAUGGAAGAAAACGAGCAGUUUAUGAGAUAGAGAAAGAGCUUAAUAGGAGAUUCUAUGUGCACACAAUUCAUUGAGCUCAACCGAAAACAAAUCAAUGAUUGGAACCAGAGGAGAAAACAAAAUAUGAACAUCCCGACUUCUCUAAAAAAAGCAGUAACAAAAACUCAAAAAAGAAGUGGAAUCUCAAUUGUAGAAUGGAUAAUCAGAUGGAUGUAGGAAUCGAGACCGGUCAUUCAAGAGUUUCCACGAUAAAAUAAUAUUAAAGUACCAAAUUACUCGUAAAAAAAUAUGGAUCCAGAUCAUUCCAUGCUAAAUUCGAUGAGCAAGGAAGUCAAGUUGAGGAAGGGAGUAGAAGUGAAUAAGAGGAGGAGGAGGCCACAGAGUAAGAUUUUCAAGAUGUGAAGGAUGACGACUAUGAGGCGGCAUUCCAGCCGCAACAUAUCACGCAAAAAAAAAACUCAUCAUUUAUAACCGAACCCAACAUGCACAUUCGUCGAGUGAAGGCUCUUCUCUGAAACACAUCUCGAGAAAAGAAAAAGCAUCAAUGGAGGGGCAAUCGCCCUAUUUUGAAGAUUCUGACGAUUAAUAAACUUUUUAAUUAUUUUUAAGAGUUGUAAAACUUAAUUUCGAUGAUUUUUAUUUUAUCGUUUUAGGAGUAGGAUUAAAAGUAUAUUUAUAUAUAUUUUCUGUUUUUUGCAUUUUCUAUGUAGGAACCCUACAUUAAGGAAGCAUUAUAUACAUGAGCUUUCAACAAACAAGGAAGCACCCACCAGAAGACUACGACAAUGUCACGAUCAAUCGGAUAACUUUCUUCCUUAUAUAUUUAGCGGCCGCGCAUUAGGGCUAAUGUGCUAUCUAAAGUGUGGGGGUAACAUAGGAAAUUUUUUUCAUGCUUUUCUUUUAAUUUUUCUGGUCAAAGUGUGCUUGAGCUUGUAGAAAUACAAAUGAUUGGUUAGGAGUAUGUAUAUAGGUUGAUUGUAUUUAUUGUAAAUUUGACAUGAUAGUGAAUGAUUUUAAAUUUUCAAUUAUUAAACUAAUAAGUUCUAUAUAUUACACUGUAAAUAAGUAUUAAGUAAUUGAAAAUACCAUAUGACAUAAAAAAAUAUAGGGAAACGAGCAUGCUAGUAUGUAUGAUAAAUGGUUAAAUUUGUGAUUUAUUGAUUGAUUAAAUUUGUGAAUAUUGAGACACCUAGGGAUGACCUAAGGCAUUUUUGGUAUAACCAAAAGCCAAAAAGUUAAACCUUAUUCAUCAAUCCUUAGUACCUAUUUUGAGCCAGAAAACGCUUCUUAAUGAACCUUCAUUCAGAACCCGAGCUAAAAUAUCAAUUUGUACUUGUCCUUUUUCUUUGGUCUUGGAAUUACACGAAUUUAGACAUCUAACCAUAAGUAUUGAGGGAUAGGUAGAUACAUCAUGGCGAUUUUGUAAAAAAUAGAGUAAAAUAGGAAUGAGCAAUGUGAUAUUUUGACUAUAGGUAGUCAAAAUGUGCAAAACAAAAGAAAAUUUUUUAGUAUUUGAGCAAUGAAAAACAAAAGCAUUGUGAAGUGAGAUAUGUUGGAAAAAAAUCAAAAGUGACUCAAAAACAAAGUCAUAACAUUAGAAAUCUCAAAUCAUUAAUGCACAAAAAAUCCUGAGCUGACCGUAGUUACUUUAUCAUACUAUGACUUCCUACAUGGAGAAAUAAGGAAUAUGAGAGAAGGAAAAAUGAGGCAAUGAGCGGGCAAGGGUUAUUAAAGGGGAGAAUAGACAACAAUGUGAUGUGUCAAACUACUUUCUUGCUUGAAACUAUUUUGAUGCUCCUUGUUUUUUUAAUUUCAUACCAAUUUUAAGCCUCAGAACAUUACAAGCCGAAAAGCCCUAUGUGACUUAGAUAGAUCUAUUCAUGAAUUGACAUUAUAUUGAGUUAUCACAAUAAUGAUUGUUUGUAUUUUGCUAGGAUAAUUAAAUUGCUUUUAUGAUUUAUCGAUGGAUCCAUAUAUUUGAGGACCUUACUGUUUGUAUACUUUGUAAUAUAGUGAACUUAAGUGUUUGAAACUGAAAAUGGUAAGUAACUUAUGUAUCAUGCUAGAAUUAUGUGUAGAUAUAAUUAUUCUUAGUUAUGUGUUCCCAAAACUAGUCUUUGUAUCAUACUUGUUCAAGAGUCGUCUUUUAUUUUCGUUUUUAUCUUUCUUUGCUUGAGAACAAGUAAUGACUUAAGUGUGGAGGAGUUUAAUCUGUCGCAAUACAUUGUAGCAAAUUAAACUAGUUUUCAUACUUAAAGAGCUAGAAUAUGAGCAAUCUUAUUAGGUUUUAUUUAGUUUUUUUACUUUAAUUUCAAUUUAAUAAAAAGUGUGAUUUGAGUUGAUUUUAUGACCUUAGGGGGCGAAUGAGGCCUAAGGGAAGACUAUCGUGUUUGACAAGUGUGCAGGACACUAUUCGAAGGCAUUAGAACUCGAGACUAGUCGCCAUGUUGCAACACGAAAGUUCAAACGUUGCAAUAUAGGGAGCAGAAGGCCAAUAUAACUAUAUUGCCUUUGGUGUCGCGACAUAGCUAGUGGAUGUCUGGGCCCGAGCUAAGCAAACUGCCUUCAGUGUCGUGAUAUAGUUAGUGUAUGUCGUGACACCGACCCUAUACGUGAAAACAUUACAAGAUGAGGGUAUUUUGGUCCGCACAAUGUAUUUUAACAUAAAACCAUUAGCUAAACUAAGGCUAAAGACGACGACCAACCCUAACAUUAUAAAUAAGCUCAUUAAACACUCGAGUGAUCAUCUCUUCAGUAAUUUAGACUUUUUCCUUUCAGUUUAGUUUUUAGUUUUUAGUUUUUAGAUUAUUUUAUAUUUAGGAUUUAUUUUCGUUCGUGUUCUUCGGAGAAUCUGAUUUGUGGAUUCAACGCAAACUCGUUAUGGAUUUCUGCGCUUCAUUCAAAUGCAAUUCAAGAUUUUUCGUAAACUCUUAAUCUUGAUUUGUUCUUUAUGUUUAUUUACUUUAUCAAGUUUAUAUUAUUUAUGGGAUCCAUGAGGAACUAAUCCUCUUAUGAGGGAUUAGUGAGUGGAAGUGUGAUUAAUUAAUUUCUAUAUAUGGUUUCUUAGCAAAUCAAUUGUUUGGGAUAGAAAGAACUUAAACCUUAGAAAGUCAUCUAGGUGAGAAUUAACUUAAAAUUGGUAUUGUCUUUCCAUGAAUCAUUUACCCCAAUCCAGUCUAGACUGUGAGGUUGAGAGAUAAGUGGUUCUUGCCAACUUGUUAGGUUAGUGGAAGAUCGAGAGAUCCUAAUAGGGUAACGCCUAGUUGAUUGAGUAGAAACCCAAAAUAGGAAUUAGUUAUGACCACCGAAACGAGCUAGUCACCCAUGCUUAGAUUCGAUUGAGUUUACAAAUUAGUUCUUCGUUUUUCAUUCUUUUAUGCAUGUUUAUUUCUUUUAUUAUAAAAACAAAUAAUUUUCACUUUAUAUUUUGCCGUAUUAUAAUUUAUUUAUAGUACUAAUUAGAUCUAUUUACAUUUAGGUUAAUAUUAAUUUAGUACUCGCCUCCUUUAAGUACGAUCCUUGGAGUACUUACCUACUUCAUUGUAAAAACUAUAUUACAACCUGAUUUAUAUACUUGCAAACACCACCUCAAUUCUAUAUUUUUAGUAGCAAUAUUCACACUCUGGACGUAUGACUUGGAGUAUGACUUGGAAGCCCACUAGACGAUGGUUAUGUGAUCAUGGGUUCAAGUUUCGCAUCACCAGAAGUGGAUGCUUUGUAGAACCAAUACAUAAGUUUGAGAUCAUAAUUGCAUGGAUAAAUUUAGGGGCUUUCCAGUAUAAUCCAUUUAUUCUUUUUCUUUGUCACCACCAAAGGCAUUAUCGACAAAUAUUAUUGUGAUUAAAUCCCUCAUUAAUAACUACAACUACUGUCACAUUGACUCGACCUCCAACUAUCACUACCCCGACUCGACCUCCAACUUCUUUCCACCACCACCAUCACUCACCCCCUGAUAAGGCUCUUGUAUUCAACUCUAUCGCCUUGCUUUUGGUGGUGAUGGAGAAAAAUUAUAACUUAGUUAUACUAGAAAGUCUUUGAGUUUUCCCCUACUAUUAUCAUCUCAAGAUUAUGUAUCAAUUUUACAAAUCAUCCUCUUCUGGUAAGGUGGAACUCGAACUCGUGAUCACAUAACCACAAUCAAGUGAGUUCCCUAGUUAUACUCCAACCCGUGAUCCCAUAUUAACAUCCUCAACUAAGAGCCCUAAUUAUACUACAACUGAUGACCAUAUAAGUGUUGCAAACUCAGAGCUUGAGUUGCAAUGCAUUAGACUUCUAAGGCAAUGGUUCCAUCCCAAUAAGAAAGUAGAAAUAUAUAAGUCUCCCAACGCUAUCGCGUCGCCGUCAACUGAAAUAUACCUUUAAGCUUUCACAAUGUCUACCUCAAACACAAACACAAUUAAAUUAACAUCCUCAUAUUUAAAACCUUAAACCAUAAAUACCCUAAAAAAUCUUUAAAACCUUAAUUCCAACUGAAAAAAAAAAAGGUGAAAACAUGUCCAAUAGGACACGUUUUUAUGCAAAGUCAACUAAAAAUGCAUCCAAUUAGACACACCUCCACUUUCUCUCUCCAAAAUCAAUCUAUUCCGUUAAUUUUUUUAAAACUAACCCUUUUACCUAAUUUAACCCUUAUUUUAUGGUGACUAACAGGAUAAUUACCCUAAAAAUAUUUCACUUGAUAACUUUCAAAUCUAUGUUCUUUUUGCCAUCUAAAUCUUUUUUCUAAGUUUAAAUUAUAUUAGGAUAAUUAUAAAAAGUCAUUUUUUAAACAUCCAAUAAAAAUAAAAAUGGGUCGCAUUAUACCUUUUAAAAAACUUCUAACUAACAUAUAUACUUUUUAACACUAGAUCAUAAAAAAUAGAAUUAAAUAAAACUAAUGUAAAAAAAUUAAAUAAAAUUAGCAAACAGUAAUAGUAUUGCAAGGUUUAAGUUUACCUUUUUGUUCAUCUAGAUUUAUGAAUUAUUGUAUGAUGGGUUAAAAUUUAGAAAUUUAAGAUUUAUGAUUCUAGGGAAAAGGUUAAAACUGUACCCAACAUAUAAAUUAGAUGCCAAAAAAAGCCUAAAUACUACACUCCGUACACCAAAUGCCAGAUUGGUUUUAGGCAACAUUUCUUAAAUGAGUUUUAUUAGUUUCUUGGGGGCCUGCAUAUAACACUAAUAUAUAUUCAACCAAGAAAGAUGGGAUAUAGCUUUGUUUCAACCCUAUCUACCAUCCUUGGCUUCAAUUGGUUUAUAAAAUCGAUGGAAUGUUUGUUGACCACAGCUUUAACACAGUAGAGAUAUCUGCGGUUGGGGCUUUCUACUGAUAAGAGCCAACCAUAUUAUAGCAGUCUAGACUUUCAUCUCUAAGUUCAGCUAAGGACAUUUGAACUUCAGUCUUGAUUAUUCUCAUAACCCUACCUAACAGGGAAUGCAUAUCGGGAUGUAGGAGACUUUGCACUACUGGAAGCUCGAGCAGCCACCAACAUUGGCUGUUGACCUGUGAGUUUUCACCAGCGGAACCAGCGACUGGACAACAUCUGCCAUCAAUGGCCUGUAGUCAGCUUCUGGUUGCACACACAUAGCAGCAAUAGCUGCAACCUGAAUCACUUCUUUCAUUGAGUAUUGACCUUCUAGUGUUGGAUCCAUUAUCUGGACGACCUUCUCCCUAUCUGUUAACUGAGGCAAAGCCUGUGCCAUAUACAACACACAAAAACUGAAAAAUGACAGAUAGAAACAGAUGCAAGAAUGCACCAGUCACAAAACAAAGAAGACAUUAAUGAGGAAAGUUAGACCAGUGUAGAACCUUAAGUAAAUAGCAUAAACUUAACCAUCUUAGAAUAACUUACAAGACUGAAAAAGGAUUUAUAGCUCAAGAUACUCACCCAUGAUACAAGAACACCUUCCCCAUGAGGUCUCUUUGCAUCAACUGGUACUCUGCCAGUAAGCAACUCCAAAAGAACAACACCAUAACUAUACACAUCUGAUUUUGUAGUUAGAUGUCCAGUUAAAGCAUAUCUGUACAGCAAGGCAACCAAACCCAAUGUCAAACGGGGCAGUUAAAAUUUGAUAAGAAAACCAUUAAGUAUUAAAUUAGCAACAAUAACCCCUCCACUUUGGAGUAAGAGCUUGUUAUUUCAUACUCAGGAGCAACGUAUCCCUGGGUGCCCAAUACUCGAGUUGAAACAUGUCCGCCUGCUUUGUCUGAUCCAAGCUUGGCCAGUCCAAAAUCAGAAACUUUGGCAUGGAAAUUUUUGUCCAAAAGGAUGUUACUGCUCUUAAAAUCCCUGUGAAUCACAGGAGGGCUAACGUGUUCAUGGAGAUAUUCUAAUCCCUUAGCCGCUUCCAGAGCAAUUCUCAACCGGGUUUCCCAGUCCAGUUUUAAGUUUACAUUGUUAGAACCUGCAUUUUGAAUGCAACCAGUAAAUCAGUUGUUAUGGAUACAGCUCUCCUAUAUCAAUCAUUCUUCCAAACUGAACUAAGCCUGAUCUUGUUUCAAAAAGGAUGAUCAGAGUUUUGACAUCAUGAUGUUACUGAGCUCUUAAAAUAGUCACUGAUAGAGUGAAAUUCAAGCUUGUACAUGAUCUUGAUUGAUGAAACUUAGAUUAAGCAUCUGACAAAUGAAUAAACAAACAUCAUUCAAAGGCAGAACACCUAGAUAAGCUCUAGCAUUUUUGAAAACUCAAGAUCAUUUUAGAUAGCCAAAAAGGACUAAUGAUUUUUUUAAAAUGUCAAAUUCAGAAGGAUUUUAGACAUCAAUCCUUCCACACUUGCUAAGACAAGAUUUUACAAUAUCCCAAAUUUCUUUCAGGGCAUUCCCAUUUGUGCUUCACUUAGCUUUGGAAACUCCCCAUAAGUGCAUGAACAUUUGUCAAUUUAAAAAAAGUGGAAAGCAAGAGUUGCGGAAAUGUGGUGCAAAUAAUACCAGCCAGCUUUUAUAUGCUGAAGAUAAAUCUUGAUUGGAAUAAUAAAAAAGGCUUAAUUAACAGCUCAUGUACAUUGAAAUUUUAAUAAACAAAGGUUACUACUAAGUACUAGCUUACCAUUAAUGGGAUACAGAUGUUCCUGCAGACCACCAUUUGCCAUAAACUCGUAAACAAGCAGUUUACGACUACUAUUUGAGCAAUACCCAAUCAAAUCCAACAAAUAUGGAGAACGUAGACGUUUCAGCAGUUCCACCUACAGUUGUAUAUGGUCAAUCAAUUAGUAUAAACUCGCCUUAAAAUAAAAGGAAAGUUAACAAAUGAUAUCAUAACUUUAUUAACUCAUUUUAUCCAUUUUUUCCAGAAGAAAUAUAAAGAAUGAGGUAAACAGAAUGUAUAUUGUCGACGGGUUAGCAUGGCACAUUUGAAAUACAGAUAUCAGAACACCAGAAAAGUGCACUUAGAACAGUAUUCAUAGCAGACCUCCAUUUUAAAUUCUUCUUCUCCUUGCUUCCCUGCCUGAUCCAUUAACUUGACAGCAACUUUCCUGCCAUUACUAAGCACUCCCCUGUAUACGGACCCGAACCCACCAUGGCCAACCACAUUAGACUUGCUGAAACCACCAGUGGCUGAAUGUAACUGCUUAAAAGUAAAGACAUGAAGCCCUUCGUCCAUAGCAACUUCAAGAUCGGUGGAGCAAGCUUUGUCCUUAGAAUCAACCACUUCAGAGACAAAAGACCAACAAUACAUCAAGUUGCAUAAAAGGGAACAUUAGGAACCGAGUCAUGCUAAAGCAACAAGCUCACUUUAUUGAUGACUACUUAUACAUCAGGCCCUGACUACAAACCAUCAUAAGUCCGAGUCCCCAAAGACCCAAAAUAAUGAUUGUCAAAAGGGUAUAAUCAACUUACCAUCUUUUGGGAAGCACUUCAUCGUGGGGACGAAAUUAAACAAACAAAUAAAGGUAAAAAGAACUAUAUAAGAAACAGAACAAGAUGAAUCACAUAUAUUUUUCCACCUUUUUUUGACAGGAAAAAGAGGGAAGAACAAAAGAUGAACUAGUCCUUAUGAAUAGUACACAAAGGGAAUGCAUUUUCCCCAAUAAUCUUCCUAUAUUCGCAUCUACUACACCGUCAUCAUACCCAACAUAAAUAUACAAGAAAAUGAAAGCAGAGAAAAGAAAAUAGUGUAGUUUAUUUAAAAUAUUAUGUAGACAAUACCAGUAGAGUGGGAUUUGGAGCGCUUAGAGAGGACCUUGUUACGAAUAUAACAAUAGUAACUAAAAGCCACUAAAAGCGAAGCAACAGCCACUGAAGCAAGCACUACAAUGGCUACCAAUGCAAUGCGUUCUUUCCUCCUAUAAUACGAAUAUGAAAACUCAGGAUCUUCCCCUCCUUUCUCCAUUUUUGUUCUCCUUUUUCCCUUUGAAACCUAGCUCGCCUCCGACCAUAAGAAAAUGCCGGUCUUAUUUGAACUUGGAGAUUCUCUCUCUCUCCUUUCUUCUCGCUGUGUCAGACACCAGGCUCAGUGAGUUUUACUUUACUGUUUUUUUCUUCUCCGACUGGCGCGCACACAAAGAGCUUUUCCUUUUAGUCCUUUCCUUUUCUCUGCAUUUGCAUUUCCUACCUCAACUUAAAUCAUACUUUUCAAGAUUACCACAUAUAUAAAGCUAAAUAUUUAUAUUUGAUGCACCCGUACUUAUAUAUAUAUACACUUCACCAUUCAAUCAUAUCAUUCCACUAUUACUAACAGUACGUUUGGGUGGGUGGCAUGAAUAGGGGACCCAUGUCGAGUCUAGGGAAAUGAUUAUUCCGUAAUUUGGUUUAGUGAAUUGAAUUAGAAUCUUUGACAACGAAUGACUAUUUUUCACUUUUAUAAAAGAAUGACUAUUUCACUCAAUAAUGAAUAACAUAUAAUUUCAAGACAAAUUCAACCAACUCGCAUGGGGGUUUUGAGCCUUUAAAUUCUAGAAGUCUAACAAAUAACCAAAAUGAGGAUUGAAGCAAUGGAAGACCACAAAAAUGCAAUGGAAGCUAAAGAUUAUUUUUGUAAACUAGGUUUACUGUUAAGUUUUUUUAAAAAUACCCAGUAGGAAUUUCAUAAAGUUUCAACAAUGGUUGACAGUGACAAUAACGACAGUUGUGAUCGUGAUGAGCUAAGAAUGAAAAGAUUUUAGAAAAAUCAAAGUUGGUUCAUUAAAAAAAUUUGAGAGAACUAGAUAGAACUCCGUAGAAGUGAAAGAGAUAAAGUAAUAUUAAAAUAAAAUAGUAGGUUUUUAAUAAUAUAUUUAAGUAUUUAAAUAUAAUAAAAUAAUUUUAAAUAUGAUUUUUAUAUUUAUUUUUAAAUUUAAUAGAUUAAUAUAUUGUUAAAUAUUUUUUUUAUUAAAUAUAAAAUGUUAAAUUAUUUAUUUUCAAAUAUUAUUUUUGACAUAUUAUUUAUAAAGUUAUUAAGAAAUAAAUCAUAUUUUUAUAAAUAAUAUAUUAUACUAUUAAAUAUAUUUAUAAUAUAUAUUAAUAAAUUAUAAUAUUAAAUUUUUCUACAUAUAUUAUUUUUAUUAUUUUUCUGAAUUAUAUUAAUGAAAUUAAAUUUAUAUAAACAUUUAAUAAUAAUAGAAUAAUAAAAAUACUAUUAUUUAACUUAAGGGUAAUUUUAUCAUUUAACAUUUAUUACUUUUCUAUUUCUUACCAUCAACCUAACCAGUCUAUUUCAUUUAAUCAACCAAACAACGUAAUUUAUUAUUUUUAUGUUCAAUUUUUAUUUUAUUCCAUUUCAUUAAACCAAACAUACUAUAAGUAAUUAGAUUUAAGGUGGGUAUGGAUGAGCGAUUGAGUGCGGUGCGUUUAGCUUACUUUUUGUCUCACUCUACAAUAUCUAAUUUCACCGCAAUCAUUGUUUUUACACUAAUCGCAUGUAAACACACCACCCAUCCAAACUCACCCUUAAACUUCUUUUACAUGUGUACAAGCCCAUUUUGCCCGGGGCCCAACUAACCCAAUCAAUAAACCCUUUAUCUAACCCAGCAAAACCAAGCCCAACUAACCUACCCAAUAACCCACAAGCCCAAUAGCAAAACCAGCCCAAUAUCCUAGCCCAUCCUUCCCAAAAAAUAUCUGCCUAGGGUUGCAGAGACUGAAACCCUAGGCGCCGCCCUCUUUGACCUUUGGUCUCUGCCACCGUCAAUCACCUCGGCCACUUGCCUCUGACUUGCGCCGCUCGUCCAUCACCCUGCAAACAAAGAAGGUAGCAACAACACACAACAGAAAAAAAAAAGAAAAGAAAAGAAGAAAUAGAACAAGUUGUAACAAUGGCUAUAAAAAAAGCCAUUCAAACAUCUAAAAUGGGGAGGACCGAUCUUUAUGUUUGUAAGGGGGGCUGGUUUUUCUUUUUCUUUUUGUAACAUUUUCCAGAAAUAAAAACAAAAAAAAACCUUCAAGGUGACUUUUCACUUUUUACGCAUUUAGUCCUUUUUUUAUUGUUUUCUCUUCUAACAACAAUAUAUAUAUUAGUACAAGAGUUUUUAAAUAAAAAAUAAAAUUUUUACCCUUUUUUGAAAUUUACGGCCACCGUGCACGGUGGCCGGCGCGGUGGCGCUACGGUGGUGGCUCGCCAGAACCCUGGCCGGAAAAGGGACUGAGAAGAGGGAGAGUUGAGAGAAUGUUUUGUUUUUUUUUUCUGAAGAGUGGAAGAGAAUGAAUUUUUGCUAAAAAAUUGGAGUUUUAUACCCCUCCUAAACGGCGUCGUUUACAGCUUGGCACCAUAGCCCUAAAACGACGUCGUUUAGCCUUUAGACCCGAUCCACCUGACCCGCCUGCCAAGGAUCCGCGUGUUUUCUUAGCGGAGGGGCUAAUUGCGCUUUCAGCCCCUCCGUGUUCUUAAUGUUUUCAAUCAGAUUUUGUACAUUCUUAAAUUUGCCCCUUUGUUUUAUUAUUGAUUUCAAUUGGGUCCCUAUUCAAACAACAUCGUUUUGGAGGAGAAGCAAAAUUACCCUUUUAGUCCCUCCACAUUAUGCGCGCGUUCAUAGGAGUCCUUCCUCUUUAUUUAUUUGUGGAUUAUCCCCCAAAGUCCUGUUUUAAAUUCAAUUUAGUCCUUUUUUUCUUUGUUAUUUUGGUUAUUUUCUCAUUAAAUUUAGAUGCUAUUAUUAUUACUAUUAAUUAUUAUUUACUUAUUUAUACUUUGUUAAACUUCAAAUUUUGUUAUCUAUAUACACAUGUAUAUAUUUUUAUAAUAUACAUACUUUUUGUCAUAUAUAUAUACGUAUAUUNNNNNNNNNNNNNNNNNNNNNNNNNNNNNNNNNNNNNNNNNNNNNNNNNNNNNNNNNNNNNNNNNNNNNNNNNNNNNNNNNNNNNNNNNNNNNNNNNNNNUUAUAUAUAUAUUCAUACUUAUAUUUUAUUUAUAUACCUUAUAUGUAUAUAUACAUAUAUGUGUACACUUAUACGUUUAUAAUACAUGUAUAUACAUGCAUAUAUUUUAUAACUCAUAGAUAUACAUACAUAUAAAAGUUUUUUUUAUUUUUAUAAAUUUUCAAAAGCAUAUAUAUAUAUACAUAUGCAUACAUUUCUGCAACAUACAUACACACUUUUUAUUAUUAAAUAUACAUGUAUACACAUACUCUUAUAUUUUAGACAUUUCAUAUUUUUUAUAUACAUAUACAUAUAUCUUUUAUAUUUUUAAAAUUUUAUUCAUUUUAUUUAUUUAUUUAUUUAUUUACGUUUUUAGGAUGUUUUAAUUUUAUUUGUUCAUAUACUUGUUAUUUUGGUAUGAUAUUGAUUUGUUUUUUUUAUAUUGUUAUUGCUCGUAUUAUUUUUACAUCAUCGCAUUCAUUUUUGUUUCAUUACGAGUGUUAACACCGUAUUUUAUUUCGUGUUAGAUUAAUUUUAUUUGAUGCAUAAAUUAUGAUUUUAUAUGAAUAAGCAAAAUUUCGUGUUUAAAUUUGGGGAGGUCGUACCCUAACUUACUGGGUUUCGAUUUUCACAAUAAAUUUAAAUACACGAAUCUUUUCAAACUCAAAUUUUAAACGAUCUCGAAAAUAAAAAGAUCGUGUCCUAACUUACUGGUCGUGAUCCUUUUUUAAAAUUCGAGAUAGGUAAAUAUCUUUUAAAUUUUCGGCAUUCCUUCGCGCAUUGGGAAUUCGAGACAUUGUGUUCUAACUUACUGGAUAUGAUGCAUUUUUCUCGAUUAACGUAAAAUAUGCCCCCUUUUCCCAAAAAUUUUCAAUAUUUUAAUACAAGGAUCGUAUUUUUAAAAUUCUUCAAAGUUUUCAAUUUUCGACAUUAAGACAUUAAGUAAUCAACUAGGUACCAAUUUUGGGCGUAUUGAGGGUGCUAAUCCUUCCUCGUGCGUAACCGACUCCUGAACCCGUUUUUUUGAAUUUCGUAGACCAAACUUGUUGUUUUAAUAAAAUUAAAUUGUUUAUUAAAAACAACCGCUUUUAAAGGUAACCCGAUCACACCUCAUCAAAAAAGAUUGGUGGCGACUCCCAUUUCUUUCAAAACCCAAGUCGACCCUGUUUUUCAUCCAAAAAAUGGUGUCAACAACAUGAGUAGUAUUUUACAAUUUUUUAGUAUAAAUAUAACAUAUAUUGUGAACGAGGAGUAAAGUUUUGAGAUUUUAAGCGUUUAGAUUUAGUAUUCAUAUAUAUAAAUUAUAUGUAAAUUAAUUAAUUAGUUAAGUUGAAUUAAUUAACCAGAUUGAUUUUAGUCGAUUUAGUGUUUAUAAUAAUUUAUUUUAUUUUAUUUUAUUUUAAUUUGUUAAUGUAAUUAAUUAGUUUUAAUUUAACAAAUGUAGUAUACAUUAAACAUUAAUUACACUAAUUUUUUCAUAUGAUGUUUAAAGCUGACAAUAUAUAAAUGAUAUUUUUUUUAUAAUAGUAAUUCAAACUUAAGCUUUGAAGAAAAUGAAGGCUACAACUUAAGUUCUUAUAAACGAUAUCAAUGCCUUAUAAAAUUAGCAUAUAUUAUAAAAUUGACAUUUGAUCACAUUUGACAAUUAAUUUUGAAAAAAAAAAUGUUUCUAAGACAUCUAUACUUUAUACUUUAAAAUUAUUUAAGAAUAGUUAAAUUUCAAUUUUGAUCCCUAUAUUUCGUUCAUAUUUGAGAUUUAAUCUUUAUACUUUAAUUUUGACUUAAUUUAGUACCUCAACUUUUAUAGUGUCAUUAGUUAGUCUAAAUAUUUUAUUCUAAUUAAAAUGUUGAGGUGAAUUUUUAAGAAUCGCUACCACCGUUAAAAUUCUCUAUUAAAUUCAAGUCUAUUAUAAUGUCAUUUUUUAUUACAUGAAUACCAAGAGAGUAUUUCUUUUUUAAUGUCAAAAUGCCACACCGAUAAAUUUAACAUAAGGAUUUUAACAGUGUUAACAAAUAGACCUAAAUUUUAAUAUUCGAAAAGCAUAGGAAUUAAAUUCCUGAAAAUAAAAGUAUGGAUAUUAAAUUCCAAAUAUAUGAAGACUAUAAGAACUUUGAGCAUAUUGCAACAUUUGAAUUUUUACUCUACAAUUUAGUCAAAAAAAAAAGUAAUCAACCUAACGUCAAUUUUUCUUAAGAACAAUAUUCUAACAAAAAAAUAUUUUAUCAUGACAAUUUCUAAUGAAUAUUUUAAAGAAAAAUCAUAUAAGUAUUUUUAACGUUAUUUUUAUUAUUAUAUGACUUUCAAGUGAUUUUUUUUUAAUUUCAAAAUGUCACGCCAGAGAAUUCAAUAGAAGAAUUUUAACGAUGUUAGCAAUUAGAUCUAAAUUUUUAAAUUCAAAAAGUAGAUGACUAUAUUCCUGAAAAUAAAAGUAGGGAGACUAAAUUCUAAUGCAUGAUGUGUAUAGUGACUUAGAACAUAUUUUAAUCUUCAAAUUUUCACUUUAUAAUAUGACACAAAUAAAUAAUCAAUUCAACACGAAGCAUGGACUGAGUACCAUACUAGUUUAAGUAAAUGAGAAGUGUUUUUAAUUAAAUCUUAACUUAAUUAGCAUCAUUGUUAUUAUAACAAUUAGAAUGAUUUAAGUUUAAACGUGUUUAAGUAUAUUUUCCCUCUAAUUUAAGGGUUAGGUAGAAAUAAUAGAAUUAAGCAUAAAUAUUUUACAACAUUUGAUAAUGAAAUACUUCUUAAAGUUGGCAUUAUAUAUAUAAAUCUUAUAUUUUAUUGUUUAUAGAAAGUAGUUAGGUUUUUUACUAUUUUAUCAAAAUGUGCAAGAUUAAUGUUAACGAGGUUUUAGUUUUAUUAAUUAAGGUAGGGUUUUAGAUUUUUGAGUAUUUAUGUUUGAAUCUUAUCGUAUGUAAUUGUGAUUAUGAGUUUUCAGUCUUAUUAUAUGUUUUGUACUAAUUUGAUUUUAUACAAUAGAUAUACAAAUAUAUAAGAUUAUUUAUUUUCGUUGUAACAAUAUUAAAAUUGAUAAAAGUAUCAACAAGGAAGGAGAUAAGGAGGAGGAUGUGGUGGUGUUGAGAAAGGCUGGUUCAUCCUAUAGGAUAGAGAGUUUGAAGAGAAAAGUGAGCAAGGAAGUUGAGAAUGCAAAGAAGAAAGCUGAGGACAAUAGGGUGGCUAGAAUGCUUAAGAGUUGAUCCAUUCUUCAUCGAUCUGGGGAUAUAUAAUGGAGGUUUCGUGCUUGGAGAUAUUACCGUCAUUGCAAAGUACAUGGGGGGAUGUAUGUGAUGGGACUCGUUCUGUUAUUCAUUGUAAAUGACAAUACAAGGUUGUUAUGUUGAGGUAGGGUUUGACGGCCUAAAAGUCACAUUCUCAAUAAAAGAGCGGGUGCCUUGAAGAAUGAAUGAGUUACACAAGACCAUUCCAAAGGAAGCGAAGAACUCGUUCAUAAGGAUGAGUGACUAGGGAUCCUUUCAGAGAAAUCGAGAGGUUGGGUAGAAACAAACCUUCCGAGACAUUAGUAAUCUGAUGACUUCCCAGACAACAGAGAAGAGGGUGCCAACAAGUAUCUCUCCAAUCAUUUCUCAUGUUGAGGGGUAUAACAAUAGUGAUAAAAAAUAAUUUUGUUUUAUUAUUUACUUUUGUAAUUCUUUAAAAAAUAUAUAUUAGAAUGUUUAUUGGUCACACAUGAAAAGCACUUCCAACUGGAAUCGUUUUACUUAAUAUAUAUUAGAAUGUUUAUUUUGUCAAUACUAAAAUUAACCAUAUAAAUAAUAUUACCAAAUAAACGAUUUUACUUAAUAUCAAAACUCAAUAAAUCAAAUUAAUUUAAUCUUCUCAAAACAUAUAACUUGAAUAAACAAUUUUACUUCAUUUGAAUUCAUCAUUUCCUUUCCAUGAAUACAUGAUAUGAUUCAUUUGAAAACUUACCAUUCCUUUCCUUUUCAUGCCCGUUCAACCACUUAGAAUAUCAUCGAAUACUCAGGAAAGCUCACACGAAGUAUGCUUAAACAUAUAAUCGUAACCUUUCCUUUACAUCGUUGCUCACACGAGCUGUGAAAUGGGCUUGCUCACAUGAGCUGUGGGUCGAAAUGUAAGCUACACAAUGCUGCUCACAUGACCUGUGGAGUAUCCGUAAGAAAUGCAGGACCUUAGUCAUUGGUAGGACAUUCAAGACCAGCACCCGAAACAUGAAAUUCCUAUGACAUGUAAUUUGUAUCCUACGAAUUUCUAAGGUUCAACUGGGACUCGAUAGCCGUCAUGGCAUUGUUGGAUAUUUAUCAUUCAAUUACAUAAUAACUAACAUAUUAACAUAUAAUUGGAAAUAGCAUUAAAAACAAUACUAUUUCAUACGAACUUACCUCAACGAUUAGAGCGUAGAAACAGAAUUGACUAAUCCGAGGAUUUAGCUUUUCCUUGAUCUAUAUUCGUUCUUGGUCUAUCUUGAUCUGAAUAGACAAAUUUAAUUCAUUUAAUAAACCUAGCAUUCAAUUCAGUCCACAUUUCAUAUUUUUGAAAAUUACUAUUUUUCCCCUAACGUUUUAACUUUUUACAAUUUAGUCCUUAAGCCCAUAAAUUGAAAUCUAAGCAUUUUCAUCCUUUUCACAAGCUAUUUGAUUUCUCUAAGGACCUAUAUCAAUCCAUAAAAAUCAUCAUUUCACAAAUUUACCAUGAACUUUCAUCAUUUUUACAAAUAAGUUCCUAAAUGCAAUUUUCAUCCAAAAUCACUUCACAAAACUAGUUUAUUUAUCAACAAGGACUCAUAAUCUUCCAUUAAAAAUCAAGAAUCAUGCAAUAACAUUCAUGCUAAAACCCUAAAUCUUUAACAAUUUUGCAAAUUGAUCCCUCGUUAAAAACAGGACAAAAUCACACUUACAUGCAAAGAAAUAGCUUGGCCGAACAUGUCUUCCCCUUUAAUGGUAAAUUUCGGUCAUGGGUGAAGGAAAUAAGAAAGAUAAUCUUUUCAUCUUUUAAUUCUUUUACAUUUUUCAAUUAAUUAUCAAGUUACUUAAUUAACCUUUAAAAACUAACAAAAUUUCAAAUAAACCUUGCAAUGAAUAUUCACGAACCACAAAAAUACUUUUAUUAUCAUCUAAGUCCUUUCACAUUAAAGUUUCAUAGUCAUUUGACACCUUUAACUAAUAGAACUCCUUCUUUGCACCUUUUACAAUUUAGUCAUUUUAACUUAAUUAAGCCUGCAAACAUCAAAAUUUCUUAAUAAAAUUUUAAUACAACCUCAUUAAUAUCCCAUAGACAUUAAAAUAAUAAUAAAAUAAUUAUUUACUCGUCAGAUUUAUGGUCUCAAAAUUUUUGAUUUUACCGAAAAGUGGCUGUUACAUGACCACACUUAUCUAGUUCUGGAGGAUUACCACAUUAUUUUUAAUAGCUUGACUGCACUGUUUUGAAAAGUGAAAUAUGCUUACUAUCAUGGUGUGUGGGGUUGGAUGAGUAUUUAUUACCCUAACUGGUGUGUCGGGAUGGACAAAGAUGGUGUGUAGCGGAUGGGGGGUUAGGAUUUGAAUAUGUUUUUGUAACUGAUUAGUUUGUCAUAUUGCAUCGCGAGAUAUGUUAUGCUUUUGUGUUUGUUCGAUUACUACUUUUUGUGUGAAUUUUCUAUUCGAUCUGUUUCUAUGGGCUAAGUUACACACUGAGCUUUGUAAGCUCACCCAAAUUUUCUGACUUCCAAGGUAAUCAACAAACUUAGGAUCAGGCGGCGCAUGGGAGCUCAAAUUGAUUUUUUGGUUAAUAAAAUAAGACAAUUUAUGUUUAAAAUUUAACUCUGGAGUUUUUGGACUAAUUAAAUAUUUUGGACCUUGUUGUCGGUUUUUAUUGAGUUUUCUACUGGAUUAUGCUUUUGAUAAAUUGCAAAAUCAUUUGUUUUCGAAUUUUGAAACCGCACUUUACAAAUUAAGUAAGAAAUUAACAAAUUAACUGUUUUCUUUUGCUAUGAAACUGUUGCUGCGAAAUCUAAAACUUUUAUUGUGAAACUAAAUAAAAAAUUAACUAUUUUUUUAAGUAAACAAGAUCUAUGCGUAUUUUCCUGAAAAAUUGCAAGAGAUUUGAUAUGUUUAUCUAAUUCCUCAAGAUUUGGUCGUAACCUCUAGACCAGGUUUGGGGUGUUACAUUUUGUGGUAUUAGAGCCUAGGUUCAAAACUCGAGCUGUGGCUUCUGGUUCUAAUUUUAUGAAACUUGUUUUUUUAAAAUUAUAUGUAUAUAGUUUCUGGCUUUUGAUUAUAUUUGAAACUUGAAUUUAUAAAAAGAGAAUUCGAGACUCUGGCACCGAUCCAGUAAGUUACUUCUACUUUAGCUAUACUAGACAAACUAGUAAAACUGUAGUGCUAAGAUAACUCCAGUUUAGCUAAAGACUAAGAUAACUUUAAUAAAACUUUAGAAUUAAUAUUUUUAAUAACCUAAGUUAAUUUGUAAAAAUUUUGAACUAUAGAUAAUUAUAGAUAAUGAGUACACAAGGUACAUGGGGUCGCAGUACUCGAGGGUGUGGUAGAAGUCACAAAGAGGCUCAAGCUGAGCCUUCUUCUCGGGGCAACAUGCCCAAUCUAGAGACUAGUGAGAUGCUAGAGAUGCCUACCACAGAGAUUGAACCUUAAACCUAGAAUAUAGGGGACGACACGUUGUCCCAAGUUAUGUUAAGGGUUUUACAAAGUUUUGUUGUGACCCAAUUCGAAUUUGAGAGCCGAUGGUCGAUAACUGAAUGAUUCUGAUCUAAUGGUGCUGAGUUAUUUCACAAUAUCGUUAGGAUUACCUUGACUGUGGUCGAGUAUUGGUUGGAGGCCAUCUAAAGGAUCAUGGAUGAUCUGGACUGCACCCCAGAGUAAAAAUUAAAGGGUGCAAUAUCUUUUUUUCACGAUAAGGCAUAUAAGUGGUGGCAGUCUGUGGUGCAAGGCACUCAGGCUGAGCAUGUGACUUGAGAAUUCUUCUAGCAUGUCUUCAAGAAUAAAUAUGUGGGGGUGUGAUAUAUUGAGGCUUGUAGGAUGGAAUUUAUCGAGCUUAAAAAGGGAGAGAGGUUUGUGGCUGAGUUUCUGAGGCUGAACAGGUACUUUCAGAGUUUGGUAGCCACCGAUUAUGAUAAAACUGUCCAUUUUGAGGAUGAAAUUUGAUAUUAUUUGAAUAUGUUGGUAGCUCUAGAGCAAGAGCGGGUCUUCGAAACAUUAGUGGAGAAGUCUAAGAUAACUGAAGCGAUUAAGCGUGUAGAGCUCGAGAAAAUGGAGCAUGAAAGGAAUCAGAAUAAGAACAAGAGAGAUUCAAGUCCUUCUAGUUCAGCUCCGUGGCCUAAGAAAUGGUCCAGGUUUGAUAGGCCUCAGCAGGUUGAGGCAACGAUUAACAAUAGUGGGGUUCAGGUUUGUACUGGUUGUGGUAGACGCCAUCUGAGCUAGUGUUGAAAGAGGACAGGGGCAUGGUUGCGGUGUGGCUCUAUGGAACACUACACUAAGGAUUACCUGUAUCAGGGUAAGUAGAUGCAAGCUUCGGUUCAGCCUCAAAGGGUAGUUUAACAACCAUCAAGCGAUUGUGGUCAAGUUAGGGGUGGUAAACGUGCUAAUUAGACCAAGGUGGGGUAGCCUGCUUUAGUUUAUGCGAAAAGGUUCUGUGAGGACAGAGAUGCAAUCGGCGUGAUAGCUGGUACAUUUACUAUUCAUUCUCACCCAUUUUUAUUUAUUGGCAUUGGUUCCACGUAUUCAUACACCACUAGUUCUAUAUUUGGUAAUUUGGGAAUUUCUGCUGAGGAUACUUCUAGUAGGGUUUCAUUAAUUAGUCCACUAGGUCAAUGAAUGCAAGUUAGUGAGGAUUAUAGGAGGUUUCCAUUAGAGAUACAAGAGGUUGUGUUUCUGGUCGAUUUGAUGGAGUUACCAUUUGGGGAAUUUGAUUUGAUUUUAGGUAUAGACUGGCUUGUAGAGCAUCGAGUUAGUUUGGAUUGUUCCUCAAAUAGGGUAACUCUAAACAUCAAGGAUGGUUUGGAAAUUGUGAUGGUAGGUGAGUGUCAAGAUUACCUAUCUAAUGUAAUCUCCGCUAUGGUGGCUAAGAAAUUGGUUCGGAAAGGGUGUGAGGCGUAUUUAGGCUAUGUGCACGACACUAGUUUUGUGGGUUCUGUUGUGAAAGGAAUUCACAUACUUAAAUAUUUUCUAGAUGUCUUUCUUGAAGAAUUGUCCAGGUUAACACCAGAUAGGGAAGUCGAGUUUGGAAUUGAGGUUUCACUAGGGACAACACCGUUGUCUAUUGCUCCUUACCAUAUGGCAUCAGAUGAGCUAAAAAAUGGAAAGCCCAGAUUCAUAAAUUUCUCGAUAUAGGGUUCAUUAGACCUAGUGUGUUUCUAUGGGGAGCAUUGGUACUCUUCGUAAAAAAGAAAGAUGGUACAAUGAGAAUGUGUUUAGACAAUCGACACCUGAAUAAGCUGACGACAAAUAAUAAGUAUCCAGUACCGAGAAUUGAUGCCUUGUUUGAUCAGUUUCGAGGGGCAUCUGUAUUCUUUAAAGUCAAUCUGAGAUUUAGGUACCAUCACCUGAAUGUAAAAGAAGCUGAUGUGUCUAAGAUCACCUUUAGGACUCCUUAUGGUCAUUAUGAGCUCCUUGUUAUGCCAUUCGAUUUGACGAAUGCUCUGGCUGCAUUCAUAGAUCUCAUAAAUAGGGUGUUUCAGUCGUAUAUGGAUCAAUUUUUCUUAGUAUUUAUUGAUGAUAUUCUGGUAUACCCUAAGACCAAAGCUAAGUAUGAUGAGCAUCUCAGAGUGGUUCUGCAGAUUCUUCGAGAAAAGAAGCCUUGUGCUAAGCUUAGAAAAUGUGAGUUUUGGUUGAAAGAAGUUAUGUUUCUAGGGGAUGUAGUUUUUGCCGAAGGUAUCAGUGUUGACCCAGAAAAGAUUGAGGCUAUUCUUGAGUAGAAACAACCUAGAAAUGCUUCUAAGGUUCAGAGCUUCCUCAGUUUAGCGGGGUAUUAUUGAAGAUUUGUGGAGGGUUUUUCCUUUACCAUAACUUCUUUGACUAAAUUGUUGCGUAAGAGCGUGCCUUUCAUUUUGACUAAUGAUCAGCAAUCGAGUUUUGAGAAACUUAAAUCAGCUUUGACUUAAGCAUUUGUUCUGAUAUAGCUUCAAUGUGGGAAAAAUUUCGUGGUGUAUAAUGAUGCAUCUCACACUGGUUUGGGUUGCGUUUUGUUGUAAGAGGGUCAGGUAGUGGCAUAUGCUUCUAUACAACUUAAGUUGCAUGACGGUAAUUAUCUGACACACGAUUUUAAGCUAGCUAGAAUUGUAUUCGCUCUUAAUAUCUGGAGGCAUUAGUUGUAUGGUGAUAGGUGUAUUAUCUACAUUGUUCAAAAAAGCCUCAAGUAACUUCUCACUCAGAAGGAGUUUAAUCUUAGGCAACGUAGAAGGAUUGAGUUGCUUAAGGAUUACGACUGCAUUAUAGAGUAUCAUCUCGUUAAGGCCAAUGUGGUGGUCGAUGCUCUUAGUCGGAGAUCUAUGUCUGAGUUGAGGUCGAUGUUUGCUCACCUAAGUUUGUUUGAGAAUGGUUGGUUAUUGGUCGAGUAAUAGGUUAAGUUGACUUGGGUUGAUGAGAUUUGAGAUAAGUAGCAUUUGGAUGAAUCUUUGGUUAGUCGAGUUCAUCAGAGUGAAGAGGGUAAGACUUCAGAUUUUAGGUUUAACAGUGAGGGCAUUCUAUGUUUUCGGGGUUGGAUUUGUGUGUCGAAUGAUGUGGAAUUAAGGCAGACUAUUUUGUGGGAAGCGCAUAGUAGCCCUUAUGCUAGGCAUCCAGGUGGUAAUACAAUGGUCGUGAUCUCCGAGAAUUGUAUUGGUGGCCCAGUUUGAAAUGAGGGGUAACCGAUUUUGUAUCUUGGUGUUUGAUGUGCCAGUAGGUCAAGGCUGAGCACCAACUUCCUUCUGGUUUGCUUCAACCUAUUAAGAUUUCGUAGUAGAAAUUUGAAGGGUUAACCAUGGACUUCGUUAGCAGGUUGCCCUUGACACCCAUUAAGAAGGAGUUUGUUUGUAUCAUCGUGGGUUGAUUGGCCAAAUUUGCUCAUUUUCUUUCGGUUUGAACUGAUUAUUCUCUACUAAAUCUUGCGAAAUUAUACAUAUCUAAGAUAAUUAGACUUCAUGGGGUUCCUAUAUUGAUUAUCUCAAAUCGAGACAUUUGUUUUACAUCUCGAUAUUGAAAUAAACUACAUGAGGCUUUGGGUACUCGGUUAGACUUCAGUACUACAUUCCAUCCACAAACUGAUGGAUAAUUUGAGAGGGUGAUUCAGGUAUUGAGGGAUAUGUUACAGAGUUUUGUUAUUGAUUCUCGUGGUAGUUGGGAGGAGUUUCUGUCACUAGCUGAAUUUGGUUAUAAUAAUAGGUUUAAGGCUAGUAUUCAGAUUGCACUUUAUGAAGCUCUGUAUGGUCGAGAGUGUCGCACUGCGCUGUGUUGGACCGAGUUGGGUGAAAGGAAGGUUAUGGGUUCAGAUAUGGUUAUUAAGACUAAAGAUAAGGUCAGGUUGAUUCGGAAUCGACUUAAGGCAGCUUCUGACAGAUAGAAGUCUUAUGCGGAUCUUAAGAGGAAAGAUAUAGAGUUUGUUGUAGGAUAUCAAGCUUUUCUUAAGGUAUCUCCAUGAAAGAAGGUUCUCAGAUUUGGACGUACGGGAAAGUUGAGCCCUAGGUUUAUUUGGCCUUAUUGAAUUUUGAGGCAAGUAGGGCUAGUUGCCUAUCAGUUGGAGUUGCCUCCGGAGUUAGACCACAUAUAUGGUGUUUUCCACAUAUCUAUGUAAGAUGGUACGGGUUUGACAUAUCUCACAUUAUCCCUAUUGAGGAGAUUCAAGUGAGGCCAAAUUUGAUGUUUAAGGAGGAGCCAAUGCAGAUUUUGGAUCAAGAGGUAAAAGUCUUGAGAAGGAAAAGUAUUCCUUUAGUUAAGGUUCUUUGGUGGAAUCAUGGUACUGAGGAAGCCACUUAGGAACCGAAGGACUCCACUCAACAGCAAUAUCCACAUCUAUUUGAGACAGGUAAAUUUUGAGGCAAAAAAUCUUUUAAGGAGGGGAUAGUUGUAAUGCCCCAAAAUUUUUGUUUUUAAAUUGUUAGAUCACAUCAAGUGAUUUAGUUUGUAUCAAUGGUUAAGUGCCUUAGAUUGAGUGCUUUAGGUCUUGUGUUCGAUUCCCUUCUCUUUGGAAUUUUUCCAUUAAUUUUGAAAUUAUGCCUAACUUGGUUCGUAAGGAUUAUUUUUAAUUUUUGUAAGAUUACUGACAAGAAUGAGCUUGCUGAUUUAGUGGUAAGGCUUCAACUUACCUAGAGGUGCCGUGUUCAAAUUCUUAGCGUGCAAGUGAAAAUAUUUUUGUUAUUCUCUAUAUGUGUCGCCCAUGUGGUUAGAAUUUUAGUUAAAUUUAAAUUUUGGGAAGAUCUAAUAGAGAUAGCACAUAGGAUUUAGUGGGUGGUUAAAAUUUUUUAAAAAAAAUUUAGUAAUGUGUAUCUAAUUUUUCUCCUAGUCCUAUCGUCCCUUUCCUCUUCUUGCUCACGUCAGUUUUCUCUUCUUUUUUCUUUCUUUCCUUUUCUUUUCCCUUUCAUUUUGUAUUUGAAACUAUAAAUUGCUGCUACUAUUUUUCCUUGUGACAUUUCUUUGUGGUCGUUUUAUUGAUUGGUAAGUUCUAUGUAUUUAAUUAUAAAUUUUGUUAUGGCAUUUUCUCCUAGGGUGAUAGAUGAUUCUGAUUAAUUGAUCAAUCAAGUGGUCUAAUUAUUUUGUGUUUUGUUAGGUGGAGAUUUUGUAACAAACACUUCGUCGGUGAAUUGAGUGUUACGAGCUGUUGCACCCUUGGGUAAGAAUCCAGAUACGACAGUUUAGGGGCUAGUUGUAAGCUUUUAUUUUGGUUGAAAGCCCUAACGUUUGUGGUUGAAUACUCUAAUCAAGUAAGGGUCGAGUGAUUAAUUCGGAAUUGGUAUGGCUGCUAAUUAGUUUGUUUCGAUAUUGUUUUAGGGUCUGAAAUUAUGUCGUUGCAUCACUAUUCAGAAACAAUCAGGUGUGUGACUCAAACUUUUAAAAAUAGUGAACAGAGUGAAGCUGAAAAACCCACUAUUGACGCCACAAAGGCGUAUUGGUCACACGGGCUGGGCUAGAUAGGUCGUGUGGGCCUAUUAUUCGUAAAUUUUAAUUAGGGUCAUGAUUGAAGUGUGUUUCAAUGCUAGCUACUCCGUAGGGUCUGUUAUGUGAUAUGUAUAGCUUAUAUGUAUAUGAAAUUUAAUGUUCUGCUUCUUUAUGUUUAACUUUUGAAAGCAUGUUGGCAUAUUCUGAUGUGUAAGGCAUGUAUGAUUUGUGUGCAUCUGGAUAUCUGGUUAGUGAUUGCAUAUGCAUUGGGGUGAGAUUAUGAUGUGAUGGUGGAAGUGUUGGUAGUUUAAUGAUCUGCCUUAACUGGUGAUUUUUACCACAAAUCUGUUUUGGUGGCUUGACCACACUUAUCUGGUUGUGACGAAUUACCGAAUUAUUUGCAGCUUAACUGCACUAUUUUGAAAAGUGACAUAUGCUUACUGUUUUCGUGUGUGGAAUUGGAUGGUUAUUUAUUACCCUAACUGGUGUGUAGGGAUGGACGGAGAUGAUGUGUAGCAUACGGGAAUAGGAUUUGUAUAUGUUUCCGUAACUGAUCUGUUUUUCAUAUUGCAUCGUAGUAUAUACCAUGCUUUCGUAUCUGUUCGAUUUAUGAUAUCUGUGUGAAUUGUCUAUCUAAUCUGUUUGCAUGGGCUGAGUUACACACUGAGCUUCAUAAGCUUACCCAAAUUUUCUGACUUCUCAAGUAAUCAUCAAACUUAGGAUCGAGCGGUGUACGAGAUCUUGGAUUGAGUUUUUGGUUAAUAAAACAAGACGAUUUAUGUUUAAAAUUUAACUCUGGACUUGUUGGAUUGUUUAAAUAUUUUGGACUUUGUUGUCAGUUUUUAUUGAGUUUUCUAUUGGAUUCUGCUUUUGAUCAAUUGCAAAAUCAUUUUUUUCACAUUUUGAAACCACGCUUUAUAAAUUAACAACUCUGGAACUUCCGCUGAGAAACUAAGUAAAAAAUUAACUAUUUUUCUGUUAAGUAAACAAGAUAUAUGCGUAUUGUCUUGAAAAAUUGCAAGAGAUUUGAUAAAAUCAAUAUUUUUCAAAAAACACACUUUUCAAGUUCAAAAAUCUGAAAUAUAAAAUAAGUUUAUGUAAUUCCUCAAGAUUCGGUAGUAACAUCUAGGCCGGGUUUUAGGUGUUAUAUAAUCCUUCCAAGCAAUUUCAAAAUAAAAACUCAAUUUUCCCAUUUCCACGUUUGUUGAAUUUUUGUCCAAUUUUUUUGUUGAAAAUUGUAUUUUUGGAUUGAUUUGUAACAUAUACAUUGUGUUUUCUUGCAGGAGGUUGCCUAAAUUUAGCCAAAAUAUUAAAAAUUUUAUUUAAACACUUUGCCUACAAGGUGUUCGAUAAAAUUCCCCAACCAGAAUUCUAAGUUCAAACAGUGUCUCUCUAGUUAAUUUAGUUAGAAUGUCUGUUAGGAUACAUCGUCGUUCUGGUCCUACAUCUUCAUCUAGUGGUCAACCCAUUUCUUUUAAAGAUUAUUUUAGAAAUGACAAUGAUACUUACCGGUUUGAUCAAUAUUUUUCAAAACGCUCUCACACUUGAUCUUGAAUUUUUAGCUAAAACCAAUUUUUAAUUUCUUGAAACGUUAGUCAAAUGGAAUUUGGUUGAAUUUUUUAAAAUUCGUUCACCAACACAUGCUAAUCUUGUUCAAGCAUUUUAUUCAAAUGCUAGACUCAAACAUGAUGAAUCUGGUGAUGUUGUGGUUGUUAUUAAAUCUUUUCUUAUGAAUACUUUUAAUCGACUCAUUUUGGAAAAUUUUGGUGAAUUUUUGAAACUUCCUCCUAGCGAUGAGUCGAAUGAGAAAGCCCAUUAUAAUUCGACCUUGAAUGUUCGACGCUGGUAUACAUCUAAGCUUAAUGUCCAUGAUCGCGUUUUGCAUUAUAUUGCGUCCUAUUUCAAAACAUGUCGUUCUUCAAUCUAUCGACUAUUGGUGGAUUUGUAACACCCCAAAUCCGAUCUAAACGUUAUGACCGAAUCUGGCGAUGUCACAUUGUAACACCCCUUACCCGUAUUCGACGCCGGAAUAGGGUACGGGGCAUUAUCAGAACACAUACACUUAUAAACAUGUUAAACCGAGUUAUAAAAUUUCAUUCAAAUUUAAACACUUCAAAUUUUUAACAUGCUUUUAUAAAUUUUCACGUUAUAACUUCAAAAUACUAUACUUGUAACAAAUAGGGCUUCUGAGACCCAAUACAUACUCAUGCAAUCCAAUACUUCAUUUCCAUUUCAUUUAAUUCAUGAUUCUCAUGUUCACGAUUCAAUUCAAUUUCUCAAUCCAAUAUACAUUUGAAUACCACAAUAAUUUAUUUAAUUCAAAUCAUAUCAUUUGAAAUUUCCAUUUAAUUCACGUACAAUUCAAUUUCAUUAAGUUCAAUACUAAUACAUAUUCAUCGUUUAACUUAACGUCCCAUUUUUGCAUCAUUUUACACUUCAAGCAUGAACCUAGUAUUUCAUUUUCUUUCCACUCUCGUUUCCUAUGCAUAUCACACAAGAUAUAAACAUUACACUCAACCAUAGUCGCAAGCUAGCCUUUUUGAAGACUAACCACAUGAUUAACCAUUUUAAUAAAGAUUACAAACUUUAAACCUUACCACCCUUUUAUGAUCACAAGAAUAUUUCCAUCUAGACAUUUACCAUCUCAAUGCAUAAUUUUAUAAAUUUAAUGUGGCGUAAUCCAGCCACAACUUGGCAAAAGCCUAAGCAUACACACCAAACAUGCUAGCCAAAUAAACAUAUAGUAUAAGCAUUAUAAGCAUGGAUAAGCACCACAUUUUUUUUAUGUAUCAAACUUAUCAACAUGAGUUAAUUCAUAAACCAUUUCUGAAAUUGCUACAUACCAAAUCAUAUACCAAGUAUACCAUAUACACAUACUAUGAAACUUUAUUUUCUCACAUGAACUUUAACUAUAACUAAUAAUGCACAAUUAUAAACAUCAUUUCUUUUCAAUCGUUUAUCGAUUAUAAUCGAGCAUAUGGCCAAUUAUACACAAAUCAUUCAUAUGUUCUUCCAAUUUUCCUCCUCCUCCUCUCCAUUCCACAUCCUUAAUGUGUAUAACACACUUAAACAACAUUAACUACAAUUUCACUAUUCACUCACAUGUAUAUUCAAAGCCAUCUAUUCGAGUCAGAGUCACUAAAUUAUUUUUACCUGGAGCUACAAAACUCCAAAUUAAGAUCUGUAAAUUUUCCCUGAAACUAGAUUCACAUAUAUUCUUACCAUAAAAUUUUCAGAAUUUUUUAUUUAUCCAAAUAGUACAUUUUAUUCUUUAAAGUUUCCCCUGUUUCACUGCUCGACAGUUCUAACCUCUCUUCACUAAAAAUUAAAUAUCUCAUUGUAAAAAAGUCAGAUAUUGAUUCCGUUUGUUUCUCUUAAAAAUAAAUUCACUGAUAAUUCUAAACAUAUAAAAUUUAUCCCAUAAUUAUUUUUGUACAAUUUUUGAAAAUUUUCCAAAGUCAGAAUAGGGGAUUCCAAACUCAUUCUGACUUUAUCUAACUAAACUUCAAAUAUCUCAAAAUAUAUAACUCUUUUUCUUGCUCUGUUUCUUUUAUGUCAAAACAGACUCAUUCAGCUUCAAUUUCAUAUAUUAUUCAGCCUCUAAUUUAACAUCCAACAUUUUUGGUGAUUUUUCAAAGUCACACAACUGUUGCUGUCUAAACUAUUUUAUUGCUAAAUGUACUCUUUCAUAAUUUCACUUUUUCACUUUCAAUCACAAUUCAAUUCAAAAUUCACUUUUCCAUUUCUAAGUCGAUAUUCAAUUCAAUUCCACACCUAUAUUCAUUAUUCAAUUACACUUAGUCAAUUUCCCGAUGAACGCUUUGAAAUAAUAACAGAUACUCGGUGGAUUCAGCACAUAGCAACCAUUUUAUUAAUCAAUGAUGACCGGUGGAAUCAGCACAUAACAACCACCUUACUAAUCAAUGAUGUUCGGUUCACAUAGUAGCCUGCACAUAGUACUACACAUGUGACCAUUACCAUCCGGUACACGUAGUAGCCUGCACAUAGUACUACACACGUGAUCGGAACUAUCUGAUACGCAUAGCAGCCUGCACAUAGUACUACACACGCGACCUAUCAUUCUGGUACACGUAGUAGCCUGCACAUAGUACUACACACGUGACCAUCACUUUCACUUUUACAUAGUGGCCUACACACAAUCUGUGCCACACAUGUGAUCAUUUCUGUCACUUCAUUCUUAUCCCUUUUUAUUCCAAAUGUUCAUUCCGGAAUUUUUCACUUUUUCUCACUUUUCUUUUUAUCGAUCAAUUUCAAUUUCUCGUCUUUAUUGAUUUAUAACAAUACAUUUAAUUUAUAUAACCUUCACACUAUUCAUUCCAGUCAAAAAAUCAUACUUUGGAAAAAUUAUGUUUUUGCCCCUCAAUUUUCACAAAAUUACCAUUUUGCCCCUAGGCUCGUAAAAUAAUUUUUAUUCAAUUUCCUUGAAUUUUAGGCCUAUUUGAACCAUUUCCAUAAUAACAGUCCACAAUACUCAUUUAUUCACACUCUUGUGACAUAUUUUAUAACUUUUACAAAUUAAUCCUUUUAGGCAUAUUCGUCGAAAAUUACUUAGUACAAAUCGUUUAUCACACUCCAAACAUUCAUAUUCUUCCAUAAAACAUCAAAAUACAUGCAUAUCAUUCAUGGGUAAAGUUUUAAACACAAACCCUAGUUCAAAACAAUGGUAAAAAUAGGUAAAUCUUGUUACGAGGAUUUAAAAAACGUAAAAAUCAUUAAAAAUAGGGAUAGAAUGGACUUACAAUCGAGCUUGGAAGCUUGAAAAACCCUAGACAUGGUUUCUCCAUGCAAUUUUCGCCCUAGGGGUUGAAGAUGGACAAAAAUUGGCUUUAAAUUUUGUUUUUAAUUCAUUUUAAAAACUAAAUGACCAAAAUGCCCUUAAUGAAAAACUUUGGAAACAUGCCUAACCAUACCCCUUUUUAUCCACCAACUUAGCCAAUGGUCUAAUUACCAUAUAACGACCUCCAAUUUAAAAUUUCAUAACAAUUGGACACCUCUAACAUAUAGAACUCAACUUUUACACUUUUUACAAUUUAGUCCUUUGAGUGCCCAAACAUCAAAAUUUUCGAACGAAAUUUUCACGAAAUCAUUUUGUGAAAUCAUAGACCAUAAAAAUAUAUUGAAAAUAAUUUUUUUCUCAUCGAAUUUGUGGUCCCGAAACCACUAUUCCGACUAGCCCCAAAUUCGGGCUGCUACAGGAUUUAAUUGUUUUCAUAGCAAUAGGCAUCCAGAUCUUGCUUUAAUUUUUUUAAUGACAUUACCAAACGCAUUGGCAAUGAGCUCGUUAGUAAGCUAUCUUUGCCUUUUGGCAUGCACUUGUCAUUUAUCUUUAAAUUCCUAAACAUCCCAACCAAUGUCGAUCCUCCUUUGGUUGUUAGAUAUCAACCUAUUAGCUUUAUUGUCCUUCAUCAAACUGGUUUUAAAGUGGACCUUCUUACUAGAAAUUGGGUUAAGGAUGACCAUCAUAAUCCUGAAGAUGAUGAUGAUGAAAACCUUGAAGAAGACCAUGGUGAUAUUCCUCCUACUAAGCAAGACCCUUCACUGGCUCCUUUAUUCGCUUAACCAUUUGCUCCACCUCUCUUCGAUGAUAUGUCUGGAACCAUCAUUGGUGUUAUUACUUCAUUGAGUGAGGAGUUUAGAGGUUUCCGCACUCAAGUAGAUGAUGCAUUUGAACAAGUUAAUAAUAAUUUUGGUAUUCUAGGCUCCAGGAUAGGGACUUUGGAGGAGCAAAUAACUGCAUUUAUUUCUCACUUUCCUCCAUUGGAUCCUCCUUCGUCACAUAAGGAUGAUUAUUUUAUAUCAUUCAUACACUUGUAUCAUGCAUCUUUUAAUUUGUUUAUGUACUUUUCUAUUGUCUUACUUUACUUCAGGAUAUUAUCAUGUUUAUUCUUAAUGUUAGUUCUUUGUUUUUCAAAUUCUUCAAUUUCUUUUACUGGACUAGCAAAGUCUCUCUUAAGCUUUAUUUGUUGAUUUUUAAUAUAACAAAAAUGGGGAGAAUAGAAGAGGUACGUAAAUUAUUAGUAUUUGGUUGAUUACUUUUUUUUAUAACUAAUCGUUUAAUGUCAACAUCAAGUGAACAAUUUUUUUUACUCCCAAAACUUUGUUUUCAAAUUUCAUAAAAAUCAAGUCAUUGGUUCAAAUUAACCUUUAAAAAUGGGAGUAACAAAGUCAAAAACAAUUUUACCAAACUAUUUUGUUAUAUAAAAAAGGGGAGAUUGUUAAACUAGCUUUAUUUAAUAAAUUGUUUUGAUAUAACAAAAAAAAAUUUUGAAUAAAAAUUUGUUUUUGAACAAAGAAUUUAUAAAGUUCAAAGCAUAAAAAUAAUUUCAAGACUUCCAAACAUCUUAGAAAUGUUUUGAACACUUAGAAUAUUUUGGACAAAGUUCAACAAUGAUUUUAAACUCUUGAACUUGAUUGAAACAAUCUUAAAUCAAUUGAAAAAUUGUUCCCUACAAGAAGUAUCGAUAAUUUCCUAAAAGUAUUGAUACCAAUAUGAUUUUUAUCGAUACCAAUAUUACUCACUGACUUGAAUAAAAAAGUAAACAAAAACAAUAAGUGUCGAUACCUUUCAAAAUAUACCGAUACCUAUUGAUUUUUAUUAAAACCAUCUUUUUAUAUCGAUACCAUUUUUGCAUUAUGUUUUUAUGAUUUUUCAAACAAUGAAAAAAUGUAUCGAUACCCAUUAAAAAUCCGUCGAUACCUUUUACCAGGUAUCGAUAAAUCAUAUUUGGUAUUGUUGUAAACUAAAUUUAAUGAUCACUGAAUCAAGUAUUAAAUGCUAUUAGUAGCGAUAAUCGUAGAAAAAGUAUCGAUACUUUUUAUUGCAAGUGAAUUCAAUGAUCUGGUAUUUUCAUCCCUAACGGCUCUAUUUAUUUUCUCAACAACCAGAACGAUUGGAAAUGAAUCAGAGGGUAUAAAAACUAGCUUCUAAAGGUCCUACAACAACAUGAAAACAUAUUCAAGCAAAAAGAUCAAUCAAACAACCUUUGUGCUAAAUAUUUCCAAACUUUUCUUUCAUGCACUUGUUAGCUUUAUUUCAUUCUAUUUGCUCAAGUAUUUUUCAUUGUAAUUGAGCUUAAUUUGCAAACACUUUGAUCUUGUAAGGAUUUUUUCAUUGUUUGCUUCUUUGUAUCUCUUUGAGAGGGUUUGUAUCUUAAGGUUUGGGUAGAACCCUGAAGGGAGUUUUUAAGGUUAAACCUUGUCCUUAAAGGUUACCAAAUUAGUGAAUUUGAGAAAAUCCUUAGUUAUGGAAAGCUAAGGUAGCGGGGUAGGAAAUUAGGGUUGAAGCUCUCUAAAUUCUUGUGUUGAAUUUUCUAUUUUUUUUCUCUAGCUUUCACAAAAUUUUUAAAAGCCAAUUCACCCCCUCUUGACAAUUUUGGUUUGAUUAAUUAAGCUAAAACUCUCCUAGUGAACUGGUUAGAUAUCUUGCCUCGUAUCAUUGGUUAACUCUGGUGGAUUAGUACAUGCGUCAUCAUAAUGAUGGAUUCUAUUACUCUUCUUUCUUUGAAACUUUCUGUAAACAGACAGUAUCAUUUGGAGUGCCUCAUUUUAUAUAACACAACUACCUCUGAUACUUAUCCAGAAGGAAAAUCCUUAUGUACUUAACCUCAAUAGGAGGCUUCUAAAUCCAUUAUUUGGAAAAUUAUAGUAAGAAAUAACCCCUUUCUUCCAAAACCAUGUAAGAUAGUCCCAAUGAACCUCCCUGCAACAAAGUAGUCCUUGUGGAUAUUCCUGUCUUCAAGAUAGCCCUUAGCAGACUUCUCCUUCAUCAAAUAAUCCUUAGCGGACUUCCCAAAAAAAUACCCCUUGAUGGAUUUUCUCAGAGCAUAUAGCCCUCGUAAACAUCUCCCUCAUUCUAUAGUCACUGGCGGAUUUUACAGAACAGAUAGUCCUUGGCAAACUUUCCGCAUAAGACACUUUUCGACGGGCUUUUCGUAUAAGAUAGUCCUUGGCGGACUUCCCUUUUCUGGUGCCCUCAUUGCCAAUAAACACUUUAGAAAUAUGAUUUAGAGAGCCGUCUCGUUUUCUUAUAACCCAUGUUGGCUUGUCCGCGACCUCUGGCGGACUCUUAAUGGUGGAUACAUAUUUUUAUAUACUCUAAAGGAAAUACCCCUUUUCCAUGCAUAUCCACACAUAAGGAGCUUUCACAUAUUCCUCUUACCUUCACAACUUGGCUAGACCUCUUAUCAGCACGUGUGCUAGUGUUUCCGCAUGCAUUAUAACUGUUAUGAUAGGCCUUUCAUCACUCGAAUCAUAUAGUGGUUCUCACAUAUAUUCCCUGAUGGGCUUUCCUGUUUAUUGUCUUGGCGAACUUCAUUUUGUAAUAAGGGUGAACCCGCCCUUUACUGGAUCAUGCCAUGACUAGUCGUGGGCUUUCGAUUCCGGAGAGUCAGUAAACCUUUUAAUGGUAUCACUCCGUAGAGCCUGUAAAUCAUUUUCAUGAUGUCACUCAGUAGAGCCAGUAUACCAUUUCCUUAAUGUCGCUCCGUAGAGCCAAUAGACCACUUAUCCAAUCAAACCUCCUCAAUUCCCCUUUCAAUCUGUAUGUUCCUCCAUUACGCCAAUUUUCCUAUCUUUAAGUAAUCCGCCAAAUAAUUCCCUUCGUAUUCUGAAUUUUAUAAACAUGCAUAUCAUGGAUAUCAUUACAACUAAUACUGUUUAUUCAUACUAUAUCAUAGAAUAUGCCACAUACCAAUUCAUCGAUACAACCAUAUCAUACAUUGAGAGAACAUACUUGCACAUUCAUAUUAUUGCAUAGCCAUUUACAUACAUUACCUUUCCAAACAAAAAUGAUCAUAAACAACCAUAGACUUAGACCAGACUCAGUACAAAGUAUGCAAACAACAUGGCAACCAAUAAACACCCAAAGGUGGAGUAUAGAAACUCACUUAUCGUCCUUCCUGCUUGCCAGCUUAGCUUUUCCAAAUACUAGAGUCUCCUCCAUCUUAGUUAGCUAAGCAUGACAACCAAAUAUACUCGUUAACUAAAAGGCAUUCACGCUUUCAAAUCUAAAAUUUAAAAACUUAUAGAAAACUUUUCAAAUUUUACAAAAACCCCAACUUCUCUUUUUAUCAAAUCUACGAGUAAAAAAAGAUUAAGAAGCAUACUAGUUCAUUAGAUUCUCAUCAUUUUAGACUCCAACCUCAUAAUCACUAUCCCAUGCAGAGCUUUCCUCAACUUUCUCUUCUUUGGAGCAACUUUCUCAAACUUCAAGGAUAGAGUCUGCCUCUCUAACCUUCCAUUGACAACAUUAAUGUGUGUUUCCAGCUAAUGAAUCCUCCUGUCUAACUCAUGAAUUCGUGCGACAAAAUCUUCCUUCUCUUUCUACCAUUGUUCCCUCUCGCUUUGAGACAUGUCUCCUAAAGGUGUGUGACCUACACUAGCAAGAGUACUAAUGACAGAUCCCAUUGUCUGUGUUGAAGCCUACAAUAAGGAUCUGGUGGGAGUAGCCUCAAGCAAAGCCUCACUGAAAGCAUUCGAAUGCAAGAAAGGAUGGCCAAGACUCGUGAAGUCAUGGAUAGUUAUUCCUUCAGACCUCGCAAGAAGUUCCUUCUGAGAUGACAUGCUUUUCAAUAGUUUUCCCUAAAAGUCUCUAGAAUCUUCUUUAGGCCUUUCUGAGCCAGUCAAAAUAGCAUUGCCUACACAAUACCAUCAAUAAAAAGGUUAACCUCAAAAACACACACAAUGAUGGCAGGGAGAAUUAUCUGAAAAGUUGUUACUAGAUUCACCACCACAAGCACUGAUAAAUUCCAGGACACCUAAAUGACGAUCAUCAUAAAUUUGAGGAAUAAUUUGAUUAGUAUCCAAAGGUAAUGCCCAGUUGCGAUCGGGUAAAUGGAAAAUUUUAAUAAUAUAGAAAAUGGGUUUCAAGGCCACCCUCCGCAAGCACUUGGCUACCUCAAUUUGAUGUGAAAAGGAAAUGCAUAUGAUGUUGAGGGUACAGUCCCAUCAUUCUCGAAGUCGUCCACUAUGUUUUGAGUUGUGUUCCCGCUAACACCUCUUUCCCCAAGACAAGAUUUUAAGACACCCUUAAAAGUAAUUUCAAGAGGGACCACCAAUAUCCCCUUUUGGUUUAUCAUAUUGAAUUGGCAAGAAUCUCCAAGAAUGUCAUGUAAAUGUAGGCGGUAAUAGAAUUUCCUAGUUGAAGGUUGUGUAGUUAAAUCUCCUACCAAAUUUCAACUCUAUAAGAUGUAUUUCCGAUAGUCAAUAUUCAUGGUCAUUGUCUCAUCAUUAAAUAGGUUCUAUUCGAGGGGAAAACUCAAAUAACCUAGGAAGUCUAUCUUCAUUUAAUUCCCAUAGAAAAUAAUAUACAAUAACAUCUAAUCGAAAUGAUAUAUGCCUCUUGUGAAACAUUAUGAAAAAUCCAACAAAUAGCCAUCAAGAAAGGCAUGUUAGCUACCUUAGUGGUAUGGUGAAGUCCUACAAUAAGUCUCAAAUAAAAUCUACAAGAGGAAGCAUAAAACCCGUUUCUAGAACAAACAACAGAAGGUAAAUCUUGGCCUCCUACUAAUAGCGUCUGGUCCAAACACUUUGCUAAUGUGAUGCGACCCUUCCAGGAUACUAAAUUCGUACUUAUGGUGCUUCACGAGUAAACCGUGACAUAAUGUUAAGUUCUUCAUCUCCUGAUGGGUCGUAGAACAUGGAUAACUAAAGCUGACAGUAGGUUCGUCACUCCCCCUCUUGAACCUCUUGGUAGUAGAUCAGUCAAACUUUGUCAACAUCAUAUUCUGACUCUCUGCUACGUCUCUUAGGGGAGCACAGCCAGUACGACCACUACCUCUUCCCUAAGUUUUGCUAGAUCGCUUUUCUCCCCUAGCCAUUUGGUAGCAAUUUUUUGGCAAAAUGGUGAAAAUAUCUCUAAUAACAAUAAAAAUAAGAAUCGCAAAGCGAAUCAAAAUGAAAGAACUCCAAAAAUGCAUAAAUCAUUCAGAAAAAGGCUAGUGAAAUAGUAAUUGAAGAAAUUUCAAAAACAAAAUGAGGCAAAGUAAUACUGUAGAAGAAAACCCAGAGAAUAUAUAUACCUAUCUCUUAAAAUGUAUCGUUUCAAAGAAAAAACGACAUCUAAUAGCAAUUCACCACCUGUCAAAAAAUUGUUGUUCAUCAUUAUCACAAGUUCCCAAAAACACAAUCCUCAAAGUACAUUUAUGGAAGAAUCUCAAAUGUUUUGAUAUAACGUUUCAUCAUAGAAUAAAGUCACCAUCUGGAACAACUUGGAAAAGAUGAAGUUACCAUAUCAAAGUGUCUCGAGAAAGGCCACUUUAUAACCCUCUUGAUUUUGAGUGGGGAUAUUUGUUAUACCCCCAUCCACGUUAAGACAUGUGGCAAGCCAAUAAGAUGUCUGAACAGUAAGCCUACCACUAGUGGCAAGUUGGAAGGUUACCUACAAGUUCAUCCUUCUGGGAUGACUACCCGAGCAAUGGAUGGCCUAAUCGUCAUUAAGAACAUGAAGUCAUUGGUCACCAAACAUCACGUGUGCCCAACUGCUUUAUCCUACCAAAAUCAGAAUUAACGAUAAAAUUUGUCCUAUUAUAGACAUCCUCAUCCCAUCAAAGACAACCCUCCCAUGCACUCCGUAAUGAAGGUUAGAUGAAAGUCCAACACGUUAGCACCAUCUUAUACGAGACCCCUACCUUUAAAUUUUUAGAGUAUGCCCAAAGACCAAUCAUAAGAUGAUUGUAAUCACAUACUUGUUUUACCUUGUUUGUUAAUAUAUGACAUUGUCAUUGUUAUUUCAGUUUCUUUUUCUGUGUGUAUAGAUAAACUGGUUAAUAAUAAAGUCUUGUGAAUCAUAUGAUUAUUCUUAAAAGGUUCUUAGUCAAGUAUUAUUGUGGGCUUGGACAAUGAUAAUACAUUGAGGCUAAUGUGUAGUUGAUUGAUGACAAAGUGUUGUCAUUGACAUAGGGAUGUCAAAAUCGAUACAUGAGUAUGUGUUAGAGAACAACAUACUAGAAUGACCUACUAUGAUAAUGUUUCUUGGAUUAUUAUUUAAUAGUCACAACAUUACUCAUAGUGAUAACUAUAUAUAUAAUCUUCAGACUUGAGAUCAUCAUUGUCUCAUCAUCCUGAGUCGUAUAUUUUGACAUAGUCAAAUGUCUACCAUAACAGGUUAUGCUAUAAAAACUAAUAUUAGGUAUACCACAAUCUAUGUAGUGGGAUAUGCUUGAUCAAGAUAGAAUUUGUUCCUCCUACAUAAUGGAAGCACUAUCUUAGGCCUCUUGAUGGAGUGAGAUUAGAAAUGCAUGUUCAGGCUCGAAUAAGUUGAUAUAAGAUAUCACACUUAUUUGUUUAUUGUAGUCUACUCAGAAUAUCAAUAAAUAUGAUAUUAGACUAUACAAGUAUGUCUAUUCCAUGACUUGUUUCCAAUCUCGAUAUUAAGGAUAAAAGGAUAUAAUACAUGAAAAAUUAUCACAGAAAGGUUAUGUCGAAUUACAACUUCUUGUAAUUUGGGUAGCAAUAAUGUAUUGCUAGUGCCACUCAUUGCUUGUAAUAUUAGAAACGUUCUAGUAUUACUACUAACGUUACAAGAGCCUACAAUGUCACACCCUAAAGUUGAAACGAACAGAAUCCAAAUACAUUUGAUAUUGUAUUUAGUUGUCACAUGAAUUAAAUUAAUUUGAUAGUUAAAUAUUGAACAUGUUAUAUGUACAAACUUAUUGUACACAAUAGAGAAUAUAGAUAAAAUUAAUAUAUGAAUUUGAUUCACACAAAAUAUUAAUUGUAUAUAGUUUACCAAAAUUAUUAAUAUAAACACUUAUAAUAAUUAAUUUCUGUCAAAAUAUAAAAGACAUGAAAAUUGAUAUUCUUUAGGAAAGAAUAUUUUUUUUUUUGAAUUUCCAUUUUUUUCUCUAAUAAUAUGGGAAUGAUCCCCUUUUUUCUUAUAUGUGAUAUCAAAGAAAAUAAAAGGAAUAUAAUCACUUACUAUGUUAGGGUUACAAAAAAAAAAAAACAAAUCAAAAGGUCUAGCAGCCGUUCUUAAAAGUUCUCUCUGAAAUGUUCAAGAGAGUUUUUGUUGUUCGUUCUUUGACUGGGUGGAUUACAUAGAGGCUGAGACGUUAUUGUUGCAGCUUGUGAUCGACAUCGCUCAAAGGGAUCCUAUCAACAACAUCAGCAGUCGCUUUUUCAAUUUCAAAAGGUAUAAUUUCGGUCAUUAUUUCAACCUAAUUGAUUCAUUGUAUAUGGAUCCAUGGCUGAUGAUCGUUAGAAUUUUUUUUCCAUUGCGCCGUACCGACGAUCCAACAUAAAUACCUUCAAGUACAAUGAAGAAAUGAUCAACUCUUCAAAAAUACCAAGUCUACACUCUGUCAACACUCUUUCAACCAUAAACCUUUAUGUUAUUUUCAUUACCACUCUUCAUAACCUUCAGCUCUCCACUUCGAGUGGGUGAACCAACCUCCUCAACAGCCACUCUCUCCUUUAAACUCCUCCCUUGUUGUACACAAUAUCAACAAUAUCAUUUAUUAAUGUAUAUUUAAUUAUAAUUUUAAACAAUUUGAAUUUGGGAUAAAAUUGAUCUUGGGCUCAUACUUGAAUUGUUAUCAAGCUUAGAUUGUUAAGAGUUCGUGCUAAGAUUGGCCUUGGGAUGGAAUAAUUUUGAGCUCGAGUUUAGAUUUUUUUUUUUUUUAAAGCUUGAGCUCAGAUUUUUUUAAUUAUAUUCUAGAAUUCAAACAUCGGGCUCCAAUCGUUGAGCACGGAAUAAACGUGCUUUCGAGGUCUGACUUGCCCUGCUCUGUUUUGGCAGCUAUAAUAGUGGGUCAUGAGAGUGCCAUAUUGUCAUCCGGAAUAUGGCUUUUCUAUCUCAUAAAAUAGUACCUAUCUUUCCCCUCCCGAUCAUAAGAUAAAACGACUAGGGCCACAGAAUUCCUUUCUUGGUCGCCUAUCCAUCGGUGGCAGUCUGCUGCUCAUGGCCGCAAAUCAAGAAGCAGAACCGUCAUGGCAGGAACUGCUUGGUUGCAAAAACUGGGACUCGCUUCUGGAUCCUCUUCACCUCUCACUUCGCAAACUCAUCCUCCGCUGCGGUGACUUCUGCCAGGCCACAUAUGACGCCUUCAACAACGACCAAAAUUCCAAGUUCUGCGGUUCAAGCCGCUAUGGCAAGUCCUCUUUCUUCGACAAAGUAAUGCUGGAAUCUGCCUCCGAUUACAAAGUAGAAUCGUUUCUCUAUGCCACUGCUCACGUCACUCUCCCUCAAGCCUUUUUGCUCCACUCCAGGUCAAGGGAGUCCUGGGACCGCGAAACAAACUGGAUUGGCUACAUCGCCACGACGUCCGAUGAAACAUCGAAAGCUCUGGGUCGCCGCGAUAUCUACGUAGUGUGGCGAGGAACUACCAGAGACUACGAGUGGGUUAAUGUUCUUGACGCAAAGCUUGAGCCCUUAGAGCCCCUUUUGCGAGUCGACGGAAGUAGCAACAAGGAAAUGGGUGAUAGUAGCAGUGACAGUGACAGUGAUAAUGAAAAUGAGAAGCCGAAAGUGAUGCUUGGUUGGCUGACGAUUUACAUUUCUGAUGAUCCCAAAUCGCCUUUUACAAAAUUAAGUGCAAGGGAACAACUUUUGGGUAAGAUAAAAGAGUUGAAAGAGAGAUAUAAAAAUGAAAAUCUAAGCAUAGUGUUCACUGGGCAUAGUUUGGGGGCUAGUUUAGCGGUUUUAAGUGCUUUUGAUGUAGUUGAGAAUGGUUUAGUGGACAAUAUUCCUGUGGCAGCUUUUGCUUUCGGUUGUCCACAAGUGGGGAAUAAGGCAUUUAAUGACAGGAUGAAAAGGUAUCCAAAUCUUACGGUUCUGCAUACAAAGAACAUAAUUGAUGUCAUUCCUCACUACCCUAGCCUGUUGUUGGGGUACGUUUAUACGGGGACAGAACUGGUAAUCGAUACCAGGAAGUCUCCAAGCUUGAAGGACUCAAAGAAUCCCAGUGAUUGGCAUAAUUUACAGGCAAUGUUGCACAUAGUAGCAGGGUGGAAUGGACAGGAAGGAGAGUUUGAGCUGAAAGUGAAGAGAAGUUUGGCUUUGGUGAACAAGUCUUGUGCGUUUCUAAAAGAUGAGUGCUUGGUGCCGGGUUCAUGGUGGGUGGAGAAGAACAAAGGGCUUGUGAGAAAUGAAGAUGGGGAGUGGGUAAUGGUUCCAGCAACCGAUGAAGACUUGCCUACACCUGAAGCUUAAAUGCAUUUGGAUUACCGUCUUUGGCUACUAAUACCUUUAUUUGGUCUAUUUUUCUUCCUUUCGUUAUGUUCUGUUUUGUUUCCUUUGUAUGUUACUUGAAUGUCUUGGUCUCCUCGAAGGAGAUUAGGGAUGGUGAUUGCUGCAAAUGCAUGAGAUCAAGUGCUAUCUUCCAGUGUAAAAUGUAUCUGUCUGAUGCUAAAUUAAGUAAUCUGUCAAAUAAGUUGCUGCUUUUUUUGGGGUAUAAAAUAAUAGAAUUUAUAUUUGAUACUUAAGUUAUCCUAUAAAUUAAUAUAUUGAAAGUGAAUUAAGUAAUGCAAUUAAAAUAUCUUUAUUUGAUUAAUUUUUGCCAACAAUCCCUUGGACUAGUGAUAAGAGUAUUAUGUUAUAGGUAAGAGGUGAGGUUUGCUUUUACUUUUUUAAAGUUGAUAUUAAGUGUGUUAGGUUUAAAAACGCCGCAAACAAAUAGAGUGAUUGGUUGACAAGUGUACUAUAUGGGUAAUAAAAUAUUAAAAAAGAAAUAUUUGAAAAAGAGAAACACACGGCAAUAAUUUCUUAAAACUAUUUAUGGAAUAAAAAGAGUAUAUUAUUAAUAUAUCAAAUAUUAACCCUUAAAAUUAAUAAAACUAAAAAUAGAAUCCUAAAAAUUAAAAUAAUUAAAAAAAUUGCAAGGGAGUAAAACAGGAUUAAAUAAAAAUGAUUAAAACAUUAUAAAAAAAACAUGCUGAGAAAAUCAUAAGUAAAACAAUUGAAAUUUGAAAAUGUUGAGAUAAUUAAAUUAAAAAUUGAUAAAAAAAAAUCAUAAGCAGAAAAUAAAAUAAAAAAUGGAAUCAACAACUAAAAAUUAAUAAAAACUAGAAAAACCUUUAGGAAAAAAAUUGAAAUUUUAUAACCACGGUGGUGUUAUCAAACUUUGAUGUUUGAUUAAAAAUUAAAAAAGUUGAAAUGUAAAAUGUGAAAGAAAAAAACCAACUGCUCUAAAUCUAAAAGAAAUAAAAAUAGUGGUUGCAAACGGAAAAUGAUUAAAAUAUUAUAAAAGAAGAAAAUAUAUGUUGCUAUUUUAUAAAGAAAAAGUUAAUUAGUUUCAAGUAAUGGGAAAAUGGACUGUCUAGAAAUUAAUGGCAUGUUUGAUUGGGAGGAAUAGAAAUAGGUUGCAGUCCAAUUCAAUGGACCAAUCACCAAACUAAUGUUUGGUUGGCUGUAAUGUCUAUUACGACCUAUAUUGACUCCGUUCCUAUUUAAAGAAGAGGCUGCAUAACCAUUCCCUUCCAUCACUAUUAAAUAUGUAUUGAAUAGGAUUUUUUUUUUUUUUUUUUUGCUUCUCAAUUUUUGCCUCAUCUUUACCCUCCACCUUCGACAAUAGCCAUUCUCACCCAUCCAUCAUCCUUUCUUUCUCUUUUUCUUUUUCUUUUCCUUCUUCCUUCUUUUUCUUCUUUCAAGGAUUCACUGCUUUCAGUUGGGAUCCAAGUUUGCUGUUGUUGAUAUCUGAUCAAUACCAUCCUGCUCGGCAACGGUGGAGUUCGCUGCUUCUACUUAUCUGUGCUUCUUCUCUUGGGUCUCACUCGCAGAUCCACCACCACAAUCAAAAUCGAUUUCCUAGCUUCUGUUUCUCUUCUCGAUGGAUCCCACUUCUCGCCCCGCUGUCGUCAUCGACAAUGACACUAGGUACUAUUUAUCUUCUUGUUUUUGUAACUGAAUAUUACCCUAAACUACGUGCUCACUACCUGUUUGGUGAAAUUGCCCAGUUAUUUUAGACCCUCAUUUUUUUUUAUUCAAUUGGUUCUUUUUAAAAAAAAAUUGUUUGCAGAUAUAAUAAGAUGGGAUUUGAGGGUAAUGUAGAGCCGAGUUUUAUUCAACCAACAGUAGUAGCAGUUAACGAAUCUCUUUUAAAUAAAUCUAAAGCUUCUUCUAAAUCUAAUUGGUUAGUUCAGUAUUCAGCUGGGGUAAUGACAGAUCUUGAUUUCUUCAUUGGAGAUGAAGCACUCACGCGAUCACGAUCAAGCAAUAACUAUAACAUUAUCCAUCCCAUUAAACAUGGCAAAGUGGAUAAUUGGGAUGCUAUGGAAUGAUAUUGGCAACAAUGUAUUUAUAAUUAUUUACGGUGUGAUCUUAAGGAUUAUUACAUUUCUCUGACUGAAAGUCCACUUACUCUACUCUUGAGAAUUGAGAAUAUAUAGGUGAAAUCAUGUUUGAGACGUUUAAUGUUCCAGGGCUUUAUAUUGCUGUGAAUUAUGUCCUUGCUUUAGCUGUUGGGUACACUACAUCUAAGGUUUGUGACUGGUUAGUGUUCUAUUUUCUGGUAUUAUAUAUCUUCAUGUUAGUUGUUUACUAGUAUGUUGGAUGAAUCAAUUAGGGUCCUUAAUUGUACAUGAUUUUUAGUAUCUUUUAUAUUUAUAAACUACACCUUUUAAGGUUGAAUCUUGAGUGUGAUGUUUGUUCUAGGAUUGUUAGGUAUUCAUCAAACUACUAGCAAUUGAUUUAAAUCCAUUUAGUGAUUGAGAAAGAAUUGGCAUAUAGAUUCUAUCACUAUUCCUUAAGAAUGGUUAAACUUUUUGCUUAAUCUAUUGCGUUAAAUUCUCCAUUAAAAAUAAAAUUGUAUGCUUAGAAAUAUAAUAAUUAUGCUUUAUAAGAAACUGUGCAAAUUUGAGAAAAAUUCAUGACCAUGAUAGCAUCUGAUACAUCUGCAAUUGUAGUAAACAUGUAGUGAUCGCAAUAGCUAUUAAUCUCUGGUGCCUACCCUAUACUGUUUCAAUACAUCUAAAUUUGUUUAUUUGUUUAUUUUUCUUUAAUUAUUAAAGAGAACUAUGAUGGAGGCAUAUAGCUGUUGUUAAUCUUGUGGGUGUAAGCUGCGGGUUAUGUUGAAUACUUCAUGCUUGUAGUGUUUAAAGAACUGCUCUAGCUUCUAUUUAGCUUUAGACUAUUUUGGGUGUUGUCUUUCUUGCUAACCAUCAUCAUCCUUAUAUAUUGAUCAUUUUCAUUUAGUUUGACCUAUAGCUUUCUGUAGUACAGGGGUGGUAGCGGAUGUUGGAGAUAGAGCUACGCAUAUAUUACCUGUUGCAAAUAGUUAUGUUAUUGGUAGCAGCAUUAAGUCAAUACAAUAGCAAAAAAGAUGUUACUCUCCUUAUAUAGUAACUGAUGCGAGUAUUUUUUUUCCCAUGACUUGUGAUCUGACACCAUUGAUUGCUAUUUAUUCAAUUUCAAGUACUUAAGGUUAUUACCAUGUCUUGAUGAGAAAAAAAAUACACUUCUUGGCAUUAUUCAGCCUUGUUCAUAGUUGGAUUUAUUGGUGUUCUCGAGUUUUGCACCUAGGCACACCUAUGCCUUGCGCCUUAGCGCUAGGAAACAAAAGCACCUCAACCCUUUCAGACGAGGUGUAUUUGAUCAGGCACACUUUUGGUGCUCUUAACUGCGUUAUUUUUUGUAAGACGAUAGGCAUAAAAAUGCUUGUCUAAUUGAAUCUGGAGUUUUCUACCUUUGUUUACUAGUAAGGAAGUGAAUGAUAUCAAACUCUCUACUUCUCAAUAUUUAAGUAUUCAACAUACGUGAGAGUAGAAGGAAAUCAUGCAUAUUCCACAAUGAAUGUUCAAUUUGAAUUUUUUUGCUAAUGAAACAACAUUUUAUGCCAUAAACUUGACCUUAUAUUCUAGCAGUUACAGUGCAAGUGGUUGUAAUUUGAAGACUUAAAGAUCAUAAUAAACUAUGCAAAUGCACUACUCUAACCAUGUGUUUGUUGUGUGACAACUAUAAUGAACAUAACUUGAGAAGCAAUGGAUUCAAAUAAUAUUAUAUUAUUUUAAAAUGUAGUAAAUAAAAUAUUUUAAAUAAUUUAAUAAAAUUUAAUAUAAAAAUAAAAAAAUCUUUUAAUAUAAUAUAAUUUAAAAAUAAUUAUAUUAAGAAUGUUAUUAAAUUAUAUUUAAUAAUAAUCCUAUUAAAAUUUAAUAACAAUAAUCUACUAAAAAAAUUCUAUUAAGGGUAUUUUGGUCAUUUUAGUUUUUUUUCUUAUAAUAAUACAAAUCUUUCCAUUCAACCAAACACAAUAAUACUAUUAUAGCUCUAUUCAAUUACAUUGAACCAAACAAUUGAAUUACUGAUUACAGCUCUAUUACAUUGCAGUUUUAUUCCAUUACAGCCCUAUUCCAGUCUAGUGAACCAAACGUGAUGUAAAAGAAUUAGAAAAAGUUGGUAGCAUGGGAAUAAAAGAUGAGUAAAUAAAAGGGUAAAGUAUAUAGAUAAUCAUCUAAUUAUCAUAAUUUUUUAUUUUAGGUACCCAAAAUGAAAAGUUUGCAGUUUAAGUAGCAAGAUUACAUAGUUUGGUCAUUUUGGUCACUUCCGUUAAAAUCACAGAUGGACGUGUCAGUUAAAAAAUCAGUAUAAUAACAAAUUUAAUCUUCAAAUUUUACAUAUUAUAUCUAUUUAGUAAUAAUUUUUAAAACUUAACCCUCAAAUUUACAAAUGUUGUAACACCCCUAUACCCGACCCGACUACCGAGUCAGAUAUAUGAAUGUCAAAUUUGGUGCCAGAGUAGUCCUGGCUAAAUUCUAUUAAUCGAUUCAUUUUCCGAUCAUAUUUACAUGUUAUUAUCAUAUUUCAAGUGUACUAAAGAAAAUCAAGUAAGAAUUUCAGUAAAAAUUAGUUUCGAAAUCAUAUUUUGUUCAUAAUAGAGCCCAAGUUUCAAUACUGGCACUAAAUUAUUGGUACCUUGACUUAGGUAUCAAUACCCAUGUGUUGUAUCGGUACCAUUUUGAGCUUCAAUGUUUGAAAAUUUAAGAAAAAUACGCUAAGUACAGAUACCUUGUCCAAUACAUUAAUACUUCUUUCAAAGUAACGGUACUUUAAGCUUGGUAUCGAUACAAAAAUGACAUUCGAUGUUUUAUUUUAAACCAGGGUUAACUUGCCCAAUUAGUCUUUCGUGUUUUACCUGAUUGAGCCCUUCAAUUAACAAUUUAAAUCAAUCCAAUUCACAUAAAAUCUAUACAUUUCAAACUCAAUUACUCAUAAUUUAACAUGUAAUUCAUAAACUUGUAAACCAUACCAUAGUUUUGAACAAGUAUAAGUUUUACACUUUAGCCCCUAAAACUUUUAAAUAUACCUAGGUACAUGUCAUUUACUAAAAAUAAAACAGAAGAGAAACUUUACUUUUUUUCCACAAAACCACUGAUGUGUUGAUGUGAUGUGAUGAGAUGCUUCUAGUAUUCAAAAGUCCUUACUUCUACUCUUUACCUACAUGUAUAAAACAUGUAUUAAGCUUUUGCAAGCUUAAUAAGUACAACUAAAGUAUAAUUAACCUAAUAUCUAAAACGGAGAUUUAAUAUGUCUUAUAAUUAUUUUCAUAAUUUCUUUUAGGCUUGUACAUUUAGACAACUUCAAACUUACCACACCAUAACCAUUUCUUUUUGUUCAUUGUUAUUGUCUAUCAAUUUACAAUUUAAUCUCGUUCCAAUAUAUUUUAAUCAUCUUAUUUCUUCAUUUAACAUAUACAGUAUUUCAAUCAUUUAAUAGAGGUAAUAUUUUAUCUUAUAAUUGAGGAAGUCAUUUACCUUUUAACAGUGAUCUAAUAGACUUAACAGGACACAUAAGAUAUACGGAAUUGAACGGGACACCGUCGAAUCGGGUAAACAGAGAGCACAUUGAUAUUUCAUUAAUGAGAUGUCAUCUAUAUCCCACUAGUUCUUAUCUCGUCUACUUGGGAAAAUAUAUCAGAAUCAGAUAUAUUUCUUAUUUUAGAACAAAAUUGAAAUACUCUAGACUUAUUUCAAUUUAGUCAACAUUACAACAAUUCAAAAACAUAAUUUUCAACUUUCUUUAAUACAUAUAACAUAUCUCACUACUUAAUAAAAAUUCCAUAUUUAAUAAUAAAAUUUAUCAUAGCUUCUCACAAGCCACUUUUGCAUAUUUCACAAUUUAGUCCUUUCUUUCUCAUACUUCAUCAAAUAUACUCACAAUAUUACUAUAUUGUUCCACACAUCAACCAUUCACAUAUUUUACUUCAUAUAUUCAUUUACUUAUGUCUAUUACAAUUCCAUCAACUUUGUCAUCUUUUACAAUUUAAUCCUUUUAGUUACUUUUAAUCUUUUUCUUACUUUUCUUUCAUUUUCUCUAUUACAUAUUACCUAAUAAAUAAAAACAAUUCAUCAUUAACUUAUAUUUAACUGAUGUUGUGACGAGGCACCAUCAUUGGGACGCUAUUUAUCGCAUCGUUGAGACGAGUAUCCUCUUCUAGGUGACGCUGUGACAUGAAAAAUCGCAUUGUCUCGACAUGGCCAACUGAGUGUUUAGGGAAUGUUUUGCUAACUUUGCAAUUAAGUCAUGAUUUUUAAGUAAUGCAAUUGAAAGUCUUAAACUUCAUAAAAUGCUUUGAAAAAUUACAUGACUAAGUUUUAUAUAUUGAAUUCCAAAAUGUUAUCUUCAAUUACAUAAAAAAGUUUUACUGGAUAUUUUGUAAAAUUUAUGUUUUAGUCCUUAAACUUAGUUUUGUAAUUGAGUGAGUUUUAACUGUCGAUUUGAAUUGAAAUUUUCGCAUAUAGUUUGAAAUAAAAUGCCCAUAACACUUGUCGGGUUGAUUUUGGGAUUUAUGAGUAUUUAGCAUGCAUCGUAUAAAAUGGCAUUCUUACCCUUACCCUUAUUUUGUUGAGUGAUGAUAGACUAAGCAUGAAUUAGGGUUGGUUGAUUAGUUUUAAGGCAUAGUUGUUGAAAAUACCCUCAAUAUUAAUGGGUUUUUGGGUUUGAACCCUUAACCCUUUUUUUUUAGAUUGACACCUUUAACGUUACGCUUUUCUCAGAAAUCAACCCAAUUUUAAUAGUAAACCUGAGUUGACUGUCAAUCAAACUGUAGGUCAACGAAAUAACCUAUGUGGCAUGCCACAUAAGCACGACAUCAUAGAUGAUGCCAUCUAUAAAAAAAAUUAUUUAACAUUUUUUUUUCAUUUUGUUUGUUCUCUUUCUCUCUUCCCUUGUAGUUGUUGUCACUGUUGUGUCCAACACCCUACCACUGCCUUCCCUCUUACUCUUCUCUAUCCCAACCCCCAACACUGCUCCCUUCCCUCUUCUUAUACAUCUGGCCAAGACUAUAUCUAAGCUUCAGUCGAUGAAUUGCAUCAUAGAGUUACUUUACCAGUGUUACUUUGGGACUCAGCAGCUGAUCUUCAGUCAUGAGAUUAAAUUGCAUUGCACUUGCAAAGAACUGACACUUAAGCCUAAGCUGCUUCAUAUUCUUGAUUUCACCUAAUGAGAAAACAACUCAUUCAUCGCACCCACAAAGGACCAAAAAACUAAAUACCAGAUUUGCAAAUCUACAAAAUAGAUGAGAACAAAACGUGUCCACAGCAACAUAAAAACAACUCUAUUCUCCUAGAAUAAAUAGAACAACCUUGAAAUCUCAUCAAAAUACUAACAUCUAACAAAUAAUUUGAAGUUCACUUUUAAUAGUAUAUUUUGCAAUAUUUAUGGAAAAAAAGUUCAAAAUGGGGUCUUGAUGCUUAAGCUUAUAGCCACACACACACACAGAAAAAAAAGGUUCCAUUUGCUUUGGCUUCUAAGUAGACACAUAUAAGAAAAGAAAUAAAUUAAUAAAUAAAGCCCAGAUUUUUUAAACCUCAGAACCAAACAAAACCAACAAUAACUUGAAAUAAAUAAAAACCCAAAUUUUUAAAAUAAGAACUUUAGUAGAAUUAAAUAUAAGAAAAGAAAAAAAUCAUGAUCAAAGAAUUGCAAUUUCUGCAGAAAAUAUCAUCAAUUGUAAAAGAAGAAAAAGGAGGAUGCAAAAGAGCAAAAAACAGAGAGAGAGAGAUGUUGAUGAUACGAUUGAGGAUCAUGGGUUAUUUGACAAGCAAGAAAUGAACGAAAACUGAAGGAAUCAAAUAUAAAUUAUUUCCACGUUUCUCUUGUUCGUUAACAUUGGUAUCACAUUCACUUCCACCAUGUCAACCAAGAGACCACCAUCCAAUCCAACCCUUCGAUCCAAUUCCUAACCCAAUGAAUCACAAAAAAUAAUAUCGACAACAUCUCUGAAAUAAGAUACACAAAGACAACCUUGAGAAGAGUAACAAUCUUUUGGUUUGCUUUCGAAAACCAUCCCCUAUCAGCAUCCUUUGACUCCAAAUCCUUUGAUAGAAAAUUGCAAACACAACAAUCCAAUUCAAAGCAGUUAUACUCUUCAAUACCAUUUGUAUUCCCAGCCACACCCUCUCCUUAGUCAACCGUUUAGAGUGAAAGGGAAGGGAGUGAUGGUGGGGGUUGAGACGGUAAAGAGUGAGAGGGAAGGCGAUGAUGGUGGGGGUUGGACACAAUAGAGGCAACAGCUAAAGAGGAAGAGAGAAAGAGGAGAAGAGAAAACAAAAAAAGGAUGUUGUUAAACAAUUUUUUUAUAAAUGAUGUCAUCUAUGACGUUGUGCUUAUGUGGCAUGCCACAUAGUCUACUUCGUUGACCUGCGAUUUCAUUAACGGUCAAUUUACAUUUACCGUAAAAAUUAGAUUGAUUUCUAAAAAAUUGUAACGUUGAGGGUGUCAAUCCAAAAAAAAAAGGUUAAGGGCUAAAACCUAAAAACCCAUAAACUUUGAGGGUAUAUUCAAUAAUUAUGCCUAGUUUUAAUGGCUAAUUGAAUAAUAUGCAUGUAUUGCAUGGCAUGAUUGGUGGUUCUUAUGGCGUGUUUGGUGGUCGAUAAGGAGAGUCACGCAAGUGGUUAAUGUGACGUUCUAGAUUCGGGUCAGACUGUCCUGGCCGGGUGUGGGGCACUACAAAGCAUUGAAAGCACAAUAGUGCUAACAUAAUUUGAAUUCGAAACUUAAAACACUAAUUAAAUAAAUAUGUUAAUAAAAAUAUCAUUAAAUAAGUUUAAUAUUAAUCAUAUCAUUAAUACGAGAAUGACUUUCUAACAUAUCAUUAUCCAACUCCAUAUCAAACAAUAAUGAUCAUAUAACCAUAUAUCAUUUCAUCAAUCCACUUUCACGGUAUUUAAGCAACAUUUACCAUAACCUUUCAGGUAUAUGUCAUACCUUAUUUUCAUCAAAAAUAUAUCAUAGUACCAAUGCACCCUUUGGGUAUUUGCAUCUUAUUUAUGCAUACCAAAUAAACCACAAUCUAUUAUCCACAUUAUAUCCAUAAUUCAUUUCAUUUUAUAAUGGAAAACGCCAUCAUUUUUUAGCCCCUCUUAAUCAAUUUCAAGCUCAAGGAUGGAUACAUGGAUCCAUUCACCAACACACCAGAAUACGCACAUAAGUGAUAAUCGAGCAUAAAUGCACCAAUACAAUGAACCACACCAAUAUAUGCUCGUACCCCCAGGGUAUUUCAGCUAGUAAUACGUUCUUGACCCUGGAGUAUUGAGAACUAUUAAAUAACAAUAUGCGAUCAACGCUAAAGCUUCCCCCGACAUAACAAACCUUAUUGCAUGAAAAUUAUACCUAAACUCUAUUUGACACUAUUAACAGGGCAUUUUUCAUUACCAAUUAUCAUUGAAUCUUAUUCUAACAUAAUUAACAUCAUACUACCACCAUCACACAUACACCAACACAUAUGCCUUGAACAUAUACCAAACAUUUCAAUGUGACUAAGUACAACAUAUCUUACAUGUUUUAUUCAUCAUCAAUAAUUUUAUAAAUGUAGCUGCUCAAUAAUUUAUGUAGUGAAAUAGAAUUAUGAAAGCACAAAUCAAAAUUGUUACUCAUCGAUAGUCUUUGCCUUUCAUUUUUCUUUUGACUUUUUGGUGUCAUCUUUAGCUACGUAUGAUAAUUCAAUUACAAAAAUAGUAUUAGUUUCACAUACUCAAACAUAAACAUUAUCAAAGAAAAACAUUAAACAUUUUUCAAUUAGGUUCCUUAGAACCCUAAUAUCUGAAAUUCCUAUAUCUCACAACUCUCUCGUUCGAACAUAAAUAUGAUUUUUCAAUUAUACUCUAGGGACCUCAAACUAUCAAUAAACAUAAAUUUUUUCUCUAAAGUUUACAACAUUUCUCUCUGUAAAUUCAUAACAACCAUCAAUAAAUUACUUAGCAACACCUUAGUAAUUUUAACUUUUAAGGAUUGGGUUAUAUUCAUCUACCAUGAUAAAUUAAAAAUUUAACAAAAAUUAAACAAGAAAGCUUAAUAAUUCUUAUAAAAGGCUCACGAAAAUGGUGAACAACACAUGCAAGCUUUCGUUCUUUCUUUUUCUUGUUUUGUCGUUGGAGGAGAAGACACAAAGCGCUAAUUUUAUUUAUUUAUUCUUUUAUCAUCCAUUUAUUUAAGCUUAAUUAAACUAAAUUAAUAUUAACCAAUGGCCAUGAUUUUAUCCUAAAACACUUAGUGGAAUUUAGUGGCUUUGAUCAUGUUUAGCCACUAACUAUAUAUUAUUUAUGGUUUAUUUGCUAUUAAGACAUUGGUUUAAUAUUCUAUUAAUGACUUGCAAAACCCUUAAUCUAGUUUCUCUAAUAUAAUCCCCUUACAAUCUAGUCUUUAUACUAUGCUUAAUUAUUAAUCUAAUUAAUUACUUAAUAAUUUGAUCCAAAAAUUUCGUGUAUGCCUCGUAACAACUCGAUUAAAAUUUCCAAACUAACUCAAUUUAAGGAAUCUGAUCUCGAAACUGAAUUUUUCAAAACCCUUGAAAAUCAUGUCGUUACAGUCUUCUCAAGUUUUCUCUCAACUUUUUUUUCAAAUUUUAUUUUUUUCAAGGUUUCAAAUUUUUAAAUUGAUUUUUCAUUUUAAACAAAUUUUAAAAGACCAAAUUCAACAUUUCAUUUAUUUUUCUAGUUCAUGUGAACUUUGGUGGAAGAUGGAAAGUGGUUUACUCUUGAUUCUUUGGUUAAUAUUUGAGUUUUUUUUUCUAGCAAGGUAAUGAGUUCCAAACCAUUAUUUAUGAUUUUAAAACCUUGAGAAUUGAUUUUUGAUUUUAUCUUUAAUUUUCUUUCAUUUCUAAAUAUUUUUCAAGUUAGAGUGAGAAAGCUUUGAUUCUUUCAUUUUUUGUUGUUUUUAAACUUGAAUCUUGUGAGUUAAGUUAGAAAAAAUUUUGGUUAAAGUUCUCUUGAGUUGCCUUUAUUGAAGAGCUUAAGGUGCUUUAGAGAGAGAGGUGUUGAUCUAGUGUGGCUAAUAAUUUUUAAUUUUUUAGGAGUUUUUAAUGAUUUUUUUAAAGUUAUAUUUAAGAUUUGUAUAUGUUAGAUUAGUGUUCUCUUAAGUUUUAAUAGAAGAAGAAAAUUUCUCGCUUCAUUUAAUUGCAUCACAUGCUUAGUUCUAGAUGAUUUUCUAUUCAAUUGUGUCUCUCUAACUAUGUUUUAUUGUUUUGAUUAAUGAUUGUUGCAAAGGAGGUGGUUGAGUCCCCAAAGGCCAAGGGAAAGGAAAAAGUCAUUGAAGGUUGAUGAUUUACGAUUUAUGCUAAUUUGACUUAAUUAUAUUAUAUGAUUUGAUAAAGUAAUUGAAAUGUUUGCUCAAUUUGGUCACUUGAAUUGUUGUUAAAGAAAUUGAUUGGAUGAUGUUAAAAAAUGAUAUUUUGAUGAUUUGUGGCACGAUUAAUAUAUUUUUUAUUGCAAAUUAGCAUGCUUUAUUGCCUAAUCUUGUUAUAUCAUAUACUUGGUUAUAUUAGGACCACUGAGCUUCCAAAUGCUCAGUUGCAUUUUUUUGUUUCUGUGCAUACGUGUUGAAAUGCUUUCGAGUUUGAUUGGUGAUGUACUCAACAUCCAAAGACUCAGUUUUCAUCUUUCUAUUGAGUUUUUAAUGUUUCCUUAAUGUCUUUUAUAAUAAGUGGCUUGUACCUAGGUCUCUAGGUGACUUUUAUGUCUUUUAAUGUUGAACUUUGGUAUUUUUGGAUGUUUUUGGUAUUUAGUUUGUGUUGAUACCAUAUUGGACUUUUAAUUACCUUUAAGUUGGAUUUUGAGAAUGAUUUUACAUGGCUCAUGUAUGGUUUAUAUGUUACAAAUUACUUGCCUAUUGAAAUUUAGAUUUAAUGUGUUACAUGCCAUAUAAAUGUAUAUUUUAGAAUCGUUUAUGGUAUGACACUUAUGUAUGAAAUAUUUUAGUUACAUAGUGAAACUUGUUUAAGUGCAUUUAGGGGAUUAAUUGCAUGACUUGGAAUGUUAUUUUUCUACAUUUAUGUAUCGAUGUCUUGAGACAUCAACAACAUGUCUCGAGACCAUAAGAAUAUUUUUAUGUAUUUCAUGCAUUUUUGGGCACAUGUAUCGAGACAUGAUUGGAUUGUCUUAAGAUGUAAGGGGGUAAGUCUCGAGACAUGAUGAUCUUGUCUCAAGACAUAAAGCAUCAAAGCUAAAUUAAGAAAAAUUCUAUCUAGUGUCUCGAGAGAGUCAUGGUUCAUUGUCUCGAGACAUAGGAAUUAAUGUCUCAAAACAUGGUUUCAUUGUCUCAAGACCUCAAACUUCGAAACUAAAAUUCUAAAACAAGAGAGGCAUGUCUCGAGAUAUAACCCUACAUUUUGUUAGUUUGACUCAAGAUGCAUAACACAGUUCUGUGUUUGACCACUUUUAAUCUUAGAUUGUUGUAUAUGGGCCCAAUUGGUUUCAUUUAAGUGCAUUUAACACUCGUAACAUUAUUUAAUUAAGAUUGUCACGACUUUAUUAUUUUUAGCUGCAUUGUUUGUUGAAAUAUCUAUUUGAGUAGCUUCAACAGUAAAUGUGGCAUUUUGCAUCCGGAUCAUUUAUUAAUAAAAAGGAAUUCGAAGGCUUGGAGGAUUCUAAAAUAAACUCUUUUGAUUAAUAAAACAUUAGUCCCCAAGUAUUAUAAAAUAUUGGAUUCCUUCUAAUUAAUAAAAAGCCCUUGGAUUCUUAAGCUUGGAAGAGCAUACAACGAGGGACUUGCUUUUGAAAGGAAUUGCUUGGAAAAUUGGUAAUGGGGAAAAUCUGUUUACAUUUGAUGAUGAUGUAAUUCAUGAAGACUUAUUAUCUUCUAAGCAAGAGAGAAGGACCUUAAUGCUUAGGGGUGUAAAUAAGUAAUGAAUCCUUUUAGAUUGCAAUAGAAUACUAGUAAUUUAAUGAACUUUCUUUCCAAAGAUUCGUUGAAAACUUUGUUUAUGAAAGGGAUGCAUUUGCAUGAGUUUGAUGAUAAGCUUAUAUGGAAACAUAGCUCUUCAGAUAACUAUAGAGUGAAAUCAGGUUACAAUCUGUUUUCUAUUGAAUAACCUUGAUGCAUUCCCUCAUUCCUUAAAUUCUCAUUAGCCAAGGAGUUUUUGGCCUCUCAUUUGGUCACUCAAAAUUCCCUUUAAGAUCAUCAUCUUUCUUUGGAAAGUUUGCAGUAAUUGCUUACCUUGCAAGGUGGAGAUAGCAAAGAGGAAUUCCAUUCAAGACUACUUUUGCCUUUUUUGUGUGUUAGUGUUUUAAGGCUGCAACUAUUUUUUUUUUAAAAUAAGACUAAGUUCUAGGGAGAUUUGUUAGCUUGUUAGUAGGAGUAGAAGUUGUUAGCUUAUUAGUAAGAGUAGAAAUUUGAAUUUUUUGUUGAGGUUGUUACUUGGGACUUGUAUAUAAGGGCAACUUUGUUAAUAAAAUUAUAUCAUCCCUUCAUUCAUAUUUUUUUCUAUGCUUCAAUUAGUUCUUUGUUAAACCAACAGUGGUAUCGAGAGCUAUUUUUUCUUGAGGGACCUAUGAGAAAAGUUCUGUGAGAGUUUUGAUAGAAAAUUGAGAGAUACACUUGUGAGGUUUUGAGGAAAAUGGAUUCAGGAUCAAGUAACCUGUCUGCCUUAGCCCCACUAGUGUUUAAUAGAGAGAAUUAUCAAGCAUGGGUUGUGAGAAUGCAAGCAUACAUGAAGAGUUGUGAUUAUUAGGAAACUGUCGAGGAAGACCAUAAGGUGACUCCACUUUCUAACAAUCCAACUAUGAACCAGAUCAAAAUGCACAAGGAGAGAACCACCAGGAAGGCUAAGGCAAAGGCUUGUCUUUAUGUUGCAGUUUCACCAGCCAUAUUCAACAGAAUUAUGGCUUUUGGAUUAGCAAAGGAGAUAUGGGACUACCUCAAGGCUGAGUAUCAAGGAGAUGAGAGGAUCAAGAGCAUGAAGUUGUUGAACUUGAUCAGAGAAUUUGAGAGGCAACAAAUGAAGGACUCUAACUCAAUCAAAGAAUACUCGGACAAGCUGAUAGAUAUUUCCAAUAAGGUAAGAGUUCUUAGACUGAUCUCUCUGAUUCUAGACUGAUGCAAAAAAUACUUGUCUCUGUGCCUGAGAAAUAUGAAGUGACAAUUGCCUCUUUGGAGAACACCAAGGAUUUGACUCAGUUGAGAGUAGUGUAGUUGAUCAGUGCUUUACAGGUUCAAAAGUAGAGGAGAUUAAUGAGGCAGGAAGAAAGCAUAAAAGGAAAUUUGAAGGCUAAGAUGUAACAGAGUGAGAAGAAAUGACCAAAAGUGGAAUGGGAAGAAGAGUAGUGGCAGUAGUGGUUUAGAAACUACUGCAAAAGGUAAUGGUAUUGGAAAUUACCACAAGUAUUCUUCAUGUAAGUUUUGUGAAAAACAAAAUCAUCAUCAUUUCAGGUAUUGGAGAAGGCUAGAUGUAAAGUGUAGAAGGUGUAACUUGAUAGGGGCACACUGAGAGGUUCUGUAAAGAAUAAAAAAAUUAGCAGCAAAGUGUAGCACAUGUCUCUUGCUUCUCAUUAAGUACUCCAUGUGAAAAUUGGUUAGUUGAUAGUGGUUGCACCAAUCACAUGACUUAUGAUAAGAAGUUAUUUAAAGAUCUUGAUAGGUCAUUGAAUUCGAGAGUAAGGAUAAGAAAUGGAGAAUACCUAGAAGUGAAAUGAAAAGGCAUAGUAACAAUAGAGAGCUGUGCCAGAACUAAGUUGAUUUUAGAUGUUUUGUUUGUACCUGAGAAUGAUCAAAACUUGUUAAGUGUGGGGUAAUUGGUAGAAAAGGGAUUCAAGGUAAUAUUUGAAGAAGGAAUGUGUCUAAUCCUUGACUCUUGUGGCAAUGUAUUAUUUAGGAUCAAAAUGCAAAAGAAGAGUUUCUCAUUGAAUCCACUCGAGGAGGAGUAAGUGGCAUUCAAGUGUCAAGUCAGUGGCUCUGAAUUGUGGCAUAAGACGUUAGGACACUUUCAUCACAAAAGUUUGCAAUUCAUGCAGAAAAAUGAGAUAGCAAUUGGGCUACCAAUUUGGAGGAGUUAAAUUCGAGAUAAAAAGUUUGCUUGUCUGGCAAACAAACAAGAUUGCCUUUCAAAAACUCAACUUGGAGAGUCAAAGAGAAGUUGUAGUUGAUUCACACUAAUCUGUGCGGUCCACAAGCAACUCCUUCAUUAAAUGGUAGCAAGUAUUUCAUUAUAUUUAUUGAUGAUUUUACUAGAAUGUGCUGGAUUUAUUUUAUAAAGCAAAAAUCUGAUGUUACUGAUGUGUUUUUUAAGUACAAAAGAUGGGUUGAGAAUCAAAGUGGUUAUAAGAUUCAGGUUGUCGAUUUGAUAAUGGGACAGAAUAUACCACGCAAAGGUUCAAUACUUUUUAUGAGGAGGCUGGGAUAGAGCAUCAACUCACUGCUCCCUACUCUCCACAAUAGAACUGAGUUAGUGAGAGGAAAAACUAGACCAUUAUGGAAAUGACUAGGUGCAUACUGCAUAAGAAGUCCCUACCUAAGGAGUUCUGGGAGGAGGUAGCUAACACAGUUGUAUUUUUGCUAAAUAAAUUGCCUAAAAGGGUAUUGGAGAAAAAAACCCUAUGAAGCUUGGUUUGAAAUGAAGCCAACUUUGAAGAAUUUGAAGCUAUUUUAUUAUUUAUGUUUCUAUUAUGGUCCACAGGUUAAAAAGGACAACUUGGAAGAAAAAUCUGAGCAUGGAAUAUAUGUUGGCUAUAGUUUGGUGUCAAAAGCCUAUAGAAUCUAUCAACCUCAGACAGAGAAGAUGAUUAUGAGUAGAGAUGUGUAGUUCCUAGAAGAUGAGCAGUAGGAUUGGACAAGUGAUGCAGAAGAAAGAAAACAAGAGUUCUCUCUUAAUCCUAAUGAACUGGUGGAUGAUAUACCAAUUAGAGGUACAAGAUCAUUGAGUGAAGUUUAUCAAAGGUGUAGUGUGGCUAUUCUUGAACUUGCAGGGUAUGAGGAAGCCAAAGAUGAUAAGGAGUGGAUGGAGGCAAUAAAGAAAGAGUUGGAUAUGAUAGAGAAAAACCAAACAUGGGAACUAGUUGAGAGGCCUGCAAACAGAAAGGUAAUUGGAGUAAAGUGGGUUUUCAAGACCAAACUUAAUCCUGAUGGUUCAAUAAACAAGUACAAGGCUAGUUGGUGGUGAAUGGAUAUGCACAAGUUUGAGGAGUUGAUUUUUUUAAACUUUUUCUCUUGUGGUAAUAAUGGACACAAUUAGGAUGCUUUUGGCUAUGUCAGCUCAACAAGGUUGGAGGGUGUUUCAGUUGGAUGUGAAGUCAACGUUCCUGAAUGGGGUAUUAGAGGAAGAAAUAUGUGUUGAGUAGCCACAGGGCUUUAUCACACUAGGUCAAGAAGGGAAGGUUUGCCUAUUAUGAAAGACUCUCUAUGGGUUGAAACAAGAUCCCAGAGCAUGGUAUAAGAGCAUGGUACAAUAAGAUAAAUGAACAUUUACUAAACUUAGGCUUUGUAAAGAGCCUGAGUGAAUCCACUCUCUAUGUAAAGAAGUCAAGUACAAAUCUAAUCAUUAUAUCUCUUUAUGUAGAUGACAUGUUGAUGACAGGAAAUGAUGCAACUCAAAUUGAAGUAUUCAAGAAGGAUAUGAUGGAGGUAUUUGAAAUGACUUAUCUUGGUGACAUGCAUUACUUUCUGGGAAUGAAGAUCAAGCAAAGUCAAAAUAAGGUGUUUCUUUGCCAGAAGAAGUACAUGAAGGAGAUUCUGAAGAGGUUCCAUAUGGAAUAGUACAAUAGUGUGAUCACUCCAAUGAAUCAGAAAGGAAAACUUCAAAAGAUGGAUGGGGUAGAUCCUGCAGAUGAGAAGGUGUGUAGGAGUAUUGUUAGGUGUCUUAUGUGCCUCACAUCCACUAGGCCAAACAUCAUGUACACUGUAAGUGUUUUGUCUAGAUUUCUCCAUUGUGCAAGUGAAAUUCAUAUGAUUGCUACAAAGAGGGUGUUAAGAUAUUUGAAGGGGACACUUACAUAUGGAAUAAAUUUUAGCAAAGUUGAGAAGUUCAAGCUACAGGGUUAUUCUGAUAGUGAUUGGGCUGGCUCAGGUUGUUUCUUUUGGUUUUCAAGAAUGUAAGAGUUGGUGGCUCAAUCACCUGCGGAAGCUGAAUUCAUUGCAGCUACAACUACUCUGAACCAAGCCUUGUGGCUGAAAAAGCUAAUAGAUGAUCUGCAUUUGAAGUAAGAGGGGAGUAUAGAAGUGUUUGUGGAUAAUCAAGCUACUCUAUCUAUUUCACUUAAUCUUGUAUUUCAUGGAAGAACAAAACAUUUUAAAGUCAAGUAUUAUAUGCUGAGGGUAGUACAAAAGACAGGUCAAGUAAAGUUGGGUUGUUGCAGAUCAGAGGACUAGGUGGCAGAUAUUUUUACUAAGUCUUUCCAUGUUAGUCGAUUUGAGUUUCUUAGGAACAGACUUGGUGUCUGCAACACUUGAGUCAGGAGGAGAAUGUUAGUGUUUCAAGGUUGCAACUAUUUUUUAAAAAAAAAAGACUAAGUCUUAAGGAGAUUUGUUUUGUUAGUAGAAGUAGGAGUUGUUAACUUGUUAGUAGGAGUAGUAAUUUGAAUUUUUUGUUGAGGUUGUUACUUGAGCCUUGUAUAUAAGGGUUGCUUUGCUAAUCAAUUAUAUCACCCCUUCAUUCAUAUUUUUUUCUAUGCUUCAAUAAGUUCUUUACUAAACCAAUAAUGUGAAACAACAAUGAUGAUCUUGAUAUUCUAUUUUUACAUUAUCCUUUCUCACGAUGCUGUUUGGUUUGGCAGCUCUAUUGGUCCUUAAGACCACUGAUCCUCAUCAAAUUUCCUUAUCAGAAUUCAUUUUUCAUUGUUGGAAUCUUACUACUGAGAUUAAAUGGAAGUGACAUGAGUUUUUUUGAGGAAAAAAACAUACAUUGGCAUAGGAGAUAUACACCUUGGUUACAGUUGUCAAAGUUACCAAUGAAGUUGCAUGAGAUUAGAUAGUAAGGGAAACUAGUAACUGGCCACCUGCAUCUGCUAAUUGGUAUGUAAAUUUCCUUUUUGUUUGUUACUACCUUAUCUUUUUUUUCUUCCUUCUAUAUGUUUUUAUAUUGUAAGAAAAUACAAUAAUUUUACUUUGAUCAACAGUAUUUACAUAUGAAGUAAACUCAGGCUCCGUUGUCCUAUGCUUAAGUGAUGGGCUUUUAUAUUAAAAAGCAUUUUCCAUCAAAAGCAAUAAAGAACCCAUUUCAUUUGGAACUAAAAUUUUAACUUAUUGCAAGUGCUUUUCAGCAGAUGAAAAGCAGAAAAAUUUAGCUUUUCCAGCUAAAAAGAACUUUCGGGUUGUUCUUUUACAUUUUUAGCCACACCACACAUUUGUUCUUCUCUGCUGGUUCUUCUCUGCUGGUGCUGGUGUUCCCGACGGCUACCCUUUUUGGUCCAAAUUUUGUUCUCUGCUGGUUCUCUGCUGGUACUGGUGUUCCUCUGCUUGUUGGUUCUUUGUUCCUCUGCUGGUGCUUGUUCUUUGUUCCUUUUCUCCACUUUUCAAAAGCCUCUGGUUCUUUGUUCCUCUUCUCCCCACCACCGGUGAGUUUAUCUUUUUUUUCGUCUGGGUAACUCCAUUUUUUUCACAUUUCUUUUACUGCUGGUGAUGUCUUUGGAAAUUCUGAAUAUUUUUUAUUUUUUCCUUAUUUAUGAGGUUAUUGAGAAAAAUAUAGACAUUGAAGGAAUAAAAGAGAGAAACCAAUUGAUUUUUAUAUUAUUCUAAAUUGAUUUAUUAAUAAUUUGAUUCGGUUUGAGUACUCUUUGGUUUUAGACUACUGAAUUUCUGCUUUCAUUGACGUGAUUGUUGCUCCUCAACUCUGUUCCACCAUUGAAUUGCAGCUUCAAAAAUAGAACCUUUCUAGGUUCAACCAUAGGUUUUCACUUAAAAGAAACUUCUACCAUGACUUCCAAUCCUAAUAUUCUUCAACGUGUACCUUCUCAUGAAAAUUAUCCACUUUUGAUCUUCACUCAUCGACCACUCAAUUCUAGGGCUCUUCCAAUUCAGCUCUUGCAAAAUCUAUGAAGACAAGGGUUAUAAGUGGAACCUCUAUUCGUGCCCAUUUGAAUAUCCACGUCAUUUUUUUGUCACAAAGCUUGUAUUAUCUACAACAAUUCUUCAGUCUGCACCUCAUCUUGAACACUGGGCAUCCAAUCAUAGCUUUAAAAACAAUUUCUAACAUAAGCUUUGAUGCCUAUUUGAUGGAAUUUAAGAAAAUAUGAUGAACCGACAAGGAUUAUAUAUUAUAUUUAUUAAAACUCUAUUAAUGAUAAUAAAUCUACUACGAAAAAUUAUAUUAAUCCUCUAGUAAAAUAUUUAUACGAAAAAACUCCAUUUACUAUGCAAUGGACGGUUUUUCUAUGUUUUUGAGCAAGAAGUUUUACCCAAAAUAUUUAUACGAAAAACUCCAUUUACUUAAGCAAAAGUUGCUUCUUUUAUCUUUCUCUUUCUUUGUUGAGUAGCAUUGUCGGUUAUAUUGGUUAUUUUAAUAUUAUAUCUAUAUAUAACACUAAUGUGUAUAUUCUGCUAUUAUUAUUAAUUAAUGGUGGGAGAGUGUAUCAAAAUGGAGUCACCCAUAAUAUUUUUUAAAUAGUUAAUUGAUACAAAAAAUAGAUGUUUCCCUUAGAAUAAAGACAUACAUAUCUUUUACUGUUAUUUGUUCAUGCAUAUAGCUAAAAUUUUGAUACAUAUGUAAACAAAUAUACUUAUGUGACAUUUGAUUUUCUUGAUUGUUUUACUGGCCGAAACAAAUCUGUUCGUAUACACAAUAGAUGAGUACUUCGACGGUUGAAGUUAGUGAUGAAAAAGUGAAAGCAAUGUGGGAUAAGAGAUUGACUGAAAUAUUUUGUGAUAUUUGUAUUAAAGAGAUAUUGAAAGGCAAUAGGCCUGGUACUCAUUUCACAAAAGAUGGAUGGUUGAAAAUAAUGACCACCUUUGAGAAAGAAACGGGCAAGGGUUUUUCACAAAGACAACUUAAAAAUAGGUGGGAUGCCCUAAAAAAAGAAUGGAAAGCUUGGAAGAAACUUAAAGGCGAAGAUACUGGUCUAGGGUGGAAUCCUAUAAAAAGAACUGUUGAUGCAUCGAAUGAUUGGUGGGAGAGUAGGCUCCAGGCACAUUAAUAAUUCUGAAUAUUUUUUAUUUUUUCCUUAUUUAUGAGGUUAUUGAUAAUUACUGCUAUUAAACUAUCAUUUUAUAUGUAGGUUGUGCCUGAAGCUAAAAAAUUUAGAACAUCGGGCAUUGAUCCUGAAUUCGAAGCGAAGUUGGACCAAAUGUUCAUGGGGAUAGUUGCAACAGGUGAUAAAGCAUGGGCACCUUCUUCUGGUACACUCCGUAGUGAUUUUUUUGAAGAUGUUAACAACGAAAUACCUGAAGAGAAUGAAGAAGAAAAUAUGAGAAAUGAUGUUCACAUUUUAAAUGAUGUUCACAUUUCAAAUGAUGUUCACAUCUCAAAUGAUGUUCAAAUGGAUGGAAACGGUCAAAAAAGAAAAAA
rnacentral:lncRNA from 1 species